rnacentral:lncRNA from 1 species
AGUGGUGGUGGUGGCUGUUGGGGAACAUAGUAAUUUCAAAAUUUUCCUACGCACAUGCAAGAUCAUGGUGAUGCAUAGCAACGAGAGGGGAGAGUGUUGUCCACGUACCCUCGUAGACCGAAAGCGGAAGCGUUAGCACAACGCGGUUGAUGUAGUCGUACGUCUUCACGAUCCGACCGAUCAAGUAUCGAACGCACGGCACCUCCGAGUUCAGCACACGUUCAGCCCGAUGACGUCCCUCGAAGUCCGAUCCAGCCGAGUGUUGAGGGAGAGUUUCGUCAGCACGAUGGCGUGGUGACGAUGAUGAUGUUCUACCGACGCAGGGCUUCGCCUAAGCACCGCUAUAGUAUUAUCAAGGUGGACUAUGGUGGAGGGGGGCACCGCACACGGCUAAAAGAUCAAACGAUCAAUUGUUGUGUCUUUGGGGUGCCCCUCUGCCCGUGUUGGUUCUCCCUGAUAUCAGUAAAAGAUUUGUGCUAGAGACAGAUGCCUGUGGGCAUUGGAGCUGUGAUAAGGGGUAGAAGUAUUCGUGUGGGGUGGGUUUCGAAGGGAAGGUUGCACAAUAGAUCGGAGAUCCUUCGAGGAAGACUGAAAUGACUAUACUUAUAGAAUGGUCCAUAUCGAACAGAUACGAUACUGGUUUACACGUGAUGCGGCCGGCCUGGAGGAGGCGCGCCAGGAGGACUCCUACUCCCACCGGGAGUAGGAUUCCCCCCGCCCUCCAAGUAGUAGGAGUAGGAGUCAAGGAAAGGGGAGAGAGAAGCGAAGGAAGGAGGGGCCGCAGCCCCUCCCCCUAGUCCAAUUCGGACUAGGCCUUGGGGGGGGCAGCCUCUCCUCUCUCUUUCCCCUAAAGCCCAAUAAGGCCCAUAUACUCCCCGGCGAAUUCCCGUAACUCUCCGGUACUCCAAAAAAUACCCGAAUCACUCGGACCCUUUCCGAUGUCCGAAUAUAGUCGUCCAAUAUAUCGAUCUUUAUGUCUCGACCAUUUGGAGACUCCUCGUCAUGUCUCCGAUCUCAUCCGGGACUCCGAACUACCUUCGGUACAUCAAAACACAUAAACUCAUAAUAUAACCGUCAUCGAACUUUAAGCGUGCGGACCCUACGGGUUCGAGAACUAUGUAGACAUGACCGAGACACGUCUCCGGUCAAUAACCAAUAGCGGAACCUGGAUGCUCAUAUUGGCUCCCACAUAUUCUACGAAGAUCUUUAUCGGUCAGACCGCAUAACAACAUACGUUGUUCCCUUUGUCAUCGGUACGUUACUUGCCCGAGAUUCGAUCGUCGGUAUCUCAAUACCUAGUUCAAUCUCGUUACCGGCAAGUCUCUUUACUCGUUCCGUAAUACAUCAUCCCGCAACUAACUCAUUAGUUGCAAUGCUUGCAAGGCUUAAGUGAUGUGCAUUACCGAGUGGGCCCAGAGAUACCUCUACGACAAUCGGAGUGACAAAUCCUAAUCUCGAAAUACGCCAACCCAACAAGUACCUUCGGAGACACCUGUAGAGCACCUUUAUAAUCACCCAGUUACUUUGUGAUGUUUGGUAGCACACAAAGUGUUCCUCUGGUAAACGGGAGUUGCAUAAUCUCAUAGUCAUAGGAACAUGUAUAAGUCAUGAAGAAAGCAAUAGCAGAAUACUAAACGAUCGUGUGCUAAGCUAACGGAAUGGGUCAAGUCAAUCACAUCAUUCUCCUAAUGAUGUGAUCCCGUUAAUCAAAUGACAACUCAUGUCUAUGGCUAGGAAACAUAACCAUCUUUGAUCAACGAGCUAGUCAAGUAGAGGCAUACUAGUGACACUAUGUUUGUCUAUGUAUUCACACAUGUAUUAUGUUUCCGGUUAAUACAAUUCUAGCAUGAAUAAUAAACAAAUAUCAUGAUAUAAGGAAAUAAAUAAUAAAUUUAUUAUUGCCUCUAGGGCAUAUUUCCUUCAGUCUCCCACUUGCACUAGAGUCAAUAAUCUAGAUCACAUCGCCAUGUGAUUUAACAUCAAUAGUUCUCAUCACCAUGAGAUUAACACCCAUAGUUCACAUCGUCAUGUGACCAACACCCAAAGGUUUUACUAGAAUCAAUAAUCUAGUUCACAUCGCUAUGUGAUUAACACCCAAAGAGUACUAAGGUGUGAUCAUGUUUUGCUUGUGAGAUAAUUUUAGUCAACGGGUCUGUCACAUUCAGAUCCGUAAGUAUUUUGCAAAUUUCUAUGUCUACAAUGCUCUGCACAGAGCUACUCUAGCUAAUUGCUCCCACUUUCAAUAUGUAUCCAGAUUGAGACUUAGAGUCAUCUGCAUCAGUGUCAAAAUUUGCAUCGACGUAACCCUUUACGACGAACCCUUUUUGUCACCUCCAUAAUCGAGAAACAUAUCCUUAUUCCGCUAAGGAUAAUUUUGACCGCUGUCCAGUGAUCUACUACUAGAUCACUAUUGUACUCCCUUGCCAAAAUCAGUGUAGGGUAUACAAUAGAUCUGGUACACAGCAUGGCAUACUUUAUAGAACCUAUGGCCAAGGCAUAGGGGAUGACUUUAAUUCUCUUUCUAUCUUUUGCCGUGGUCUGGCUUUGAGUCUUACUCAAUUUCACACCUUGUAACACAGGCAAGAACUCUUUCUUUGACUGUUCCAUUUUGAACUACUUCAAAAUCUUGUCAAGGUAUGUACUCAUUGAAAAAACUUAUCAAGCGUCUUGAUCUAUCUCUAUAGAUCUUGAUGCUCAAUAUGUAAGCAGCUUCACUGAGGUCUUUCUUUGAAAAACUCCUUUCAAACACUCCUUUAUGCUUUGCAGAAUAAUUCUACAUUAUUUUCGAUCAACAAUAUGUCAUUCACAUAUACUUAUCAGAAAUGCUGUAGUGCUCCCACUCACUUUCUUGUAAAUACAGGCUUCACCGCAAGUCUGUAUAAAAGUAUAUGCUUUGAUCAACUUAUCAAAGCGUAUAUUCCAACUCCGAGAUGCUUACACCAGUCUAUAGAUGGAUCGCUGGAGCUUGCAUAUUUUGUUAGCACCUUUAGGAUUAACAAAACCUUCUGGUUGCAUCAUAUACAACUCUUCUUUAAUAAAUCCAUUUAAGGAUUGCAGUUUUUGUUAUCCAUUUGCCAGAUUUCAUUAAAUGCGGCAAUUGCUAACAUGAUUCGGACAGACUUAAGCAUAGAUACGAGUGAGAAACUCUCAAUAACACUACUAUCAGCGUCCGUCUUCCUCUUGAAGAUUCAUUUAAUCUCAAUGGCUCGCCGAUCAUUGGGCAAGUCAAUCAAAGUCCAUACUUUGUUCUCAUACAUGGAUCUCAUCUCAGAUUUCAUGGCCUCAAGCCAUUUCGCGGAAUCUGGGCUCAUCAUCGCUUCCUCAUAGUUCGUAGGUUCGUCAUGGUCAAGUAACAUGACCUCCAGAACAGAAUUACCGUACCACUCUGGUGCGGAUCCCACUCUGGUUUACCUACGAGGUUCGGUAGUAACUUGAUCUGAAGUUACAAGAUCAUCAUCAUUAGCUUCCUCACUAAUUGGUAUAGUAGUCACAGGAACAGAUUUUUGUGAUGAACUACUUUCCAAUAAGGGAGCAGGUACAGUUACCUCAUCAAGUUCUACUUUCCUCCUACUCACUUCUUUCGAGAGAAACUCUUUUUUCUAGAAAGGAUCCAUUCUUAUCAACGAAUGUCUUGCCUUCGGAUCUGUGAUAGAAGGUGUAUCCAACUGUCUCCUUUGGGUAUCCUAUGAAGACACAUUUCUCCGAUUUGGGUUUGAGCUAUCAGGAUGAAAUUUUUUCACAUAAGCAUUGCAACCCCAAACUUUAAGAAACGACAUCUUAGGUUUCUUGCCAAACCAUAGUUCAUACGGUGCCGUCUCCAUGGAUUAGUCGGUGCCCUAUUUAAUGUGAAUGCAGCUGUCUCUAAUGUAUAACCCCAGAACAAUAGUGGUAAAUCGGUAAGAGACAUCAUAGAUUUCACUAUAUCCAAUAAAGUACGGUUAUGACGUUCGGACACACCAUUAUGCUGUGGUGUUCUAGGUGGCAUGAGUUUGUGAAACUAUUCCACAUUGUUUUAAUUGAAGACCAAACUCGUAACUCAAAUAUUUGUCUCCGCGAUCAGAUCAUAGAAACUUUAUUUUCUUGUCACGAUGAUUUUCCACUUCACUCUGAAAUUCUUUGAACUUUUUCAAAUGUUUUAGACUUAUGUUUCAUCAAGCAGAUAUACCCAUAUCUGCUCAAAUCAUCUGUGAAGGUUAGAAGAUAACGAUACCCGCCGCGAGCCUCAACACUCAUCGGAUCGCAUACAUCAGUAUGUAUCAUUUCCAAUAAGCCAGUUGCUUGCUCCAUUGUUCCGGAGAAUGGAGUUUUAGUCAUCUUGCCCAUAAGGUAUGGUUCGCAAGCAUCAAGUGAUUUAUAAUCAAGUGAUUCCAAAAUCCCAUCAGCAUGGAGUUUCUUCAUGCGCUUUACACCAAUAUGACCUAAACGGCAGUGCCACAAAUAAGUUGCACUAUCAUUAUUAACUUUGCAUCUUUUGGCUUCAAUAUUAUGAAUAUGUGUAUCACUACGAUCGAGAUCCAACAAACCAUUUUCGUUGGUGUGUAUGACCAUAGAAGGUUUUUAUUCAUGUAAACAGAACAACAAUUGUUCUCUAACUUAAAUGAAUAACCGUAUUGCAAUAAACAUGAUCAAAUCAUAUUCAUGCUCAACGCAAACACCAAAUAACACUUAUUUAGGUUCAACACUAAUCCCGAAAGUAUAGGGAGUGUGCGAUGACGAUCAUAUCAAUCUUGGAACCACUUCCAACACACAUCGUCACUUCACCCUUAACUAGUCUGUGUUCAUUCUGGAACUCCUGUUUCGAGUUACUAAUUUUUAGCAAUCGAACAAGUAUCAAAUACCCAGGGGCUACUAUAAACACUAGUAAGGUACACAUCAAUAACAUGUAUAUCAAAUAUAGCUUGUUCACUUUGCCAUCCUUCUUAUCCGCCAAAUACUUGGGGUGGUUCCGCUUCCAGUGACCAGUCCCUUUACAGUAGAAGCACUCAGUCUCAGGCUUAGGUCCAGACUUGGGCUUCUUCACUUGAGCUGCAACUUGCUUUCCGUUCUUCUUGAAGUUCUCCUUCUUCCCUUUGCCCUUUUCUUGAAACUAGUAUUCUUGUUAACCAUCAACACUUGAUCUUUUUCUUGAUUUCUACCUUCGUCGAUUUCAGCAUCACGAAGAGCUUGGGAAUUACUUUCGUCAUCCCUUGCAUAUUAUAGUUUAUCACGAAGUUCUACUAACUUGGUGAUGGUGACUAGAGAAUUCUGUGAAUCACUAUUUUAUCUGGAAGAUUAACUCCCACUUGAUUCAAGUGAUUGUAGUACCCAGACAAUCUGAGCACAUGCUCACUGCUUGAGCUAUUCUCCUCCAUCUUUUAGCUAUAGAACUUGUUGGAGACUUCCUAUCUCUCAACUCGGGUAUUUGCUUGAAAUAUUAACUUCAACUCCUGGAACAUCUCAUAUGGUCCAUGACGUUCAAAACGUCUUUGAAGUCCCGAUUCUAAGCCGUUAAGCAUGGUGUACUGAACUAUCAAGUAGUCAUCAUAUUGAGCUAGCCAAAAGUUCAUAAGGUCUGCAUCUGCUCCUGCAAUAGGUCUGUCACCUAGCGGUGCAUCAAGGACAUAAUUCUUCUAUGCAGCAAUGAGGAUAAACCUCAGAUCACGGAUCCAAUCCGUAUCAUUGCUACUAACAUCUUUCAAUUUAGUUUUCUCUAGGAACAUAUCAAAAAAUAAAACAGGGGAGCUAAACGCGAGCAAUUGAUCUACAACAUAGAUACGCUAAUACUACCAGGACUAAGUUCAUGAUAAAUUUAAAGUUUAAUUAAUCACAUUACUUAAGAACUCCCACUUAGAUAGACAUCCCUCUAAUCCUCUAAGUGAUCACGUGAUCCAUAUCAACUAAACCAUGUCCGAUCAUCACGUGAGAUGGAGUAGUUUUAAUGGUGAACAUCACUAUGUUGAUCAUAUCUACUAUAUGAUUCACGCUCGACCUUUCGGUCUCAGUGUUCCGAGGCCAUAUCUGUUAUAUGCUAGGCUCGUCAAGUUUAACCUGAGUAUUCCGCGUGUGCAACUGUUUUGCGCCCGUUGUAUUUGAACGUAGAGCCUAUCACACCCGAUCAUCACGUGGUGUCUCAGCACGAAGAACUUUCGCAACGGUGCAUACUCAGGGAGAACACUUAUACCUUGAUAAUUUAGUGAGAGAUCGUCUUAUAAUGCUACCGUCAAUCAAAGCAAGAUAAGAUGUAUAAAAGAUAAACAUCACAUGCAAUCAUAAUAUGUUACAUGAUAUGGCCAUCAUCAUCUUGUGCCUUUGAUCUCCAUCUCCAAAGCAUCGUCAUGAUCUCCAUCGUCACCGACAUGACACCAUGAUCUCCGUCAUCUUGAUCUAUAUCAAUGUGUCGUCACAUGGUCGUCUCACCAACUAUUGCUCUUGCAACUAUUGCUAUCGCAUAGCGAUAAAGUAAAGCAAUUAUUUGGCGCUUGCAUCUUAUGCAAUAAAGAGACAACCAUAAAACUUUUGCCAGUUGCCGAUAACUUCAACAAAACAUGAUCAUCUCAUACAACAACUUAUAUCUCAUCAUGUCUUGACCAUAUCACAUCACAACAUGCCCUGCAAAAACAAGUUAGACGUCCUCUACUUUGUUGUUGCAAGUUUUACACGGCUGCUACGGGCUGAGCAAGAACCGUUCUUACCUACGCAUCAAAACCACAACGAUAGUCCGUCAAGUUAGUGAUGUUUUAACCUUCCCAAGGACCGGGUGUAGCCACACUCGGUUCAACUAAAGUUGGAGAAACUGACACCCGCUAGUCACCUGUGUGCAAAGCACGGCGGUAAAACCUGUCUCGCGUAAGCGUACCCGUAAUGUCGGUCCGGGCCGCAUUAUCCAACAAUACCGCCGAACCAAAGUGUGACAUGCUGGUAAGCAGUAUGACUUGUAUCGCCCACAACUCACUUGUGUUCUACUCGUGCAUAUGACAUCUACUCAUAAAACCUGGCUCGGAUGCCACUGUUGGGGAACAUAGUAAUUUCAAAAUUUUCCUACGCACACGCAAGAUCAUGGUGAUGCACAGCAACGAGAGGGGAGAUUGUUGUCCACGUACCCUCGUAGACCGAAAGCGGAAGCGUUAGCAGAACGCGGUUGAUGUAGUCGCACGUCUUCACGAUCUGACCAAUCAAGUACCGAACGCACGGCACAUCCGAGUUCAGCACACGUUCAGCUCGAUGACGUCCCUCGAAGUCCGAUACAGCCGAGUUUCGUCAGCACGACAGCGUGGUGACGAUGAUGAUGUUCUAGCGACGCAGGGCUUCGCCUAAGCACCGGUACAGUAUUAUCGAGGUGGACUAUGAUGGAGGGGGGCACCGCACACGGCUAAAAGAUCAAACGAUUAAUUGUUGUUUCUUUGGGGUGCCCCUCUGCCCCCGUAUAUAAAGGAACAAGGGGGGGGGGGAGGUGCGGCCGGCCAGGAGGAGUCCUACUCCCACCGGGAGUAGGAUUCCAUCCCAUCCAAGUAGUAGGAGUAGGAGUCAUGGAAAGGGGAGAGAGAAGAGAAGGAAGGAGGGGGCGCAGCCCCUCCCCCUAGUCCAACUCGGACUAGGCCUUGGGGGGCGCCCAGCCUCUCCUCUCUCUUUCCCCUAAAGCCCAAUAAGGCCCAUAUACUCCCCGGCGAAUUCCCGUAACUCUCCGGUACUCCGAAAAAUACCCGAAUCACUCGGAACCUUUCCGAUGUCCGAAUAUAGUCGUCCAAUAUAUCGAUCUUUACGUCUCGACCAUUUCGAGACUCCUCGUCAUGUCCCCGAUCUUAUCCGGGACUCCGAACUAACUUCGGUACAUCAAAACACAUAAACUCAUAAUAUAACCGUCGUCGAACUUUAAGCGUGCGGACCCUACGGGUUCGAGAACUAUGUAGACAUGACCGAGACACGUCUCCGGUCAAUAACCAAUAGCGGAACCUGGAUGCUCAUAUUGGCUCCCACAUAUUCUACGAAGAUCUUUAUCGGUCAGACCGCAUAACAACAUACGUUGUUCCCUUUGUCAUCGGUAUGUUACUUGCCCGAGAUUCGAUCUUCGGUAUCUCAAUACCUAGUUCAAUCUCGUUACCGGCAAGUCUCUUUACUCGUUCCGUAAUACAUCAUCCCGCAACUAACUCAUUAGUUGCAAUGCUUGCAAGGCUUAAGUGAUGUGCAUUACCGAGUGGACCCAGAGAUACCUCUCCGACAAUCGGAGUGACAAAUCCUAAUCUCGAAAUACGCCAACCCAAUAAGUACCUUCGGAGACACCUGUAGAGCACCUUUAUAAUCACCCAGUUACGUUGUGAUGUUUGGUAGCACACAAAGUGUUCCUCUGGUAAACGGGAGUUGCAUAAUCUCAUAGUCAUAGAAACAUGUAUAAGUCAUGAAGAAAGCAAUAGCAGAAUACUAAACGAUCGUGUGCUAAGCUAACGGAAUGGGUCAAGUCAAUCACAUCAUUCUCCUAAUGAUGUGAUCCCGUUAAUCAAAUGACAACUCAUGUCUAUGGCUAGGAAACAUAACCAUCUUUGAUCAAGAGGCUAGUCAAGUAGAGGCAUACUAGUGACACUAUGUUUGUCUAUGUAUUCACACAUGUAUUAUGUUUCUGGUUAAUACAAUUCUAGCACGAAUAAUAAACAUUUAUCAUGAUAUAAGGAAAUAAAUAAUAAAUUUAGUAUUGCCUCUAGGGCAUAUUUCCUUCAGUGGCGCCAUUUUCCUAAAGCAAUAUGAACAAAGGAUUAACGAUUCACUUCACAGGAAAGAAAAACAGUAGCAUGUGAUAUUUUUGGUUCUUCCGCGAGAAGCAAUUUUAUGGACAAAGCAUUUCGGUGGCACCAAUUGCCGAAAAAACUUUGCACAAAUAUCUACCAAAUAAGGGUACCACCUACCAAGACAUUUCAUCUCAUUUGGCCCCUAUUGCCUAAGAUAAUUGAUUUAAAAAACAAGUGGCAAAUUUAACUAAAUUGGCACCUACAUUUUGCCAAAAAUAACUUAUUACAAAAAAAACAAAAGCAUCUACCUAUCCAUGUACAGAAAAAAUAACAAUAAAAUGGUGCAUACUAAAUCAAGUAAAUCAACUAGCCUACUAAAUCCACUAGCAUACUAAAUCAACUAAAUCAAAAUGUUCUAAAUCAACUAGCCUACUAAAUCAACGAAAUCAACUAGCCUACUAAAUCAACUAAAUCAAAAUGUUCUAAAUCAACUAAAUCAACUAGCAUACUAAAUCAACUAAAUCAAAAUGUUCUAAAUCAACUAAAUCAACUAGCCUACUAAAUCAAAAUGUAGCAGGGAGGAGGGGUUGUGGAUGGAGGAGGGAGGAGGGAGAAGGAGGGGCGAAUCGAGGAGGGAGAAGAGAGUAGGACGAAGGAGGAAGACGGAGCGAGGAGGGGCCAGCCGGCGGCGAGUGGAGGGAGGACGGAGGAGGAAGACGGAGCGAGGAGGGGCCGGACAGCAGCGACUAGAGGGAGGACGGAGGAGGAGGCCGGUACUGAGUCCAGCGAGGAGGAGGAGGUGGCGGCGGCGUAGAUCGAAGGAGGGGCGACGGGGGAGGACCGGCGUGGGGGGUUGAGGGGGAGAUCAAGUGAGUGUGAGUGUGAGUGGAUCGGAUAGAUCGGAGGCGGAGAUGGAAUGGCUUAGGAGUAGCGCGCUAUAGCAGAAGGCGCUACUGCUAAACGACCUACCAGUAGCGCCUUUCACAAAGAGCGUGCUACAAGCUAUGUGUCAGCAUGUAAAAAUAGACAUCAAAAAUACAUUGAUGAUCAAUGAUCUUUUUGUGUACAAUCUGAUUUGUCAAUAUGAGUCCUCACCAGUUUAGGAACUGGUGAAGACUCAUAUUACGGCCACAAAUUCUACACACAGAGUUCAAUGAAGACCAAGUGGUUGUGAAAGUUUGAGAAGUAACAUAUUUAAGGUGGUACAAACUCUCUUCACGGAGCGAGGUGGGACAAUUUUUCUAGUAAACUUAGCAGUAGCGGUUAUUGUGUAAAUGCGCUACUGCUAUGGCCCGUAGCAGUAGCGCUCUUCAUAUUAGCGCGCUGCUGCUAGAAGUAGCCUCGCGGCGGCGUCGUGGCAAUUAUAGCAGUAGCGCAUCUUAGAGAGGGCGCGCUACUGGUACAUUUAUUUCAGCAGCGAGUUUUGUGCGUGCGCGCUACUGCCAGUUAGCAGCAGCGCCUUAUUUUAAAACGCGCUGCUAGUAAGAUUCUGUGUAUAGGCUUUUCCUUAAUAGUCCUGAUCCACUAGCUCAGACCGCCGCCACGAAUCUAGAACCCGUCCAAGCACAAGGCAGCCAGAUCCUCACCACCAGCCUCCUCGGCUAGCUUGUGAUGCACCGCGAUCCGUAAUGUGGCGACAAUGGGGAGAGUCAGGAUUGGGAGCGCAGGCGGUGGCGCUAGGGUUGAGCUGCGCGAGUCGUCCCGGAGGCAGCGACGCGGGUGGCGGAAGGAAUUUCUGUAUUCACCUGCAAAGUCCUUUGAAUACAUGUACACUUUUUUUAGGCGCACCAGCAGGAAUUUAACUGCUAACUCACUCCACUCACUAUUUAAAAAAUACACCGUGCCAAGAAUACGUACUAAUAUAUUAUUGAAAAAUUCAUAUAAAAAGUCUGAACAAUUAAACUGCUUACAAUAGUACAAAAUAAGCGUACCGAAAACAAAUAACACGAAUCUGAAAGUAGUCUGAACAAUUAAACUACGUAAAUGAUAAGCACUAGAAAUUAAUCUACCAAGAUAUCCAUAAUGAAACUAGACAUAGUGCGCUAAUUAGUUACCAAUAUAAUGAGACUAGCCGGCUUGGAUGAAUCAGCUCGAGUUCCCCAGCGGCUGCGGUUCUUCAGAGUGGCGGGUGGAUGGACCGGUUAUGCACUUGUGCAGCGCCGCCUCGGUGUCCAGCCCGGAGCACGCAGCAGUCAACGCGUUGACCUUGUCCAGGCAUUCGUCUUUGCUCGCCUGCACGCAGAAGUACUUGAUAGCACUCACGAUGUCGGCCGAUAAUUUUGCCAACGACGUCUCCAUGUUGGCCAAGGAUUUUUCCAACAACGUGUCGACGCUCUGCCUCUCUAGGGCGAUGGCCGACGACGGUAGGUGGGGCGUCAAACUGUGUGUCGAUGUCGAUGUCAUUGUGGCCCGUUCCCCUUCUUGGAGGCAUCGGUAUAGACUUAUCUCCUCACUUCACCUUCUCCUAGGUCUUCCGGGCGAAAGCCCUAACUUUGUUGGGCGGCGGCGGCGCUCACGGCGCCGUUCCCUUCUUGAAGGCGGUUGGGUGGCGCUUGUGGGUGGUGGGCGACGGCGGUGGUGCGGCCCUAUCCUAGCAUGGAUUUACGUCUGUUGCUUGGAGAUUGACUCGCGUAGGUGAGGACCUGCCAAGGCUUGCAUAGGUGGAGGUGGUUGUUUGGCGUCGUGGUGGCGUCGAUGAUGGAGGACCUGCCAAGGUUGUCACCUCAAUCUGCUCUGAAGAUGGACUUGUGGAAGACGGCGGCGACGACACUUGUGAGUGCGUCGGACCGGUUUGAGCCCCAGACCUGGCAGAUGGCUCGGUCGGGGCUCCGACUUUAGAUGUUAGGCUUAGGUGAGAGGUCUGUGUAUGUGGCCCAGCUUGCACCCCUUCAUCAUUUGGAUAGGAGUAGCGGCAGAUGUUGCCAAGAUGGCCGAUUCAGGCAUAUUGUUGUUCUACUUUGUAAGGUCCUCGAGAAUAAUUAAUAUAAUGGCCGCAUGCAUCUUCCAGAUGCAGAGACCGGGGGUCAUCCUCCUUUUUGAGAAAAAGAAACCUAAAGGUUCUGAAAUCCGCCCUUCGACGUACGCCCUUCUGGUCGAUCCAUCAGCCGAGGCCGCCGCCACGGAUCCAGGGGCGUCCAAAAACAAGGCAGCCAGAUCCUCACAUCCAACUUCCUUGGCUACCGUGCGGUGCACUGGCAGUCCCUUGGGUAGCAAUAGGGAGGAGAGUCGGGAUUGGGGGCACAGGGGGCAGCGCUAGGGUUUUCACCAAACACCUACAAAAUCUUUUGAAUUCAUGUAGACUUUUUUAAGGGGAAGCAACAGGAAUUUAACAGCUAACUCUACUCCACUCACUAUUUAAACAUACACUGCAGGAAGAAAUUCCAACUAUAUUUUUGAAAACUUCAUAAGAAAAAUCUGAACUAUUAUUGUAUGGCUUAGUUGCUGCAACUGCUUACAAGUGCAAGACGACUGUUCGAAACAAAUAACACCAAUAUGAAAGUAGUUGCUACAUAGUACUCCCUCCGUUCCAAAAAAGAUGACCCAAUUUUAUACUAACUUUGUUCCAAAGUUAGUAUAAAGUUGAGUCAUUUAUUUUGAAACAGAGGGAGUACAUCAUAAAAACUAUCCAUAGUGAAACUACUCCAGCGAGGAGACCCGCUGCAAAGGAGCCACCAUCACCACACCACCUCGCCGCUCCUGGCCGAGGAGGACUGCCAGCACCAAACAAGCGCCGACCACUGUAGAGCCGACGUCGAUCCACCAGCCAAGUCUACCACCACGGAUCAAGGGCCCCCGUCCAAGCACGAGGCAACCAGGUCCUCACCGCCAACUUCAUCGGCUACCAUGUAGUGCCCCGCCGACCUCUUGGAUGGUGACGUGGAGGGCGGUCUGGAUUGGAGGCGCGGGCGUCUACGCUAGGUUGAACUCUCCGAGUUGCCCCGGAGGGAGCGACGUGGGCAGAGGGUUUUUUCACCAAUCAAGUACAGAGUCUUCUGAAUACUUGUAGACGUUUAUUUAUGCGAAAGAACAGGAAUUUAACUGUUAACUCUACUCCACUCAUCACUAUUUAAAAUAUACACCGUUGGAAGAAAUUCCUAUUAUAUUUUUGAAAAUUUGAUAUAAAGAGUCUGAACAUUUAUUGUACUGCAAAACUGCUUACAAGUGUACCGAUACAAAUAACACGAAUCUCAAAGUUGUUACUACCUAGUACAUCAUAAAAACUCGAAACAAAUAAUUAAUCUACCUAGGAUAGUAUCCAUAUUGAAACUAGACAAAGCGCCCUAAUUAAGUAAGCUAUAUAACGAGGCCAUGCGACAUGGAUGAAUCAAUCAACUGGAGUUCCCGUGCGUCUGCGGUUCCUCCUGGUAGGAGGUGGAUGGAUCUGAUAUGCACUUGAGCAGCGCCGCCUGCGCGCUGGUGCAUGCCGCGGCGUCGGGCUCCGUCCCCAACCCGAAGCACGCAGCAGCCCAGGCGUCGAGCUUGUCCGGCACGCGGAAGUACGUGUUUGCUCUCUUGAGAUCGGCCGUUAGUUUUUCCAUCGACGUCACUAUGUCGGCAAAGGAUUUCUCGAACGACGUCUCAAUGCUGUGGCUAUCCUCCAUGGCGAUGGCCGACGGUGUUGCUGCGCUCGCCAACACGAUAAGAUGGCCAACGUUCUGUGGAUGUCGAUGUGGCCGGGAGGACUCGAUCGAUUGGUUUUCUUUUCCUAUGGACGGACGUGCUAGCUCUUGUAUUUGUAUAUAGGCGCACGUACGUACGCGCUGAUAGGAGUACGUAGUUGAAUUCGGCUCCAACUAGGAUUGGAUUUGUGUUGGUUUUGGAAUCUAUUUGUCGCAAGUGGCAACCGACCAUAGUACGGCUAAACUUAGGCGGACAAGCAAAGAAAUCAAAGACGAGUCCGGCGUACAGGACAGGUACAACUACUAGCGCAUGCAUGGCGUGAGGCUCCAUCGUCGGGUCCCGAUUCUGGACAUGCAACGUCAUGAGCCCGGAGGACGAUGGACGGCGACAGACGGCAGCGGCAAGCGGCGACGGCGACGGAUGGCAGCGGCAGCGGCGGCGCCUGCCGGCGACCUUGUGGUCCCCCAUGACGGCAUGGUGUUGGCCGUCUGGCCGUCUCCCUCUAGGUCGUGGAGCACAACGUUCUCAUCGUAUCGAUCAAGGUCAACACCUCUGAAAUGUCUAGCCUGAUCGGUACUUGUAGCGCAGUUUGGAUUCCUAUGGAGAGUUGUGAACCGAUCAAUGACUGUGAAUUGCAUGGAUUUGGCGAACGGGUUCAUGUUCUCGGAAGGCUUCAUCGACACCACGGCGUUUCUGAUUCCUCGAAUCCAAACUUGUUUUUCUAAAAUCCGAUGAGAGUGAUUUUUCUACACCCCGGCUCGGUACACCCAAGCAAUAAAACAUAGCAAGACAUUUUAGAAAAAAUAUAAAACUUUGGGAAUGAUUAUGAACAAAAGUUGUAGGUGCUUGCAAAGUUUUGUGGUCAAAUGAUAUUUGAGAAGCUCAGUACAAAAAAGGAAAGUUACUCAAAAUGUAUGUUAGUAAUACCAGUUUUCCUAAAAUUCCUACUAAAACUUGUUUUCAAAAAACCAAUCACACAUCAUUCUUAUCAAAAUGACUACUAAAUGUCCUCAGCACCAGCUCCUAUGACCUCAGUAUAUGAAUACUAAAAUCCGGGAAAUAGAAAAUAAAUUCAAAACAAUCUGAACUUUUUGGCAAACAUUGAUAAAAGUUUCGAAUGCUUGUAAAGUUUCAUAAUGAAAUAACAUUCAUGUUAUUCGUGAGAAAAAUAAAAUAAAAUUAGCACUCCAAACUAUUUUUGAGAAUAACUUUUGUGAAGCAUUGAAUUUGUUUUCUUUGCCACGUUGCCCAUGAAUUUCAUUCUGUGAUGAAACUUUGCAAGAAAUCAGAACAUUUGCCCUAUAUAAAAGCAUCUUCAACAGUCUCCAUUGUUCCUAAAACUACCAGUUUUAGGAAAAGUUGGCAAAUAUAUGACACGCACCAACAACUUCUUUAUACCGAAAUUUUUUUAGGUGAUCACCUAAAAACACCCUGUUUGCCCCUAUAAAAAAAAUAUUGUUGGCCGGAGCCACCGCGUGACACUUCACAGCUUCGCACGCCAUUGCCACAUCUGACGAUCCCCGCGGCUGCAUUGGGCCUCGCCCGCUGUGUUGCUGGUCGCCAAAGCUUCACCGGCAUUUUUCGUGGAUGCGCGCGCAUGAGAGAGAGAGAGAGAGAGAGAGAGAGAGAGAGAGAGAGAGAGAGAGAGAGAGAGAGAGAGAGAGAGAGAUAUUAGCCACUGGCAGGUGGUCUACAUAUGCCAGACUAAUUAUAAGGGUACUCGUAUAGGGGAGCUGCUUCUAAUUAUAAGGGCAAUGCACCUGUGAAAUCUAAUAAAUGUAUUCACUAGCGCAGAAAAUGGUUAUAUACAAUCGUAAUUAGUGGUGCCAUUUUCAGUUCAUGCCUUCUAAAUGCUGCUUCUCUCUCACCUAUUGCUACCACUUUCUUCCUUCAAAUCCUCUCUCUAGAUUAGUCUCCCCACAUGCCCACGACCUACAAUAGUACUCCAGUACUCCUGGCCUCUCUCACCUUGAUGAAUCAACGACUAGCUCGGUCAUCUUAGUCUCUCUAGGUGGGAGAACUAACUUCGUUAAUAAAUGUUUCAUCAAAUUUUUGUUUCGUAAAAUUUCUAGCACUCAAUAUGUUCCAUUUUAGUGAUGGGCAAGCCAAAAUUUGCUAUGACCCCAUUGGUUAUAUUUUGUCUUAUACCCCUUGUUGGCAGAUCGAUCUAUCGAAUGAUUGCACGGAUCAAACAAUAAAUGAAUUCUACAAGACGGUGAUGGAAGAUAUGAAUCAAAAGGGUAAAAUACAGAGGCGCGCCCCCUCCCUCCCCGAGGCGCUCCCGCGAGCGCCCCCGGGAGGAAACCCUAGCGUCGCCCUCGUCGUCCCCUUCGCCUCAACCCCCUCCCUCGCUGCCACCUGGGGCAUCGCCGGCCAAAGGCCGUGUGGUGUUGGCGGCGGCGGGGCGGCUCUCUCCCGCACGCAGUUGGGUACUCCGCGGGGCGUUUCCCUCUGCCUGGUGGCGCCGGGCCUCGGGCCGGCCCUGCCUCGGCUCCUUCUCCCCCUCCCGGCGUCCUCCGGUGGCGCCGCCUCCACCCAUCCGUGGUGGUGGGUGGCGGGCCCUGCGAAUCUGUGAUCCCUUCGCAGAUCCGGUGGAUGGUGGGGGUUGGUGUUGGCAGCGGUGGCCCUGGUGAGGUGGUGGUGACGCGGCUAUUGUCUCCGUUGCUCCGGGCAGGGUGGCGGGGCACCGGGCGGAACUGGCCAGGGCGUGGACAUGCUGGUGUUGUGGUGGUGGCAGAUCGGUUGCGGCCUAGGGCUCUUCACGUGCCUGGCCGUGGCUGCCUGUCAGGCGUGGUGGCAGCGAGUCUCGCGGCCUCUAGGCAUCGUGGAGGUGCCGGCGGCGGCGGGUACUUAGCCUGCGGCGGUGGCCAUGCACGGGAAUUGGAUUCCUUCGAACAGAUCUGGGUGAAAACUUGCCUUUGGCUACUGCCAAGGCCGGCGGUGGCGGUGCUAUCUGCAUUGUUCCCUUCUUGAAGGCAUCGCCGUGGAGAAGUUCAAGGCCACUCUCCGCUACCUCCGGAGGAAACCUAGAUUGGAUGAUCGGAUGAUGGCAGCGCUCUGGUGUCAUUCUCCCCUUUGGGGCGUCAUUCUUGGAGGUGCACACGUGAUCGAGGGACCAGAGGACGGAUUCUUUGGUGGAGUGGUGCUUAAUCUCACUCAUUGAUGGCGGCGGAUCUCGGCGGCAUGGCGCUCUGGUGACUCAGCGUCUGUUGCGCGGAGAUGGACUCGCGCGGGAGGGUGACGCGGUCUGGCGUCGUGGUGGCGUCGACGGCAGCUAGACCGGGCAAGGUAGAUGCAACAAUACAGUUCUGGAGAUGGAUUGGUGGCAGGUGGCUGCGGCGGCCUCAUACCAGGCAGGCGUCCUGGUUGGGGAGUGCGUCGGACUGGUGGGUGCCCCAUACCCGGUAGGCAUCCUGGAUGGGACCUCAGAUCUUAGAUGGUAAGUUUGGCUGCGAGGUCUGUUUUGUAUUAGGCCCAGACUAUCAACAUCCCUUCAUCAAUUGGAUAGGAGUAGCGACAGAUGUUGCCUAAACGGUGGCUUUAGUCUUAUUGUUGUAUUUCUUUGAAGGUCUUGUGUGAACAAUUAAUAAAGUGGCUGCAUGCAUCGUCCAGAUGCAGAGGCCGGGGGUCUUCCUCCUUUUCUAAAAAAAAGAGGGUAAAAUAGAGUUAUUAUGUCCAGGUAAGAAUUGCAAAACAUAGUUUUGAUCCACCUUUUACUACCAAUGUGAAGAUAUACUUGUUCAAACAUGAUUUCAUGCCUGCUUAUAUAUGGUGGACAAGAUACUGUGAGGACGAGGAGGAUAUUGUUUCCGACAUCGAGGGGCAACAGAUGAAGAAGCGGAAAACCCUUUUGAUGAAGAGCCGGAAGGAGGGAAUGACAAAGAGGCGCUUGAAUAUGAAGAAGAUCAUCAGGAUGGACAUGAAAGCUAGUUGGCCCAAUGCUUGUACAUAACGGACUCCACAAAGCUGAGUCGUGUUGUCAUUGAGGAGACGCGAAAUGAGUAUCGUCAGAAUGGAUGGAGUCCCCAACGAGGAAUACUACGACGGAGAAGGGUACACCACAAGAACGUGCAGAACUACGUUGCCUAAGACCGAAACUAUCUUUGAGAGGAGUGUGAAACGACGACGUACUUGAUUUGCGUAUCUCAUUAGUUAAGUUUGUAUGGACUGCACAUAACCGUAACAUAUAUUGAUGUACCGUAUAUUUGCAUCGAUCUUUCUUUGGAAUAUUUGGAAUCCGUCCAAUUAGGCACAUUACUUUUGAUUAAUUUGUGUGUCUUCUUAAUUAUAUGUAAACUUAAUUGUCAUUUGACUUGGCUCAAAUGCCAUCUACCCCCAAUCCAUUUUACACCCCCCCCCCCAAAGGCAUGUAAUCGGUUUGUUUAAGUGUGGAUCUUUCCUUUCAUUCUUCUUUUUACAUUCUAAUGAGAUCUCUCCUAAUCCACUUAAUCCGGUGGAUCUCAACUUCCUUUUCAAUAUGAAACUUAGAGGUGCUGAAGAAUCAAGUAAUCCCAAAACCCAAGAUUUUUUUCUUACUUGUCUAAAUUUAUGAGGCCUUGUUUUUUGCAAUGUACUUGCAUAAUAAAGAAAUGUUAACCAGCUCCGGAAUACAUUGCUUAAUAGUUAAUAUCAUCACAAGGAUGUGAAAGAAAUAUGCCCUAGAGGCAAUAAUAAAGUUGUUAUUUAUAUUUUCUUAUAUCAUGAUAAAUGUUUAUUAUUCAUACUAGAAUUGUAUUAACCGGAAACUUAGUACAUGUGUGAAUACAUAGACAAACAGAGUGUCACUAGUAUGCCUUUACUUGACUAGCCCAUUAAUCAAAGAUGGUUAAGUUUCCUAGCCAUAGACAUGAGUUGUCAUUUGGUGAACGAGAUCACAUCAUUAGAGAAUGAUGUAAUUGACAAGACCCAUCUGUUAGCUUAGCACUAUGAUCGUUUAGUUUGUUGCUAUUGCUUUCUUCAUGACUUAUACAUGUUCCUCUGACUAUGAGAUUAUGCAACUCCCAAAUAGCAGAGGAACACUUAGUGUGCUAUGGUGAUUAUAAAGAUGCUCUACAGGUGUCUUUGAUGGUGUUUGUUGGGUUGGCAUAGAUCGAGAUUAGGAUUUGUGGCUCCGAUUGUCGGAGAGGUAUCUCUGGGCCCUCUCGGUAAUGCACAUCACCAUAAACCUUGCGAGCAAUGUGACUGAUGAGUUAGUUGCGGGAUGAUGCAUUACGGAACGAGUAAAGAGACUUGCCGGUAACGAGAUUGAACUAGGUAUGGUGAUACCGACGAUCGAAUCUCGGGCAAGUAACAUACCGAUGACAAAGGGAACAACGUAUGUUGUUGUGCAGUUUGACCGAUAAAGAUCUUCGUAGAAUAUGUAGGAACCAAUAUGAGCAUCCAGGUUCCGCUAUUGGUUAUUGACCGGAGAAGUGUCUCGGUCAUGUCUACAUAGUUCUCGAACCCGCAGGGUCCGCACGCUUAACGUUCGAUGACGAUUUGUAUUAUGAGUUAUGUGAUUUGAUGUACCGAAGGUUGUUCGGAGUCCCGGAUGAGAUCACGGAGAUGACGAGGAGUCUCGAAAUGGUCGAGACGUAAAGAUUGAUAUAUUGGAAGGCUAUAUUCGGACAUCGGAAAGGUUCUGAGUGGUUCGGGUAUUUCUGGAGUACCAGAGAGUUACGGAGUUCGCCGGGGGAAGUAUUGGGCCUUCAUGGGCCUAGUAGUGGAAGACAGGAGGCAGGCCAAGGUGGGGCGCGCGCCCCCUAGCCCAAACCGAAUUGGACUAGGGGGGCCAGUCCCCCUUUCCUUCUCUUCUUCCUCUCCUUCCUUUCUCUCCUACUUGGACUAGGAAAGGGGGAAACCUACUCCUACUAGGAGUAGGAAUCCCCCUUGGGGCGCGCCAUAGAGUGGGUCGGCCCUCACCUCCUCCACUCCUUUAUAUACGGGGGAAGGGGGUACCCCAUAGACACACAAGUUGAUUGUUUAGCCGUGUGCGGUGCCCCCCUGCAUAGAUUUCCAUCUCGGUCAUAUCGUUGUAGUACUUAGGCGAAGCCCUGCAUCGGUAACUUCAUCAUCACCGUCAUCACGCCGUCGUGCUGACAAAACUCUCAUUCGGCCUCAGCUGGAUCUAGAGUUCGAGGGACGUCACCGAGCUGAACGUGUGCAGAUCGCGGAGGUGUCGUGCGUUCGGUACUUGAUCGAUUGGAUCGCGAAGACGUUCGACUACAUCAACCGCGUUACUUAACGCUUCCGCUUUCGGUCUACGAGGGUACGUGGACACACUCUCCCGCUCGUUGCUAUGCAUCACAUAGAUAGAUCUUGCGUGAUCGUAGGUAAAAAAUUAAGUACCGCGUUCCCCAACAGUGGUAUCAGAGCCAGGUCUAUGCGUAGAUGUUAUAUUGACGAGUAGAACACAGAGUUGUGGGCGAUAAUAGUCAUACUGUUUACCAGCAUGUCAUACUUUGAUUCGGCAGUAUUGUUGGAUGAAGCGGCCCAGACUGACAUUACAUGACCGCGUUCGUGAGACUGGUUCUACCACCGUGCUCACACACAGGUGGCUAGUGGGUGUCUAUUUCUCCAACUUUAGUUGAAUCGAGUGUGACUACGCCCGGUCUUUGUUGAAGGUUAAAACAACACACUUGACGAAAAACCGUUGUGGUUUUGAUGCAUAGGUAAUAACGGUUUUUGCUAGAAGCCCGUAGCAGCCACGUAAAACUUGCAACAACAAAGUAGGGAACGCCUAACUUGUUUUUGCAGGGCUUGCUGUGAUGUGAUAUGGUCAAGACGUGAUGAUAUAUAAAUUGUUGUAUGAGAUGAUCAUGUUUUGUAAAAGUUAUCGGCAAUUGGCAGGAGCCUUAUGGUUGUCGCUUUAUUGUAUGAAAUGCAAUCGUCAUGUAAUUGCUUUACUUUAUUACUAAGCGGUAGCAAUAGUCGUAGAAGCAAUAGUUGGCGAGAUGACAACGAUGCUUCGAUGGAGAUCAAGGUGUCAAGCUGGUGACGAUGGUGAUCAUGACGGUGCUUUGGAGAUGGAGAUCAAAGGCACAAGAUGAUGAUGGCCAUAUCAUAUGACUUAUUUGAUUGCAUGUGAUGUUUAUCUUUUAUGCAUCUUAUUUGCUUAGUACGGAGGUAGCAUUAUAAGAUGACCUCUCACUAAAAUUUCAAGGUAUAAGUGUUCUUCCUGAGUAUGCACCGUUGCGACAGUUCUUCGUGCUGAGACACCACGCGAUGAUCGGGUGUGAUAAGCUCUACAUUCACAUACGACGGGUGCAAGCCAGUUUUGCACACGCAAAAUACUCGGGUUAAACUUGACGAGCCUAGCAUAUGCAGAUAUGGCCUCGGAACACUGAGACCGAAAGGUCGAGCGUGAAUCAUAUAGUAGAUAUGAUCAACAUAGUGAUGUUCACCAUUGAAAACUACUCCAUCUCACGUGAUGAUCCGACAUGGUUUAGUUGAUAUGGAUCACGUGAUCACUUAGAUGAUUAGAGGGAUGUCUAUCCAACUGGGAGUUAUUAAGUAAUAUUAUUAAUUGAACUUUAAUUUAUCAUGAACUUAGUCCUGGUAGUAUUUGCAUAACUAUGUUGUAGAUCAAUAGCUCGCGAUGUAGCUCCCUUUUUUUUUGAUAUGUUCCUAGAGAAAAACUAUGUUGAAAGAUGAUAGUAGCAAUGAUGCGGACUAGGUCUGUGAUCUGAGGAUUAUCCUCAUUGCUGCACAGAAGAAUUAUGUCCUUGAUGCAUCACUAGGUGACGGACCUAUUGCAGGAGAAGAUGCAGACGUUAUGAAUGUUUGGCAAGCUCGGUACGAUAACUACUUGAUAGUUUAGUGCGACAUACUUUAUGGCUUAGAACUGAGACUUCAAAAACCUUUUGAACGCCACGGAGCAUAUAAGAUGUUCCAAGGACUGAAAUUGGUAUUUCAGAAUCAUGCCCGAGUCAAGAGGUAUGAGACCUCUGAGAAGUACUUUGCCUACAAGAUGGAGGAGAAUAGCUCAACCAGUGAGCAUGUGCUCAGAUUGUCUGAGUACUACAAUCGCUUGAAUCAAGUGGGAGUUAAUCUUCCAGAUAAAAUAGUGAUUGACAGAGUUCUCUAGUCACUAUCACCAAGUUACUGGAACUUCGUGAUGAACUAUAAUAUGCAAGGGAUCACGAAAACGAUUCUCGAGCUCUUCGUGAUGCUGAAAUCAGCAAAGGUAGAAAUCAAGAAAAGCAUCAAGUGUUGAUGGUUGACAAGACCACUAGUUUCAAGUAAAAGGGUAAGGGAAAGAAAGGGAACUUCAAGAAGAAAGACAAGCAAGUUGCAACUCCCAUGAAAAAGCCCAAAGCUAGACACAAGCCUGAAACUGACUGCUUCUACUGCAAAGGAAAUGGUCACUAGAAGUGGAACUGCCCCAAAUACUUGGUGGUUAAGAAGGAUAGUGUCGGGGAUAUACCCCGCGGUAUGACCCGGCCGGAAUUGGCGACUCACUUGUGACCCGCCCGGAGCUUGGCGAUUCACAGAUAACCUGCCCGAUCUUGGCGACUCAUUAGUAACCCGGUGGGCGGGUCAGAUGGACAACAAGGCCCAAAGCCCAGAAGGCCGGCUCACGUUAUGAUGGGCCGGAUUAAGAGGAAAGGGAUGACGAAUAUUUCCUUUACAAGGAAGCAAGACCCGGACUUGUAAUCAACUUGUAAGAGAAGAUGGACUAGUCCUAGUCCUACUAGGACUCCACAUGUAACCCGCCUCUCUAACUUAUAUAAGGAGGGGCAGGGCUCCCCAAAGAGGGACAAGCUACAGACAAGAAACAAUCUCUAGGGCUAGACACCGAGAGCCGGUUCCCGGCGACUCUCCCUCGUGAUGAUAAUGAGACCUAGCCACAAACAGCAUGUAGGGCUAUUACCGGAUGAUAUUUCCCGGGGCCCGAAGCUGUCUAAAUCCUUGUCUUGUGUUGCAUCUCUCGAUUCCGCCUAACCCCUCUCAAGCUACCACAUAGAUCCGCUGGCCUCGCGACUAAGUCCUGACACUAAGGACAUCUGUCGUGCCUAUUCCACGACAGUUGGCGCCCACCGUGGGGCCCGCGCACGGUGGUGUUGAGUUCUUGGAGGGAUCUCUUUAGGGAUGGAGAAGUUCGUGAUGUGCUGGAGGAAAAAGAGCCGGCGCAAAAGAAUAUACAUCGUCUCCGUGGCAAGCUGUCGGAGUGACAUACGAGAUUGAGAUUAAAAGAAUUAGGGUUUUGCGUUUUACAUGCCGCCGACGCGAGAUGAUAUGUCCAACCCGACGGAAGAUUUGUUUCGCCGAGUCCUGCAAUCUGUCACGUCAAAGUUUCCAUCGAAACAGACAAAGGAUUUCCGCUAUCCGAUCGGCUGAGUUCGGUAAGUUGCUGCGGCUGGAUUACAGGCUCAAGUCCCAAGGCUGCUUACUGCUGCUAGUUCACGUGGAUACAAAUACAAAGAUAAAUCAAGUGGAGAUCAAAAACUAGUACUGGUCCGCGUAUAUCCUUCCAAAUCUACAGAGCCAUUGAAACCGUUUUUUCUACAGUCAGAAAAUCGCCAAGGCCACACACUGGGGUCGGACAAGUCAAUGCCAUGGACUAAUAUUUCUGGUUUGGCAAGGAUACGAGGUCAAACCAAUCACGACCCGGAGGAGGAAUCAAUGUUGCCUGCCCGAUCACACUUUGCUUUCCUGCGGCCGUUCUGCGUCUGCCGCAGUUCUUCUCGGCCUCCGUGCUGUGAGCCGCCGUGGCCUCAAGCCGUCCGGCUACCUGAGAUGUUCGAGAAGCCGAAUCGUCAGCUCUACUCUGCAAACCACGGUUUGCCCCUUUCGUGAGUCGCCGCCGCUGACUCGUGCCCGGACUCUGGCUCCGAGUGGCCUUCGCUCCGACUCGGCCUCGCUAUGGCCUAUCCUCGCCUCAUUGAACCGCCAACCGGAGAGCCGCCCGUUCGCCUCCGAAUAGACUCGCCGGCUCGCCUUUUGUUGCGGUCUCGGGUGAUCCCGCCAGCGUCCGCGGGAUGCCUUGCCGCCUGCCUCUGCUCUUCGGCCUCACGCUGAGCCGGCCGCCGUCGAGCCGCACCUGCAUGCUGCCCUCGCCGUGGCCAUGGCUCGCCUCCACGCCCGCCGCUGUACAACACCGCCUCGGCGCUUGGACGCGCGCCCAUGCCGCCUCCGCGGUCGCGCCCGCCUGCCGGCUCACUACUGCAAGUCGCCGCUCUUCUGCACCGUUACCGUGCCCUGCCGGUUUGCUGCUCGCCUCCGGCCCUCUGCUACGACUCCGAGCUGUUGUGAGCCGCCACUUGCUGCUCCGGUUCUGCUGCAAAUCAGCGCGGCCUCGAGCCCAGCCUCGUGUCGCCUCCGUCGGUGAGCCGGCCUGCCGGGCUGCAUCUCUGACUCGUCACACGGAACCAUUUCGCCGACGCGAGUGCGUGCGCCGGACACUUCCUCUGCUGCUGCCUCGUUUCACCUUCGUUCCGAGCCACUAUUUCUGGUGAGCCACCGUUUAUUCUACAGACAGCCACAAACAAAAGCUCCACGGACGUUCAAUCGCUUGAGGAAUUGCAAAGGAGAAUAAAAAUGUCUGAUGCGGCCGGUCACAUGGCUAAUCAAGAUUGACUUGGUCAAUGGCGGGACAAUUACUGACAGAUGUGAAGCAAAUUGGAUUAAAAUUGUUGGUCAAAUCAACCAAAGAAGUACGCAUGUGAAAACAAGGUCUGAUGGAUUCCUAUGAUCCUCCAAGUGAACACCCCUGAACUAUUACAACUGCUGCGUACACAUGGACUCCAAAGAAGGAUUUAAAUAUUAAAAGUAUAUUGCUGUGGCCUAGCACGGGUUAUUUGUCAAGCGUAUGAGUGAUCUGUCAAAGCUUCUAAGCCCAACAUGACCCGGAGGGUCCGUUCAGAUCAUCCAGCUCCGGUUCUGCUGCGGUCGAGCUUCAAGCCGCCUCCGAGUCGCCAAACUCUCCCGCGUUAAGUCAGCCUCGAGCCGUUGACCAACACCACGGCCACACUCCGUUUUUCUGCUAGAGUUUUGAGACGCUGCACCGCCAAGCCCUCCAGGCCCGUCCGUGCCUACAAAUCGCCCCUGUCCUUGACUGAUCUGGACAAUUAUUUACGACAAAGGUGAUGUUAUACUGCGGGUAUGGAGCACGCACUGGCAAUGUUCUGCACCAGCGUUUUAUCCGUGCCACACUACCUGAUGAACGGACGUGCGCAAGUCGCCGCCCCUGUGGCCCGGUCUAUAUUAACUCGCCGGGACCGCGCCCGCGGCUGACUCUCUCGUCCACACCAGCUUACAACGCCGCUGCCGACUCUCCCCAUCCGCACCGGCUUACAACGCCGCGGCCGACUCGGCCGUGAUUAAUUUCAGCGUCACCGUGGUGAUCAUCAACUCCGCGGUGAAUAAUUUCUGGCUUAACAUAUCAGGUGAAAUCCAUCCAGUAUAUUUUUAUAUUAUAUAUUGUUUUCUUUAAAAGGAAAAAUUACGCUGGCUUGCAAGUUCGCCAAUGCAGGACAAGUUAUAUCAUUGAGCUGUUGAAGGACUCAUACCGGUUUGUAUCACGGUCAAAUAUGGAGAAUCUCAAGACAACUCCCCGAGUCGCCUUAAGACUCGGGGGCUACAAAGGCAUGACUCGGCAAAAUUGGCCAGUAUCAAUUAUCCAGAACUCCGGGUUAUUGGAGGGAAAAAAUAACGCGGCCCCGGAGACUACUGCUAUAUUGAUAAGAAUUUAAAGGCCGUCAGAAAAUUUCUAGUUCAAAAUGAAGAAUGCCGGUUUAAAAUCCGGCUCAAGGUAAACCUGUCUCCCACAAAGCUUUGAAGGUCUCAAUAUCCGGUUUGAAAUUUCGGUUUAAAAAAGAAUUCAUCUCUCGCAAGUUCGAGUUUUCAGAAAAAAUUACAGGGACCAAAGAGAGUUUGUUGCACAGCACAACUGAACAUAGGCACCCGAUGAACACAGCUCAGAAAUAUAUCACUUGGGGGCUUCCGGCUUAUUGAGCUAAGCUAUGAUUACCCUUUGAUCCAGCUCAUAGCCACAGUUACAGGUCAUUUGGGGGCUUCCUGUUCAAACAUAGGUCGUAUUCGAACCAAAGAGAACAUAGCUGUCGGUACCCUCUUGAUCAGCACACUGCCGAGCUCACUAGGGGGCUUCUUGAUCGUAUUCGAAUCAUAGCUCAACCCCUUUUGGGAACCGACGUGGAUCGUAUUCGAAUCAGCGUCGUUAAACAACUCUCAAGGUCAUUUGGGGGCUUCGUGUUCAAACAUAGGUCGUAUUCGAACCAAAGAGAACAUAGCUGUCAGUACCCUCUUGAUCGGCAACGCCAAAGCCACUGGGGGCUAUAUGAUCGUAUUCGAAUCUUAGCUUAACCCCUUUGGGACGGUUUUCUGAUCGUAUUCGAAUCAGAAGCCUCAAAUUUUUUGAAGUCCCUUUUUGCAAACAAUUUUUGGAUUUUAUUUGAAACUCUUUUGAUCAUAUCUAAAGUGUAUAUGAGUGGUUGCUAUUUAACCCGGUUUGACUUUGGAUGAUAAGUCGCCAUCAUAUGACAAUCAUAAACAUUUGGAAGUAUUGAUUUCUAAAGAUUGGGUUAUCACCCUUACUUCACAGGUCAUAUAAACCGGCAGUGAAAAUUCAAUAUCACAGGUAUAAUAUUAUUAUUAUAGUUAUGUUUCAAAGUUAUGAUUCAUAACAGGCUUAUCUGUGACUCCUUGUUACACAUCAAUGGUUAUAUGUGAGAUAUUAUGACCCGCCCUGCGGUAAACCGCCAAGGGAUCUUGUGAUCUAAUUAUGUGCAGGAUAAGACUACAUUUGGGUGGUUACCCGCCCUGGUUUUUGACGUUAAGUCGCCAGGGUAUAUGUUGUUUAAACACUGCAGGAUUUACAGAGCUAUGACUUACAUAAAUGAUUAAAUUCAAGCCAUCAUCAUAGAUUGAAAUUGGUGUCUCAAAAGGGUUAUCAAUUCUUGAUUUUCUCAAAGGCUAUAAGCCGCCGGGUUGUACAAAUUCCGGCUUACAAUGGAGGCGUAUUAAAUCGCCAUCGCCCAAGAGCCGUCGGGUAUUUAAACUCCGGAUUGACUUAUCAGCAGAUGAGGUAUUCAAAGUCGCUUUGGCGCAAUGGCUAUUAUUUUAUCAAUGGAUAUGAUUUAUUCUACAAUGGAAAGAAUAGUCCCGAGUCGCUGCAGGCUUACGACUCGGCACUUGGGGGCUACAUUAUUUAAAUUGAGAUCACAUCUAAUAUGCAAGUCCCAUGUCACUGCCAGCAUGCACCAUGGCACUUGGGGGCUUAUGUAAAGACAUUUUUUGCUCAACUUAUUGAAGACCCGACUCAUCACAUUGUAAUGAGCCGGCCCUUGGGGGCUACCGAUUGCUCCUGUCGAAAAUUCAAGGUACACAAGCCUUAAUCCAUUACAUUGAAAGAUCCACUACUCAGUUGGUAGAGUACAAAGCUCUUAACCUUAUGGACGUGGGUUCAAGCCCCAUGGUGGAGAUUACAUCAUAUGAUGUUAUUAUCAAUGAAUUAUAUACAAAGUCCCAGCUCAGUAAUAUCUUACUAAGCCGGCCCUUGGGGGCUACACGUUGCUGCUCCAGUUUACAUGAUCAUAUUUACAAAGUCCCUGCUCAUUAUUGCAUAAUGACCCGGCCCUUGGGGGCUGCACUGGUUGAAGUUUUAUGAGUAUAAGGCAAUUACAAGUCCCAGGUUGCUACAAGCAUGACAACCCGGCACUUGGGGGCUACAGGUGAUAUACAUAUAAGGGGAAAAAAUCUUCAAAUUCUCAGUUUUGAGCAGAUCAGGUUGACCCGGUGUUUGCAACAAUCAUGAUCCGGUCUCACCAAUAAUUAUGACCCGGCGUCGGCAACAGUUAUGACCCGGUGCUAUCAAUAUUUACAAACCGGCAACUUUGGUUAUGAUAAACCGGCAAGUUUUACCUCUUCAAGCCGGCUCAAAGUCAGAUGAGUAUUUCAAGACCAAUAUGUUUUAAGCCGGCGCUUUGGAAGCCGAUUCAAGUGGAUUAUUUCUUACAAUAUUUCUCUACAAAAGACCAAUGCUUGCAAAUUGACUCUGAAGCUGGCCUAUUGACCCGGAUUUCUCAAAAGAAGUAUCUGGAUCAUUUUUGCAUUCACAAAGUUUGAACAUAUCUACUAAAGGAGAUUUGCUAUGAGUUCAUGGGCAUGUAUCAACAAGGAAAUGACAAGGAUUUAAAGAUGAUCAGGUGCAGGGUUACAAAAAUUUAACCCGGAGUACAACCUAUCAAGUUUGUUCUUGUGUUUAUUUUGCAGGAUGAGUUUAACAUGGAUAAAUCCAAAUUAAACUAGGGGCUAAUGUCGGGGAUAUACCCCGCGGUAUGACCCGGCCGGAAUUGGCGACUCACUGGUGACCCAUUCGGAGCUUGGCGAUUCACAGAUAACCUGCCCGAUCUUGGCGACUCAUUAGUAACCCGGCGGGUGGGUCAGAUGGACAACAAGGCCCAAAGCCCAGAAGGCCGGCUCACGUUAUGAUGGGCCGGAUUAAGAGGAAAGGGAUGACGAAUAUUUCCUUUACGAGGAAGCAAGACCCGGACUUGUAAUCAACUUGUAAGAGAAGAUAGACUAGUCCUAGUCCUACUAGGACUCCGCAUGUAACCCGCCUCUCUAACUUAUAUAAGGAGGGGCAGGGCUCCCCAAAGAGGGACAAGCUACAGACAAGAAAUAAUCUCUAGGGCUAGACACCGAGAGCCGGUUCCCGUCGACUCUCCCUCGUGAUGAUAAUGAGACCUAGCCACAAACAGCAUGUAGGGCUAUUACCGGAUGAUGUUUCUGUAGGAGAUAUGCCCUAGAGGCAAUAAUAAAUGAUAUUAUUUAUUUCCGAGUUCAUAAUUAUGUUUAUGUUCCAUGCUAUAACUGCAAUGAUUCUCGAGUCUACAAUAUCCACGAGGCUCGGAGGAAGACUCAAAUGCACGUGUGGAAUAAUAAACGGUAAGAAGUAUUCCUAGUCUGGCCUCUAAGACUAGCUCAAGUGUUGCAUGAUGAUUAUGUUUUCCUGGUCAUGGGCAUGUCUAUGCCAGCAACUUUGAGGGCACAAUGUUAAGAGAACAUUUAUGUUGAAUCGACCCGGAUUGAUGUUAUGCUAUGAGAUUCAUUCGUCACAAGUUUAUUGGUACAUAACACAGAGAUGGUUAACGUUUGCAUGAUUCCUUAGACCAUGAGAGUAUCGAGUUUCUUCAUGCUUGCUUCAUGAACUUUGGGGUUUGUUAAACGUCAUCCGUAAAUGGGUGGCUAUUACGGCGGCUUACGGGUUCAUGGAAAAGUGUGUCAAGUAACUUGAUAGCUCAAGAUUGGGAUUUGCUCCUCCGACGAUGGAGAGAUAUCUCUGGGCCCUCUCGGUGUUACGGUAUCCAUCAUCGUCUGGCCAGACACUUUGUGAUUUGAUCACGGGGAUGCCGGAACACGAUAACGAGAAAAGAGGACAAUACCGGUAACGAGGUAACUAGCAUAGUGGACAAGUUGUUGAUCCACGGGAAUGCCAACAUGUCUCACCUCGGGUAUUUGUAACAUAUCGCGAAGCAACAGGAAUAGCACAGGGAAACUGGAGGUUCACUCGAAUAUUUAUUCGUGUGGGUAUAGGGGUCAAUAUGGGUGUCCACGGCUCCGAUGUUGAUCAUUGAUCGGAAGGGGUUCCGGGUCAUGUCUAUACUUCACCGAACCUAUAGGGUCACACGCUUAAGGGUCAUCUAUCUGCUGAAUACUAGACAGGGAGUCUGAGAGAAAAUCACCGGGAAAGUUUCGGACAGCGGAAUCGUACCGCAGAGAGAGGUCAUCGGAUAAGUUUCGAUGAUACCGAAAAGUUGUUUCGGGAUACACCAUUAAGUCAAAUUGGUUUCGGCACAUGCCUGAUAAUUCUUGGAGGAUGCCAGAAUCAUUCUGGAAGCUUUUUGGAAUUUUCUGAGAUAAAAACCGGAAAUGUUCCGGAGCUGCCGGAGCCACUUCAGAUGCGUUUCGCAGAUGAAAAUCACUAAAACCGGAAUUGUUUCGGAACGCGUUGAAAAUCAUUUUAGUGGGUACUGGAAAUGUUCUUAGCCCACAUAAAUAUUUUCAGUUCGAUCAGACGCUGAAAAAUGUCGUCGUGAAUAGUGAAAAUCAGCUUUAUGGUUACUUUAUGGAAAGCCACCUUUUGGGGCUUUGCUCCAAAAGAUCUUGGGGAUGACAUGGAUGGAUAGGAGCCAUUUUUGGGGCCCCUCAUGGGGGUGUGGCCGGCCACAUGGGGUAUCCCCCCUUGGGGACCCUCUAGUUCCUUGGUUUCACUCCUAGGUCCUUGUGGAAGGACUUCAUUCAUGUGCAUUUUGGGUUUUUUGUGAAACUACCCUACCCCCUUGGGAUUUCCUAUAAAUAGAGGUGGAGGGGCAGCCCUCCACGCUCAUCCCUUGAUCUCAUACACAUGCCAUGCAUUAUCUGGCUUCUUCUCUCCCUCCCACGAAAAGAGUUUCGUAGAGCCGUAAGGCUGUCUGGGUUCCGGCAGGAACUAGUUCUGGACGGCGAAGCCCUGCUGGAUAGAUGACACCGUAUGUGUGCAACUCUGUAGAGAGAUCGUAGUUUCGGUCUUAGUUCGUGAGUGCCUCCCGAAGGGCUGUCCGUGUGACCGUCCGAGUUUCGAAGGUCCUCCCGAAGGGCUGUCCGAGUGACCGUUCGAGUUUCGAAGGUCCUCCCGAAGGGCUGUCCGCGACACCGUCCGGGGGGCUGUUCGACCGCCUCCCGGAGGGCUGUCUGAGGAGCAGAUGAGGGUAUACAUCCUCGCGGUUGGGAGGUUGUAAAUCCUAGCUGCGGGGAUCUGCACCGCCGAUCGUCAUCGACUCUACUUCCCGCUGCGCUACGAGUCGGUAACGAAAAAGAUCAAACCAUGUAUGCAGUCUCCAUAGUGGUCCUGGGCUGGUGCGUAGGUCGGAAAAUUUUUGUUUUCUGUCGCGUUCCCCUUCAGUGGCAUCAAGAGCCGUGCUAUGCGUAGAUGCAGGUUUCGAUCUAGAAUACAUGGAGAUGUAUGGGUAUUGCAUAAUAUAAUUAGGUAGUAGAUGAGACCUAUUGCUGAAAAUUAUUUAUGCGGGUGACAGAUGAAAUAUGUUACCCGAGGUUCUUGUUGCUUCCCUAGAAUUUGCGUUUGCUCAAUCUUGAGACAGCAUGGUGGAAUUUGACAAAGUUCUGGCAAUCCGUGAUCCUGAUUGAUCAUGGAAGUGCUAUCAGUUCUUUGGGUUCUGCCGUAGUCAAAAGAAAGAUGAAAUUCGCAGAUGAAAGGGCAUUGCAGAUAUGAUCUGCACGGGGGUCAUGCGUAUGACGAAGUUUAGUAUGGGGCUCGAGAUUUAAUUAUCCCGUGUUUCAUACACCCCGAGAUGUUAAUCUAGCAACUUGAAUAAUCAUACUUGAUGAUAAAACGUUGGUCGCUGCGGUUUAAGUCAAAACCUUAGAAGCCACGUAAAAUAAAUUUUGCAUAAACCGAUUAGAGGCGUCUAACUUGGUUUUGCAGGAUGUGCAUAUGAUGUGGUAUAGCAGUGCUCAUACUAAUUCGAUUAUGUAUGAGAUGACUAUAUGAUGUAAUUUGAUUAACAUGACCUGCGUGUCAUGAUUCGGCAUGAUGGUUGGAGCCAUAUGAUUGCACUUUAAUGACCUGCGUGUCAACCUUGUUGUAAUGCAUUAUUUUGUUAGCUAUAGAGAUAGCAAUAUUAUCUGGUGCAUCGACAAGGUGGUGGCAAUCUUCGCGAAGGUGAACACCGAUGCGAAUGCCGAAGACGAAGAAAUGAAAGACUUCUCCGUCAGAAAGGGCUAUACCAUAUCAUGCUAUUAUGAAUUGCCUGAGAUGUUUAUCCCUUAUGAUGCACCCUUCUUGAUUGCGCGGUAGUCGCUUUUAUUAGGGUGAUCUCUCACUUAAAAUACCAAGUAGUUAGUGUUCUCCCAAGUGUAGCACCGUCACGGCACCUAUCUUUUCGGGGUGCGCCGUGUCACACGGGUACGAACGAUUAGAGAAGUGUGAGGCGGGUGAGUUGAGACCUCGCAGCAAGAUCACUUGGUUGUCUUGACGUUCAGGCAUGACCGUCAUGAGCUCGGAACACACGCAUCGAAAGAUGAACAAGAGUCACAUAGAGAUGUGAUUGGCAAGUUGGCCUACCGGUUGAGAUUUUUCAUCAUCAGUGGUGUUACACCAAUGGCGAACAAUUGAAAUGUGGGUCUUGUAUCACUCACAAUCAAUUUUGAGAGAUAUUGAUUUGAGUGGGAGCGCACUGUUGAAUUAACAUGUUUAAUUCUUAGUGCAAUUAAUUAUGAACAUUGUCUAAGUGUUAUAUGCAAAAUAGUUGUAGAAUAAUGGCUCGCGUUUCCACCUUCCCUGUUAAAAUUGAAUAGCUGUUAAAUAUCUGGUUAAAACUUUACGAUUGGUACCGUAAUAUGAGGAUUGUCCUCAAAAGUGCCGAGAAGGACUUUGUCCUAUCGCAUGCUUUCCGUAUCCUCCCGCUAAUGCUAUGGAUCAUGUGACUCUCGUCCUUUGAUCCAAAAGCUAGAAUUCUGUUAUGGUCAAGUGGAAUAUAUUUGCUUCCAUGAAACCCAACCUUCGAAAGUUGGGAUAGUUAUAUGAUAUUCAUGGAACUGAAAAUUAUUUUCAGAUACAAACAAAGCAAUGUUUGUUUGCAAGUAUUAGUAAAAGUGUUUACUAUGCAUUUGACUGUUGGGAAAGGGAUCCAGAAGAACGCCUGUCAUAUAAUGAAAGGUGAAUAAAACAACAACUUAAAGAGAAAGGAAGUGUCCAAAGGGUGUUAGUAUGACUUACACGCCUAGGAAGUCCGGGGCUAAUGCCACUCUUAAGUUGGGUGCUUCUUCUGAGAGUAGGAGAAAUACUAGAAGUUAAACUGCUAGAAGUAUAAAGGCAAAAGGAAAGAAGACUGGAAUAUCCAGCUCAUGUAUGAAUGUCAUACAAGUUUUUGAUGUAUAGAAGGCUGGUCAAAGAUAUAGUUCUUGCGAAUUAUGGUUAAACAUGUUAAUCACUAAUUCUUGGGUAUUGUGAGUUCAUCACAAAAAUGCCCGCUCGAUUGCAUUCUGUUGUAACUCGAUGUAAGAACUACUAUGGCCUGAAAGACUAGCUAGAAAUGAGGUUAAGGUAUACAUAGGGAACAUAGUAAAUGUUACUAUACCUUCCAUCGGUGUAUUGCCGUCUGUAUUUAUUUUCAUAUUUCAUUUAGAGUUUUACAAACUCUAUCCCAUUUCAUAAGGCAUCUUGCAAGAUGGUUGUUCAUAAGAGAACCUUUUAUGUUCGUUGUUAUGAAUAACACAAGGGCCAAAGUUUCAUUAUGAAUGAGAUGUAUGUUAUGAAUAUUGAUAAUAAUACAAUACCUCUGGGUUUACUUUCAUAAUUCAUUUUAGAGUUUCAUACACUCUAGCCCAUUGCACAAUGUUUGUUGCAAAAGAGUUGUUCAUAAAAAGAACAAUUGUUGUUAAGUAUUAUGAAUAACAUAAGGGCCAUACUUCCAUCAUCGAUGGGACGUAUGUUAUGAAUAUUGAGGGUAAUAUGAUACAUCCAUAACACUGACGCUAAAUGUCGCAAGACUAAAAGAAUACCACACAAGUGUGGCACUACAUUUGGUCACAUUGGAGAAACCCGCAUGGAAAAUUCCAUUAUGAUGGAUUUUGAAGUCUUUUUGAUUUUGAAUCAUCUGACACUUGCAACUUUCCUCCGAAAAGUGAAGUGACUAAAAUACCGUUCACAGGCCAUAAGGAACGAACAACAAACUUAUUAGUGAUCAUACAUUUGAUGUGUGUAGUCCGAUAAGUGUUGUUAGUGGUGGAUUUAUUUAUCUUCAGAAAUGACUCAAGUAGAUAUAUGAAUAUUUACUUGAUGAGACGUAAGUCUGGAUCUUUUGAAAUCAUUCGAAAGGUUCUCAAAAAUGAAGUAGAAGUUAUUGUAACAAGAAAAUUAUGUUUCUGCAAUUUGAUUGCACAAAGGAAUAUUUGAGUUACAUGUUUAGCGAAUGUCUGAUGAGUUGUGAAAGGGGUUUCAUAAACUUGCACCUCCCGGAACACCACUGCAAGUGAAAAGUCCGUGGAGAUGUAAUCAAACCAUUUAUGACAUGGUAAGGUCAAAGAUGACAUAAAUAAAUUUGCCAUUAUCCCUUUUAAAGUGAUGCUUUAGAGACUGCGGCUUUUACACUGAAAAGAGCUACAUCGGGUCUGUUGAAAUGAAGCCAUGGUAUGGUACGCCCAACCAUGUUAUAUAUUUUCUUAACAUUUGGAAUAUGGGGCUUGUGUAAAAGGUUACAAACCUAUUCCAAAUCAGACAAGUGCUACUUUGUAGGUUAUACCAAAAUGUUGGGUAUUCCUCCCUCACUAUACCGAGGCAAAUAGUUUUGCCGCGAAACGGUGUGCUUUUAAAGAGAAUGGUUCUUUCUAAAAGGUGAGUGGGAGAAUAGUGCAACUCGACGAGAUAAAUAGUAUCUUCAUCAGAUCAAAGGAAAGAGACCUUGGAAGAAAUUCCAGAGUUUCCUACUGCGACUGAUACAGAAGUCUCUACAAUAAAAUGUAUGAACUUCGGUCGAACUUGCAGCUGAACCACGUAGGCAAGGCUCGUGCAAACCUCUCAGGUGCGCAAACGAGAUAUUGUUGUUAGACAACAUUAUACCUACGAUACACAAGGAAGCGUUGAUGGGCCCUGACUCCGGAAUUGGCUAAAUGCCCAUACAACCCGAGUUAGUUUCCAUAUAAGUGAUUCAAGAUUAAAACCUUGAUACACCUUUCGGAAGACUUAGAGUCUAACGAAUAUUUAUGGAACUUAAAACUGAUACGGAUAAAAUGUUUUAUCCAUAAAGCUCGACUUGUUGAAAUAAUACGAUGAGGUUGUUUUCAUCGUAGCGAUGCUUAAAGUCGGUUCGGGUUGAACUAGCAAUUAAUACAUAUUUCAAUCAUGAGAUAUGAAACAUGGAUGAUAAAAGGAUUUCCAUCUGAUGAAAAUGAAAGCUAGGACUUGUAUAUGAUACAGUCCAAAGUAAUUUAUCGAUCCAGAGGAUGCUAGUAGGUAUGCAAACUUCAGAGUUCCAGCAAUGGACAGAAGAGAGCAAAAUGGAGUUGGAAUCUUCGUGUUUUGAUGAAAUAGUCAAAGGGGUUUUGAUUUCAUCAAUGGGUAACGAAGAUGCUUGUAAUUCAAGAAAGUAAGUGGGAGCGUAAUAAUAUUUCUAAAAACCUUAUGUGCUUGGCACAUUGGUAAUUGGAAAUAAAUUUCUUGACACAAAUUAGGACUUCAUUUGAAAAUAGUUUUUCGAUGAAGUGCUUAGGCUAAAUAGCCUCAAUAUUAAGCAUGAUGAUCUAUGGAGAUAGAUUUACCUAAUGGGGCUAAGCAACGAAUGCAUAUUGACAAGAUGCUAAAACCUUUUAGUAUUUAAAACGCCAAGGAGUGAUUCUUGCCAAAGUCACAUGGAAAGAGUUUUUGCAAGACUCGGUGUCCCAAAACACUGAUGAGUAAAAUACAUUAUGCAGAUUCCACACACUUUUGUGUUUGGAUUAAUCAUGUAUUCCAUGGUAUGUAAAACAACCAGAUAUGUCCGAUACUCCCAAGGUGUUGCGAGUAUGGAUACCAAAGUGAUCAAAUUACUGAUCAUGGGACAACAGUGAAAGAUGUCACAGAGUACUAGAGUAAGUACUGAUGACAUGGUUUUCUCGCAAGCAGAGAUCAUGAAGAGUUCGUUGUAAAAUGUUACAUCGAUAGAGUCUUCAUCUUUUCUCCAUGCGAUUUUCGAUUUAAAUUAAGGGUUUUGUGUAACACACAAUGUGGUGGCACAGUUAGUUGGAAUUUGUUCAAACUAGUUACUGUGGCGAAUUCUAUAACAAGGGCUAAGUAUGUUGACGCUUUAGAAGCGACAAAGAAGAUGUUGAAUCAUAUAGUUCAUUCAUGAACUUAGUAUAGUUCCAAGAUGGCUUUUGACAAUGGGACACUACUGCAGGUAGUUGCUCCAUAACUCAGUCUGAGGAAUCCAGGUUCGACCUGUGAUUCACAUACAUACAGAGCCAAGUCCACACAAAAUAUGAAUUUUGUGAAAACGUGAAAACGCGAGGACAUGCAAAGAUACACACGGAACUGAAGUCGUCAGAUCCGUUGGACAUCAGGCUAUACCACAAGCGAAGCAUAUUUACACCGGUGUGCCACAGGUGUGAAGUGCAUUAGCAUAAGCUAGAUUAUUGACUCUAGUGCAAGUGGGAGUCUGUAGGAGAUAUGCCCUAGAGGCAAUAAUAAAUGAUAUUAUUUAUUUCCGAGUUCAUAAUUAUGUUUAUGUUCCAUGCUAUAACUGCAAUGAUUCUCGAGUCUACAAUAUCCACGAGGCUCGGAGGAAGACUCAAAUGCACGUGUGGAAUAAUAAACGGUAAGAAGUAUUCCUAGUCUGGCCUCUAAGACUAGCUCAAGUGUUGCAUGAUGAUUAUGUUUUCCUGGUCAUGGGCAUGUCUAUGCCAGCAACUUUGAGGGCACAAUGUUAAGAGAACAUUUAUGUUGAAUCGACCCGGAUUGAUGUUAUGCUAUGAGAUUCAUUCGUCACAAGUUUAUUGGUACAUAACACAGAGAUGGUUAACGUUUGCAUGAUUCCUUAGACCAUGAGAGUAUCGAGUUUCUUCAUGCUUGCUUCAUGAACUUUGGGGUUUGUUAAACGUCAUCCGUAAAUGGGUGGCUAUUACGGCGGCUUACGGGUUCAUGGAAAAGUGUGUCAAGUAACUUGAUAGCUCAAGAUUGGGAUUUGCUCCUCCGACGAUGGAGAGAUAUCUCUGGGCCCUCUCGGUGUUACGGUAUCCAUCAUCGUCUGGCCAGACACUUUGUGAUUUGAUCACGGGGAUGCCGGAACACGAUAACGAGAAAAGAGAACAAUACUGGUAACGAGGUAACUAGCAUAGUGGACAAGUUGUUGAUCCACGGGAAUGCCAACAUGUCUCACCUCGGGUAUUUGUAACAUAUCGCGAAGCAACAGGAAUAGCUCACGGCAACUGGAGGUUCACUCAAAUAUUUAUUCGUGUGGGUAUAGGGGUCAAUAUGGGUGUCCACGGCUCCGAUGUUGAUCAUUGAUCGGAAGGGGUUCCGGGUCAUGUCUAUACUUCACCGAACCUAUAGGGUCACACGCUUAAGGGUCAUCUAUCUGCUGAAUACUAGACAGGGAGUCUGAGAGAAAAUCACCGAAAAAGUUUCGGACACCGAAAAGUUUCGGACAGCGGAAUCGUAUCGCAGAGAGAGGUCAUCGGAUAAGUUUCGAUGAUACCGAAAAGUUGUUUCGGGAUACACCAUUAAGUCAAAUUGGUUUCGGCACAUGCCUGAUAAUUCUUGGAGGAUGCCAGAAUCAUUCUGGAAGCUUUUUGGAAUUUUCUGAGAUAAAAACCGGAAAUGUUCCGGAGCUGCCGGAGCCACUUCAGAUGCGUUUCGUAGAUGAAAAUCACUAAAACCGGAAUUGUUUCGGAACGCGUUGAAAAUCAUUUUAGUGGGUACUGGAAAUGUUCUUAGCCCACAUAAAUAUUUUCAGUUCGAUCAGACGCUGAAAAAUGUCGUCGUGAAUAGUGAAAAUCAGCUUUAUGGUUACUUUAUGGAAAGCCACCUUUUGGGGCUUUGCUCCAAAAGAUCUUGGGGAUGACAUGGAUGGAUAGGAGCCAUUUUUUGGGCCCCUCAUGGGGGUGUGGCCGGCCACAUGGGGUAUCCCCCCUUGGGGACCCUCUUGUUCCUUGGUUUCACUCCUAGGUCCUUGGGGAAGGACUUCAUUCAUGUGCAUUUUGGGUUUUUUGUGAAACUACCCUACCCCCUUGGGAUUUCCUAUAAAUAGAGGUGGAGGGGCAGCCCUCCACACUCAUCCCUUGCUCUCAUACACAUGCCAUGCAUUAUCUGGCUUCUUCUCUCCCUCCCACGAAAAGAGUUUCGUAGAGCCGUAAGGCUGUCUGGGUUCCGGCAGGAACUAGUUCUGGACGGCGAAGCCCUGCCGGAUAGAUGACACCGUAUGUGUGCAACUCUGUAGAGAGAUCGUAGUUUCGGUCUUAGUUCGUGAGUGCCUCCCGAAGGGCUGUCCGUGUGACCGUCCGAGUUUCGAAGGUCCUCCCGAAGGGCUGUCCGAGUGACCGUUCGAGUUUCGAAGGUCCUCCCGAAGGGCUGUCCGCGACACCGUCCGGGGGCUGUUCGACCGCCUCCCGGAGGGCUGUCUGAGGAGCAGAUGAGGGUAUACAUCCUCGCGGUUGGGAGGUUGUAAAUCCUAGCUGCGGGGAUCUGCACCGCCGAUCGUCAUCGACUCUACUUCCCGCUGCGCUACGAGUCGGUAACGAAAAAGAUCAAACCAUGUAUGCAGUCUCCAUAGUGGUCCUGGGCUGGUGCGUAGGUCGGAAAAUUUUUGUUUUCUGUCGCGUUCCCCUUCAGUUUCCCGGGGCCCGAAGCUGUCUAAAUCCUUAUCUUGUGUUGCGUCUCUCGAUUCCGCCUAACCCCUCUCAAGCUACCACAUAGAUGCGCUGGCCUCGCGACUAAGUCCUGACACUAAGGACAUCUGCCGUGACUAUUCCACGACAGAUAGCAAAGUGAACAAAAGUAUAUAUGAUAUACAUGUUAUUGAUGUGUACUUUACUAGUAUUCAUCGUAGCCCCUGGGUAUUUGAUACUGAUUCAGUUGUUAUGAUUAGUAACUUGAAACAGGAGUUAUAAAAUGAACAGAGACUAGUUGAGGGCAAGGUGACGAUGUGUGUUGGAAGUGAUUCCAAGGUUGAUAAGAUCACCAUCGCACACUCCCUUUACCUUCGGGAUUAGUGUUGAACCUACAAUAAAUGUUAUUUGGUGUUUGCGUUGAGCAUAAUAUGAUUGGAUUAUGUUUAUUGCAAAACGGUUAUUCAUUUAAGUCAAAUAAUAAUUGUUAUUCUGUUUACAAGAAUAAAACCUUAUGUGGUCAUACACCCAAGAUGAAUGGUUUAUUGAAUCUCGACUGUAGUGAUACACAUAUUCAUAAUAUUGAAGCCAAAAUAUACAAGGUUAAUAAUGAUAGUGCAACUUAUUUGUGUCACUACCGUUUAGGUCAUAUUGGUGUAAAACGCAUGACGAAACUCCAUGCUGAUGGGCUUUUGGAAUCACUUGAUUAUGACUCACUUGAUGCUUGCGAACCAUACCUCAUGGGCGAGAUGACUAAGACUUCGUUCUCCAGAACAAUGGAGCGAGCAACAGACUUGUUGGAAAUAAUACAUACUGAUGUAUGCGGUCCGAUGACUGUUGAGGCUCACGACGGGUAUCGUUAUUUUCUGACCUUCACAGAUGAUUUGAGCAGAUAUGGGUAUAUCUACUUGAUGAAACAUAAGCUUGAAACAUUUGAAAAGUUCAAAGAAUUUCAGAGUGAAGUGGAAAAUCAUUGUAACAAGAAAAUAAAAUUUCUACCAUCUGAUCGUAGAGACGAAUAUUUGAGUUACGAGUUUGGUCUUCAUUUGAAACAAUGUGGAAUAGUUUCGCUACUCACGCCACCUGGAACACCACAGCGUAACGGUGUGUCCGAACGUCAUAAUCAUACUUUGUUAGAUAUGGUGCGAUCUAUGAUGUCUCUUACCGAUUUACCACUAUCGUUUUGGGGUUAUGCAUUAGAGACAGCUGCAUUCACGUUAAAUAGGACACCAUCUAAAUCCGUUGAGAUGACACCGUAUGUAUUGUGGUUUGGCAAGAAACCUAAGCUGCUAUUUCUUAAAGUUUAGGGCAGCAAUGCUUAUGUGAAAAAGUUUCAACCUGAUAAGCUCGAACCCAAAUCGGAGAAAUUUGUCUUCAUAGGAUACCCAAAGGAAACUGUUGGGUACACCUUCUAUCACAGAUCCAAAGGCAAGAUAUUCGUUGCUAAGAAUGGAUCCUUUCUAGAGAAGGAGUUUCUCUCGAAAGAAGUGAGUGGGAGGAAAGUAGAACUUCAUGAGAUAAUUAUACCUGCUCCCUUAUUGGAAAGUAGUUCAUCACAUAAAUCAGUUCCAGUGAUUCCUACACCAAUUAGUGAGGAAGAUAAUGAUGAUUAUCAUGAAGCUUCUGAUCAAGUUACUACCGAACCUCGUAGGUCAACCAGAAUAAGAUCCGCACCAGAGUGGUACGGUAAUCCUGUUCUGGAGGUCAUGUUACUUGACCAUGACGAACCUACGAACUAUGAGGAAGCGAUGAUGAGCCCAGAUUCCGUGAAAUGUCUUGAGGCCAUGAAAUCUGAGAUGGGAUCCAUGUAUGAGAACAAAGUAUGGACUUUGAUUGACUUGCCCGAUGAUCGGCAAGACAUUGAGAAUAAAUGGAUUUUAAAGAGGAAGACAGACGCUGAUAGUAGUGUUACUAUCUACAAAGCUCGAAUUGUGGCAAAAAGGUUUUCGACAAGUUCAAGGUGUUGACUACGAUGAGAUUUUCUCACUCGUAGCAUUGCUUAAGUUUGUCCGAAUCAUGUUAGCAAUUGCCACAUUUUUAUGAAAUCUUGCAAAUGGAUGUCAAAACUGCAUUCCUUAAUGGAUUUCUUAAAGAAGAGUUGUAUAUGAUACAGCAAGAAGGUUUUGUCAAUCCUAAAGGUGCUAACAAAGUGUGCAAGCCCCAGUGAUCCAUCUAUGGACUGGUGCAAGCAUCUCGGAGUUGGAAUAUGAUAACCCACAAGUAUAGGGGAUCGCAAUAGUUUUCGAGGGUAGAGUAUUCAACCCAAAUUUAUUGAUUCGACACAAGGGGAGCCAAAGAAUAUUCUCAAGUAUUAACAGUUGAGUUGUCAAUUCAACCACAUCUGGAUAACUUAGUAUCUGCAGCAAAGUAUUUAGUAGCAAAGUAAUAUGGAAGUAACGGUAGCAAAAGUAAUAUUUUUGGGUUUUGUAGUGAUUGUAACAGUAGAAACGGAAAAGUAAAUAAGUGGAGAACAAUAUGUGAAAAGCUCGUAGGCAUUGGAUCGGUGAUGGAGAAUUAUGCCGGAUGCGGUUCAUCAUGUAACAGUCAUAACAUAGGGUGACACAGAACUAGCUCCAAUUCAUCAAUGUAAUGUAGGCAUGUAUUCCGAAUAUAGUCAUACGUGCUUAUGGAAAAAAACUUGCAUGACAUCUUUUGUCCUACCCUCCCGUGGCAGCGGGGUCCUAGCGGAAACUAAGGGAUAUUAAGGCCUCCUUUUAAUAGAGUACCGGACCAAAGCAUUAACACAUAGUGAAUACAUGAACUCCUCAAACUAUGGUCAUCACCGGGAGUGGUCCCGAUUAUUGUCACGUCGGGGUUGCCGGAUCAUAACACAUAGUAGGUGACUAUAGACUUGCAAGAUAGGAUCAAGAACUCACAUAUAUUCAUGAAAACAUAAUAGGUUCAGAUCUCACUCCAUGGCACUCGGGCCCUAGUGACAAGCAUUAAGCAUAGCAAAGUCAUAACAACGUCAAUCUCAGAACAUAGUGGAUACUAGGGAUCAAACCCUAACGAAUCUAACUCGAUUACAUGAUAAAUCUCAUCCAACCCAACACCAUCCAGCAAGCCUACGAUGGAAUUACUCACGCACGGCGGUGAGCAUCAUGAAAUUGGUGAUGGAGGAUGGUUGAUGAUGACGAUGGCGACGGAUUCCCCUCUCCGGAGCCCUGAACGGACUCCAGAUCAGCCCUCCCGAGAGAGUUUAGGGCUUGGCGGUGGCUCCGUAUCGUUAAACGCGAUGAAUCCUUCUCUCUUAUUUUUUUUCUCCCCGAACACGAAUAUAUGGAGUUGGAGUUGAGGUCGGUGGAGCUCCAAGGGGCCCAUGAGGCAGGGGGCCGCGCCCCCACCCUCGUGGCAAGUGUGUGGGCCUCCUGGCCUUGAUUCUUUCGCCAGUAUUUUUUAUAUUUUCCAAAAAUAAUCUCUGUUGAUUUUCAGGUCAUUCCGAGAACUUUUGUUUCUGCACAAAAAUAACACCAUGGCAAUUCUGCUGAAAACAGCGUCAGUCUGGGUUAGUUCCAUUCAAAUCAUGCAAGUUAGAGUCCUAAACAAGGGCAAAAGUGUUUGGAAAACUAGAUACGACGGAGACGUAUCAACUCCCCCAAGCUUAAACCUUUGCUUGUCCUCAAGCAAUUCAGUUGAUAAACUGAAAAUCAUAAAGAAAAACUUUUACAAACUCUGUUUUCUCUUGUUGUUGUAAAUAUGUAAAGCCAGCAUUCAAGUUUUCAGCAAAGAUUAUGACUAACCACAUUCGCAAUAACUCUUAGGUCUCAUGUUUACUCAUAUCAAUGGCAUAAUCAACUAGCGAGCAAUAAUAGUAAAUCUCGGAUGACAACACUUUUUCAAAACAAUCAUAAUAUGAUAUAACAAGAUGGUAUCUCGCUAGCCCUUUCUGAGACCGCAAAACAUAAAUGCAGAGCACCUUUAAAGAUCAAGGACUGAAUAGACAUUGUAAUUCAUGGUAAAAGAGAUCCAAUCAUAGUCAUACCCAAUAUAAAUUAACAGUAAUGAAUGCAAAUGACAGUGGUGCUCUCCAGCUGGUGCUUUUUAAUAAGAGGGUGAUGACUCAACAUAAAAGUACAUAGAUAGGCCCUUCGCAAAGGGAAGCAGAGAUUUGUAGAGGUGCCAGAGCUCGGUUUUUGAAAUAGAGAUAAAUAAUAUUUUGAGCGGCAUACUUUCAUUGUCAACAUAAGAACCAAGAGAUGGCGAUAUCUUCCAUGCUACACACAUUAUAGGCGGUUCCCAAACAGAAUGGUAAAGUUUAUACUCUCCCUCCACCAACAAGCAUCAAUCCAUGGCUUGCUCGAAACAAUGAGUGCCUCCAACUAACAACAGUCCCGGGGGAGUUUUGUUUGCAAUUAUUUUGAUUCGAUUUGCAUAAAGCAUGGGACCGGGCAUCCCGGUGACCAGCCAUUUUCUCAUGAGUGAGGAGCGGAGUCCACUCCUCUUGAGAAUAACCCGCCUAACAUGGAAGAUACGGACAGCCCUAGUUGAUACAUGAGCUAUUCGAGCAUACAAAACAGAAUUUUAUUUGAAGGUUUAGAGUUUGGCAUAUACAAAUUUACUUGGAACGGCAGGUAGAUACCGCAUAUAGGAAGGUAUGGUGGACUCAUAUGGAAUAACUUUGGGGUUUAAAGAAUUGGAUGCACAAGCAGUAUUCCUGCUUAGUACAAGUGAAGGCUAGAAAAAGACUGGGAAGCGACCAACUAGAGAGCGACAACAGUCAUGAACAUGCAUUAAAAUUAAUAAACAUUGAGUGCAAGCAUGAGUAGGAUAUAAUCCACCAUGAACAUAAAUAUCGUGAAGGCUAUGUUGAUUUGUUUCAACUACAUGUGUGAACAUGUGCCAAGUCAAGUCACCUGAAUCAUUCAAAGGAGGAUACCACCCUAUCAUACCACAUCACAACCAUUUUAAUAGCAUGUUGGCACGCAAGGUAAACCAUUGUAAGCUCCUAGCUAAUUAAGCAUGGCAUAAGCAACUAUGAUUUCUAAUUGUCAUUGCAAACAUGUUUAUUCAUAAUAGGCUGAAUCAGGAACGAUGAACUAAUCAUAUUUACAAAAACAAGAGAGGUAGACUUCAUACCAGCUUCUCUCAUCUCAAACGGUCCUAUCAUAUAUCGUCAUAAUUGCCUUUCGCUUGCACGACCGAACGAUGUGGAUGAUAAUAAUAGUCCACGUGCAUUGGACUAAGCUGGAAUCUGCGAGCAUUUAAUAAACAGGAGAAGACAAGGUAAUAUGGGCUCUUGGUUAAAUCAACAAUAAUGAAUAAUAGAGCCACUUCAACAAUUUCAUUAUGGUCUUCUCCUAUCGACCCACAAAGAAAAGAAAAGAAAUAAAACUAUUUACACGGGAAAACUCCCAACAAGCAAAAGAAGAACAAGAAAUAUUUUUGGGUUUUCUUUUAAUUAUUACUACUACAGCAAGAAAAGUAAACUAGCUAAACGCUACAACUAUUUUUUUUUGUUUUCUUAAGAUUUUUCAAACACACAAGAAGAAGGCAAAAAAAAAUAAACUAGCAUGGAUAUUACAGUGAAAGAGUAUGAGCACCGACAUCUAGCAAUGAGUGUGUGAACAUGAAUAUAAUGUCGGUGAGAAAUACGUACUCCCCCAAGCUUAGGCUUUUGGCCUAAGUUGGUCUAUUGCCACGGCUGGCCUAGCGGAUAUCCAAAGUUAUAGUUGGGGUUGUACUGUGAUGCAGCAGUCAUUGCAUCGUGGGCUGCAGCUUGGAGGCGAGCUAUAUCAGCCCUCCUCUUAUACUCUUCCGCCUCCUCUCUUGUUAUAAAAUAUCUCCCUUUUGCCUGAAAGUCAAAGAAAGUAGAAGCAGGGAGAGCGACGUGAUAGGUGCGUCGUCUGUCAAAUAUUAGUCGGUACUAGAGGAACUGAUCAUUCCUCUCAACAAAAUGAUGACGAACCAUAGCCUCAUAAUCCAAAUAAGCAGGAGGCAACUCAAUAUCAUCCUCACGUAUGGUUACACCAAGAAAAUUAGCUAAACGGGUUGCAUAAAUUCCACCAAAGAAAUCUCCAUUAAAUGUAUUAUUAUGCAACCUACGUGCAACAAUGACUCCCAAAUUAUAAUGUUUAUCUCCUAAUACAACACUCCUGACAACACUGAGAUCAGGGACACAUAUGUGACAUGCUUCAUCCGUACCAUUUAUGCACCUACCUAUGAAGAGAGCAAAAUAAUGUAUAGCAGGAAAGUGAAUGCUCACUAUGGUAGCUUGAGCUAUGUCUCUAGAUUCACCCAUAGUUAUACUAGCAAGAAAAUCUCUAAGCUCAGAUUUGCGAGGCUCACUAGUAUUACCCCAUUGUGGAAGUUUGCAAGCAGUGGUAAAAUCCUCUAAGUCCAUAGUAUAAGAAUUUUCAUAAAGAUCAAACAGGACAGUUUGAGAAUUGCGUGAAGAUGAAAAUGUAAACCUCCUCACAAAGGAACUAGUGAGAUAGUGGUACUGACAGCACUUAUCUGCCUCGAAGCUCACAAGAUCAGCAUUACGCAAAUAUGCGUUAAAUUCUUCCUUGAUUCCUACUUGAUCCAUGAAGUCCUCGGAAGACCAUUCACAAGCCCGCACUGGAGCGUCCCUUGGUGGUUCAUCGUCAGCAUCGCGCACUGCAAGCCUGGGUCCUUGCUUCCUUGAAGAACCAUCUUGGUACAUUUUCCGAAACAUAUUUCUUCCUCUGAAAAAUUUCUGAAAAUUUUAGUAACUUCAAAUAAAAGUGAACCAAGCUCAACAAAAUUGAUAGCAACUACUCCUACAAGUGUCUAGAGCCUAUAUCAUGCAUUAGAACUACUUGGAACCAUAUAAAUUUGACAUGCAAGCUCAAGAACAUGGUCACCUAGGCAGCACAAAUUUGCAAUGAAUAAAGCACUACUCAUCACUGCGUCCACGUGCACGAUGGUGUGAAGAAAGUCUGUUUCGCUAUGUUUGAGUGUUCAAGCUCGGUAUUGUUCAGUAUGAACCUUAAUUACCGAGACGCUUAGUUGUGCCGAGUUGUAACGUAUAGGUUCAGGUUGCAAAUGAGUUUGGAAGCCAAACGUUUCAAUUUAUAUUAUGUGAGAUGGCGCACACAAUGUGUUGACUGUGGCGUGUUUAACGUGAGUACUUUGUUAUUCACGCAAAAAAAAGCGUGAGUACUUUGUUAUUUGUGUUCGUCCAGCCACUGCAUGUGUCCAGAUUCCAGCUCUGCGAUCUUAGUCCUGAACUCACAUCAUGGCCUAAUCUCAGCUUCCCAAUCUUGUUAACCUCAUGUCACUUUUGUUCUUCUUUUCUCCUUUGAUAAAGGAUCGUGUUUGUUCCUUGCCAUCUCUUGUUUCGUCCAUGGACUGUCGAUCUCGCUCUGACCAGAAAAAAUGGAUUACAAUACAUUGAUGAUCAUUGUUGAUGUCUCGUAUAGUCAAAUCGGCCACUGUAUUCAGAAAUGUUGAAAUCAGUGUCACACUGAGUAUACUGAGUACGUCAUGAGGAGCAAGGGCGGAGCUACGUUAUCGCCUGAGGGGGCCGUGCCCUGCCACCCCAGCCAACACGAUUUUUUUGCAUUAGUACUACUACCGUAGUAGUGGCCCCUGCAGGCUGCAGUUUAGCUUAGAAUUAGGCUCAGCUGCACGCUGCACCAACGAACAAGCUCUCUUUAUGCACAGCUCGGCUGCCUCUCAGCUCCUUUGGUAUGCUUAAAUCAACCAGCUGACCGUGCCGCGACGUCACGGACAGCCUCGAGCCCUCGACGCGGUCCGGCCGGUGCUGAGGAGGUUAGGAGGAGCUCCGCUUUUGGGCCGGUGGUGACGACUCCAGCGCCUGGGGGAUCAUGGGCGCGCCCAGUAUCACCACUGGCCACUUGCCGGUGGUGGCGGGUGGCCGGUGCCGUCGACUGCUUGAACUCUAGUCGCCGGUGCCACACCUUGCAUAAUUCUUCCGGUGUACAUCAAAAAAUGCAGCCAUCCAUCCCAUUCCAUGUACCGUGCCAAUAUGUCCGUACAAGUUUUUUCUGUUUUUUUCAAUGUCAUGUGGUAUAAAUUUUUGUGUCAUAUUUGUUUGUAAAAGUUUGUUCUGACAUCAUUUGUGAUAUGUGCAGUAAUGGCAUUUCAAGUUUUAAACCGAAGACAUGGAGGGAAAUACCAAGACUAGUCCGCGAGCAGACACUAGUAGAAAAGGUUUUUUUUCAAAUUUCUGAAUUAUUUUAACCUCUAAUCACUCCUCUCACUACUCCAGCCUGAGCACGCUUAACUUCCGGGUUCUAUUCUCCCUCGUUUCCAAGUCUGCACUUGUUGUUUUCCUCACAAUAGUAAGAUGUCAAUCCUAUUAACCCUCAGGAAUUUAGCUUGAGCAUGAAGUCACACAUUACACUGUUUGAGUUUGAAACUAUUGUUCUAAAAAACAAUAAUUAUUUAGUAAUACUAAUAUUUCUUGAAUAAGUAGUUUGACCAUAGUUUGACCACAGUUUGACCAGAUUUGACCAAAAUUCAAAAAAAUUGAAAUAAUUAUUUAGUAACACUAAUAUUUCUUGAAUAAUUAGUUUGACCAUUGUUUGACCAUAAUUUGACCAGAUUUGACCAAAAUUCAAAAAAACUGAAAUAAUUAUUUAGUAACACUAAUAUUCUUGAAUAAUUAUUUAGUAACACUAAUACUUCUUGAAUAAGUAGUUUGACCUAGUUUGACCAGAUUUAACAAAAAUUAAAAAAAACAGAAAUUUGAGCAUAACUUUUUUCCUUUUAGAAUUUGAGGAUUCUAAAAAUUUGCAAACAGGUCGUAGGCAGUCAAAAUUGGAUGCGGAUUUUCGUGCUGAACAUUUUGAUAUAUUAUACGUUUUUUUCUGACAUCGUAUGCAAAAGUUAUAGCCAUUUUACAUUUUCCCUACACUUUUUGCAAAAUAUGUCCAAAUUUAAGUUUUUAAAUUUUCCUAACUAGUACAUGUAGUAACAUAACUACAUCUGGAAGGAUUUUAAUUUUUGAAGUCUUUAUCAUUUUCUUUUGCUUUUUUACAAAACUGAAAAGGCGAUCCACAGGGGGGGAGGGGGGUAGAGUUUGAAAAUAGGACCUUUAGUACCGGUUCGUGCCAUGAACCGGUACUAAUGCCUCAAACCCCAUUAGUACCGGUUGGUGGCUCGAACCAGGACUAAAGGCCUAACCUUUAGUAGCGGUUGGUGCCACGAACCGGUACUAAUGGGCAUCGCACCCUUUAGUCCCGGUUCGUGGCACCAACCGGGACUAAAAAUCCCAUUUGAACCGGGACUAAUGCCUGUACGGUGCCCUAGCCGCUCGAACCGGGACUAAUGCAACCGGGAUUAAUGCUCUUUUCUGACCGAACCAAAGCCCUGUUUUCUACUAGUGAGAGGAAUGCCACUUGAAAAGCAAGGGAACUAAAGCAAACCAUGCGGAAGUUUAAAAGGGCAGGAACCAUGUAGAAAGGGCAUAUGGAUUUUAUUUUGCUUCAAAUAAUGUUAUGUGAUGAUUGUAAUCAAUCGGCUCGGUUGAACUUUGACCUUUAUCUUGUCCAGAUUCUUGCAAUGUGAAUUAAUUCAUAUCCUUCAACAAUUCCUAGAUUUGAUUUCAAAAAAAAAAACAUUUCCUAGAUUUAGUAGAAGUUGAGAUAUACACACUUUGGCACACGCACAUACUGCCUUUUCUCUUGUAUUUCUUCUCCACACCACAAAUGAACUUGUUCAAAGGCUUAAAUAGUGUAACAGCAACGCACUAAGCCACACACGCCGGGUUAUCCUAAACUAACUCCCAACUAGCUAGCUGCAUGGACGCACACGUUCUCCACUUGUACAGCAUCUCCACAAUGGUUUCACGACUCAGCUAGAACAACACACAUGCAGCCGGCCGUUACUAACAAACUCACAACCACACUAGCUAGCACUUGCACGUUCAUGCCACAACUUCAGUACGUGUACGAGCUAGCUGCUGGUCGGUAAUUUAUCUGGGAAAUUUAUUACCAUGUACGUGCACUCGGCCGUGUACGUGUACAAAUAACACCAAGAAACCCUGGGAUAAGCAUUUAUCUGGGAAAUUUAUUACCAUGUCCAAAGGUGAAGAAUCUUCAAAUUAACUGAAACUACAUGCCGAUGAAGCUCAAUAAUUUACGGACAUCUCGUGCAAACAUGCAACGAUAACAUGAUUGCAGUACUGCCACAAGUAUCAACCGCAAUCACAACAUUAUAAAAAAAAUGCUCACGAGGCCAUAAUUCUCCCAGGACAUGCCACCUUGAAUAUGUGAAAAAAUGUCUAAAAUUAAUACAAGUAUGAACCAAGAAUAAAUCCUGAUUACAUGCUGGCACUUCAAGAUAAUUAGAGGUAGGGCAUGAAACUUUGCGAGGAGUUGCCAAUCUAGCUCUGCUGUUUCUAAUGAGUAGACAGAACAAACCUAAGGUGAAAAAGUGAGAAUUAUACCCUAAAAUAGAGCUAACCAUUUAUGUAUUACACCCUCGGUUGUAACUAUAAGUCUUUGUUGAGAUUCCACUAUGGACUACAUAUAGAGCAAAAUGAGUGAAUCUACACUCUAAAUUGCAUCUACAUACAUCCAUAUGUGGUCCAUUGUGAAAUCUCCACAAAGACUUAUAUUUAGGAAUGGAGGGAGUACAUCGAGAGGUAUAAGAUGCACCCAUCUGUAAAUUAAGAACUACUCCCUCUGUCCCAUAAUAUAAGACCUUAUUACAUCCAAUACGCAAGUUCUUAUAUUAUGAGACGGAGGGAAUAAUACUCACUUCAUAUCUAAAACAAAGUGACAGCCACUAAAAGGUUGGUAUUAAAUUUCUUUUUCCGUCAUCCAUGGAAAAGAAAGAUCAGCUAAAAACUGAGAGUAAACCGUUAGCCUGAGAAAAUUCUUUCAACCAGGAAACUGUAUGCAAGAACAUUUAGCUUACAGGCAAAUUAAGACAAAAAAUGUAAUCAAUGUUCUAUUUGUUAUCAUGCUACCUCUUCCUGGAAAGAGCCAUGCUUUUUUCCUAGUAUACCUCCCUCAUAAAGCAUUAAAUGGUCAAGUAAAGGCUUGGUUGUGUGUACAUUUUUCUUAGCUUUCUAGCUCGUUAAUUUCUUCAUUUUCGGUUUUAGCUGUAGAAGCUGUUUUGUUCUGUAAUUUUUUCAGUAUAGCUUCGGUUCUUAGUUGCUUUUAGCUUUCUUUUGUUUGCAUGUAAGAUAUUUCAGCAAUUUUCUUUCUUAAAUAGAUCAAACUCAGAGUAAAAUAGAAGCUCAUGUGCAUUUGUUCAACCAAGAAGAAUUUAAGAACUCAUAACCAGCUUCUUCAUGCCAAAAAACAGGGAAGAAAUAGAAAAAAGGGCAAUUGCAUGAGAAGUCUGCAACCGGAAUGAAGAAUCUGUAUAGCUGAUGGGAUUCGUUACAGUGUACCAUUUGCAUAACAUGUUUUUUACUAUUUACUUAUCUAGCAAUGUGAAUGCAAUUCACCACUUUGUACUUGUACAUGUUUUCCCAUAAACUAAAAGCAACAGAAAGCUAACAUAAACAAAAAACAAGAGGUAAUAAUAAUUUUGAAAAAACAGAGAUGUGCUAAUCAAUUAGAAGUAAACAUAUGGAAAUAUCAUUAAUUAUAAACCUCUUAUGGAAGAGUUUCUUAUGAAUCUCUGUAGAAUGUUGUCAUGUAAUCGAUACGUUCAACCUUCUACUACGAAAAUGAAUAAAAGCGUGUAGGAAAAAGAAAGGGAAACCUUUUACCACAUGGUGUCUCUUGCCCAUAUGAUAUCCCCGGUGUUUUACAUAAUUUGAGGUAACUCAAAAAUGGCCUGAAAAAUAUAAGAAUUCAAGUUCCAAUUUUCCAAUGUAUAGGAAACUGAAUUAAUUGCAUAUUUGAAGAGCAGAUUCUUACCUUUCCAUUGAUCUCAAGACCCGGACACUUGGAGUUCAGCACACACCAGCGGAGCUUCAGGACCCCAUAUAAAACGCAGGGAGGAUACAUAUCAUCGACAUACAUUAGCCCCAUAUAAAAAAAUCAUAGAGACCACUUCCGGUCAUUUACUAAUCAAGCAUUAAUGCAGCCUAAAAGAACUAUACUUAUUCAACACAUAUUAACCCCAAAUAAGGCACAUAGAACCAUAUCAAAAAUCAUGAGGCCACUUCCGGUCAUUCGCUAAAAUGAAGCAUUAACAAACUAAACCUAUUCUCCAAAAAUAAGGAUAUUGCCAUUUACCACACCAAGCACUUCUUAGUAAGGAUGGUCGCCAACCUUAAAUUUUACAAUAUAUGUAAUACUUAUGAUCACCAGUUUACUAGCGUUGCUGUGCAGUGCGAAUUCUGUUGCUACAUGUGUUCAUAAAGAAGAAGAAAACGGAAAAAGGGAGAGAAGCAGUUUUACAUUGGUCUGUGUUGUGUUUGCUCGGCAUGAUCAAGGGGUGAAGGUCUCUGUUAGAAGGGAGAGAGAGGGAUUGGUGCGGAAUAUGAUGGAUGUAUUAUUGAGCCUCGAGGGCGACUAUAUAUUGAGUACAAGACUUGGAGGACAAGACGCCUCUCCUAGAGAUAAUGUAGAAGAAGGAUUACAAAUCCUAGACUACGAAAUACAUGUAUCCCAAAUAUAUCUCUAACAUCCUCCCACAAUAGAAGCGACGGGCUGACAUCCCCCUGCAGUGGCAUCCCCCCGCAGCCGUAGCGUGAGCGUCGUGGACGGUGUCGCGUCGCGGACGCGUUGACUGUAGAGGAAGCCGACGAGUUUCUCAAGCGGAUGAUAACCCUUUGUGCGGAUGUCGAGGUAGCAGAGAGCGUAGGGUGGUGUAGCCAUGGUCGAGGUAGCCGUGUGCAGAACAUCGUGGUCGAUGUCGAGUCAGGGUAGCCGAUGUCGACAAAGUCGCCAUGGAGCCGCUGGCGCAAGGAGGCCCCGAGUUAGUCAUGGGCGCAUUGGUGUCGAAGUAGUGAUGCGUCGGGGAGAAGACGAUGUUCACGAGGCGUCGCGCCGGGUUUGCCAAGCCCACGAACACGUCAUAGACGAAGGCACUCGUCGGUGCUGCCAGCACCGGACAUGCGUAGACGGACGAAGACAAAGUUGACGAAGCGCCACACUAGGCUUGCCAGGCCCGGGGACACGUCGUGGACGAAGGCACGCAUCGGUGUUGCCAGCACCGGGGAUGCAUAGACGAGGGACCUGCACAAGCUGUACGUCAUGUCGAGAAGUCAGAGGGCCAAUAGAGAAGAAGACUCGACGACGGUUGUGGUGCCAAUCGACGCGGGGCCGAUGUCGCCAACGGUGGUCGGAGUAGACGAAGAGGUCGGGGAAGAUGACGGCGACGCUGGCGAUGAGCUGGUGUUAGAUGAAGACGAAGGGGGUGGAUGGGCGGCGGCGGGCGGCCGAAGAAGAGCAGUGGCAGCGGCUAGGUUAAUAGCGUGGCGGCGGUGCUCGAAGUAGGUGAGGAACUCGACAGCCUCACGAAGACCGGCGCGGACGGUGGCGUUCCUGCGCCGAGGGAGACGACACGUCGCAUACCAUGGGAGGUCGACACGUGGUGACAGCGUAGUGGACCGCGGGCCACAAUGCUACAUCCCAAAGGGGCGACGCAGUGCCGGCGGGCAGGUCGGGGCGACGGCGGGAAGACCUCAGGGCGGUGGCGGGGACCGCGGGCCGCGGUGCUACGACCCAAAGGGGCGGUGCAGCGCUGGAUCCCGGGUCGGUGCAACUGCGUGAACGGUCUGGGAUGGCGGUGUGGACCGCGUGCCACGCUCGCUCUGGCCCGACGGGGCGACACAGCGGCGACGUGAGGGUCGGUACAGCCACAGGGACAACCUGGAGCGGAUGCCCUCAGGAGGCGGUGGACCAUGGGCCGCGGCACUACGGCCGAAGGGGCGACACAGCGGUGACACGGGUCAAUGCAACCAGGAGAAGAACCACGUGGUGGCCGCGCUGCGGCCCGACGGGGCGACGCAACAGCAGCCUGUUCCUUGAUCGAUGGAGGGGCGCGCUGAACUCGGGGGCGAUCUUCACGGGACUUGCGAAGGCGCGCGCAACCAACGGGCCAGGUUGGUUGCGUUGCGUAGAUGAGGCGUAUCAUGGCGGCGACCGGGUGAUCAAGCCGAUCAUGCGCGAGGUCGGGGACGCCGCUUGGUUGAGACGGGGUGACGGCUGAGUCCGCGAUGAAGCCGGCGAUGACGAAUGGGGUGGGAUGUCAUGCGGAUGAGCAUGUCAGCACCGGCACCAGGGCUGCCAAAGCAGCGUCGGCGCUUGGGCAGCGAGGCCCGAGCGACCAACGUAGCAGCGGCGCCCGAGCUGAGGCAGCCGACGAGCCUGACGCAGCCGGGGACGAGACCCGUGAGGCAGACCGCAAGGCCGCCUUGCGGACGCAGUGGAGGCGGGCUAUGAUGGGCCGCCGCAUGGCGCGAGGCCUCCGGGUCAGGGCGAUGCAGGUGUCCCGGUCGGAGAGGGCGGUGAUGGCCGUCAUAGAUCGACGAGCAGGCCGACGCGUGUAUGAUGCAGCCGCCUGUCGCGUGAGGCUGCCGGUUCGGUGAAGAGGCCGGCCGGUCGCGCCGGUGUUGGAGUAGAGGCGCUCAGGGGUCGACGACGGCGGCGAGCGACGCAAACCGAUCAAGUUUAGAUCGGAAAACCAAAAAAACGCCGAUCAAGGUGACCAGCGGGAGAGAGAAAAGCCCGAAGCAAGGGCUCAAGAAAAUGACUCUCUAGGGCGGCCGGUCAACAUCUAUCAAGUAUAUGUCUAACCGUCUCCUACUAUUUCGAAGGAAUUGGGACACCACGGCUCGGAAGGUGGAACGCCAGCACUGGUGUGCGCCACUGCUCCAGCCAAUGGGCUGCAGGCCGCACUCGCGUUGUCUCAUCUCGGCGGCUCCCGCCGAUUCAGCACAAAUUAGAGCCAAACAAACCACCGAAAUCCAUACCAACAAGCAAGGAAAAACACCAGAAUAUUUGCUAAAAUCAAUAGCCCAUGCAAUCGGAUAUAUACAGCUAGCAACAACCACUUUUUACCCAUAAACAUCAACCACAAUCUCCAUCCACCCACAACGUUACGCUAACUGUACAACUUCUGGGAAAAAAAGCAAGAACAAGUAAUCCAACGUCACCACCACAAAUCUAACAAUCUUAAGAAGUUGAUCCCUACUACUACCAAGUCUCUUAACAUGCACACUGUCCACAUCAUCAUCAUGCCACAUCAUCAUUCAGUUUGCAAAUUCUCUUAACAUGCAUCUACUCAACUCAACCAUGCAGCCACAUCAUCGCACAGCUGGCUGGCUUUCUCCCCGAAGCUGAAGGGUUCUCAACGAUCGCUUCCUUUCUUCUUCAUGCUACGGGCCAUUAUAGUUGCCAUUUCAAUCUUCCACUAUCCCAUACAUACAAGAUUAAUUAUCGAGGUAAUCAAGCGGCUGGCCAACGGUCCCCGUCCCGUACUUUAUAGUUGUACGUCCCCUCACGUCUUCCUCCACUUCCCAGUCUGCAUCUCUACUCAGGACGGCGGUGUCGAUCUGCAUCAUCGUUGUGUGGUUGCAACGUUGGCCGGACAAUUCACUUGCAAUUCCGCGAGUGCAGGUGCCACUGUUGCUCCCCGUCAACCUCAAAGGUCUGCCUCAUGAUUUGUUUGUUUUCUGCAUCCAUUAUUCCAUUGAUUGUUGAGAGUAUAUAUGCAGAAUAGCAAAACACGCGCAGACACGCUUGCUUCUGGUAUUGACGAGCAUAUUCUCCCGGAUCUCAUUCGUAGCAGCUUAAGAUUCUUUAACAAAGGCACCAAUAUUUCUUGCAUUGAUUUAGAAGACAAUUCAUUACAAAGGAAGUAUAAAAUGGAAGAUUGGAGGUAUGAAGAAUAUUUAUAAAUUAGAAGAGUGGAUGAAAGAAAUUAUGUAUGUAAUGCCAUUUCCUUCAAGUUGUGGAGGCCAGCCAUCCACAUAUCAGUGGAACUAAAGAUUCUGUCGUUUCUUUUCAUUCCUCAGGUGCCACCAAAUUAGCAUAACCAAAGCAGGGAAAUCUUUUUUGCGAGGUGGCUAAAAUGACAAUUGGUACAUCAGUCCUCCACGUUGUUAGCCAGUAGAGAAGAAGCAAGAUCAGCUAGGAAACUACAAAAACGCAAGGCAAAAUCCCAAACUGCAGAGGAACCUUUUUUAAUUAUUCAUUCAGUUACCUCUGUCUCUGUACAUUCUUAUCAAAAAACUGUGAGUGGAACACUUGUCAACAUUGAACAAAUACAAUUUCAUGGAUUUGAGAUAAGCUCUACAGACGUUGUUAGAUCUAUGAAUAUUUGGCCGACCACAGUAGGCAGACGCCAAGACGCGUACCAUCGUAUUUUAAUGUUCUUUUAGAAUAUUAAUAUUUUCAGGUAUCAUGAAUACCCAAUAUGUUAUGAAUUUUCAGGGCGCUGACAUACAGUCUUUGUCAUAUGAAAAUGAUAUUCUUAAACUAUCAAAUCUCAAAUAAGUCAUCAAAAAGUCCCGCAGCAAUGCGCGGGGCAUCGUCUAGUAAUAACAAAAUGAAGAUCCACCACCGCCGCACCACUACAACGUUAACACCCCACCAGCCCAGAGGAGAAAAAAAUUAACAAGGGGAGAACGGCAUACUGCACAGGCCCAGCUAGAUAUAACGGAGGAAGACAGCGAGGGAGCCGCCCGAGAAGACGGCCAGGAGUGGCAAUACGACCAAAACAACACUCGCACCACCUAACUUCUUACAACAGCAACAAUGGCGAUAACGGGAACCCAACACGGCACCAAAUCCUCCUAUUGCGCCCACCCAACCCUCCCCUAUGCGACGCCGCCCACCGUCGAGAUCCUGCCCGUGCUGCAGAUGCGCCAUUUGGUGGCCACACAAGGUGUGCCGGCGAGCAUCUGGGACGCAAGCAGCUGCAGGAGGAUGCGGGGCCGUGCAGGGAAGCAGGCGGCUGGGACACACAGGGGGUCUAGUUAACAGCGAGCUAGGGGGCCAUAUCGCGCUGGGGCAGAGACGGCGGCGGCUUGCAUGAGGAGGAGACGAGCGUCGGUGUGCUAGGGGCUAGGCUGGCUGUUUGGUGGCGCGACUUGGGUCAGGGACCGUUGGUUUGGGAGGUUUGGAAUAUGGGCAGGGUUUGGUCGGUCGGGUAGUCUGGCUCAUACUCUAGUUCGUCCUUCGCGAAGAUGUGCACCAGUGGCUCUGACUCAUACUCCAUUGUAAGCAUCUCGAAUCGGUCUAGUUCGUCCUUGGCGAAGAAGUGCUCCAAUGGUUCUUGCUCGUUCUCCAUGCUAAGCAUCUCCAAUGGCUCCGGCUUGUGAUUGUGCGUCGAAAAACCCUGAGCCCAGUUUAUUUGUUACAUGGAUGGCAUGUCGUUGUACAUCAUUGUGGAUCCAUGGAAGUUGUGCUAAAGGUAGGAUCACUGCGAUGAUAGUUGUGGCAUACCACUCUGGUUUGCCUAGUUCUAACUGUUCCAACAGGGAACACUGUGCAUAUUUGUUUCACUCCAAUAUCUCAUACAAGUUGUAUGUACAUUGCUAAUAACCCUGUAAUGCAGGGAUUAUUUUCAGACAAGUAAUAAUUACUAGAGUAUCUAGCUACAAGUCCAGGACUAGAUGCUUCAAUCUAAAGCUAUACUAUAUGGCUACAUGACUAUUACAUCCUAUAUUUAUUAGUGGAGGAAGAAAGUUACAUUAUGAUGGACAACAUAUAUAUACCAGCGAAAGGCCUAGAUCAUCCGAAAGGCAUGCAUGUAGUCAUGAGUGUAUUACUGCAUAGCUGCAUGCAAUUCGUUCGUGAUGUUCAUUGUUUCUCUUUCUCUUCACAUGAAGAAUACAUGCAGAGUUGAUUACACAACAUACAUGUGUGAGACACUUACAGCUGGAAACGGCUGCUUCAUUUGGGCCAGACCAACUUUAGAGAAGUUCCAGUUUUCCAAACAACCAAGCCGUAGUAGGCAGAUGGCCCAAAAAAAUCAGGAUCACAUGGAAUCUUGAGUGAGUUCCAAUUCAUGAUCGAGUUUACCUACUCAAGGACGAGCAGGAAUUAAGUUUGGGGAUGCUGAUACGUCUCUAACGUAUCUAUAAUUUAUGAAGUAUUCAUACCAUGUUUGCAACAAUUUUGGUAUGAGUUGAAAGGAACUAACCCGGGCCGACAUUAUUUUCAGUAGAACUACGGUGGUGUUUUUUUUUUGCAGAAAUAAAAGUUCUCAAAAUGAGCUGAAACUUUUUGACCAUUUUUUAGGAACAAGAGGGAACCAGGAAGCUUCGGGGGAGCACUAGAAGACAAAGGGACCCAACGAGCCAUCUGGGUGCGCCCGCCGCCUGGGCGCGCCCUGGUGCCUCAUGGGCCCCUUGUGGCACCUCUUGACGUGAGACCGACGUAAAAAAUUCCUAUAAAUAUAGACACCUCCAGAAAUAACCCUAUAACUUUGACUCCGCCGCUGCAAGCCUCUGUACCUUCGAAAUGCCAUCUGGAGCCAUGUUUCGACACCCUCCUAGAGGAGGAAAUCAUCACUAGAGGCCAUCUUCAUCAUCCCUGCAGUCCUCCUGACGAGUACUGAGUAGUUCACCCUCGAGGCUAGGGGUAUGUACAAGUAGCUAUGUCUUUGAUCUCUCUCUCUCUCUCGUGUUCUUGAUUUGUCACGAUCUUGAUGUAGCACGAGCUUUAUUAAUGUAGUUGGAUCAUAUGGUGUUUCUCUCUCUCUAUCUUGUUGUGAUGAAUUGAGUUUUUACCUUUGAGUUUUACUAUUAUCGGAUUGAAUACAUGUUGGAUUUGAGAACACUUGAUGUAUUUCUUGUAUAUGAAUACCCGUGGGGAAAAUGUGGUACUAUAUUGAUUCACUUGAUGUAUCUUUUCGCACACAAUUUACGGAUUCCCGAGGUGACAUUUGGGUAAUCUAUGCAUUGGGGUUGAUGCACGUUUUCAUCCUACUUUUUCCGGUAGUAAUCUUGGAGCACUCUUCGUCCAUACUACACUUGUAUCACCAUCUCUUGAUUGAAACUAGUGCACAUAUACAAUUUACCGUUGUAUUGGGUGUGUUGGGGACACAAGAAAUUUCUGGUAUUUGAUUACAGGAUAAUUUGAGAGAGACCAUCUUCAUCCUACGCCUCCCACGUAUUGAUAAAUCUUAGGUCAUCCACUUGAGGGAAAAUUGCUACGGUCCUACAAAACUUUGCGCUUGGAGGCCCAACACAAGUCUACAAGAAUAAGUUGUGUAGUAGACAGCAGCGUACGCGCAUAAACUUCUAGAGAAGAGCGGCAUGGCAGGGUGCAAGGCGUGUCACAUGCCGAUGGAGCCACGGUUCAAGCUGUCAAGGGAAAGCACGGCGUCGGUCAUCGACGAGAUGGAGUACCGCAGUAUCGUCGGGAGCUUGCGGUACCUGGUGCACACACGACCUUACCUGACAUUCUCGGUUGGGUACGUGUCUCGGUUCAUGGAGGCGCCAACGAAGGAGCAUCUCAUCGCAAUCAAAGCACAUUUUGAGGUACAUCGUCGACACACUUCAACUGGGUUGCAAGUACACCAAGGGAGAGAGCACUGCCCAGCUCGUCGGGUACAACGACAGUGAUCUGGGCGGUGACAUCAACAACCGCAAGAGCACCACCGGCACCCCAUUCCUCCUGGGUGGCGGUGUGGUUACUUGGCAGUCACAGAAGCAGAAAAUCAUGGCUCUCUCAAACUGUGAAUCGGAGUACGUCGCUGCAACCACGAUGGCUUGCCAGGCGAUCUGGCUCUUGCAGCUACUCGACGAGUUCAGAGAAACAAAGGCAGAAGUGGUGAAGCUCAAGGUGGCCAACAAAUCAGCAAUUACGUUGGCCAAAAAUCCUAUGAUGCACAACAGAUCGAAGCACAUCGAGCUCACAUAUCAUUUCAUCAGAGAUUGCAUGUCGACAAAGAAGAUCGAGCUUGAUUACGUGGCAACAGAGUUGCAGCUUGCAGACAUGCUAUGACAAAGCCUCUUGGUCACAUUCGACUGCAGCAGUUGCGAUCAAGCAUCGACAUGAUCGACUCGCUACCUGAACCUUCAGUUUAGGGGGUGAUUGUCGGGAUAAACUUCAGUUUCACGUUUAGCUGGGUUUUAGGUGUCAUGUUUUUUGAAUUUCAGAUGAAUUUUGGAUUUACUAGAAUUUAAAAAUAAAGUACUCAACGUUUUGCCGGCAAUCAACGAUGCCCUGGUGUUUGAAAUUCAUUUCCAUUUCUUGCAUGUGACCUAAGCAUGCACCCAAGGACACAGAUUUGUUUUUCAACCAAUUUAUAUGCACUCGAGCAUGUGGAUGUAGUUCAAAUUUGAAUUAUGCACAUAAAUGCAUUGAAAACUCAGUUAAUGCAUAAACGUGUCCAAAUAAACCCCGAAAAAUAACAAAAUUGACACAACACUCCUGUUGUUCUAUCUUGACACGAGAAAAAAUUUGAAAGCAAUAAGAGGCAAUGAAUAUCCCCAAAGGUGGGACGUUCCCUAUCGAAACCAUCAUGCUUAUUGUGAGAAGCUCUGGUUUGUGAGAAGCAUAUACCCAAACCUGCCCCAAAUGGGACAAAAUUUUUACCACGGCAUGUUGAUGCCGCUCCAUGAUAGCAUGCCAAGUUUCAUGAAUUUCAGAUGAGUUUUGGAUUUACUAGAAUUUAAAAACCAGGCAUCUCAAUGUUUUCCCGACAAUCAAUUGUGCCCUGGUGUUUGAAAUUCAUUCCCAUUUCAUGCAUGGGACCUAAGCAUGCACCCAAGGACACAUAUUUGAUUUUUCAAUCAAUUUAUAUGCACUGGAGCAUGUGCAUGUAGUUCAAAUUUGAAUUGUGCACAUAAAUGCAUUGAAAACUCAGUUAAUGCAUAAAAAUGUCCAAACGAACCCCAAAAAAUCACAAAAAUUCACACAACACUCCUGUUGUUCUAUGUUGACACGAGAAAACAAAUUGAAAGCAAUAAGACGCAAUGUAUAUCGUUUCGUCCCUAAAGGUGGGACGUUCCCUACCGAAAACCAUCAUGCUUGUUGUGAAUUUUAGACAAACCUGCCCCAAAUGGGACAAAAAAUUUACCAUGGCAUGUUGAUGCCGCUCAAUGAUAGCAUGCCAAGUUUUAUGAAUUUUAGACAAGUUUUGGAUUUACUAGAAUUUAAAAACCAGGCAUCCCAAUGUUUUGCCGGCAAUCAACGGUGCCCUGAUGUUUGAAAUUCAUUCCCAUUUCUUGCAUGGGACCUCAGCAUGCACCCAAGGACACAUAUUUCAUUUUAAACCAAUUUAUAUGCACUGGAGCAUGUGCAUUUAGUUCAAAUUUGAAUUAUGCACAUAAAUAAAUUGAAAACUCAGUUAAUACAUAAAAAUGUCCAAAUAAACCCUGAAAAAUCACAAAAUUGACACAACACUCUUGUUGUUCUAUGUUGACACGAGAAAACAAUUGAAAGCAAUAAGAGGCAGUGGAUAUCGUUUCGUCCCUAAAGGUGGGACGUUCCCUACCAAAACCAUCAUGCUUGUUGUGAGAAGCUCUGAUUUGUGAGAAGCAUAUACCCAAACCUGCCCCAAAUGGGACAAAAAUUUUACCACGGCAUGUUGAUGCCGCUCCAUGAUAGCAUGCCAAGUUUCAUGAAUUUCAGACGAGUUUUGGAUUUACUAGAAUUUAAAAACCAGGCAUCUCAAUGUUUUGCCGGCAAUCACCGGUGCCCUCGUAUUUGAAAUUCAUUCUCAUUUCUUGCAUGGAACCAAAGCAUGCACCCAAGGACACAUAUUUCAUUUUUCAACCAAUUUAUAUGCACCGGAGCAUAUGCAUGUAGUUCAAAUUUGAAUUAUGCACAUAAAUGCAUUGAAAACUCAGUUAAUGCAUAAAAAUGUCCAAACGAACCCUGAAAAAUCACAAGAAUUCACACAACACUCAUCUUGUUCUAUGUUGACACGAGAAAAAAAAUUGAUAGCAAUAAGAGGCAAUGGAUAUCGUUUCGUCCCCAAAGGUGGGACGUUCCCUUCCGAAAACCAUCAUCCUUGUUGUGAGAAGCUCCGGUUUGUGGGAAGCAUAUACCCAAACCUGCCUCAAAUGGGACAAAAUUUUUAUAUCGGCAUGUUGAUGCCGCUCCAUGAUAGCAUGCCAAGUUUCAUGAAUUUCAGACGAGUUUUGGAUUUACUAGAAUUUAAAACCAGACAUCUCAAGUUUUGCCGGCAAUCAACGGUGCCCUCGUGUUUGAAAUUCAUUCCCAUUUCUUGCAUGGGACCUAAGCAUGCACCCAAGGACAGAUAUUUGAUUUUUCAACCAAUUUAUAUGCACUGGAGCAUGUGCAUGUAGUUUAAUUUUGAAAUGGCUAGAAAACCAAUUUAAUGUAUAAAAUGUUUGAACGAACCCUAAAUAAUUACAAUUCUUUUACGACACACAUAUAGUUGCAUGUUCACUCCAGAUAAAAAGGUCUAGCAAUUCAAACACCGUCCAUUGCCGUUGUGUCCCCAUUAUGUAAUUCAAAUCAAGAUGAAAAAUCAAGUAGAUCGCACGCAGUUUAUUAUCAGCAACCGUGUGAGAUGCAACACAAGAUAUCCUGGAGCACCGUCGGCGUAUAGUACGCCUAUGAUUUACGCGAGAAUGUGCGUCGGCUACAGUCCACAGCCGGUGUCUCAAGCACACUAGCUCUCUCCCCAAAUAUCAUUUCACUGUUCAAUCGUCGCCAGCGAAAGAUGGGCACGUGGACCCGUGUCGUGAGGGCAACUCCGGUGGCCCACUCCGGCGAGAGCGUGGCCGCAGCCGCCAUGCGCGUGCUAACAAGGUGCAUGAGCGUGGCCGCAAUCUGCGGCCGGGCGGCAAAGGCAGCCCAAACGGCCGUUGUUGCUUCUCAGGUGGCGGCAGCAACAUCUGCCUCGGGGAUAGCAACUGGCGAGAGCGGCACAGCAGCUGUCCAUUCUGCAGCGGGGGCCUUAGCCCUGAUGGAGGCCGCCCACGACCAUGUCGAGGCCGCCCACGGCCAGCUCCUAGCGGUCACCGCCCAAAUCGAAUGAAGCCUCUCCGACAACGGUCGACGACCCACGGCCGAAGAGCUGGCAAUCGCCGAGAGGAUUCAAGCAACCUCCGUUCCUGCGCCGCAUACCUUGCAACGACGGAGCCUGUCCAAGCCUAGAUUGCAUCCGCCCACGCCCAGCUCGUGGCGGCCUUUUCCAAAGAGAUGGCGGACGCGGAUGGCGAGAUGCUUGCCGAGUAUGGUGCGAUGGAUGCCAUGGAGCCCCUUCCCCAGGAGACCGUCGGGCGCGAGGUGGACAUGGAGGCGGCGGCGGAGGUCAACGAGCACCAGCCGUAGUAGUAAUCUUUAUUUUGUUUAAUUAAGAGCGCCGGUCUUUAAUUUGUUAGAGUAAUGUUUAGGUCAGCUAGCUCUGUUUAAUUGCUGAACUUGCUCGAUUAAGAAGUGUGGGUUUGCUGUAGUCUCCUUUGUGUACUCAAAUUAUGCAAUGACGUGGAUGAACACUGUAACCAUGGAAAUUCGAACCAAAACUUUUAAGUUAUCUGAAUCGUUUGUGAUGUCCACAUAUCGUACACAGUUCUGAAUAAGGGACCGUGUCUGAUGACACUUUACGCGCCAGUUUUUUGGCUGAAGCGAUUCCAAAUUUUCGGCUUCCGCGGAAAUAUCUACCUCCCCGCCCCUCCCCCUUACCAAAAGCCACAUUUACCCUCUUUCCGCCUUCCUUUCCAAGUUGAAACCUUCACUCCUUGCUUGCAGCGCCGCCUCCUCGUCGGUGAUCCUCCUUCACGCUGCUCGGCCUCGUCUAUCCAGGCAGGUAAUCCACACCAGACCCUCAUCCUCCUCCUCCUUCCACAUCUCACAUGCCCCGACCACCGACGCGAGCGCGACACCUUCCACCCAAAUCACCGACCCCUCCACCAAAUAAGCACCGCCCUAAGCCAUGGUGCACGAAGUAUAGCCAGGAUCUCAAGGAGCAUUUGGCAGUGGAGAAGCAAAUCGCGGCCACACGUGCGGAUGAGGUCGAUGGCUGCCAUUCGUGCCGACCCCCAGAUCUUGGAGGAGCACCUUGCCAUUUGCUAGCUACGCCCGUUAAGCAUGCUCGGCUUACCCAUUGCGUGUGCUGCUCCUGCCUUUCCUUCACAAAUUCUAGUGAAUUGUGCUAUCUAAUUUUACCAUGCAACCUGUUGUUCCAGUGUAUAUGUUCUAUAUGUACUGCAGUGUGGUGCUCACUUAUUAACUGUUUUGUUAAUUACUUGUCAUCUUCAGUUAACUGUUUGGUUCAAUUCUGCAAAUGUGAUGUUCAAUUCUUCAGGCAGCAAUUUUGUAUUGUCUUCCAUGUGAGAAAUAAAUCGAAUUUAUCUUUACAAAAUACCUGAGAAACGAAUACAAUUGCUAUAUUUCCAAGUUGUCAAGCAUGGUUGGUUUGGUUAUACAUUGUGCAAUGUGGUUCUCAGUUAACGUUUGGUUCAUUUGUGUUGUGGUGUUCAGUUAACUGUUUGUUUCAAUUCUGCAAUGCGAUGUUCAAUAGUUGUUGGUGCAUUCUGUUAUUGUAUACCAUGUGAGGAAUAAAUUGAAUUUGGCUGUAGUAAAUACAUGAGAAACAAAUACAAUUGCUACAAUUGGCUGUAGUUAACUAUUUGGUUAACUGUCUGAUCUUCUAUUAGGAGUAUGUUAUAUUAUGCAAUGUGGUGCUCAGUUAAUGUUUGGUUCAUUUGUUGUGGUGUUUAGUUAACUGCUUGGUUCAAUUCACAAUAUCACACACAAGAGCUUAGAGGAAAUUGUGCCCAAUGCAAACUUCAAUACCACUCGUAAAUUGUUCAGGAAACGUGUGAGAUGGUUUCAUGCAUGGCAGACGAUUGCCACAUAAUACUUGUGUGCGAUGGGGCACAUAUCACACACGGUUUCUAUUAUGGCCCAUGUUCCUUAGGUACAGUUUCGCAAACAGUCCAAUAUGAAACACCGUUUGGUUUCACUGCGUAAUUACAAACGUUUGAUCACCAAUCCCACACGUGUGCCAGAAUGUAGAGUGUGCGAUAUGUUGUUGCAUCACAUACGAUUACAUUUGGCAUCGCAUGUGCAACAUCUAUGCCUAUCACCAACGGUUUCUGGGUCGUGUGGGAAAAAAACCCCUGUCGUACAAAUAGACAAGGCGAUGGACAAACAGACAAGGCGACGGUUUAAAACUCCAUCGUGGAAAGGGGUUAAAAACCGUUUGUAUAGGAGCUCGUUGUACAAGUGGUUGCACAUCAAAGAUGGACUUGCAUAUGGGAGAACAACACAAAAAUAUGAUACCAUUUGCGAGUCAAGGGUGGACUUGCAACUGAGAAAAUAACAAAUUACAAAGCCCAGUAAUGAGUUGAGAGUCGACUUGCAAGUGGGAUGAAAAACAAAAACACAUGCACAUUUUCAAGUCGAGGGUGCACUUGCAACUCGGAAAACUACAAGCCCAAUUGCGAGUCGAGGAUGGACAUGCAACUGGGACAACUACGAAACUACGAGCACAAUUGCAAGUCAAGGCUCAAGUUGCAACUGGGACAAAAUAAACUAUGGGCCUAGUUGCGAGUGAAGGGUGGACCUGCAACCGGGAGGAAAACUAAACACACGCCGAUUUGCCAGUUUAAGGUGGGUUUGCCACUGUAAUGAAACAAACUACAUUCCUAGUUGCGAAUCGAGGAUGGACUUGCAACUGGGACAACUACACAAAACUACGAUACGAGCUGCAAGUCAAGGGUGGACUUGCAACAGGGACAACUACACAAAACUACAACACGAGGUGCAAGUCGUGAGGGUGGACUUGCAACUAGGGCAACUACAAAACUACAAGGCUAGUUGUGAGUCAAGUAUCGACUUGCAACUGGGAUGAAACAGACUACGGGCCUAGUUACGAGUCAAGGAUGGACCUGCAACCAAGAUUAAAAACUAAACACAUGUCGAGUUGCGACUUAAGGAUGGGCUUCAACUGGGAUGAAACAAACUAUGGGCCUAGUUGUGUGUCGUGGGUGUACAUGCAACUGGGAAAACUACGCAAAACUACGAUACGAGUUGCGAGUCGGGGGUCGACUUGCAACUACGACAACGACACAAAACUACGAUACAAGCAAGUUCCGAGUCGCGACGGUGGACUUGCAUCUGAGGCAACUAAGAAACUACGACCCUAGUUGCAAGUCAAGUAUCGACUAUGGGCCCACUUAUGAGUCAAAGGGUGGACUUAGAACCGGGAGCCCAGUUAUGAAUCAAUGGUGGACUUGCAAUUAGGACAACUCUGAAAUAUGAGCCUAGUUGCAAGUCAACUUGCAGCUAGGAUAAAACAAACUACGGGCCCAGUUGCGACUCAAGGGUGGCAGCAAACGGGACAAAAAACUAAACACAUGCCAAGUUGCGAGUCAACGGUGGGCUUGCAACUGGGAUGAAACAAACUACGAGCCUAGUUUCGAUUAGACUGUGUAUUUGCAACUCGGACAACUACACAAAGCUACGAUGCAGGAUGAGAGUCGAGGGUUAACUUGCAACUGGGACAAGUACACAAAACUAUGAUAUGAGUUGCAAGUCAAGGGUGUACUUGCAAAUAGGACAACUACAAACUACGAGCCCAAUUGUGAGUUGAGGGUGGAGUUGCACUUGAGCUGAAAAUUAUACUACAUGCCUAGUUGCGAGUCAAGAAUGGGCUUGCAACUAGAAUGACACAAAUUGUGGCCCUAAAUCGAGUAAAGGGUGAACUUGUAAAUGGGACAACUAUACAAGGAAAUAGAAGAACGAAAAGCAAAAUAUAAAAAGAAAAAUGAAAAACCGAACCAUAGCUCGACGGAAGAGAGAGAGAGAGAGAGACAGAGAGAGAGAGAGACAGAGAGAGAGAGAGAGAGAGAGAGCAACGACUCAUGUUACUCUAUACAAAAACGGAACCACACCCACAAAAUAGAGUGAGAAGAGCUGCAGCCUACACAAAGUGAAAACUGACACAACCCCGACAACAAAUUUGUGCCACGAAACGGCCCCUAGCAUGCGACGAUACAUAACCUACCAACAAUGGACGGAAGCCGCGAAACGGGUCUAGACCCUGAUGCGGAUCAAAACCCCGCACGAAAAUUUCAGCAACAAAAGAUCAUACAUUUGAACAUUUAGAUGAGACAUUGCUAGAUCUCAUCCCGAUGAAUUACAAUCUAUGUGAAAAAUAGGCUCAUAUACUCACACAUACGCAAACAUGGAAGACAAUGAGAAAAAUGGCCAGCAGUGUGACACAAAAAACCGGCUUGACAACGCAAACACCAGCAGGACCCAAGGCACAUGCAUGUGAACAAAACAAUUUUGCACGAAACAUACAUGUUUUGAUCAAGUGAUGAACAACUUAGGUGUGACAUAGCUAAAAAUCAUCCAGAUGAGAAUUAACAAAUCAAGAAGAAAAUAAAUGAAUAUAAAAAUAUUUAAAAUAAAAGUAAAAAAAAAAAAACAUACGUGUGGCAUGUCCAUUUUUAUCAUUUUUCACCUCGUGCGGUAAGACAACAAAUAAGGAAAUAAAAUAAAAUUUUAAAAGUGCAACUAAUAGUGUGCAGGGUGUGUUUGCACGAGCUACAACCCAUGCAUACAGCUAGACAUACAUGCAAAUCGACCACAGCCACCAAAUCGAUGCGAAAGAAAAAGUAAACAGACGCUCAAUAGAGCCCCAUGAGUCUAUACGUGAAACAAGCUCAUUGGCGCGGGCUAUGGAAGAACAAUAAGAAGAAAAAACAACGCACUAAGCUGAGAAAAAAGAAUGAAUCUUAAAGGGCUUUCAUCAUAUCAUGAUAGAGUUAGAUGUGAGGUAACUAUUUCACAUCUAGACGUGAAAUAGCAUAUAAUCAAGUGCAUUUCACAGUGUUUUCUGCGCCUAGCUAGUUGUAAAGAACAAGUUCAAUUCAGUCUAAUUUAGUUCUUAUGAUGUUAUUAUUGAUGCCUUCCUUCCCACCCUGAACCUCUCAUAUAUCCCCUUCGAACGUCACGUCUUGCUUCCUCUCGUAGAUGGUCUUGGGAAGAAGGUCUCCGAGCUCUUCAUCGGGUGCGGGCAUAUGUCGACAGCGGCCACUCCAGCCUUCCCGUCAACACAAGCAAAAAAUUAUCAACCAUGUUUGUCCGUCUCUUCUGCGAUUCGGUUCACAUGAAUAUUAAGGGGCACACCCAUUUGCAUAUCAGCUACAUGAAUCAGGAAGGUCAUGGAGCAGAAUUCAGUCUUGUAGCCUGACAGUCAUGUACAUUUGUGCUUUGCUAGCUGAAUAACUCCUGCUCUAUAUAUGUGGAUGUCACUUCAAAUAAUCACCAAAUUUUUGCCUACGCACGGUAUGCAGGUGGAGGAGAAGCAGUGGGUGUGGAGGUUCCAUCCCUUUUCGACGUCUGAGAAGAAAAUUCAUCCAUUCCGUGGUCACUGGAAGGAUAUCCAAGUUAGUUACAACAUUAAAUCCUCCGUAUGUCUCGGCGUCCUUCUGUUUUGCACUGUCAAAUUUCAUAUGUGCAUCAGAGGAAAUGUGCUUUCUAUGGGCAUGUUGGAGCGAACCGAGUUCCAGACCACAUCUAUAUGGCUAUAGGCAAUGAUCAAUAAAAGGGCACUGCAUUUUAUAUCUUCUAAAACAUCACUGAAAUUUUAGCGCUAUAUCUUUAUUUUUGUUGCUUCCGUUCAAUGUUUAGAAACUCAUUAGUACAAUAAAAAGAAUUCCAUUUGUCCCUUUAUCCGUCUUUCACUAUCUCACAAUAACAGCACAUAUUAGGCUCACCAAACUGGAUCACAUACUCAUACAUAUCUUUCAUCGUCCAAUAGCAGGAGAUUGUCAAGUUGCCUUUUAUCAUGUCAGUAUACUGAGUAUUAUGUAUGUUUGUAUGAACAAGAAAUAAUCAUCUACCAGCAGAUUAGGAUCACUUCUGAGGUCGAUCAUGUACUCAAUCUUACUUACUGGUGUCAUUAAAAAGGACAAGAAAGUGACCACUUGCUACCGGGUCUUCUCUAUUCCGCAGUAAGCAUGUGAUGCAUUCUAGAUUCAAUGAUUUCACGUGAACUAAUCCUUGUCGGGUAGGUUCUUGAGAUAAAUUAUAUUUUGUUGUCGCACAACAGGUGUGUUAUUUCAUGUCUAGUCAAUGGAGGUAAUUGCUUAAUUUGCAAUCCUGCAACUUUUUGUAGUAUUUGGAAAGAAAAUUCGUAUCAUUUGCUAAGGUCAUAGGCUCAUAGCCAUUGGAACAUCAUUUUGAAAAACUGCACUGGAUGUUCUGAAUACAUAAUAUAGUGCUCUACUUGCAAUAUUCUGGAUUAUAUGCUCAUGAUGUCUCAUAUGUCUGCUGGUGCCUCAUUUUAGCCAUUUGACUAAUUAAAAACCUGCAUCGUUAAUGUCAUCACCUUGUUUAGUUUGGCACUGUGUAUGGCUCUCUGAUCUCAUGAGGGCUAUUGCUUUCCAAUUAAAAUGAUGUAAGGAGGAGGAUGUGAAGUUGACAACACCAAGUCUCAAGUUUUAUGGUUUCUACAUGCGUUUCUUAUUUUGCUUUCCAUCAAGUAAAAAUGUGGUAUUGCAUAUAAGAUCAUCAAAAGAACAAAAUAAAAUAAUGCACAAAUCAUACACAUGCAACAACCCCCCUCCCCUUCCCCACACACACAGACUGUUCUAGCUGGUCUAGGGCAUAACCAGCAACUUAUUUCAAAUUAACUAUCUAGUGGUGUCUGUGAAGUUCAAGAAAAAGCUGGCUUUUUUCUUGAAAAAUAAGUUAAUGUGCAAAGAAUCAACGAACGUAUUUGCAAAAAAAUCUAGCAAACUAUGAAACCAGUUGUGGUGGUCAUGUAGACAAUGGUAGUAGCAAACCAAUAAAAAAACAAGAUCUCCAACCAUUAAAGAGUUGUAUGUAUGUCCUUGCUUCAGUUCAACCAAAAUUUCACAAUAACACUAUUAUAUUUAAAUCUAGAUUAUUGCAAGCAUGGUAAUACACCAGGUUGAGGUUGUGAUCAGGCAAGACGAAGUUAUGAACUUGCAAGCAUGGUAGUCAGAUCGAUGUCCACACGACGCUGGUAUGAACAUUGUCUAGAGAAAACUUUAUUUGUAUUUUAUUCCAGAAUUUAACUACUAGUUUGGGUGUGUCACACAUGACAUUGUGUGACACUUUAUUUUUCACCGCUUCCUCGACAUGUCCAUCGAGAAAAUGACGGUGGUCCAACUAUAUAUUACUAGAGAUCUUUUCUUAUCAGUAGGCACCAACUCGGCUGCCAACGCCUAAUGGCGCACUAGUGAUGGAGCUGUACAACGGCACAUUGACACUGCACAUCGUUGGCAGGGUACGGAGUGCAAUGGAAGUCAUCACCUCAAGGCGAGCUAUCUGGUGUGGCUGCAAAAAGGUACCCUUUUGUACCUGUUGUUGUUGAGGUUGUUGACCCAGUUGUUGUUGAGGUUGUUGGAAAGAACAUUGUCCGAGCUGCUGCUGCGACUGCUGUUGGGGUUGGUAGACACCUUGAACCGACUGUUGGGGUUGUUGCUGCUGAGGUUGGACAAAACCCUGUUGUUGUUCUUGUAGGAUGAUGGAGAAGAUGAUAGCACGGAUUGCCUCAUAGCGGGAUUGUUCGGGGAUUCGUGGCAAUUGUUGGCAACAUUGUUGCUGCAUCACAUUGCAACUGCUCUGCUGCCACAUCUGCGACCUAGCAAGAUGUUGUGGCAUUGCCACAGGGCUACACUGCUGCUGGAGGAAUACCUUGCACGGGUUUAGCUGCUGCAAAAUGGAUGGAUGAACAAUAGGGAUUUGUUGUUGCAGAAGCUGUUGGUGUUGUUGCUGCGAAAAUGCUGGUUGUUGUGGUAGAACUGUUUGUUGUUGCUGCGAAAAUGCUGGUUGUUGUGGUAGAACUGGUUGUUGUUUCUGUGAAAAUAGUGGUUGCUGCGAAAAUGAAGGUUGUUGCUGCAAAAAUGGUGGUUGUUGAGGAAAUGGUUGUUGUUGUUGUGAAGAUGGUGGUUGUUGUGGAAAUGUCUCUUUUUGUUGUAAUGGUUGUUGCUGCCAUGGUCUCUCCAAACCAGGGAUGCAGCUAGUCUCCAUCUGUGCAAUGGCAGAUGUCGCCACAACGGCUAGAAGGGCAAAGACGAGGAAGGUCUUCAUGAUGGAUUGGUGCUAACUAGUUUUGCUUGGUUUUGAUGCUUGUGCUUGUGAUGAUCUUUAUACUUCAUGCCUAUUUAUAGUAGUCCGGGCACCACCUCUUUCCUUCUAUGCAUCAACUUUAAUAAUUCUGUUUGCAUGCAUCAGAAAUGAUUUUUUGGUACAUUGUGGUAGGUUGCACUAGCUACAACGGUACUUUUGGAUUGAUCAUCAAAGUUGCUUUUUAGUUGUGCAUAUGAUCAUACACAAAGUACAGAAAUCCUGAUGUGUGGUAUAUAUGACUCGCCUUAUUCACUUUACAUGUCAAAUACUUAUAAGAAUAGUAUCACUUUAGCAACUGAGUUUGGAACCUUGUAUAGGCUGUCAACCAUAAACAAGAAAGGCAAAACUCGUGUAGAACCUUGUGGGAUGUUAAGAUAUGUUCGAUUAUUAAAGCCCUGCAUGUGGAGGGUUUGUCUAGACUCGGUUGCUUUUUAUAAAACUAACUUUGUAUUGUUCUCUAAGAUGAUAAGAUGAACUGCCGUAUAGAGCAUGACAUAAUUCACAGAAUUCCCUUUACAUGUAAGGAUGGUAGUUGCUUACAAGUUACUAGCAUAUAUCCGGUCCUCACUCUAGAUACGUCAUCAUCAGUUUGAUCUAUUUGUGAAGGAUUUUUCUAGAUAAGAUGAUUCUUUUGGUGGACUAAGUUUGUACUGUUAAGUAAAUAUUUCAUUGGGGCCGCCAGGUCUCUUUUACUAAAUCUUACGGGCAUGAGGUUGAUACUUAAUUGAAUUGUGUAGAACAUAUACACAGAUAACCUAUUGGAAAAUAUUAUAUGUUUGUUAUACUUUUAGGCAAACAUAGUUUGGUUUACUAUGGGGCAUGUUCAUGUGUAUAAUAAUGCAUUUACAUGUAUCGAGGUAUUUCAUCAACCCAAAAGGAAAAGUGCAAACAUUUUAAUAUUUUUCAUGAACAAACCUUAAGAACCUAUUCGUAGCUACCCUGCUAGAUCAUGGACAACAAGCACAUUUUAUUUGUUGGAUUUUGAGAAGGUCUAUAUUGUUCCCCGCAAAAAAAGUUCUAGAUUGUUUCAUGGCAACUUGUUUGUGACCGGCUAUUCUGAAGCAUCUUAUCUAGGUCAUACAUAUGUUUUUUUGUUAUUAAUCUAUUAAUGGCUGAAUGAACAGAUCCUAAAUGAUAAAGAAAAACAAUUCUAGGAUUAUGGGGCAUCUCCACCGCUUGUUUGAAUAAAACCAGAGGAUUUUAUGAUUAUGAUUUUGGUCCGAAAUAUGUUAAUGAUAUGUGCACUCGAUCUGAGCCAAUAUCCGAUGAGCUGAAAACUGUUUAAUGGCCCGUGAAUAAGUUUCUUUUUCUUCAUAUGUAUCAGAAAUCUGGAAUGGUAAUACUACAUACUCAAUUCAAAUUUGAAAAUACAUCAGAUCCCAGCUACAGAGGUCGCCGUGUGUUUCAAAGGGGCCUCUAUCGCAACUCUGGCCGUCCGCAAUUACAUUGGAUGGCACGCUAGUCCGCCAUUCAUCGUGGGGAGCCGCCGGCAGAGCAGGUCAGAGGUCCUGCAAUUGCAACUAGCAGGUUAUUCAUCCAAUCUAUGUCCAUCAGUUAAUGCUUGAUCCUGGAGUAAAUGGUACUUGUAUGGAUAUAUAGUUGCUGAGAGGAAUUUCUUUGCCUAGUGUUUGUUCUGAUUGCUAGCUUGGUUGGUGGAGAAAUCGCUACUUCUUCGUGGUAGGGCAGCAGUGGAGAAUUAGUACAGACAAACUUUGCAAAAAAUUCCGGUGGGUUGAGAAGUACUCCUAGAUUAAGUGGAGAUAGUACUAGAUCUGAUGGCUGCCGGAGAUAGUAGUAGAUGUUAUACUGUACACUAGCACAGUAUGAGGUCAUUCUGUUGUUAUGUACAAAGUCUAUCACUGAGAUGUACAUAUAUGAGUGAUAGCUGCAUAUAAUUUCUUGCAAAAUCCAUGCUUCCUUGCAGGUAGGAGGCCCUCAUGGCGCCCCGUGACGAGCCUGAUCCCUAUUUGGUAUGGUGAGUAUCGAAUCGAAACUCAAAUAUGCUUUCAUCGAUUUGCCGAUCUCACAUUAUAUGAAUCUAAGUGUUGAAUCAGAACUCAAAUAUUCAUUUAUUGAUUUUCCGAUCUCGUAUUGUAUGCAUCUGGCAGGAGAGAUUAUCGCCAGAGGCUGUGGAACAACCUGAAGGACACUUGUGGUUAAGCAGCAGCAGCAGCAGCAGGUGAGGUGUUCAUGCCAGUCAGUUGGUGGUCAGACUGGCACUUGUUGGAUUUGGAUGAUACAGGUGAGGAAGAAACUAAACAAAGACUAGUUAUGUGGUCACCUGGGACUCCGGAUUGUUUUUUGGUGCCAUGUAGUCUUGUUUUGCUGUUAUACACUUGAUAAAUGCCAUGAGCCGUUUUGGCAGUGUUAGAGAUAAUCACGAUUAGGCAUCUGAGUCCGGCACGGACUCGUAGCCCAGGCCGAGUCGGCUGUGUAUAGGUAGAUAGGUAGUGCUAUAUAUACCUGUACGUGGUUCCCCCUGUAAGGAUUAGAUCGAAAAGUAAUAAAAAUCAGCAGGACCGAUACGGCCCUGUAGCCAUCAAGUCGCCGCGUGUGUUUCGUGUGUGUUCCCGGCAACUAGUACUUCGUACGUGAUUGUUGUCUAGCCAGCCAGAGCAAUCGAACUACUUGUGAAUCCUACACUAGCGUUCGUCCAGAAAGAAAUCGGCCGUAGCUAGUUCGUCGUCCAUUGUUCCGCCGGAAAGUAAACAGCGGAUCGCUGCGUCGACAUCCGGACCAGUGCUAACAAUUGGUAUCUAGAGUUUUGGUAUUGACGUGAUUCUCGGGAAGCAAUCGAAGGAUCAUGUAGACCACACGCAAGGAGAUUGUGACGGCGGCAGCGGGAGCACCGAUGCCGAUGGUGGGGGGAUCACAAUUCCCCCGUCUGGAUCGAGAGGACUACGCACUAUGGGCGAUGAACAUGGAGGUCGCGAUGGAGGGAGCUGAGUUCUGGGAAGCCGUCGACCCGGGCGGCGCCGAGUACGCAAAGGGCGCGGCGAAGUACCGGAAGGAUCGUCAGGCGUUAACAGCGAUCUACUCCGCCAUGCCGAAGGAUGUGCUGCAACACCUCGUCGGAAAGAACUCGGCGAAGGAGGCAUGGGAGACCAUCAAGAUCCUGCACCAGGGUCAUGACCGUGUCAAGGAAGCACACCUUCAGUCCCUGAUGAGAAGCUACGAGUGCCUGAAGAUGGAUGAAAGUGAGACGGUUGAUCAGUUUGCCGCCCGUCUCAAGACCCUCGUCAAUGGCAUACGCAGCUAUGGUUCAACCCUAGAAGAAGUUGCGAUCGUACGACGAUUUUUGCGCGCCGCGCCUGCACGCUACAUCCAGAUCGUCACGUCGAUCGAACAAUGUCUCGACCUAAAGACUCUCACGGUCGAGGAUCUCGUCGGAAGGUUCAAGGCCCACGACGAGAGAAUUCGUCUCAGCUUCGGCGAUUCGAAGGAGAGUGAGCAUCUCAUGCUUACAAUGGCUCAAUGGAUGGCCCUGAUGAAAGAAAAGCAAGGUGGAUCCUCGAGCGGCAGUAAAGCAAAGGAGAAGCAACGCCCGGCGAGAAAGGACUUUGCUGGACAGGAAGAAAAGGCUGGAAAACCAAGGAGAAAAUUUGACAUAAAGAAAGUAAAGUGUCACAACUGUGGAAUCCUCGGUCACUUCAAGUCUGAUUGCAAGAAUCCACCGAAGGAAAGAGCUCUCAUGGCCAAGGGAGGCGAUGAUAGCGACAUGAUGCUCAUGGUCGAAGUAUGCGAGCUUAUGGACAAGGUGGGUCCAGCUCCAAAGGCGCCGGCUAUCGAGGUUGUCACGCUCAACGAAGAGAAGGUUUAUCUUCAUGACAAGCAGAGGACGAACACGGCGGGACACGUGUGGUACCUCGACACGGGAGCAAGCAACCACAUGACUGGCGACAAGGACCAGUUUUCUGAGCUAAAUCUCUCGGUGGGAGGCACGGUUCGGUUCGGUGACGGGCGAACCGUUGGCAUCACAGGGCGAGGCACUGUCCUGUUUGAGCUGAAGAACGGCGGUCACAAGGUACUCACAGAUGUGUACUAUAUUCCCAAACUAAAGAGCAACAUCAUAAGUCUCGGCCAGCUUGAGGAGCGUGGUUGCAAGAUUGUGCUCGAAGAUGGCUAUUUAUGGGGGUAUGACCGUCAAAGGAUGUUGAUCAUGAAAGUGCAGAGGUCGCCGAACAGACUCUACAUCCUCAACUUGGAUCGUGUGGAUCCAGUAUGUCUCUUGUCAAGCAUGGAAGACUCGGCAUGGAAGUGGCACGCGCGCUACGGUCAUCUAAAUUUUCAAGCUCUUCGGCAACUUGGACAAAAGGAGAUGGUACGUGGUCUACCGUGCAUCGAUCAUGUUGAGCAAGUGUGCGACGGUUGCCUUGUUGGGAAACAAAGGCGGGCCUCGUUCCCUAGAGAGGGAAACUUUAGAGCAAGUAAAGCUCUUGAGUUGGUCCAUGGAGAUUUGUGCGGCCCUAUUACUCCGGCUACCCCAGCUGGGAACAAAUACUUCUUGCUCAUCGUCGACGACUUCAGCAGAUACAUGUGGAUUGUGUUGUUGAAGACGAAAGAUCAAGCUUUGCAAGCCUUCAGGAAAGUAAAGAUGGCGGCCGAAGUCGAGUCUGAAGCCAAGCUGAAGGCCCUCCGUACCGAUCGGGGGGGUGAGUUCAAGUCUCGUAAAUUCACGGAAUUUUGCGAAGCACAUGGGAUCAAGCGGUAUCUUACGGCGCCAUAUUCACCACAGCAAAACGGUGUUGUGGAACGGAGGAAUCAAACUGUGGUGGCGAUGGCACGAAGCAUGAUGAAGAGCAAAGGGAUGCCGGGCAAGUUUUGGGGUGAGGCGGUCAACACGGCCGUUUAUUUGCUGAAUCGGGCUCCAACCAAGAGUGUGGUUGGGAUGACGCCGUAUGAAGCAUGGUACGGGCACAAGCCCGCGGUUGAUCAUCUUCGCACUUUUGGGUGCGUCGCGCAUGUGAAGACGGUGGCCGGGCAUACUAGCAAGUUGGCGGACCGGAGUACUCCAAUGAUGUUGGUUGGCUAUGAAGCGGGCACGAAGGCAUAUCGUGCAUGCAACCCCUCUAACAAUAAGGUGGUUGUAACGCGUGACGUGGUCUUUGAAGAAGCAAGGUCAUGGAAUUGGAACUCCACCGAGCCGGUAUACCCGAUCUCUGAUGAAAUCUUUCACGUUUUUUACAACGAUUCUGAGCGUGCAGAUAAUAUUGAUCAACCGGACACUUCGGCGGCACGGAGCGAUGCUCGAGACGACGACGCGCGGCGAGACGCGUCAGGGAGUUCACCUAUAUCUGGUGGCGUGCCAGGAAGAGACGCUGCGAGCGGCGCUACAGGCAGCAGCAGCAGUGGAGAGAGAGCCACGUAUCCUGCACCCGGCAGCCCAGCCAGGUGCGCUGGAGGCAGCAGCGGCCCAGCACCAGGCUCUCCACCAGGGAGUUCUUCCCACGAGCCAGAAAGCCCAGCCGCUACCCAAUCUCCACAAGGCCACGUGACAGGAGGUCCAGAAGUGCAUGCACGUGAAGCAACUUCAGAUUUCGUGGCUGGUUCUUCUGGUGCACGUGCAGAUAGCUCAUGAGAGCCCCAAUCGCCAGAAAAUAGAAGCUUGGCAACUUCAGAUGAAUUUUCUUCGUCUUCGACAGAACAGGAGAGGAGGGAACAUCCGCCUACGCCAGUCCGUCUUCGACCAGUGUUAGAUUUAUAUCCGAAGAAAGCGCUUCAGAAGGUAAAUCCAGUGCAUCAUGAUAGGACGAAGCACAUCGACAUACGGUAUCACUACAUACGGGAGUGCGUGGAAGAAAGCAAGAUUGAAGUCAACUAUGUUUGCACCGACGACCAGCUUGCAGAUAUCCUGACCAAGUCUUUGGGGCGGCAGAAGUUUACGGAGAUGCGGGGAAGGAUCGGUGUCAAAGCUGUGAAGUGAGGACAUCGUGCUUAGGGGGGUGAUUGUUAGAGAUAAUCACGAUUAGGCAUCUGAGUCCGGCACGGACUCGUAGCCCAGGCCGAGUCAGCUGUGUAUAGGUAGAUAAGUAGUGUUAUAUAUACCUGUACGUGGUUCCCCUUGUAAGGAUUAGAUCGAAAAGUAAUAAAAAUCAGCAGGACCGAUACGGCCCUGUAGCCAUCAAGUCGCCGCGUGUGUUUCGUGUGUGUUCCCGGCAACUAGUACUUCGUACGUGAUUGUUGUCUAGCCAGCCAGAGCAAUCAAACUACUUGUGAGUCCUACACUAGCGUAUCGUCCAGAAAGAAAUCGGCCGUAGCUAGUUCGUCGUCCGUUGUUCCGCCGGAAAGUAAACAGCGGAUCGCUGCGUCGACGUCGGGACCAGUGCUAACAGGCAGCACUGGUGUCAUUUCAUUGUUGUUUUAGUAGGUGCUUUGGCUAAAAUAGAAAAGAAAAAGAUUAUGCACGCCUAGGUUGUGUCAUGAUUGUUAUCGGCUUUGUUGAACUUCGACCUCUGUCUUCUUCAGAUACCUGUAAUGUGAAUUAAUAAUCUCCUUCCACAUUUCCCAGGUUUAGUAGAAGAUGGUAUGUUCUCGCACCUGUGAAGUAUUUAUCUUGCCAGUUAUAGUGUCAUUAUUUAGUUGAAAUGACAAGGCAUUGACUUUUUAUCUUGUGUUCGGAUAGUACUAUUUGAAGCUGUGAUUUAUCUGUUUCAAUACUGAUGGUACCCUAGUAGUGCUGGUUACUGGGGAGGUGUAUGCGGCAUGUCGAAUCAUUCUUCCGCAAGAGGCCCUAAAGCUUCAAAUUGUUUAGAACCUGUCUGCACUCUGCAGUUUGGAACCUUGCGGAAGGAUGCUGUGAAUUUCUUGGAUAGUGGGCUUCCCUGAUGGCUGCUAGCUUAGGAAUGGCUUCUACAACUGAACUGUACAACAGUCUCUUGACUGAGAAUUGUUGGGGCCUGUGGUGUAGGGCGAUUGCUUGGCGUCAAGUUGAGCUGCAACGCUGAAUCAUACCCUGUCCGACACAGACGAUCUGAUCUCGAUUUAGUUUGCAGCUGAUCCUUUGGGUUGGUGCCCAUGAGGCCAUGACAGGCAGGGGUCAGCAGCAGUUUACUGUCAUCCAUGUUGGCUUUAACCCUGCAGUGCUCUAGUUAUCUGAACAACUUCUUGUUUUUGAAAUGUCAACCGCGGGGGGAUUCCCCCACCUGAACAUAUGUAUAUUUUCAAAAAGAGGCAAUCCUUAGAUCGCGAUCAUACAGAAAAUGUGAAGAGAGGGAUACUGGCAGUUACACAGAGAUUACAAGAUACAGAGAGCAGCCGCGUCAGGUAGCGGGUCCGCUAGAACGGUCUGACUAACCUGCACCACAUUUCCUCUCAAGAUCAUGUUUUUUCUACCCAACCUAAUGAUUUCUGCCUAACAACUUUUCUACAAGGUUUCCAUAUGAAAUUGCAAUCCAAAUUUGUCUUUUCAUCUACCACCUUCAGAUGUACUUCAUCAGGCUGUAGAUGUAUAUCCCGCAGAAAACAUGCUGCAGCAGUGCAGCUGAAGCUAAAAAAUAUAUAUGUUGGUUACUGAAGCUAGGUUGUAAGCACUUUCCACAGUGAAGAUCCAGGCUUUGCCUUGUUUCCGCAUAAUUACCUGAGUUGAACGAUCUGCAUUUCUCUUGUAUCGCUGUUUUCAUAGAGGUCCACGACUCCACAUCACCAUUGUUGGUUUGGAGGGGCGAAUAGCUCCCAUGCGACGUCUUUGGUGUGAAUUGUCUCUCAUGCGACGUCGUUGGUUGUAAUAGCUCUCAUGCGACAUCUGAGUUGGAAAAAAUAGCUCCCAUGCGACACUGCUGCCUAAUCCAAAGACACAUGUUUAAAACUCGAAUCAGGUGAGCAGGACCCACAGCGUGGGACCCACUAACUUAUCCAACUCAGCAUUGGUCAGGUGAGCGGGACCCACAGCAUGGGACACACUAACUUAUCCAGGUCAGCAUUGGUACAAGAGGACACCGAGCCGUGCCCCGAGCCGUGCAGCACCCGAGCCCAUCCUCCCCCCCCCUCCCCGACCGUUGUUGUUCUUCUUCUCCGGCGACGACGCGCAGCAACGCCGUUCCGGGCCGCGACCUAGCAAUGUCGAGCUCCGCUUCAGCCUCCCGCCGCUCAUGGCCGCGCUAUGGCGCAGUGCCCAUGACAAGGUGCCCUGCAUGCCCACGUAUCGCACCCCUGAAGCGGCUAGUCACAACGACCGACAAGAAUGGCAACCUUGGGCGGGAAUUCGUGAAAUGCGAGAGCAAACCAGAGCAGGGAAAGGUGAGAUUUUACUUCUCAAUAUGCCAAUUUUGGUUUUUGUCUCCCAAUUUCAUAUUUGCCCAUUUUUCAUCGGAUUUGGGAUUUAGGGUUCAUCUUUCCGAUUUCAGAAAUUGAAGCAAACCCAUUUUGAGUGGCUAGAUUAGUACAUAGAGUGGAUUCAACUGGAGGGUGCAUCAGGGGAGCUCGAUUUACCGUUGGAGGCGGAGAAGUUGGGCAAGUUUGGAUCGGGCGCGUCUGGAUCUGGGGCCCCUGGAUCUGGCAAUUCCAUUGGGGGCGCCCAUUCCAUUGGUGCUACUGUGGGGGAUGCAGGAGUGACGGCAGAGCUGAAGAAGCUGAACAAGCAGAUGAAGAAACUCAUCGAAUUGCAGAAGCAGGGCAAUUUGAUGGGGCUGAUUGCCGGACUUUUUUAUGUUUGUGUAAUUGCUCUCGCAUUUGUUUAUGUGAUGAUAAUUAGUCGUAAGUGAAUAGACUGGGCAUCAUUUGUAAUCGUAAUGAUAUGGAUAUUUGAAUAAAAGUGUUGAGCUGUACGAAUUCGGCAUGUCUUCUCCACUAUGUUUCGGCCCCGUUUUUUCAGUUCUUCAGUUCGUCAUCAGUUUCAGUUUCAGUGGUAGAGGGAGAAACGGAAAAAAAAGGUUCGUCCACAGUUGCCCGAAAAGGCCAGGCCCAUAUAGAAGUUAGGCAGGGCCGAAUAGAACAUAUCCAGGACCAUUGAUAAAACAAGUGUAGCUAGUGCAAAAAAAAGUGCACACGGUCAUUGACAUGGCGGGCUAUUUCACAAAUUUUAAGUUUCCUGCAGUCACCUUUUUUGAGAUAACUCAUCUGAUAAUUAUUUGAGCUAUUUUUAUGCAUAAGCUAUCGUGUCCGAUGGUAGGGUCCCGUGUUGUUUCGGCUAAGACAAAAGGUUGGUUCUAGUUAGCAGUCUAACUUGCAGUAUUUGUGAACCAAAAAAGUUGCAAGUGUUUGGUUCUAGUUUAUUUCAACCAAGCAUCAUUUUUUAUUUUUUUAUUUGUGCUAUGGUGUUUUCAAAGUUUUUACUCGUGUGUUUCAACCGAAAAAGGUUGUGCCCCUCUCAAAAAAAGAAGACAUCUAGUGUGCCCCUAAUAGCAUCUCCUUACAACAUAGAGGGGCAUCCCCUUACAACAUAUAGUGCAUAAAACAUAAAAAGAAGAUAAUUAACUAGACACGUGCUAACAACAACUUAUAUGAUUGGAUCAUGUUUUAGUGCAUUUUUUAGUUCACAUGGCCACAUAAAUAAAAUGCAAUGGAGAAACUUUAGGCCCGAAAAAACAUUAAUAGAUAGCACGAUAGAGGGGCAUCGGGUACCCUAGUAGCAUAGAUAGAUAGAACAUAUAGAGGGGCAUCCCCUUACAACAUAUAGUUCAUAAAACAUGAAAGGAAAAUAAUUAAAACUAGAUAGAUAGAAGACACGGGCACACACGCCCGAACCAACACAAACACAAGCUAGAUAGAUAGAAAGACUCGCACUCGAACAACUCCUUGGCCCCUCCUCCUUAGCCGGCGCCCCUCACUCGUCGUUCUCCGGCAUCUGGGAGGGGAGGGUGUGCAUGCCGUUGGGGUGAGGGAAGAUGUGGUGGAAGUUGGUGAAGAUGUUGUAGGUCAUGAACGCGAUAAACUCGCAUCCACACCAGGACACCUCGCCGAGGAGGUGGUGAGCGUCGUAGGGGUUGGUGAAGGUGACGUAGAGGCUGAUGACGAAGCCGUUGGCGUUGCCAUCGUACUGCUCGUGGAGGUGGAACAUGGGCAGAGUGCCCGGAGGGAGGUGGCGGUAGCCGGCUUGGAGGAAGAAACGAGCCAGCUCUCUAGGGCCCCUCCACCUUGAGAUGGCCCACACCCUCAGGCUAUUCUCGACGAUGACUCCGGCCGGGUACUCCCUCUCUGGCACGGUGCGAGGGCGACGGUAGGUAGGGCCGUUGAACUGCAUGGUGGCUCGAGUGGUGGAUUUGGCUCGAAAAGAAGAAGCGGAGGAGGCUUGAGAGAUGAGUGUGAGAGGGAUGAGGAAAUGGUGCCCUUUUAUAGCCGCGUUGCAGCCGUGGUCAAUGUGUACACGGUGCCUUCUCGAUCGUUUUCUCUUCUCCGUUCGUACUAGCAUAAGUAAUUGCGGGCAUUAAUUCAAAAACGGCGGGUAGAGCAUCCAAAGAGGCACGGGCAGCACAGGCGAGAUGCAUCGUUUCGUGCACUUGCAUCGGUGACGCCGCGUGGGAAACAGGCCCGUUCAUCCACGCGUGACACUGAAAAAGGAGCUGCACCACCGACGCGUCCGUCCCGUGUCUCAGGUUCAAACAUGCAUUUGUUAAAAUAGCUUAGAUGCGACGUACCUAUACGCUGCGCCCCUGCCGCUGCUUUACUGCGUUGAUGCGUGCAUGCAAGCCCGCAUGCAAAUGGCUAGGCUGCGUUCACGAGCACAGAAUAGCUAGGCUGCGACGUUGCAUGGCAUGCAUGGGACAGGGAUGGCCCACAUGUCAUUGACCCUCUCGCAUGCAGCCCAUCCCCCCUCUCGACGGCCGUGCGCACGCACGCCAGGCUCUGCCGGGCCCGAUCCGCUCGGCCCAACGGUCACUGAGAUGCUCCCCCGCUCAACGUUAUCUGUUCGCCAGAGAGAAAAACGGUGGCCAAUCAGAUUGGAGAAUCAGGGCUCCCACUGAUCGCCCCCGCGGAAUCCUUCUAGAAGGCCUAUCCGACGGCCGCAGUUUGGCGUUAGGGUUAGAUCGACGGUGGACGUUUGGCGCUAGGGUUACAUGGGUUUUGGAGGCAGUCAACGGGGUUUUGAAAGGUUUGACCGAACAUUCAAAUGUGUUUAACUAAUUCAAAAAAAAUCUAAAAAAUGAAAAACCUGCGCAUAUAGUCUUGUUAUGUUACAUAGUUAUGAUAUAAAAUGAUAAACUUGAUCUAAUGAUCUUUGCAUGAAAAAACCUUCACAAAUUGGACUAUCUCGACUCAGGUUGCAUAGAGUUCGAAGGAGUGAGAAGAGGGUUUGAGGGUUUGAAAAUGCAAAAAAUCAAAAACCUCACCUUAGCUUCAUUUUGGAGUGACUAAGGAGGAUCUGAAGUUAUUUUGCAUUUUAAAUUUUUAAACUUGUUUUAUUGCUGACUUUGUAUUAAAGGGUGUUUUUUCAAAAAUAAAUUAAUAAUAUGAAUACUUAUUCAAAAAAAGGUGAGACUUCGUAUUGAUCCUAUAUAGGUAUAAUAUAAGCUAAGAAAAUCUUUUUUUGUGAUUUUGAGAAGGUCGAAAAAAACUUGCUUAGAAAUGGGGUCCUUUUCCCUUACUUUGGAGCCUGUUUGGACAACAUUUUCAGUGACUAUGAGUUGGACUUCACAAAAAGGGUUGGAUUUAUGAACUAAAGUGCAUAGUAGUACAUAAAACAAUGCCACAUCACAGAACAAACAAAUGAACUCCAAAAAUAUUGGAGAUAGGUUCAAAUUUGAAUGUCGUUUCAAAUUUGAAUUUUAUUUCAAGUCAAAUCAACAUCAUAGCACAUAAGUUUUCACAUGAAAGAACAUAAGUUUUCACAUCAAAUGACAACAAACAUAAGUUUUCACAUCAAAUUUGAAUGAUUUCGACUCUAUUUCUUUUUCUUCUUUCUACCACUCGAUUUCUUCUCCUUUUUUCCACCGUUUGGUCCCACGGCGCAUAGUUUGUUGAUGCUGAUGCUCUUGCUUUUUGGCCCCUUGGUUUUCUUGCCAACUCCACUAGGCCCCCUCAACUUUUGCCCCUCACCAUGUCCCACUUCUUCAGUUUGCACUUCUGCGGCUUGAGUAGAUGGCACACAUUGUUCAACUACUUCAGUUUGCAACUCAACGCUUGGCAGCACAACCUCCAAACAUGGCAACACAGCUGUCAAAGCAGAUUCGCAUGGCAGCACAACAGUUGCUUCAUCUGCAACAGUUUCAGAUUGCCCUAGCACUAGGCCCCCUCAACUUUUGCCCCUCACCAUGUCCCACUUCUUCAGUUUGCACUUCUGCAGCUUGAGUAGAUGGCACACAUUGUUCAACUACUUCAGUUUGCAACUCAACACUUGGCAGCACAACCUCCAAACAUGGCAACACAGCUGUCAAAGCAGAUUCGCAUGGCAGCACAACAGUUGCUUCAUCUGCAACAGUUUCAGAUUGCCCUAGCGCCUGCAAAACAGAUUCAGUAUGCAUCACAUCGUCCAAAACAGAAACACUUAGCUCAUGUUCAGCAGUAACAGUUUCAGUUUGCUCCAUAUCUUUGUCACCAAACAUUGUCUGCUUAGUGCUCUUCCUUCUAAAGCCAUUGAGUCUUGCUUUUUUCACUGGCCAGCACUGUUCAACAACAAGAGGUGGGGCUUUUUCUGCACGCUUCCUCCUAAAAAAUAAAGCAUUUCACUUGGUUAGAUACUAGAACAAGUAGCAAAAUCAAAAACUUGCAAAAACAGUAACAUAAACAUACUUUGGCCUCUGAGGAGUGUAGAUGCAUUUGGAUGAACCAACUCUGUGCCCAAGUACUUCACACAACUUGCACCUAUUUUUGUUACCUUUUUGAGCCCUUUUGGGCUUAUCAUUCUUUUUCUUUUCCUUUUUCCCCUUCUUACUACAACCACCUUUCUCAAACCAAGGUUUGAAUCUGCUCUGUUUUGGCCUCCCAGCCUUUCUUCUAGUGACAGGAGGACACAAGGUAAAUUCUAUUUCCACCUCAGGCCACUGAGAUUGGUCAGUCAGUGCAGGAAUUGGACUUGCAUAUGCAGCUUUGAAUUUUUGUACUGAAUAAUACUCAUGCAAAUAUGGGUGCAUAUUUAACCUGGGUUUAGAUGCCAAAAAAAGUAUGGAAUGCUCACAUGGUUUUCCAGUGUGUUGCCACUCUUGGCAAGUGCACUCAUGCAACUCAGUAUUUACCACAUGCCUCUUGCCACUCUUUGUAUCUCUAACUUCAGCACCCCACAAGGAAGAUUUCUCAACAGAUAGAUGUGAAAGAUUUCUACUCCUGUUGACCACCUGUCGUACCACUGCUGGAAGCUUGUCCCCUUCCAAAAUAUUAGCAAUUUUUCCUCUCAACUCCCACAAACGCAUGAUCAUGAUCCUUAUUUGGUCCACCAUGUCAUGCACAGGCAAGUCUUUCAAAUGCUUCACUUUGUUGUUAAAACUUUCUGCCAAGUUGUUAUUGAUAUGAUCACAUUUUAUGGCAGUAUUAAAACCUGAUCUAUACCACAACAGAGAAUGGUGUGUGUUCAACCAUGAAGCAAAUUCAUUAUCACUACAUGAUGCCAAUAUCUUACCAAGGUGAUAGGAAUGUGUCUGUCUGGUGUAGGAUCUUGCUGCUGGCCACAUGCGCCCAAAUUCAUCUCCUCUGAAUUUUUUUAUCAGAUUCAUGCACAUAUGUCCGAAGCACUCCCUCUGCUCAGCAUGGGGGAAAACAUUUUUUACUGCAUUUUCCAACCCUUUACAUGCAUCUGUGUGGAUGGCCAAAGGAGAAACUGGCCCUAUGCAUCUUUUCAGUUGCAUCAUGAACCAUAUCCAUGAUGCCUCUGUCUCUGAUUGAAACAUUCCUAUUGCAAUUGGGAACAUCCAGUUGUGUUCAUCUAGAGCAUUGCAUGCAGCCAACUGACCAUUCCACUUUCCAGUCAAAAAAGAUGAGUCUAUGCUCAAAUAUGGAUGACAACCUGCUUUGAAUCCAUCUAUGCAAGGCUUCAAACACAUAAAAAACUUGCUGAAUAAAACCUUGCCAUCCUCUGUUACCUCUGUAUCUAUCUCCACCACACUUCCAGGUGACCUCUUCUCCACCUCUGCUUUAAAACUAUACAACAUCCUAAAUGUAUUUGCCCAGUCACCAUACAAUGAUUUCAUGGCCCUUUUUUUGCUUUCCACACUGUGGUAUAUUGCAGCUGGAUGGGGUACAACUUCUCCAAGUCAACUUUAAGCCUCUUUGCAGUAGUGUUUGGAGUCUUGGCUAAAAUAGGAGUAAUCUUCUCUGUAACCCAAAGCUGUGAUGUCAUCUUUGAAACUCUCUGUGAAGUGGUCAUACAUGUAUGCUGGUGUGGUAUUUGAUUUACCCUUACUGUACUUCCAUCAGGUUGUAGUCUGGCAGACAAGUACCAUUUGCAAGGAUUGCCACCACCAUCAUAACCUUUGCACCGAGCAUAAAAUUUCUUUCGAUCAGUCCACAUAGUCUUGGCAUCAAACUCUUUUUUCACUGCAUAGGUCCUGAAAGACAUCCUAAACUCCUUCAUGCUUGGCCACAACUUUCCCACCUCAAUAACUGGGUUCUCUUUGUCAUACAAACAAACCAGCUCAUUACCAUCUGCAUCAUCCACAUCAUCUGCAGCCUCUCUCAUCAGCUCUUCUUCAUCCUCAUUUGCAUUUCUAGGGCAUGUGUUACCAUCAGCAGGCAAAGAACUGUCAUCCUUCUCCUUAUCUUUGUCAUCAACUUGAAUGCCAAACAUUUCGGCCAUAUCAAUGUCAGAUAUUGGUGUAAUGACCAAAUCUGUUUUUUCAUUGAACUCUACUACAUUCCAGUCAACAACAAUCUUCCUAGCACCAUGGGUUCCCUCCUCUCCAUCUGCAUCAAUCCCUGUAUCUUCAGCUACUAUAGUCGGUUCAGUAAACAAUGCCAACAUCUUCUUUUGUGAAACCCACUCAUUAUCUUCCACCUGUGUAGCCAUCUUUGAUGGCACAUAACCAACUCUGGAAUGAGUUUGCAGAUCAAUUAGCUCAGCAUAAAAUGUUACUUGUUUGCUUGCCCACCCUUCUUGCUGAUCAAUUUCAGCAACCAUGGAUUCUCCAUCUUCAAUUCUCACAUAUUCACCAUUAUAGUUAUCGAAACGUUGCAGAGAUACCUCUUGUUCUCGACCCCAAACAAUACUCUCCCCAAUUCUCUCCACCAAAUUGCCCAUAGCCUUCUCCUUCAUGCUCUCCAAUUCCUGGGGAUCAUCAUCUGCAAAUUCGAUAUCCAACCUCACAGUGGUAUCUCUAUCAAUGUCUUGGACACUGCCAUCACUGAGCUUGGCUUUACAGGGAAAAAUUUCCACUAUAAUUGCAAAUGUGGUGGCAGAACCUGAACCUCCCCUGUUUUGUCAAUGGCAGGCAGCGGCAGCAGUGUAAGCGACAGUCACUACCAAAUCGAGUUCGAUAACAGCUAAAAUAGAAAAGAGGGCGGCAUUACUGAUUUGAAGCACUGUCUCCUCGCUCCAUCUCAUUCAGGGGCCCCGCGCUCCUAUCCAAUCGAGAUUCUAAAACGCCAAGAAACAGGGGCAGCAUGAGGCCACAGAUUUAUCCAAAAUUUCGGGGAAUGGGACUAGGUUUGGAAAAUACUCACUCGCAAUAGCCGCUGCCGAGAAAGGAGUGGAGUUCCCGGAGAAGAAACAGCCCCCGGAUCCAAUCGAGAUUCUAAAUCGCCAAGAAACAGAGAGGCAGCAUGAGGCCACAGAUCCCCCAAAAUUCUGAGGAGUGGGACUAGGGUUUCGGGCUCACUCGCAAUAGCUUUGCCGCUACCGAGAAAUGCGCUCCACCACCGCGGAGAAGAAACCACUGCCGGAGAAGAUGCUUACGGCGGCGCCGCUCGCCCAGUCCAGCACGGGCGAGUCGAGCACGGUCACACAGUCACCGGUCGAGUCGUGGACGGUUGACUCUUGACUACGUGGCCCUAGGUGGACCCCACCAGUCAGAGCACAUAACCCCCGGUGUCCUAACCAAACCUCAGCCUAACUAACAGCCAACUAGCCGCAUAAACGGGUUGUCUUGCUUGAGCUAUUUCUGCACUGGGAGACGUCGCAUGAGAGCCAUUACAACCAACGACGUCGCAUGAGAGACAAUUCAACUCAAAGAUGUCGCAUGGGAGCUAUUUGCCCGGUUUGGAGAGGGAGGAAAGAAGCAGCGGGAAAGGCUCUUUUGUUCUUGUGGAGUUAUAUCCGGCUAACGUAACUGCUACGACAUUUUGGCUCGUAACGCCCCGGUCGCUCCCUCUCGGGCGAUCUAGGCGUGCAACCUUAGCCGCCGCGAGCCGCCACAACCCACCGUCCUUCUCCACGCCGCCGGGCAAAGCUUGCUCGGCGUCAGUGGCGGCGGGACCACUCGAGGGGGGGGGGGGGUCAUCCAUGUGGAGGCACAAGGCGACAUGGCUCAGCGGAGCGCGCUGGCUGGUGUAGCACGCGCAACACGUGGUGCUUCUGGGUCGGCACCUAAUCGGAUCCCAGCUUCGCGAGCAGGCGGCCAGACUUCUCCCAAGGUGACACAGAUGGCAUAUGGAGGCCACGGCAUAGUGGCAGCCGGCUGGUCCAAGGCAGCGACCGCAGGUGGUGUCUCCUUGAGCAGAUCCGCAGUGCAUGCGCGGACGGCGGCCUCAACUAGGUUCUGCUCGGUGGCGGCCUAGUGCCGGUGUGCUGGCGGCCGGAGUCUUGGAACCGGCGACUGUCUGCAGCAUGGCACACGCUCGGAUCUAUAGUCAUGCGGCCGUAACUUGGUAUGGCCUGGCCUGGUUGUUGAUUCACAUUUGGAAGGCUUGCGGGUGGUGAUCCAGAUCCUGUCGGCCGUUUGGUUGUGACUUAAGACUGUGGUGCAGUGACCUCCUGCGGCUCGAUGAAGAUGGUGGCCAUCCGAAGGUCUUAGGGAGGGUGCAUUUCUCCGGAUCCAGUGGCUGACUUCAGUGGUGAGAUGCAAAGCCACGGACUAAGACUUGAUGCAAAGGGAUGGUUGUGCCACGGCAACGACAAAAAUCGCAUGUAGCGGCUGGGAUUGCGGAAAAGUGGUGGCAACAACACAUUAGUGAUUUCAAUGGUGGUGCUACUCGAGCACCCAGUCUAGAGCUACGGGGUGAAAGUCUAGGUUAAACAAGAGUUGGUUAUACCUAUCAAUGGUGAUGUUUUUUUGACGUCAUUACCUUUUUGAAUGCAUUGCUAGAACAUGCCCCGGACUGAUUCUUCAGGGUGAAAACCUAGACUUUGGCCUUAGUGGCUGCAUCCGGUGACAAUGACGCUUGAGCAUGGCUCCCUUCCUGAAGGCGUUACUGUUGACGACCUCGUCGUCCAUAUAGUGUCAUGAUAUGGUUGGUGCAGAUAUGGUCAUUGUUGCAGUUUUGACAAUCGCGGAUCUGAUUGCUUUAUUUUUUUUAUAGCCUAUGCAUAGCUUUGGUCUUAUGACUUUGCUAGUUGUUGUAGUGUUUGUGUUGGUGUUGACCGUGUGCAUCUUAACUAUGCAGAGGCCGGGUGUGGGCUCAUCAUGUUCUGUAUCUUCUAUAUGCUUUAUUUUGAGUCAAUAAAAUUCACCCUUAUCGAAAAGUUAGGGGGGUCAUCCUGAGUGGAAAUCAAGAUGUCAGAGGAGAAAUCCGAUGACCAUCUAUGGGUGGGUCCAUGGAGUUUUCCUUCUCUCGGUGCAUCGAUUCAGUGUUGUCGCCGCAAUGCCGGUCAGUGGUGACAUGGGUGGGCACUUGUAACCUUUGUCUGACAAAUUUCAUCUUACUAAAAUGUUCAUUCACUCAAAUGAAAUGUCCCAACAACAGCUAAAGAUUGUUUAGAUAGAUAGAGAAUAGAAAAAUUGUUCAUGUAUUUAAAGAGAAAUAAUCACAUCUCUAGUUCAAAAUGUUCUCUAGUCCACUGUGCUAAAUUGGUAUUAUUAUCUAUGCAAACCAUAUAAGAUAAUAUAUAUACAUAGUUUGUACAUCAGUGAAGAAAAAUUUAUUACUUCCUAAAUACUUUAUAAGAUAACCGCGGUUUAGCACAUGAAAAAUUGUAAAAUAAAUUAAAUGGUUGAAAAACAUAAGAUAUUUUAAGGGAUAGCCAGUGAUGAGUGGUCCCUGUGUUCACCUUAAUGACUUGUCAAAUGUAUUUAAANNNNNNNNNNNNNNNNNNNNNNNNNNNNNNNNNNNNNNNNNNNNNNNNNNNNNNNNNNNNNNNNNNNNNNNNNNNNNNNNNNNNNNNNNNNNNNNNNNNNNNNNNNNNNNNNNNNNNNNNNNNNNNNNNNNNNNNNNNNNNNNNNNNNNNNNNNNNNNNNNNNNNNNNNNNNNNNNNNNNNNNNNNNNNNNNNNNNNNNNNNNNNNNNNNNNNNNNNNNNNNNNNNNNNNNNNNNNNNNNNNNNNNNNNNNNNNNNNNNNNNNNNNNNNNNNNNNNNNNNNNNNNNNNNNNNNNNNNNNNNNNNNNNNNNNNNNNNNNNNNNNNNNNNNNNNNNNNNNNNNNNNNNNNNNNNNNNNNNNNNNNNNNNNNNNNNNNNNNNNNNNNNNNNNNNNNNNNNNNNNNNNNNNNNNNNNNNNNNNNNNNNNNNNNNNGGCAUCAAAUGCUAGUUAUCCGCCUAUCCAUGCAAUUUGAAAAUUCACUGUUGAAUGCUGGUUGUUUUCUGCGAAUAAGUGAAUGCUGGGUGGUUAUUUGAAACCUCACCCCAAUUGUGGUGGUUACUUACAAUUUACUCCUAGAGCUUAAAGCAUACGUUUUGUGCAGUAAAUUGGAUAUAGGCAUUAUAGUUUCUUUCUUGAAAGCUAUGUGUUAUGUGACACUAAUCAGAUUAUCAGUUCUGAAAACAAAUACAUGUGCAGAUGCCAUGCCAGCUCAUGCAAGUUAUUAACAAUUUCGAAAAAUGAGUGGCUUUGUGCAUCACGGGCAUGGAGUUAACACUACUUCAGGAGUACCUAGCAGUGGCGGGUGGCAAAAGUCCAUCAGUGGCGGGCAAGGCUCUCAAGGCCGCUACCCACUAACCUCCCGCCACUCCUAGAACACCAUCAGAGGCGGGCGUCCGCCCGCUAGUGUUAGGCCACGAGUACUGGCGGGCUCUACGUCGUGCCCGCCACAACAGUCUGUGUUGCCCGUCACAUGAAUUUUGCGCUGCUAUGGCAGUCCUUUUCUACCGCUCGGUGCUGCUAUUGUUGCAUGCCAACAUGAUUGAAUUACAGCAUAUUCCACCCGGAUCAUAUCAUCAGAUUGCAUUUGAUACAUAAAUUCUGGUUUGAACCUUGAUCCACAUAAACAAACCACAUUACAAUGAUUUCAGAUUAAUGAAAAGUAGUAGUUAUAAAAUAUAACAAGUGAAUUACAAUAAUUAAUAAGCAUACAUAUGUCGCGCUCAUCACAUAAUUAAUGGUUUGACGAGUUUUUUUUAGUGAAAUGAGUGUUGGCAGAUGUUCAACACGCAGACCUUUAGUAGAAGCUGCACAUACUACAUGAAUUAGUACUUGAUGGAAUGAACGGGAACCAAUGGGCCGCUUGCUCUGGAAUUGGAGAUUUGGCCUCUCCCAGAGCCCAUUGUACAACCACAGCCGGCGUGGGUAUGGUAAUUGGACUCAUACCCGGCCAGAUCCUCUCUGGCGUUGCCUCCGCAAGGAUGCACACUGCAAGGUCAGUGAAGCGCCUCUCUGCAAUCUUAGCAAUCGCUAUGAAAGAACAAUGGACAUUGGAACACUUUUGACCCAAGCUAACAUGGCCUCCUUGAGGCGGUCGGCCCAAUACUUUUCAUGUUUCCAUAGAUAGUGCUUCUCCAUGUCCGCCGCAGAGACCCCCUCCCACAAAUCUUCUGGCGGCCCCAUCUGUUAUUUUUAGCAGACAAUGACAUUCAAAAUAUAUACAUAUAGAAAAGAUCACAAGGGUAUUAUAUAAACACAUAUGACACUCGUACAUAUAAAGUAGAGAUCACAAGGUAACAAUCAUUGUGUCAUGACAUAGUUUAAUGUUUUUCACGGUUUACUAGACUAGAAAGGAGCAUUUAUAUCGCCAUGUUGAUGUUUCAUUCUCAUGUCUCAUUCUUCUUGACUCUCUGCCCCACAGUAGAACAUCCCCUCGUCCCUCACUACAUGGCGAUUGAUGAUAUUCGUGAGCACUCUCUAAAGGCGCUCGUGCUCUGUCCAAAAGUGAGAUAGCUUAACUUCCUUCUCAUUCUCUUUGGACCAUUUCUGCAACAUUGAAUCACUUCCUAACAGUGGUCCUGUGCGCACAUAGUCAUCCAUCAAGACCAUGGCAUAGUAGCCAGACAUGCGCAUGGUUUCGCCUUUCAGUUGUUGCCGGCAACAAAAGCUAGUGUUAAAUUUGUACUGCGAAUGUGGCAUGUUCUUACGGUCGGACUAAUGACACAUAAGAAGAGCAGCAUUGAAAACUUUCUUCAGAUCGGUCCACAACUUCUUAGGGUCUCUCCUGGAAUCAAAGAAAUAAGCUCAGCCAUCCCGGGGCAUCAGUGACGAUCCGGUGUUCAUUGAUGUGCAAAAUAAUUGAACAACGCAACAUUAAUGAGAUUGACAUCAAUGUACCCAGGUGUAUAGUGCAAGCAGAAAGAAAUGAACUUAAGUUUCGAAGUAAGGCACGAUAAAGUUGUGCUUGGUCCGAGGACUACGAAGAAUGGUCUUGUGGAGGUAAUCCGUCAUAAGACGUUGGCCUUUAUCAGAAUCCACAUUGGUCGAAUGCAUGAGAUACGGAUCAAGGAAGCCAACUUCCUCAUUCUGGAGUAAUGGAUUGGUAGCAUGCCCGAGCGACCAAAGCCUCAUUAUAGAUGGCUUGAUUACGUCCACAUAAAAAAUAUUGUCGUUGACCACACUCUCAAAUCCAAGAUAUACUUUCUCAACAGGGUACUCGUCGACAAAUCCAAGAGGCCCUCUAUAACUUUGGCGGUGUAAUACAUCUCACCCUUUCCUGACCUAGCUACUACGUCUUUGUGUAGAAGCUGAAUUUCAACGCUUAGUGCACUCAACUUGUGUUGUGGCAACAUCGGUUAACCGGGCUUAAACAUUUGCAUGAAGCACCGGCUGACAGAAACAUUCACCACAUCUUCUCCUGGCGCCUUACUGGUAGUAGGUUCAUUGGCUGAUUUCUUCUUUCGCUUUCUUCCCUUUUUACGAUGCUGAGCAGAGGGGUCCAUAGAAGAUGGUUCUCCGGAAUGCAUUUAUUGGAUUUGCUAAAAUUUAGUAUGCAAUUAUGAGUCAAUGAUACUACAAUGGAUCCUACCAAUAUAAGCCAACGAUAUUACAAUGGAUCCUAGUUAAAAACUGAAAGAAAAAUUCGACAUGACCUUUGCUAACAAGAGGACAUAACAAGUGCAAGAAAUUCGGCAAAACAGAAAUGAAUCGACGUUUCACCAAAACAUUGGCACUCAUGUCAAUACCUGCCAAUAUAAGCCAAUGAUACUACAAUGGGUCCUAGUUAAAAAAUAAAAGAAAAAUUCGACAUGACCUUUGCUAACAAGAGGACAUAACGAGUGCCAGAAAUUCGGCGAAACGGAAAUGAAUCGACGUUUCGCCAAAACAUUGGCACUCAUGUCGAUACCUGCAAACAUAAGACAACGAUACAGCAAUGGAUUCUAGUUAAAAAUUGAAAGAAAAAUUGACAUGACCACACUAAUAGGGUUCCUACGCAUAAACUUACCAAAUAUUUAUGAACUACUAGUAUAUAUUUACCCUGAAACAGAUCUGACCAUCAUACAAAAUAACACUAAGAAAACAUUGGCAUGUAUUUCUAAACUAGCUACUCCAGCGACAACUAUUUCGGUACAGAUGGAGUAAUAUUUACACCAGGCCCAAAUCUGAAAAUGCAUACCGGACAGGUGGAACACUUGGAGUUUGAAUGCAACCCAAGGUCUUCGAUGUUGGCGGGGGAGGGGGACACGGCCGAACGGCCAGCCAUCGGGGUGGAGCUCGGCAGUGGCGAUGAGAUGCCUCCUGCGGUGUUGGAGGAUGAUGCCAUGCCCGCCCGCGACAGUGUGAGGAGGGGCGUGGCAACGAGGGUGAGAGGCGUCAACGAGGGGCGCGCGCGGCGGCGAGUAGCGACGGCACCGAGGGGCGCGGCGGCUAUUGGGCGAGAUUUGAGGGGGGACGAGACGGCANNNNNNNNNNNNNNNNNNNNNNNNNNNNNNNNNNNNNNNNNNNNNNNNNNNNNNNNNNNNNNNNNNNNNNNNNNNNNNNNNNNNNNNNNNNNNNNNNNNNNNNNNNNNNNNNNNNNNNNNNNNNNNNNNNNNNNNNNNNNNNNNNNNNNNNNNNNNNNNNNNNNNNNNNNNNNNNNNNNNNNNNNNNNNNNNNNNNNNNNNNNNNNNNNNNNNNNNNNNNNNNNNNNNNNNNNNNNNNNNNNNNNNNNNNNNNNNNNNNNNNNNNNNNNNNNNNNNNNNNNNNNNNNNNNNNNNNNNNNNNNNNNNNNNNNNNNNNNNNNNNNNNNNNNNNNNNNNNNNNNNNNNNNNNNNNNNNNNNNNNNNNNNNNNNNNNNNNNNNNNNNNNNNNNNNNNNNNNNNNNNNNNNNNNNNNNNNNNNNNNNNNNNNNNNNNNNNNNNNNNNNNNNNNNNNNNAUUGAACUCCAGCAUAGUGGAAUUAUGACUGGCGGGCGGGGUAUAGAGCCCGCCACACGUAUGGCAAGAAGCAGUGGCGGUCUGUACCAGGAGGCCGCCACUACUAAAAAUGACUUCCUGGCCCCCCAACAAAAAAGUUACUGUGAUUUUAGCUGUGGCAGGGCUAUAGACAGGCCCGCCACAUCUCAUAGGAAGAGCAGCGGCGGGCGCUGUAAGCCGCCCGUCACUGACGUAUUUCAUCACGAGAUAAGAUUUGGAAUGGUUCACCUGUGGCGGGCCAGAGGACUCGCUCGCCACUGCAACUCAUGUAGCUAUGGCGGGCUGAUUUUGCUAUCCGCCACCACUUGCUUUCAAAAAUAUCCGUGGCGGAUGCCCUGCUGUGCCUGAUACUAAUUUGUGAUCUCCUAUAAGCCUUUUUGUAGUAGUGUAACCUCCUUUUCGACGGGAAAAAUGCAAGUUAGUUAAUAGUUACGACCAGGUUAAGUAACUGAAGAACUUAAGCAGUUGACCGAAAUGUAGCUUUCAGGCUGCCCCAAGAAACAUUAAACUGGGCUUGCGUAAAAUACUAGUGCAGUUUAUGGUCAGAUGGCCUUGUCGAGAUCGAUGAUGGAUAUUUUAUUUUUGUCGUAUGUUUCGAUCUAAUCCAGGACUGAUGAUACUACAUGCAACUAGGACACGAGUGAAUAAUUUACUUAAGAGUUGCAUCAUGAAGGGAAAAUAAUUAAACAAAGUACAUGGAUUAGAGCAUACGCCAACAUCUCAAGUGGUUGACUUAAGACUAAUUAACAAGCUUAUGUUGUUUCUUAGGGAAGCUAGAGCAAAAUUGUAUUUCAAAGCAAGCGAGAAUGUAUAAAAGUCUUGCUCGCAUCUCCUUCCCCUCUCUUGGACCUAUAAUGCAAAAGCGGCGGCGACAACACAUGAAUGACCUCGAUGGUGGUGCUACUUGAGCACCCGGUCUUGAGCUCCGGGGUGAAAGCCUUGGUCUGGCCCGAGUUGGGUAUACCUGACAAUGGCGAUGUUUUGACGUCGUUACCAUGUUGAAGGCAUUGUUCGGAAUGUUCGGACUGAUUUUUUAGGGUGAAAACCUAGAUUCCAGCCUUGGGUGGCUGGAUCCGACGACGGUGACACUUGAAUGUCACUCCCUUCCAUAAGGCGUUGCUGUUGAAGAAUCUUGUCGCCCGCGUGGUGUCAUGAGAUUGUCCGUGCAGAUAUGGUCAUUGUUAUAGUUUGUCGAUCGUGAUGUGAUCGCUUUGGGGCUUUUUUUCUUUUUUCCUUGCCUACGCAUAGCUUUGGUCUUGUAUGACUUUGCUACUUGUCGGCGUGUUUUUGUGUGCGUGCGUUGGUGUUGGCUGUGUGCAUCCUAGCUAUGCAAACGCCGGGUGUGUGCUCAUUGUGUUUGUAUAUUCUUAAUGCUCCAUUUUGAGUCAAUAAAAUCCACCCAUUAUAAAAAAAACUAUAUAUCCCUCUAUUACCAGAUCAUCAGUAUUUACUUGUAUGACGGCACACAAUAAUAACAAAAGUUUUUUCACUGCAUAACCUCCUUUGGGCACAAAAUAGCGGCCCAAGGAAUAACGAAGUUGGUUUCAAUGAAAGUAAUUAUCUAAGGCGGAAGCCCCAAAGUGGGCACUGGACAGAAUGGAUAAGGGAUGCCGUGCCUUCUUCUGGGCAGGCUCGGAGGAAAUUCAGGGAGGCCAAUGUGCGGUGGCGUGGCGCCGGGUCUGCCGGCCUAAACAGAUGGGAGGUCUAGGGGUGGUGGAUCUAUAUAAACAUGGAAUCGCCCUAAGACUUAGGUGGGAGUGGUUGAAACGCACUGACAGCUCGCGACCUUGGUAGGGGCUCAACUACUGUUCCGACAAAGAUGUCAGGUUGGCAUUCGACAGCAUGGUCAAGUGGGAAGUAGGGGAAGGUUCGACGGCUUUGUUCUGGAGAGAUCGCUGGAUCAAUGGAUCCUGUGUGAAGGAGAUCGCUCCGCUACUUGUUGGCAAAGUGCGGCAGCAGGUGGUGAAUAGGAGGAAAGUGAAGGACGCCUUGUAUCUUCAUGCGUGGACGCAAGAUAUCGUGGGAGAGAUGAAUACCGAGGAGCUUUCGCAGUUCGUUAGGUUAUGGGAGGUGCUGGUAGACAUUGAGCUCACGCCUGGUUCGGAGGACACCCCGAUCUGGCAAUGGGAUGUAACUGGCAAGUACUUGGCAAAAUCGGCGUACAAGAUGAUGUGUGAGGGAGGGGUAAGAUUUCAAUGCGCCUCGGCUGUCUGGCACAGUUGGGCCACGAUGACCUGUAAGCUCUUCAUUUGGCUCGCACUCCAGUAUAGAGUGUGGACUUCGGACCGCAGACAGAGGCAUGGUCUGCAAGAUCAUAGCUCGGCAUGCUUCCUAUGUGACCAAGAAGAGGACAAAGUGGAUCACAUACUACUACAGUGUGUAUAUGCGAGACAAGUGUGGUUUCUGUGCUUCCGAGAGCUGGGCGUGGAUGAAGCUUUGAUUCCAACCACAGAGGAUACACUAGGUGAUUGGUGGGUAUCCGCUAGAAAGCGCAUUGACAAGAGACACCGGAGAGGAUUCGACACAAUCUGCAUUUCAGUCUGCUGGGACAUAUGGAAGCAGAGAAACGGCAGAGUUUUUCACAACAGCAACAUCGCCAACGAGUGGGGAACGGCCGAUACCAUCCACCAGGAACUUAGGCUAUGGGCAUUGGCGAGAGGGAGAGGAGUUCAACAUGGUAUAGAGUAGUAGCCUAGCAUGUGGAGUGGAGGGGUGGACGUGCAUGCCGUGUGUGGUAGUGCAUUCCGUCGUCUGUAUUUCUUGUACAUAGCUCUCUUUCGUCUAUAAAGCUAAGGUACGCAUUUUGCGUACUCUCGAAAAAAAUUAUCUAACGAGGUUUCAAUAUCCAAUGAAUUUAUGUAUCACUGACAAAUGGUCCUACUUUUACCAUAAUAUGUUGCUGGUUUACUUUGAUAAUGGUUUGGAAAGUGGGGAAUUUAGUAUGGUUUAAUCACAAGUGGCCUUCUGAUCCGACUGUUAUCAUGUUUAGGGUAGCUUAUGGAAUUAAUGACUGGUGCUACGACUGUUAUCACAAGUGGCCUUCUGAUCCGACUGUUAUCAUGUUUAGUUCCCUGUAGGUGACAGAGGGCGCAAAACUGGUGCUACGACGGGAUGCAAGACUUCUGGAAAGGAGUCUCAACUGAAGUUUUUCAAGCCAGGAAAAGCUGGGCACCAUGGAUUCCCCGCCUGGAAGAUGGGAGACUUGAUUUUGCGGUUGUGUCUGUUCCUUUAGUGGUGUUGUGCUGAUUAAUAGCUGGGUGUUGGCUUCAGCGUACUCAGUGUAAAACGCUCUGUUUUUUCGUGUCUUCGUGGUGUUGGUUGUUCCCCUAGUCUGUUGCUCAGCUAGGCUUGCGAGGAGGAAUGCCUUAAAGACUUAAGUCCAUGUCUUUGUUUUGUUGGUGGUGGUUGCGUUUUCGUUGUAAAAACAACUUGUUUUCAUUAAUGAAAUCAGCGGUACAAUCCCUUUUGAUCUAGAAAAAAUGUAUGCAUAAACCUUUUGGUGGAAUAUCCAACACGUCCGGGCCAACUUUUUGAGUGAACAUUUAGCGAUAAGAAAAUUUUGUUGUUACAGUCAGAGCUGAAAUGUUCUUAUCUAAUGCCCAUAUCAUCCAUUUAUUCUCUUGUGUUUAACUCACCAAUUUCGAACAUACUAUAGGUCGUCAAUGUAGCUCAUCUGAAGUGCGCAAUAAGUAAUGAUCCGUGGUAUGGGAGUAUGAUUCUUCAUAUUACAUUGACAACACAAAGGAAACUUUAUUAUCUGAUCCACACCGACAAGAUAUGAUCCCAAACACACAACCAAACAUAUAUCAUAACAAUAACAAACUCGUUUAAAAAAAUAAAAAUAACAAACAAACAGACGUGGAUUUUUGGAUUAAUAGAACAUCCCAGGCUAAAAAUCCACAGAUUACUUGAAAAGGAAAACAUUAACAAGCUUGUAUUGUUCCUUUCAUAGCUACCCGUAUAUGGGUAGCUACAGCCCACCUAGUUUUUGAACAUAUUACUGGAUGGUGGCGCCAGCAGAUGUAGUGUCCUGCAAAAAAAAGGUAUAAUCAACAUCGCUACAUACCAAGAAACCAGUCAUUAAGGUACUGAUGGAAAUUUGUCAGGAAAAUAUAAAUCAUAAUGCCAGAUGACUAAAACUAGUUUUGUUUGUGAACUGGCUUUGAAAUUUAUAAGCUUAUUAGUUACAUAACCUUAACUACAUCUACAUGUCCAGACCAUGACGUUUAAAUAUCUUUCAGCUGGACUAGAUAUACAUGCUAGAAACAAGAAGAAAUAUAUAUAUAAAGAUUAAGAGUUGAAUGUAUGUACUUACAGAAGGUUUGACGUAGAAUGCAUGGAUAUUAAGUUCUUUGAUAGUUUGAAACGUAGGGGGGUUGGCGAGCGCGUUAUACUUGAUGAUCCCACGUGCCAUAGCAAACUCUCCAGUUCCACCCAUAAUGGCCAUCUGGCCUUGGCCUGUUUGAAAAUGGAUCCCCAUCGCUUCGAAUGAUGAUCCAUUGUACCUGAUAUAGUUUUGUAGGGCAAUAUCACAUAUCAUAUGAAACUGGAAAAUCUUCAGUAUUUGAGACCUUUGUAACAAACCAUAUCUGCUAUAUAACUGGGAAAACUAAAACUUAUACUAGUCCAAAAGUAUAUAAAAAUGACCUAGAGUUCUUCUCGAACACCAUGCUGAAGUAGUUGAACCAGCCUGGACCGGCUACAUCAGCCUGCACUUGCAUGCCUUUGGUACGGGCAACAAUGGUGGCAGUAGCGGGGUUUGGUCCAUCAAUGACAGUCCAGUCGGUAACGGCAGUUAGACCAAACUCUGACGGUUUGCUGGAGGUAACAAUUGCUACCUGGUUGAUGCCUGGUCCGGCGGCGAUUUGGUGCAAGUACAAGCGCAUGUUAACCUCAGACUCACACUGAAGAACACAGGAUAGGGAUGCAGAUGCCAUGGAUAGAAUGGAAUGCAGGACUAGGAUCGUGGACAGGACUAAAAGGCUAGGGCUGGCCAUUGCUAGCUAGGAUUUUGUCUGGCAGAAGAAGUUGGUAGCUAGGAGGUGUGUCCGUAAACUGACUCUUUCCUUUGUCGUGUGUGUGAGCUGUGUGAGAGACACUUGAGUCCAGGGUACUAUUUGUAAUGCUCAGGACUAGCUAGCAUAUUCGUUCCAUAUCCUCUUUUUUCAUUUCUCUUUGGGAUGAUCCAUUCCAUAUCCUUUUUAGUUUCUUUUUUUUUAACUGCCAUUUCAGUUAGGAUAGACAACUACACAUGUGUGGCUGAUUCCUUGUACAUGUAUCAACCCUCGGAGAUCACAAAGGUCAAGUGCCUUUUGAGGAACUACCCUUUUAUUUCCUUGAAAUACAAUGUGUACAUUGUAAUGUAGCAUUGAAAAUGACUAAAAUGCAUUAGACGCCCAUUAUUAUCUUUACAUCUUAUUAUAUCUCCGGAAGAGCAGCAGCCUAGGUUUUCCACCUGGACAACGAGCACACUGUCAUUACUCGUACAAUACAAAGUUCAAAUCCAAGGAUUCAUGCUGCGNNNNNNNNNNNNNNNNNNNNNNNNNNNNNNNNNNNNNNNNNNNNNNNNNNNNNNNNNNNNNNNNNNNNNNNNNNNNNNNNNNNNNNNNNNNNNNNNNNNNNNNNNNNNNNNNNNNNNNNNNNNNNNNNNNNNNNNNNNNNNNNNNNNNNNNNNNNNNNNNNNNNNNNNNNNNNNNNNNNNNNNNNNNNNNNNNNNNNNNNNNNNNNNNNNNNNNNNNNNNNNNNNNNNNNNNNNNNNNNNNNNNNNNNNNNNNNNNNNNNNNNNNNNNNNNNNNNNNNNNNNNNNNNNNNNNNNNNNNNNNNNNNNNNNNNNNCUUGUUGAGGCAACCUUGAUGCUGAAGACAGGAGGAAGCUGCCUUGGCAACGUCGCUGGUCUUGUGGAGGCAGCCUUGAUGCCAAAGACAUGAGGAAGCGGCCAGGCCACACAACACUUCAGUUUGGUGGUGCUCUUCAAAUACACGAUCUCGAGUUCCAGAGGGGAAACUCUAGCUCAGGCCUUCAUUCACUGUACGUUGGAAUGGCGAUGUUUCGACAUUGUUCCCUUGUUGGAGACAUUGUCUUGAGAUUGCUCAGAAGUCCUAUUCGGGGUGAAAACUCGUGAUCUAGCCUCUAUUAGAAUGGUGACAACAGUGAUCAUCCCUUUCCUAGAGGUGUCAUUGUUGGAGAACCUUUCUCAUAGUUUGGAUAGUUCCAUUGGCGCAGAUAGGUGUUGGCCACUGAUGCGUGCCAUUGAUUGCUUCAACAUGAAUUUUGUAUGUCCUAUCUUUUUUUAAUAAUUUGGAUGUGUGCAACCCUGAUGUCUGGAUUAGCAUAUUGCUUCUUGUAGAGGCCGCAGGGUGGGUUGGGGUGGGGCUGGGGGCAGGGGUGCCGACCAAAAACUAGCAAAUUUACAAUCAUCUUGAUUAACAUAUUUUUAGCGGUUUGUUCCUUGCAAAAAAAAAGACUAUCAAUGUAUCAAUUAUGCAAGCUAGUUUAAGACCAUUCACAAAUUAUUAUCAAAUGGUUCUAUUAAUGUCAACUGCAUUCAGGAGUCAUGCAUGACGUCAACCAUGUCAAAUUAUUGAAGGUUUAACCUCUGGCUUAGAAACAAAACAAAUGCGUACCAUAGGCCGGCAAAAAGUAUACCACUAUAUAGAAGGAAAUUAAUAAUACUUAGUGGGCAAUCUCCGUACGUGACAACCACCUAAAUAUAAUACUUGGAAAAAAUUAUCAAUGCUACUUGUAUGUUUACUAAUAUAAGUAGUGACCUUUAUAAGGAAUUGCGUCGUUCCAAGGAUGACAUCUUAAUUAGCAUACUACUAAGAUUCGAAGAUAUAUACUAUCUUGAAAGUCAGUUGUGCCAUUAGUCAGAUGUGUAUGCAGUAUACAAUCCAAUUGUAUGUAUAUGUAUGUCAGUAUGUGUGCUCAUCAACAGUUCACCUUGUUUUGAAGCAACCCAGUCAUCAGUAUGAUCGAGUAUUCAGACAUAUCCAGUAUACACGUGUUUAUGCAUUUUAGCUGUGAUUUUCUGCCAAAUGUGCCAACGAAUUAUUGCAUUCACGAGUGCUCUUAUUGCUUGUGUGUAACCCAUGCAGUGUGUUAGAUGAUUUCUGCCAAAUAUGCGUCUAUAAUUGAAGGGAGAACCUAUCCUUCGAUUAUGGAUCAGUCAUUUUUCAUAGCCUACUGUUUAUCUUGUUUGCAUGCCCUUCUCCUCUUCUUUGACCCACCCCCAACCGCCUGCCACGCCGUCCGCGGUCGGUGGUGCUUCCAUGUGUGCCUCACUGCCCUGGCCUGCUCUGCUCAAACUGCCACCUCUACCAUCCCUCCAUGCCCCGGCCAUCCUAUAAACCUCCCCACUGUCCCUGGCACCGGUGAUCCUAUGAUCCUACCCCCUCCCCCGCUCCACAAACCUGUCAAGCCCUUUUCCUCUCCUCCGUCGGCAACCGUGAGUGAUAGAAAUUUGCAUGAUUAAAUAUUUCAUUUGACCAAAACCUUUCAUACAUUUCUAUGCAUGUAACAAGGAAACAAGAUGAUGAUGUGUCGAUGUCCCUUCGCAGGAUUGCAUGGCAGUAACAGAGAUCCAUGUCUUGAAAACAUGAGAAAGAAAGGAGCACGCGAUUGAAACAGAACACCUCAACAAACAUAUAAUAGUGCGUACUAUGUCGUAAGAGCAUCUACAACCACAACUCACAAAUGUGACACCUACACAUGCGUGGACACGCCCGCAGACAAUGACCGGUCAUCCCUAAUUUCUCCGCGUCCGCAGCCGCCCCCCUCAAAUCCAUGCUACCUACGCAAUGUGAUCAACAAUUUUACUCGCAAAAAAAAUGUGAUCAUCAUUUUACAUAGAAAUAACUUGAACAUAUCAGUAGCAAACAUAUAUAUAUUGGGAAUGGCAAGUUUCGUAGAAUCGGACACAAAAUGUCCAUCAAACCUAGAUAUAAUAAGCCUAAUAAAUAAAUAAACUCCUAUGCGUGGACGUUGGCGGCCAGAGGGGCUCGCCAUGCCGCUUACAUAGGAUGAUGAGGAGGAGAUGAUCCUGACCAGGAGCCGGGUGGCGCAGGCCUGCUCCUUGGCGAGUGGGUGGUUUCUGCCUAGGCAGCCGCCCCGUCCUUCACAAGGCGCCCAAAAUCCUCGAUGUCGAGCCGGAGCGCCAUUUGUUUUUGCGGCGGGCAUCCAUAUUCCUCGAGGUCGGUGACCGGAUGAUGAUGUUGCGGAGGAGCUCCUCCUCAGGGUUAGCCUGCGUGGACCUGGAGAACCCUCAGCCGUCCUGUGAGGAACCGGAUGUCUCACAGGCCUGCUGCCUAGCACGGUCGGUUCACGCCUCUACCCAUAUGUCCUCCUCGGAGGAUCAGCGAUGAGGGAAUGAGCACCCAGCUCUGUCCCGGAGGCGCAGGGCACAAAAGUGGUCGGGGGGUCGUGGAGGGCGCUGGAUCUUGACCGGCACAGAUUGUGACGGGCUGACGUGGUUGGCUGCAUUGCCUUGCCGGGCAAAGGAGGAGAAUGCAGAUCUCGAGCUCCCAUCGUCGUUGUCCAUUCGUGAGGUCCUCAUUAUCCAAAUCUUACUACAGCAAGGCAUCCCGGUCGAUGGGAUCCGCCUCGUUGUCGGAUCCGCCACUGAAAUCACUGCCAGAACCAACCACGGUAGCCCGGGAACGGAAGUGACGGGGAUGGGAGCGGACAGGUGUGGAGUGGAAGGGGAGUGAAGAUGCCGAGACUGAGCUAGUUUUGUGGGGAUGGGUUGGGCCAGCAUGGACCAGUCCAAGAUGGCAGUCGCGACUGGGCAUGUAGGUCUACCCCAUAUCCGCCCCAGACAUGAGAUGAGUUUGAGGGGUGCCGGUCGGCCCAGACAAUUGGGCAAACUAUUUGGGGCCCGGUUGGAUGGAAGUUUGUGCUUUGAGAAGUGAUCGGGCUGUCCACCCAGACGUUUUGGGGGAUUUGAGCGCUCCGGUUGUACAUGCUCAAAAUUUGGGCAUGGGAAGAGCUCGCCCGACAGGCCGUGUCUAGGCUGGGCUUGUGCCUCUCAACUCGUAAGACCCAAAAAGUCUAGGAGACCUUAUUUUUUGGAUUUUAUAUGAAAAAUAGUAUGAUAUUGCGCCAAGUAAUCAAAAAAUAAUUCAUUUAUUAUUUUUCAAUAAAAACUUAACCUUUUUCUUGCCCAAGCGGGGUGGGAUCAAACCGAGGGAGGCUUGGCAUUUUCAGGCUAGGUUCUGGCCAUUUUAAUCUAUUUAUUUAUUUCCUUUUUCCGGGACUAAGCCAUUUUAAGUACUUGGUCAGCAAUCUCUAACCAAUGAUAAGAUCACAAGACUAGGCCUAUUAUCUAUUUUUCAUUCAUAGUCAACUGUGUCGCUAAUCAUAUUACUCCAAUCCAGCUAUAUUUAUCCGUGCUCAACAUCAGUUCACCUUGUUUGAAAGAAACCCAGUUAUCUUUCGUUUUUUGCGAGAAAGCUUCGUAUUUAUACUAAAAGACUUCCAAUAUUCCUUUAAACAUAUCGUCGAUGCAUAGUUCAGUGCAUCACAGGUGGCGAGGAUGAACAGGAAGAAAUCACACCAUUUAAGGUAGUUGUUGGGGGCUGGGCCUAGUUUGAAGGUGAUGUAGGAGUGGAUGUUUGUAUUAUGGACGGAGGAUUGAGAGGGUAAGAAGAGAGAGUAGCCACAACAGUGGUGACGGGCGUCAUGGAGCUGGCGGAGCAGCUGGGAGAGGUGUGGGUGGUUUACAUCGGAAGGUUACACACCCUGUGUCUCUAAAGAAGAAGAAAACAAUACCUUGGGCCUGCAAAGUAAACCAACAUAUGGAAUUGAGAAGCAACUUAACAAUACUUAAUCGGCAAUCUCCGUGAAAACCAUUGAAAUAUUGCUAGCUGGUUAUCUAAUGUGGUGGGAUCAUUACUUUGAACAACUCUCUCAAUGAUAGAUGCAUGUUGUCUAACAAGUAGUGACAUUCAUAAGGAAUUGCAUCGAUCCAAGGAUAACAUCUCAAUUACCAUAUGACUAAUUAGGACCUACACAUAUAUACCACCUUGAAGGAACAAGUGUUACCGCAAAUCCAUGCAUCCAAUUCUUUAUGGCGGUGUAGGUUGAAUCUAAUUCCUUCACAACUUGUCUUCUUCUACAGUAAAACUAUGCCCUGAAUUUUCGUGUUUUUUUUCUUCUUAUUUACGAAUAAUACUUGUUUCCUUUGCGGUGUUUGGUCAUAAGAGCAUCUACAACUGCAACUCGCAAAUGUGACCCCUACACGUCCGUGGACGCAUCCGUGGACAGUGACCAGUCACCCACUAUAUCUCCGCGUCCGCUGUCGUCCCCCUCAUAUCCAUGCUAACAACGCAACAUGAUCAACGUUUUACGUAGAAACAACUUGAACAUAGCAGUAUAAAACAUAUAUAUUGGGAAUGACAAGUUUCAUACAAUCGGACACAAAAUGUCCAUCAUCACCUAGAUAUGAUAAGCCUAAACAAUAGAUAAACUCCUACAUGUAGGCAUUGGAUGUCGGAGGGGAUUCGUCAUUGUCGUCGCUCAUCGUGUCCCUGUCAUAGGACGACGACAAGGAGGUUAUCCCGACCAAACGCCGGGCGACACGGGCCUACUCCUUGGUGAGUCGGGCGGCUUUAGCACUGGCGGUUGCCCCCUCCUUCGCGAGGUUCCCGAAAUCCUCGAUGUCGAGCUGGAGAACCUUUACUGUUUUUCGGCGGCGGGCAUCCAUCUCUGACGAGAUCAGUGACCGGAGGAUGACAUCACGGAGGAGAUCCUCCUCCGGGUCAACCAGCGUGGACCUACAUAAUUCGCAGCCACUCUGGGAGGAACCAGCAGUCUCGCGGACCUGCUGCCUCUGAUUUUUACGUCCUCGUCGCAAGCUCGGUAGUGCGGGAACGAGCACCCUGCUCAGACUGGGAGGAGCGGGGCCCAAAGUGGUAGGGGAGGGUCACGGAGGGCGAUAUAUCUUGACCGGCGCAGACCGCGACGGGCUGACGUGGUCCGCUGCAUUGCCUCGUCGGGCAACGGGGGAGAACAGAGAGCUCGAGUUCCUUCCCUUGUCCAUCCAUGACCAGCGGAGCGCACUGCAAAGGGUGAGGUCUCCUCAUCAUCCAAAUCCGACAACCGCAAGGCAUCCCAGUCGAUGGGUUCCGCCUCAUUGCUGGAUCCGCCACUGAAAUCGCUGCUAGAACCAACCAUGGUAGCCCGAGAAGAGGAAGCGGUGGGGAUGGGAGCGAACAUGAGAGGUGUGGAAGGGGAGAGAAGAGGCCGGUACUGAGCUAUGUUUGAGCCCUAGUGGGGAUGGGUUGGGCGAGCACGAACGGAUCUGAUGUGACAGCCGAGUCCGGGCGUGUCGAUCUGCCCUCGACGAUAGGGCUAACUAUGUGGGGUCCGGUUGGGUGGCAAUUUAUUGGCUGAGUGGUGACCGGGCUGUCUGCCCAUACGUUUGGGGGGAUAUGAGCUCUUUGUUGUACAUGCUUUAAAUCUCGGCAGUUCACGUUGUUUCAAAUAAACCCAGUUAUGCUUCCAUUUUGCAAGAAAGCACCGCAUUUAUAUUAGAUGACUUCCAACAUCCCAGAAAACAGAUCGUCGAUGUGGUCCAGUGCAUCAGGAGAAUCUUAGCGGGAGGAUCUAGUUUGAAGGUGGUGUAGGAAUGGAUGUUGGUUUUAUGGACGGUAAUGGGGGCCUGGAGUUAAUAAAAAGGAUUGAGAGGGUAAGAAGAGAGAGCACCAGCUAUAGUAUUGAGGGCACCAUGGUGCUGAGAAACUGGGAGAGGUGUGGGUGGUUUGCAUCGGAAGGUUUCACACCCUCUGGUUCUGAAGAAGAAACAUAAUACCAUAGGCCUGCAAAGUAAACCAACAUAUGGAAUUAAGAAGCAAUUUAACAAUACUUAGUGGGCAAUCUCCGUGACAACCAUGAAAAUAUUGAUAUGUUGUUAAGGAAUUAUUUCUUUGAAUAAGCUCAGUACUAGUUGUAAUAGUUGCAUGUUGUCUAAUAUGUGACGUUGGUAAGAAAUUGCGUCCAGAAAAGUGUAGCAUCUCAAUUAUCAUAUUACCAAGACCUGAAGAUAUAUGCAACCUUGUAGCCUUAUAAAGAGCUAGAGCCCUUGCCUAUUUUUUCUCUUAGAAAUUGGACCAACGUGUCGCGUACGGAUUAAUUUAGUAAUUCUUCUGUAUUUUUUCAUCGAUAAAUAGGAAUAGGGCAGUGUAUAUGUGGAGUGCACACAAUCUUGUUUCACUUUUCUUUGCUGGAAAUAAGCUGUUUUAAGUACUUGGUCAGCAAUCUCAAAUCAAUGAUAAGAUCGUAAGGACUACUAUAUAUUUUCAAAGUAAACUGCGCCGCUAGUCAGAUGGCCAUAAUACAGUUAUAUAUAUCGUGCUCAGCACGAGUUCACCUUGUUUUAAAGCAACCCUGUCAUAAGUAUGAGUAUUAGUUCAAACAUAUUUGUGAAAGAACACUCAUUUAUACACUUUAGCUCUGUUUUUAUGCCCAUGAGUUAGUACAUUCACGAGUGGUUUUUUCUUCACGUAACUGGCACGGAGUGUUACUGAAUAUAACUUUAUUAUUUAUUACAUUUCUUAGGAUGCUUUCUAUCACGAAACUAGCGGUAUUGCCUGCUCAUUUGUGCGGCAAGAUUUUCAUUUCUCAUUUUAAAUUUAGAAACUAUAUUUUGGCAUUUUAAAUAUUACUUAACACUUUGUAAAUAUGUAUUGUUGUAAUUACCAAAUUGCGUAUGAGGGAUUCAUCAGCAAGGAGUGCCAAGAAACAGUCAAUUCCACACAAAAGGCUGAAAUUUAAAUGUUUUUAUUAGAAGACAUUCUAUUAAAUAUGUUAUGUAAGAAGGCCUAAAUUCAUCCAUACAUACGCAUUAGGUAUACUUGUGGGGUUAAGAAUUUUAAGCAUGUAUAUGUACAUCAUAUAUAUAAUAGCUGGACAACUAAGUUUGGGAGAACUUAUUGUGGAAGUACAUACUACGGUAGUCCCACGGUUAUACGAAGUGUGUAGUCGUUCUUGUCAUUGAGUAAGGAUGCUUUAUGGCUGAGCUCGGAUGAUACUGCCAGCCCACGUUGAUGAUAGAGAAACUCCUGAUUAAACAAGCUGAUAUAUGGGAGCGCAUCACCUUGUCGAUGCUAUGGAGGAACUUGAGGCCGAGCCCAUGAUUAGUCAUUGCCUGAUCAAUAUAUGUGAGGAACUUGAGCCGCUACCCGUACUUGGCGACAGACAUGGUGCUCUCCUUGAGAAUGUGGUACUUGCCGCUAAGACGGAUGAUGUGUGAGUUGUUAUUGUUGAGGAAGUACCGGCGGAGGCGAUUCCGUGCCGACAAGGCAGUGCCGUCAAAUCACAUAUCACAAGUCCAGACGACCGUCAUCAAACAUGGUGUAGAUCCACAACAUGAUCCUGAUGUCGGCACGCUGCCACUCGGGGUCAUCAAUUCCAAGUUCAGAUGUAUCAUUAAUGUGGUUGAGUGCAUCGGAGGUGACGAGGACGAACCAGAAGAAAUGCGCCAUUUAUGGUAGUUAUUGACACGUGGGUCGAGUUUAAAGGGAAGUAGGACUGGAUGUUGGUAUUGUGGACAACAAUGGGGCUUGAAGUUGCUAAAAGGGAUUGGGUGGUAAGAAGAGGGAGUAGAAGCAAUAGUGGCGACGGGCGCCGUGCCAUCGACAGAGAAACAGGGAGAGGUACUAGGGGUUUGCGCCAUAAGGGAGGUGGUGCUUGAAUUGGUCUUGGUGUUGCUCAUUGGCGUUACCAAGUUGAACUAUGUAAUAUGUAAUGUUUGCAUCAAGGUUUACAAGUAUCGAUGUACACAAUAUAUAGAGAAGGGUCACAGAGAGAGGCCUAACUAAUUCCAACAUACGAGAGGCGCGCACAGGUCCAUGUAUGACGACGAGUGAAGAGAACUCAGAUCCUAAUCUCCACGGGCUCUGGUACAAAAUGGUUGAGUUGCAACAGUACACACAUAUGGUGCAUAUAUGUUUAACAAUAUUGAUUUGAAUUCAUGUACGAGGGGUAACAAAUGGCAAAUAAUAAAAAUACCAUUGGGCUGCCCGUAAUAGGAGUAUCAUGCACGACAACUAAGCAAUUUUGGUGAAGUGACAUAGAAAUAAAUGUAGAAAGAGAGAAUUCAGUAUCAUAUCAUGAUACCGUAUCAUAAUAAAUGUUAUGCUACUAUGUGUCAUGCAUCACAAUAAAUAAGAUCAUAUCUAAGAUACUAAUACAUUAUAUUAUGCAUUAUAGAGGUAAUAUCAUAGAAUUGUAUCAUAUGCAUAAUACAAACUUAUGAUACUACACAUUAUCUUUGCUAUAAAUAAUCCUACUGACCUCAAAGUGCACGCAUUAUUGCACAGGUCACUUCCGUACAAUUUAGGACCAAAAAUAUAGGUGCGCAAGGUAUAUGCUAUAUCAAAGUCAACCACAGUUAAUUAAGUGAUACGAAUAAGUACUAGCUAGUUUUUUUUUGCAAGGCGGAGUACUAGCUAGCUAGCUAGGGUCGUCCUUGUGUUGGCUCCCUAUAAAUAGCAUCCUACUCCCUCAUAUGGACCUGUACCAGUUAAGCAGCUAGCUAGCUCAUCUCCAUCCCAUCUGUUCUUACUCUAUUCUCCACCAGAACCACCCAAUUCAUCAAUGGCUUCAUCUCUGAAGGUGGCCACCAUCGUCGCUGUUUGCGUCGUGCUCGUCCUCAACAUGGGUCACCCAGCGGCAGCCACAGAAUGCGAAGAUUGUCUGGGCGCCUGUGUUGCAAUUUGCAUCGCCUACGCUGAAACGACGUGCAGUGGCAUCUGUACCGUCAUAACUCCUGCAUGCCAGGCAUGUAAGGACGCGGCCAUAAUUGAGUGUGGUGCAACAUGCUAUGGCGGUUGUACACUAUUCUGCUGAACCGGCCGGUUGUGCCCUGUUGCUCGCUGUAAGCUAGGUGCAUGCUUGUGUUCGUUGUUGCCAUUAUAAGCCAUGUAAAUAAGCGAACUAAUGCCGUUGAUGUGUGCAUGUGGCAAUAGUUCCUUUGUUUUAUUGUUCCCCCUCGUUUCAACCAUCAGUAAAUAUACUUGUGUGCAAGUUGUGUAUACUUUGUGCUUCUUCGUACAUAUCAUGUGUCUAACGCGUUGUCAUACUUCAAAAAUAGGGAUAUAUAUCCUUAUCAGGAGAACGCAGUUCCAAAGUAUGUUGUUUCACUUCCCUCAUGGUAGGGUUUCACAUUUAUCUCAGCGCCUCAUGGCGGCUUAAAGAUUGCAUCUAUUUCCUUCACAACUUGUCUUCUUCCAGCAUAAAACUCUGUCCUGAAUUUUCUAUGAUUUUUCUUCUUCAUGGAAAAUACUUGUUUCCUUUGCAGUGUUUGAUCGUUCAUGAAUUAUUCCAACUAGUUCGAUGCAAUACUAGUUUAAGACCAUGGACGAAUUAAUGUCAAGUGGUAGCUUGUUAUAUUGAUGCCAACUCCAUUCAUGAAUCAUGCGCGGCCAUGUCAAUUAUAUGUAGAAGGGUUCACACCAUGGGCCCACAAAGUAAACCAAUAUAUGGAAUUAAGCAUGCAAUUUAGGAAUACUCACUGUGUAAUCUCCAUGGUAGCCAACGAAAUAUUGCAAGCGCCAUUUUCUAAUGCUAUGGAAUCAUUACUUUGAACCAGUUUCUCGGUGCUAGUUGCAUGUAAUCUAAUACGUUGUGCAUUCAUGAGAAAUUGUGCCAAUCAAUGGAUAAUAUCUUAGUUAGCUUAUUACUCCCUCUGGCCCUUUUUACUCAGCGUAUUAGAUUUGUCUAGUCAUACUUUGCAAAGUUUGACCAAAUUUAUACGAAGAAGUAUCAACAUCUACAAUACUAAAUAUAUAUACUAUAUAUGAAACUAAAUUUCAUGAUGAGCCUAACAAUAUCGAUUUGGCAUUAUGAAUGUUGAUACUUCUUUCUAUAAGUUUGGUCAAAAUAGAGAUACUUUGACUUCACACAAAACUUAUAUGUAGACUAAAAAUGACCGGAGGGAGUACUAAUUAAGACCUUAGGAUAUAUACCACCUUUAAGCAUUAAUAGCUACCACAAAUCCACAUAUUAUAGAUCCUUCUUCUUCCACUAUGUCUCCGUUGAUUGGCUUUUGGCUUUCAGACCACUCAAAAAUUAAUGUCAAGUGGUAGCUUCUUCUAUUAAUGUCAACUCCAUGCAUGAGUGAUGCACGAUCAUGUCAAAUUACAGAAGAUGUCACACCCUCUAGCUCAGAAGAGGAAGAAAACUAAGACCAUAGCCGGCAUGUAAAGUAAACUAAUAUAUGGAAUGACACAUGCAAUUUAGGAAUACUUAGUAAGCAAUCCCCGUGAAAACUACCAAAAUAUUGCUUCUUUUUGAAAAGGGGGGUAUGCCCCCAGCCUCUGCAUCUGAAUGAUGCAUAAGGCCAAUAUUAUUAAUAAGCAAAAUAUCCAACAUAAGUCUCCAAGUCUUGAACAACAAACGAAUACCAAAAUAUUGCUAGCUAGUUAUCUAAUGUGGUGGGAUCAUUAGUUUGAACAACUCUCUCAAUGAUAGAUGCAUGUUGUCUAACAAGUAGUGAUAUUCAUAAGAAAUUGCAUCGAUCCAAGGAUAACAUCUCAAUUACCAUAUGACUAAUUAGGACCUACACAAAUAUACCACCUUGAAGGAACAAGUGUUAACGCAAAUCCAUGCAUCCAAUUCUUUAUGGUGGUGUAGGUUGCAUCUAAUUCCUUCACAACUUGUCUUCUUCUACAGUAAAACUAUGCCCUGAAUUUUCGUGGUUUUUUUCUUAUUUACGAAUAAUGCUUGUUCCUUUGCAGUGUAUGGUCAUAAGAGCAUCUACAACUGCAACUCGCAAAUGUGACCCCUACACGUCCGUGGACACGUCUGUGGACGCGUCCGUGGACAGUGACCAGUCACCCACUAUAUCUCCACGUCCGUUGUCGUCCCCCUCAUAUCCAUGCUAACCGCGCAACAUGAUCAACAUUUUACGUACAAACAACUUGAACAUAGCAGUAUAAAACAUAUAUAUUGGGAAUGGAAAGUUUCAUACAAUUGGACACAAAAUGUCCAUCAUCACCUAGAUAUGAUAAGCCUAAACAAUAGAUAAACUCCUACAUGUAGGCAUUGGAUGAUUCGUCGUUGUCGUCGCUCAUCGUGUCGCUGUCAUAGGACGACGACAAGGAGGUUAUCCCGACCAAACGCCGGGCGACGCGGGCCUACUCCUUGGUGAGUCGGGCGGCUUUAGCACUGGCGGUUGCCCCCUCCUUCGCGAAGUUCCAGAAAUCCUCGAUGUCGAGCUGGAGAACCUUUACUGUUUUUCGGCGGCGGGCAUCCAUCUCUACCGAGAUCAGUGACCGGAGGAUGACAUCACGGAGGAGAUCCUCCUCCGGGUCAACCAGCGUGGACCUACAUAAUUCGCAUCCACUCUGGGAGGAACCAGCAGUCUCGCGGACCUGCUGCCUCUGAUUUUUACGUCCUUGUCGCAAGCUCGGUAGUGCGGGAACGAGCACCCUGCUCAGACUGGGAGGAGCGGGGCCCAAAGUGGUAGGGGAGGGUCACGGAGGGCGAUAUAUCUUGACCGGCGCAGACCGCGACGGGCUGACAUGGUCCGCUGCAUUGCCUCGUCGGGCAACGGGGGAGAACACAGAGCUCGAGUUCCUUCCCUUGUCCAUCCAUGACCGGCGGAGCGCACUGCAAAGGGCGAGGUCUCCUCAUCAUCCAAAUCCGAUAACCGCAAGGCAUCCUAGUUGAUGGUUCUGCCUCAUUGCUGGAUCCACUGAAAUCGCUGCUAGAACCAACCAUGGUAGCCCGAGACGAGGAGCGGUGGGGAUGGGGGGCGAACAUGAGAGGUGUGGAAGGGGAGAGAAGAGGCCGGUACUGAGCUAUGUUUGAGCCCUAGUGGGGAUGGGUUGGGCGAGCACGAACGGAUCUGAUGUGACAUCCGAGUCCGGGCGUGUCAAUCUGCCCUCGAUGAUAGGGCUAACUAUGUGGGGUCCGGUUGGGUGGCAAUUUGUUGGCUGAGUANNNNNNNNNNNNNNNNNNNNNNNNNNNNNNNNNNNNNNNNNNNNNNNNNNNNNNNNNNNNNNNNNNNNNNNNNNNNNNNNNNNNNNNNNNNNNNNNNNNNNNNNNNNNNNNNNNNNNNNNNNNNNNNNNNNNNNNNNNNNNNNNNNNNNNNNNNNNNNNNNNNNNNNNNNNNNNNNNNNNNNNNNNNNNNNNNNNNNNNNNNNNNNNNNNNNNNNNNNNNNNNNNNNNNNNNNNNNNNNNNNNNNNNNNNNNNNNNNNNNNNNNNNNNNNNNNNNNNNNNNNNNNNNNNNNNNNNNNNNNNNNNNNNNNNNNNNNNGCUCUUUGUUGUACAUGCUUUAAAUCUGGGCAUGCGAAGCCUCGCCGCCGGUGUCUAGGCUGUGCUUGUGCCUCUUAGCUGGAAACCCCCAAAAAGUCCAAGAGACCUUAUUUUUGGGAUUUUAUAAGAAAAAAUAGGUAUGCUAUUGUAUCAAUUUAUCUCAAAAUAAUUCGGUUAUUAUUUUUAAAUAAAAAUAUAACCAUUUUCGUGCCCAAUGGGGUGGGAUAAGACCCGGGCUCGGAGUUUUCAUGCCGAGCUCUCGCAGGUUCGUCCAUUUUAAUCAAUUUAUUUCUUUUUCAGGGACUAAGCUAUUUUAAGUACUUGGUCAGCAAUCUCUAACAAAUGAUAAGAUAACAAGACUAGGCCUACUAUCAAUUUUCAUAGUCAACUUUGUCCCUAGUCACAUUACUCCAAUCCGGCUAUAUUUAUGCGUGCGUAUCACCAGUUCACCUUGUUUCAAAUAAACCCAGUUAUGUUUCCAUUUUGCAAGAAAGCACCGCAUUUAUAUUAGAUGACGUCCAACAUCCCAGAAAACAGAUCGUCGAUGUGGUCCAGUGCAUCGCAGGUGGCUACAAUGAACCGGAAGAAAUUGCGAAGUUUAAGGUAGUUCUUAGCGGGAGGAUCUAGUUUGAAGGUGGUGUAGGAAUGGAUGUUGGUUUUAUGGACGGUAAUGGGGGCCUGGAGUAAAUAAAAAGGAUUGAGAGGGUAAGAAGAGAGAGCACCAGCUAUAGUAUUCAGGGCACCAUGGUGCUGAGAAACUGGGAGAGGUGUGGGUGGUUUGCAUCGGAAGGUUUCACACCCUCUGGUUCUGAAGAAGAAAAAUAGUACCAUAGGCCUGCAAAGUAAACCAACACAUGGAAUUAAGAAGCAAUUUAACAAUACUUAGUGGGCAAUCUGCGUGACAACCAUCAAAAUAUUGCUAUGUUGUUAAGGAAUUAUUUCUUUGAAUAAGCUCAGUACUAGUUGUAAUAGUUGCAUGUUGUCUAAUAUGUGACGUUGGUAAGAAAUUGCGUCCAGCAAAGUGUAGCAUCUCAAUUAUCAUAUUACCAAGACAUGAAGAUAUAUGCAACCUUGUAGCCUUAUAAAGAGCUAGAGCCCUUGCCUAUUUUUUCUUAGAAAUUGGACCAACGCUGUCACGUACGGAUUAAUUUAGUAGUAAUUCUUCUGUAUUUUUUCAUUGAUAUAUACGAAUAGGGCAGUGUAUAUGUGGAGUGCACACAAUCUUGUUUCACGUUUCUUUGCUGGAAGUAAGCUGUUUUAAGUACUUGGCCAGCAAUCUCGAAUCAAUGAUCAGAUCGUAAGACUGGGCCUACUAUAUAUUUUCAAAGUCAACUGCGCGACUGGUCAGAUUGUACCACAAUACAGUUAUAUAUAUCGUGCUCAGCACGAGUUCACCUUGUUUUAAAGCAACCCUGUCAUAAGUAUGAGUAUUAGUUCAAACACUCAUUUAUACACUUUAGCUCUGCUUUUAUGCCCAUGAGUUAGUAUAUUCACGAGUGGUUUUUUCUUCACGUAACUGGCACGGAGUGUUACUGAAUAUAACUUUAUUAUUUAUUACAUUUCUUAGGAUGCUUUCUAUCACGAAACUAGCGGUAUUGCCUGCUCAUUUGUGCGGCAAGAUUUUCAUUUCUCAUUUUAAAUUUAGAAACUAUAUUUUGGCAUUUUAAAUAUUACUUAACACUUUGUAAAUAUGUAUUGUUGUAACUACCAAAUUGCGUAUGAGGGAUUCAUCAGCAAGGAAUGCCAAGAAACAGUCAAUUCCACACAAAAGGCUGAAAUUUAAAUGUUUUUAUUAGAAGACAUUCUAUUAAAUAUAUUAUGUAAGAAGGCCUAAAUUCAUCCAUACAUACACAUUAGGUAUACUUGUGGGGUUAAGAAUUUUAAGCAUGUAUAUGUACAUCAUAUAUAUAAUAGCUGGACAACUAAGUUUGGGAGAACUUAUUGUGGAAGUACAUACUACGGUAGUCCCAUGGUUAUACGAAGUGUCUAGUCGUUCUUGUCAUUGAGUAAGGAUGCUUUAUGGCUGAGCUCGGAUGAUACUGCCAGCCCACGUUGAUGAUAGAGAAACUCCUGAUUAAACAAGCUGAUAUAUGGGAGCACAUCAGCUUGUCGAUGCUAUGGAGGAACUUGAGGCCGAGACCAUGAUUAGUCAUCACCUGAUCAAUAUAUGUGAGGAACUUGAGCCGCUACCCGUACUUGGCGACUGACAUGGUGCUCUCCUUGAGAAUGUGGUACUUGCUGCUAAGACGGAUGAUGUGUGAGUUGUUAUUGUUGAGGAAGUACCGGCGGAGGCGAUUCCGUGCCGACAAGGCAGUGCCGUCAAAUCACAUAUCACAAGUCCAGGCGACCGUCAUCAAACAUGGUGUAGAUCCACAACAUGAUCCUGAUGUCGGCACGCUGCCAGUCGGGGUCAUCAAUUUCAAGUUCAGAUGUAUCAUUAAUGUGGUUGAGUGCAUCGGAGGGGACGAGGACGAACCAGAAGAAAUGUGCCAUUUAUGGUAGUUAUUGAUACGUGGGUCGAGUUUGAAGGUGAAGUAGGACUUGAUGUUGGUAUUAUGGACAACAAUGGGGCAUGAUGUUGGUAAAAGGGAUUGGGUGGUAAGAAGGCGUAGAAGCAAUAGUGGCGACGGGCGCCGUGGCAUCGACAGAGAAACAAGGAGAGAUCUUAAGGGUUUGCGCCAUAAGGGAGGUGGUGUUGGAAUUGGUCGGGGUGUUGCUUAGUGGCGUUACCAAGCUGAAUUGUGUAAUAUGUAUUGUUUGCCUCAAGGUUUACAAGUGUCGAUGUACAAAAUAUAUAUAGAAGGGGUACAGAGAGAGGCCUAACUAACUUCAACAUACGAGAGGCGCGUGCAGGUGCACGUAUGACGACGAGUGAAGAGAGCUCAGAUCCUAAUCUCCAUGGGCGCUGGCACAACAUUGUUGAGUUACAACAGUACAUACAGUUGGUGCAUACAUGUUUAACAAUAUUGAUUCGAAUUCAUGUACAAGGGGUAACAAAUGGCAAAGAUUAAAAAUACCAUUAGACUGCCCGUAAUAGGAGUAUCAUACUAGCUAGUAUCAUGCACGACAACUAAGCAAUUUUGAUGAGGUGGCAUAGAAUUAAAGGAAGAAAGAGAGAGUUCAGUAUCAUAUCAUGAUACCGUAUCAUAGUAAAUGUUAUGAUACUAUGUGUCAUGCUUAACAAUAAAUAAGAUCAUAUCUAAGACACUAAUACUUGAUAUUAUGCAUUAUAGAGGUAAUAUCAUAGAAUAGCAUCAUAUGCAUAAUACUACCUCCUUUUCAGUUUAUAUGGCUCAAUUCAAAAAUAUCACCAACCAAGGUAGAUGGUAAAUGGUGGAAUAAUUUUUGUAGUUUGCAAAAGCACUCAAUUAAUGCGCUUGUUUUCCUCAAAAAAAUGUGUUUACCAAUGCAUUAAUUGCAAUUCAUGCAUGCAUAAAGUACAUGCAUUGGUCAAUUUUCUCUUAAUACUUGCGUGCAGUGAUUUAAUGCAUCUUGAAAUCUGAACAUGUGGUGGGGAACAACCAAAUUGAGACUUAUAAAAUGGGAAAACUAAAAUUUUGAGAUAAGCCCUAUAAACUGGAAAGGAGGGAGUACAAACUUAUGAUACUACACAUUAUCUUUGCUAUAAAUAAUCCUUCUGACCUCAAAGUGCCUGCAUUAUUGCACAGGUCACUUGCGUACAAUUUACGACAAAAAAUAUUGGUGCAGACGGUAUAUACUACUAUAUCAAAGUCAAGUACAGUUACUUAAGUGACGAAUAAGUACUAGCUAGUUUUUUUUUGUGAGGUGGAGUACAAGGGUCGUCCUUGUGUUGCUCCCUAUAAAUAGAACCCUACCCCCUCAUGUGGACAUGUACCAGUUAAGCAGCAAGCUAGCUCAUCUCCAUCGCAUCUGUUGUUGCUCUAUUCUCCACUAGAACCACCCAAUUCAUCAAUGGCUUCAUCUCUGAAGGUGGCCGCCGUCGCCGCCGUUUGCAUCGUGCUUGUCCUGAACAUGGGCCGGCCAGUGGCAGCCACAGAAUGCGAAGAUUGUUUGGGUGCCUGUGUUGGCACCUGCAUCGCCUACACUGAAACCACAUGCAGCGGCAUCUGCACCAACAUAACUCCUGCAUGCCAGGCAUGUAAGGACGCAGCCUUAAUUCAGUGCGGUCCAACAUGCUACGGCGGUUGUACCCUCUUCUGUUAAACCACCGGCCGGCUGUGCCCUGUUGCUCGCCGUAAGCUCUAUAUCUGUGCACAUUUCUUUUAAGUAUAUAUCUAUGUCCAUUGGCACCUCGUUGUUGCUAACAUAAGUUGUGUAAAUAAGCGAGUGAAUGUUGUUGCUGUGUGCAUUUGGAAAAUGUUCCUUCGUUCUAUCUAUUCCCCUUCGUUUGCUCAACAUUAAAUAUAUACAUGUGUGGAAGUUGUGUAUGCUUUGUGCUUCCUUGUAUCAUGUGCCUAAUGAGGUUAUACUUAAUAAAGGAUAAAUCCUUAUCUCGAGAACGCGGCUACAAAGUACAUAGUUUUGUUCCUUCACCAGUAGGGGUUCCGACUUUCUCCCAGCCGUCCAUGGCCACGUAGAGUUCGCAACAAAUUCCUUCACAGCUUGUCUUCUUCUAGCGUAAAACCUCAUCCUGAUUUUUCGUAGAUUUUCCGAUUUGCUGAAAAUACUGGUUUCCUAUGCAAUGUUUGAUCAUUCACGAAUUAUACCGACUAGUUUCAUGCGAGACUAGUUUAAGACCGUUGACAAAUUAAUACUAUCAAGUUGUAGCUGCUUCUCCAUUCAUGAAUUGUGCACGACCAUAUCAAUCAUAUGUAGAAGGUUUUACACCCUAUCGCUCAUAAUAAGAAAAAAAAACUAGUACCAUAGGCCCACAAACUAAACCAAUAUACAUAAUUAAGCAUGCAAUUCAGGAAUACUUAGUGGGCAAUCCUCAUUACGACAUAGAAUAUUGUAAGCUCGUCUUCUAAUAUGGAGGAACCAUUACUUUGAACAAGUUUCUCAAGCAAACACGUCCGGAUUUCAUACAAACAUGACGGGUUUCAUAUGAACAUGGUGGAUUUAACUGCAUUUCAAACAUUUAGAAAAAAUACCCGCCGGUAAACCCAUCCUACGGCGUUGGCGCCCGUCUUCUAAUAUGACGGGUUCCAAAGACGUGUCGUCCUCCUUCUGCCAUCUCCAUAAGCACCGGCGAUAAGACUGAUGAAGUAAAGGUGCGGUUUCCGGCGAGGAAGAGUAGAACUUGGGAGACGGACCGGCCCACAUGGGACACAAGGCACCGCCGCCUCCCGUGGCCUAGUCAUCCUCGGAGGAUUCCGCGCCUUGUCCGUCGCCCGUGGACAUGAGGUCCAUGAGGGAAAUGGUGGCGCCGGCGCGUCAUCGUCCCGCUGGGCCGGCUGAUAGUUCAUCGGCGGUGCGUAGGACGCGCUGCUGCCCAUGUUCUCCUCCGUGAUCGCCUGCAGGUGCACCUCUGCGGCUGCCACUUCCUGGCGAGCAGUGGCUUGAGUGCGGACGACAUUGUAGAUAGCAUGCUGCUCCUCGAUGAAAUUUGGGUUCGCCGCCGCCAUGGUCGGCACGGCCUCCUCCCUCGUGCGCUCAGCGUAGAUCUGACACUCCACCAGCCGGUGAUGCUCCAGGAGGAGCAGGUUGUACCGCUGAUCCUCCUGUGCCUGCUGGAACGCCGACAUAGGCGCCAGCGCAAGCGGCACCUCUGCCAUGGUGGCGUUGUACUGUGCUUGCGCCUACUUCAUGGUGAAGCUGACGUGCGCAGAAGGCGUGGGAGCCGCGGCGUAGUCAUCAGAGCCCGUCUCCAUCGCGGUGUCAUCCUCAUCGUCGGAGACCUCGAGCGAGCUGGCCGGCAAGCCGUCCUCGAUCCGCAUGGCAGGGCGGCUAUGCCAGGCAGCGGCAAGAAUGGCCACCACAUGCUUCAUCUCCGGUGACAGACUAUCCCACAUUGCUUUCCCGGCGAUCAUGGCGGAUGCAGUGCAAGGGAGGACGAUGUGGGGGGGCUUGUGUUGUGGUGUGGAGUUAGCCGGGUGUGGCCGUCUUUAUAUAGCAGAUUUCGGUGAGGCGAGGCGUUUCUGUGCGUCAAUGCGCUGUGCCGGAGUGGGUUUCUCGGCCGACGAGCCUGCUUAAUGGCAGUAGACGGACGGACAACUGCAUUGAACAGGCGUGGUAGAUAUCAAUCACGUCCCAUCCAGUCACACGUGUUCGGCAUUGAACAGGCACGGACACCGGAGACGCGUAACUACGACGCCCUCAGCUGGUGCGCCGCUUCAAUGGCGGAGGCAGUGAGAGGUCGCGUCCACCGUAAGCCGUCUUCAGUGAGAGGUGCGCUCUACAGCGACAUGAAUGCGGGCAACUGGUGCCGGGCGGGAAUGUGCGCUGGAGGGGAGAGGGGUUUUGGUGGGCCAGGCCGGUCAGAAAUGGGCAUGGGAUCGGUCUAGACUCUCGCAAACCUCCCCCACAUUUGUCUCCGAUUUGCAGGAAGAAUCGCGUCCGGACCACCCCGCGGACCGAUACAAGUCAGCAUUUCAUGGCUUCCACGGUCCGGACAGCCCGGUCCGGAUAGUAGCGGGAGGUUUAUAGGUCCGCCUUGGAGAUGCCCUAAUAAAUACUAAAAUCAGAAGAAAAAAAUAGUAAAAAAUUCAAAAAAUUCUGAUUUUUUGGUGCAAACUUUGAAAAAUAUUUUAUGUGCCUGCGAAAAAUUAUGUUAGAAUGACAUUUAUGGAAGUCAUGGUAAAAAAGAAAUCAAUGCUCAUAAAUGCUAUAUAAUCCAAAGCAUUAUUGGAGUGAUGUUUUUUUUAUUUUGCCAUGACUUCCAUCUAUAUUUAUGCAUGCUCAUGACCCGUUCACCUUGUCUGAAAGAAACCCAGUUAUCUUUCUUUUCGUCGAGAAAGCUCCGUAUUUAUAUUAGAAGACUUCCAACAUCGCAGAAAACAUAUCGUUGAUGUGGUCCAGUGCAUCGCCGAUGGAAAGGACGAACUGAAAGAAAUUGCACCAUUUAAGAUAGUUGUUGACGGCUGGGUCUUGAAGGUGAUGUUGGUAUUAUGGACAGCAAUCGAGGCCUGGAGUUGGGAAAAGGGAUUGGGAGGGUAAUAAGAGAGAGCAACAGCAACAGUGAUGACAGGCAUCAUGGUGUUUGCUGAGAAACUGGGAGAGGUGUGGGUGGUUUCGCACCCUCUGGCUGUGAAGAAGAAAAAGAAUAAUACCAUAGAUAUGCAAAGUAAAGCAACAAAUGGAAUUAAGAGAUGAAAGCAUGGCUGCAAAAACAUUGAAGGAACUCCUCCCCCAACAAAAGAAAAGACUAGGUUUCCUCUAUCUCCCGCCGGCUCCGCCGCCGGUCCGCCUCGUCUCCGGUGACCUUAGGGCCAUGGCGGCAUGGUGGACCCGGCCCUUGCCGGCGGGAGGGCUCCGUCUUUAGAUGUUUCUUCAAAUUUUGUUAGGGUUUGUGUCCUGCUCAGGAAGACGAGGCAGCGGCGGCUUUCUGAAGAUCGAAUAAGGUUCUCCCCACCUAGUCCACGUUCCGGUGGUGCGUCUAUCAUCGUCGGUGGGUGUGUGGAGGUGUGUCUUCAGUGGAUCUUUCAUUGGUGGAUUUGCUCAUAUAUUGUCGUAGUUCGUCUAUGUUCGUGUGUCUUAAGGUUAGAUCUUUCUGAUCUAUGCUACUCUUUAACGACGGCGGUUGCUAUUCUGGUGCGCUUGCCCUACGGGGCCUUAGCACGACGACUUCGGGAGUGUCUACUACAACAAGGUUUGCCCGGCUCCAGCGAGGGAGGGGCGAUGAUGGCGGCGUGCCUUCGGCUCAUUUCAGUGCUUAUAUUCGUCGCUAGGUGGUCUACGGAUCUGAAUGUAAUUUUUGUUAUUUCUAGUGUUCGUUGUACUACCAUGUUUGAAGAUGAAUAAAUUGAAAGUUUUCGAGAAAAAACAAAUUGAAUUAAGAAGCAAUUUUUUGCGAAAAGAAUUAAGAAGAAAUUUAAUAGUAGUUAGUGGGCAACCAUUGAAAUAUAUAUUGCUAGCUAGUUUUCUAAAGCUAAGGAAUUAUUGCUUUGAGUAAGCUCGGUACUAGUUGUACUAGUUGCAUGUUGUCUAAUAUGUGACGUUGCUAAGAAGUUGUGUCUUGCCUAUUUUUUCCUACAAAUUGCACCAACGCUGUUGCGUAUGGAUUAAUUAAUUUAGUAGUAAUUAUGCUGUAUUUUUCAUUGAUAUAUAUGAAUGGAUCAGUGUAUAUGUGGAGUGCACACAAUCUGGUACGACUGAGCCGUACAAAAAACAAAUUGCUGGAACUAAGCCGUUUUAAGUACUUGGUCAGCGGUAUCAAACCAAUGAUAGGAUCUCAAGACUGGGCAUAGUAUCUAUUUUCAAAGCCAAUUGCGCCGCUAGUCAGAUUUGACCUACAAUUCAGUUAUAUGCAUCGUGCUCACCACUAGUUCACCUCGUCUUAAAGCAACCGAGUCAUCAGUAUGAGUGUUAGUUCAAACAUACCUGUCAAUGUACAUUUUAGAUAUGAUUUUCUGCCCAUGAAUUAAUGCAACAAGUGGGUUUUUUUCUUUUUCUUGUUUUUGCUCGUGCAACUAGCGCGAAGUGUUAGUGAAUAUAACUUUAUCAAACAUGAAUAUAAUUUAAUAUUUCGGUUUUCCAAAUUAAUUUUAUAACAUUUCCAAGGAUACUUGCUAUCACGAAAACCAGUGUUGUUAUCCGCUCAUUUCCGCGGCUAUACUUCUAUUGAUAAUUUUAUAUUUUGUAAUUAAUUUUUGUAUUAUAAAAUAUUUAUUUUUUCUUUGAAAAUAUAUAUUGUUGUAGUUACCUAGUUUUGUAUGAGGAAGUCAUCAGCAAGUUGUGCCAAGAAAUAGUCAGUUCUACUAAAAGCUGAAGUUUAAAUGUUUUGAAGAAAAAAUGAUUCGAUUCAAAAAUAUUACUUAAGAAUGCCUAAAUUGACCCCACGUGCAGCAAGGACACCUGUGGUGUAAUAUUUUUUAAGCAUUUAGACGUAGAUUAUAAAAUAAUUGGACAGCUAAAUUUUUGGGAGAACUUACUCUGGAAGUACACAAUUUGAUCUUCCUACGGUUAAACGAAGUGUCUAUAGCCCUUUUUACCGGUGAAUAAGGGUACUCAGUCGGAUCAGAAUGCUUUAGAGCAUCAAACCCCUUAAAACGCAGGAAACUGUAAAAUAACAGCCGGUUUACAGUUUUAGGCGGAAAAAGCGACCCGAAUAGAACAUGUAAAUGACUCCGACCGGUAAUUUUUUUAAGGGUAAUGGAAAACAUCCCCGCCAAACCGGUGAAAAUAAGGAUUUCGGAGCCAACCCGAGGGUGCCCUGUAUAUGCCAAAGACCGAUGGUGGGAAUCCAACUGCCACCGGAACCUUCAUGGCUCGCUCCCGGCCGCCGCCUAGUGCUUUGUAGUCCGCCAGCACCGUACCCCCCCUCUCCCGGCCUUCCCCCGCCCCGGUCAACGUGUCCCGCGUAGUCUAGGCGGGUUGCACUGCUGCUGUGGUGCGUCGUCUGCCGUGCGCCCCUGCUGGCCCCGGCCAGCCGGCCUCCCUCCGCAGCGCCGGCGAGCAGAGCAACUGACGAGGCGAUGAGGGGCUCCCUCCACUGAGCCCCCACCUCGUGUUUCUGCGGCCGCCGGCUGUGUGUGGUCUGCUGCUGCCUACGGCCGCCGUGGCGCCCCACCUCUGGCUGGUAAUUUUCUCGCUGGUGGUUUGGUCUUUGGUGAAUCGGUGUAUGCAUCGUCUGCCUGUCACAGUGAAUAGACGAUUUAAAUGUUGAACUGACUUUACAAUAGAAUGGAUUAUGUAUCUGAGUAUGUGCGAUGUGCUGAUGGAACUCGGAAGUAUUCAUUUUUAGAGAAAUAGAAACAGAAAUUUAUGCAUGCUCAUGACCCGUUCACCUUGUCUGAAAGAAACCCAGUUAUCUUUCUUUUCUUCGAGAAAGCUCCGUAUUUAUAUUAGAAGACUUCCAACAUCGCAGAAAAGAUAUCGUUGAUGUGGUCCAGUGCAUCGCCGAUGGAAAGGACGAACUGGAAGAAAUUGCACCAUUUAAGAUAGUUGUUAACGGCUGGGUCUUGAAGGUGAUGUUGGUAUUAUGGACAGCAAUCGAGGCCUGGAGUUGGGAAAAGGGAUUGGGAGGGUAAGAAGAGAGAGCAGCAGCAACAGUGGUGACAGGCAUCAUGGCGCUUGCUGAGAAACUGGGAGAGGUGUGGGUGGUUUCACACCCUCUGGCUGUGAAGAAAAAGAAUAAUACCAUAGACAUGCAAAGUAAAGCAAGAAAUGGAAGUAAGAGAUGAAAGCGUGGCUGCAAAAACAUUGAAGCAACUCCUCCCCCAUCAAAAGAAAAGACUAGGUUUCCUCUAUCUCCCGCUGGCUCCGCCGCCAGUCCGCCUCGUCUCCGGUGGCCUUAGGGCUAUGGCGGCAUGGUGGAUCCUGACCCUUGCUGGCGGGAGGGCUCCGUCUUUAGAUGUUCCUUCAAAUUUUGUUAGAGUUUGUGUCCUGUUCAGGAAGACGAGGCGGCGGCGGUUUUCUGAAGAUCGAAUAAGGUUCUUCCCGCCUAGUCCAUGUCCCGGUGGUGCGUCUAUCAUCGUCGGUGGGUGUGUGGAGGUGUGUCUUCGGUGGAUUUGCUCGGAUAUUGUCGUAGUUCGUCUAUGUUCGUGUGUCUUCAGAUUAGAUCCUUCUGAUCUAUGCUACUCUUCAACGGUGGCGGUUGCUAUUCUGGUGCGCUGGUCCUAUGGGGCCUUAGCACGACGACUUCGGGAAUGUCUACUACAACAAGGUUUGCCCAGCUCCAGCGAGGGAGGGGCGAUGAUGGCGGUGCGCCUUCGGCUCGUUUCAGUGCUUAUAUUCGUCGCUAGGUGGUCUACGGAUCUGAAUGUAAUUUUUGUUAUUUCUAGUGUUUGUUGUACUACCAUGUUUGAAGAUGAAUAAAUUGAAAGUUUUCACGAAAAAACAAAUUGAAUUAAGAAGCAAUUUUUUCACAAAAAGAAUUAAGAAGAAAUUUAACAGUACUUAGUGGGCAAUCUCCGUGACAACCAUUGAAAUAUAUAUUGCUAGCUAGUUUUCUAAAGCUAAGGAAUUAUUGCUUUGAAUAAGCUCGGUACUAGUUGUACUUGUCUAAUAUGUGACGUUGCCAAGAAAUUGCGUCCAGCAAAGAAUAACAUCUUAAUUAGCAUAUUAGUAAGACCUAAAUUAACACAUGUCGCUAAUCUUGAAUAAUUUUUGAAAAUCAUGAAAAAAAAUUAAACUGGGGAACAUAUCUGAAAUUAAGAUCUCUUUUAAAAUUCAUGAAAAGUUUCACAAAUUUUCGAAUAUUUUCUAAAAAAAGAACAUUUUUGAAUUCAAGAAUAUUUUAUAAUAUUUGCAAUGAAUUUUUAAAACAUUUCCAGAAUCGACGAACAAUUUUUGGAAAUUGUUUGGUGGAACAAUUUUCGAAAUUCACGAACAUUUUUUGAUUUAAAAACAUUUUUUGAAAUGCGUGACCAUUUUUUGAAUCAGCAAAUUUUUUAUUAUUCAAUAAACUAUUUUGUAUGUCAUGAACAGUUCUUGAAUUUUUGGGAUAUUUUUUCAGUUCAGGAAUAGUUUCUAAAUUGGUGAAAUGUUUUCUAGUUCAUUAAAAAAUAAUAUAAAACUUUUCAAAAUAUCAUGAACAUUUUUUGGUUUCCCGAACAUUUGUAUUCAAAAUUGCGGAGAGUUUUUGAAUGUGCAAACAUUUUUUUAGUCACGAAUAUAUUCUGAAUCCCCAAACAUUUAUGAAAUAUUAAACAUUUUAUGUAAAAAAAUCAUUUUAAUUAAUUUUUGAAACUGUUUGAAGUUCCAAAUUAUUUAAUGUAGAAUAAAUUGAAGAUAGAAAUAAGAAAAAAAAGAAAUUUUAAAAAAAAGGUCUCCCGGACAUGGGCUAGCCCAAAUAGGUGCACUGUGUCUUCUUCCGGCGCGCACAGCACGGUAUAGAAUAUUCCUACUACAUGGGUCGGCCCAGGUCCGGAUUCCCCUGUGUGAAACGUUUAUUAUCACUUAUAGGUGGCAUCGACGGGUAAUAUUUUGCAAUUUUAGAGGUAAUUUCGGUGAUGUACCAGCAGAAGCAAGAGCCCCUUUAUUAUUAAUUAAAGGCGUAGAUGGACGGCAAUGGAGGUAUGGAGUUAGUAAAAAAGGAUUGAGAGUUUAAGAAGAGAGAGAAGCUGCAAUAGUUUUGACGGGCAGCUGGCGGAGAAACUGGGAGAGGUGUGGGUGGCUUGCAUCGGAAGGUUACACACCCUCUGUCUCUGAAGAAGAAGAAGAAAAUAAUACCAUGGGCCUUCAAAGUAAACUAACAUAUGGAAUUGAGAAGCAAUUUAACAAUACAUAGUGGGCAAUCUCCGUGAGAACCAUUGAAAUAUUGCUAGCGAGUAGUUUUCUAAUGCAAAGGAAUUAUUGUUGUCAAUAAGCUCGGUAGUAGCUGUACUAGUUGCAUGUUGUCUAAUACUCCCUCCGUUCCAAAAUAUAGUGCGUCCGCACUUUCCGAAGUUUAACUUUGACCAUAAAUCUAACCAACGAGACCGACUGUGGCGGGAGCGAAAAUUAUACCAGUGAAUUCGUAUUCAAAAGAAGUUUUCAAUUAUACAAUUUUUCCUCCCGCCGCAGUCGGUCUCGUUGGUUAAAUUUAUGGUCAAAAUUGAAGCGCGGAAACCGAGGACGCACUAUAUUUUGGAACGGAGGGAGUACUAGAAGGGUUGAGCAUGUUUUGUUGCGUGUUGUUUUAUUUAAAAAAAAUUACUCACUUUGUGUCAAACUAUAAGUGUAUUACUUUCUUGAAAGUCAAACCAUUUAAGUUUCAUUAAACUUGUAGAGAAAUAUAUCAAAAUUCAUAAUAUCAAAUCAGUAUGAUUAGAUUCAUCAUGAGAUGAAUUUCCAUACCUCUUUAUUUAAUAUGGUAGAUGUCAACAUUUUUUUGCUCUAAAUUUGGUCAAGUUAAAGAAAUUUGACUUUCAAAAAACUAAUACCCCUUAUAUUUUGAUACUGAUGAAAUAUUUCGUCUGGCGAGUAGGGAGAUUAUGGAGCGUGUUAUUUUUAUCUAUAAUGCGGUGAUUUUAUAGGCCUUUGUGGUUCUGUGUCAUCUGCUAACCAACGUAUAUUUAUGUGGGGAAAUUUCUAUGUUGAUGGUUGCAUGUACUAUAUGGUGCUCAAGUAUCACGUGGUGAUGCUUCUUUUUUGUAGGUGGUGUAAGGGUGCACUGGAGUAAUACGCUUUUAUAGGCCGGUUGCUGUUGAUAUAUUUGAAAAAGCGUUGGUCUGGUCAAAAUCGUAAACCAAACCCAAAAUUGAAUACCUUAAUUGAAUGAAAGAGCUUCAAGAUGGCAACAUAGUGAACUAAGAGAAAUUAAAUUAAGAGCCAUUGAGAAAUUGUUGACCUUGUCAGAAUCAUGCUGGCCAAAUUCUAAAUUGAAGAUUUUAAUUAAUUAUGAGGCCUUCAAAAUUAUGAAGCAUAGUGUGUAGUAUAAAAGAAAUGAAUGAGAUGGUUCUGGGAAAUUGUUAAUCCGGUCAAAAUCGGGUGACCCAAUCCCAAUGGGAGACCUCAAUCGAAUGUGGGCCCUUUAAAACUAGGGACCUUAGUGUUAUAGAGGAUGCAACGUUGGUAAGAAAUUGCGUCCAGCAGAGUAUAGCAUCUUAAUUAUCCUAUUAUCAAGACCUGAAGAUAUAUACAACCUUGAAGCCUUAAGAGCUAGAGCCCUUGUCUAUUUUUUUCUUAGAAAUUGGAGCAACGCUGCCACGUACGGAUUAAUUUAGUAGUAAUUCUUCUGUAUUUUUUUUCAUUGAUAUAUAGGAAUAGGGCAGUGUAUAUGUGGAGUGCACACAAUCUUGUUUCAUUUUUCUUUGCAGGAAGUAAGCUGUUUUAAGUACUUGGUCAGCAAUCUCAAAUCAAUGAUAAGAUCGUAUGACUGGACCUACUAUAUAUUUUCAAAGUCAACUACGCCGCCAGUCAGAUAUGUACUACAAUACAGUUAUGUAUAUCGUGCUCAGCACGAGUUCACCUUGUUUUAAAGCAACCAAGUCAUAAGUUUGGAUGGUAGUUCAAACAUAUUUGUCAAAGAACACUCGUUUAUACACUUUAGCUCUGAUUUUAUGCCCAUGAGUUAAUACAUUCAUGAGUAGUUUUUUCUUCAUGUAGCUGGCACGGAGUGUUACUGAAUAUAACUUAAUUAUUUAUUACAUUUCGUAGAUUGCUUUCUAUCCUGAAACUAGCAAUAUUACCUGCUCAUUUUGCGCGACAAGAUUUUCAUUUGGCAUUUUAAAUUUGGAACUAUAUUUUGGCAUUUUAUAUAUUUCUUAACACUUUGUAAAUAUGUAUUGUUGUAAUUACCUAAUUGUCUAUGAGGAAUUCAUCAGCAAGGAGUGCCACGAAAUAGCCGGUUCCACUCAAAAGGCUGAAUUUUAAAUGUUUUUAUUAAAAGACAUUCAAUUAAAACAUAUUAUGUAAGAAGGCCUAAAUUCAUCCAUACAUAUGCAUUAGCUAUACUUGCGGGGUUAACAAUUUUAAGCACGUAUAUGUACAUUAUAUAUAAAAUAGCUGGACAACUAAGUUUUGGAGAACUUAUUGUGGAAGUACAUACUAUCGUUGGCCCACGGUUAUACGAAGUAUGUUGUCGUUCUUGUUAUUGGGUAAGGAUACCCACUUGGAGCCGGAUGCCGGCCCAAGUUGAUGACAGAGAAACUCCUGAUUAAGCAAGCUGAUAUAUGGGAGCACAUUACCUUGUCGAUACUAUGGAGGAACUUGAGGCCGAGACCAUGAUUAGUCAUCGUCUGAUCAAUAUCUGGGAGGAACUUGAGCCGCUACCCAUACUUGGCGAUGAACAUGAUGCUCUCCUUGAGCAUGCGGUACUAGCCGCUAAGAGGGAUGGUGUGUGCGGUGUUAUUGUUGUGGAAGUACCGGCAGAAGCGAUUCCGUGCCGACAAGGCAGUGCCAUCAUAGGACAUCACAAGUCCAUGAGACCACCGUCGAUCAUGGCAUACGUAGAUCCACAACAUGAUCCUGAUGUCGGCACGCUGCCACUCGGGGUCAUCAAUUUCAACUUCAGAUGUCUCAUUAAUUUGGCCGAGUGCAUCAGAGGUGGCGAGGACGAACCAGAAGAAAUGUGCCAUUUAUGGUAGUUGUUGACGCGUGGGUCGAGUUUGAAGGUGAAGUAGGACUGGAUAUUAUAUUAUGCACGACAAUUGGGCCUGAAGUUGGUAAAAGGGAUUCGGAGGUAAGAAGAGGGAGUAAAUGCAAUAGUGGCGACGGGCGUCACGGCAUCGACGGAGAAACACGGAGAGGUCUUGGGGGUUUGCGCUACAAGGGAGGUGGUGCUGGAAUUUGUCUGGGUGUUGCUCACUGGCGUUACCAAGAUGAACUCUGUAAUUUGUAUUGUUUGCAUUAUAGAGGUAAUAUCAUAGAUUAGUACAUAUGUUAUGCAUUAUUGACGUAAUAUCAUAGAAUAGUAUGAUAUGCAUGUUAGAAACUUAUGAUAUUACUCAUUACAGGCAGCCUUAGCUACACAAAUGUAUGGGUCAUUUCGCUAUAAAUAAUCCUUCUGGCGUCAAAGUGCACGCGUUAUUGCAGAGUUCACUUGCGUACAAUUUAGGACAAAAAUUAUUGGUGCACAAGGUAUAUACUAUAUCAAAGUCAACCACAGUUAAUUAAGUGAUAUGAAUAAGUACCAGCUAGUUUUUUUUUCUUUUUUGCGAGGAGUACUAGCUAACUAGCUAGGGUCGUCCUUGUGUUGGCUCCCUAUAAAUAGCAUCCUACUCCCUCAUAUGGACAUGUACCAGUUAAGAAGCUAGCUAGCUCAUCUCCAUCGCAUCUGUUCUUGCUCUAUUCUCCACUAGAACCACCCAAUUCAUCAAUGGCUUCAUCUCUGAAGGUGGCCACCAUCGUCGCUGUUAGCGUUAUGCUCGUCCUCAACAUGGGUCACCCGGCGGCAGCCACAGAAUGCGAAGAUUGUCUGGGCGCCUGUGUUGCAAUUUGCAUCGCCUACGCUGAAACGACGUGCAGUGGCAUCUGCACAGUCAUAACUCCUGCAUGCCAGACAUGUAAGGACGCGGCCAUAAUUGAGUGUGGUGCAACAUGCUAUGGCGGUUGUACCCUAUUCUGCUAAACCGGCCGGUUGUGCCCUGUUGCUCGCUGUAAGCUAGGUGCAUGCUUGUGUUCGUUGUUGCCAUUAUAAGCCAUGUAAACAAGCGAACUAAUGUCGUUGAUGUGUGCAUGUGGCGAAAGUUCCUUUGUUUUAUUGUUCCCCCUCGUUCCAACCAUCAGUAAAUAUACUUGUGUGCAAGUUGUGCAUAUUUUCUGCUUCUUCGUACAUAUCAUGUGUCUAACGCGUUGUCAUACUUAAACAAUAGGGAUAUAUAUCCUUAUCAGGAGACCGCAGUUCCAAAGUAUGUAGUUUCGCUUCCCUCAUGGUAGGGUUUCAUAUUUAUCUCAGCGCCUCAUGGCAGCUGAAAGAUUGCAUCUAUUUCCUUCACAACUUGUCUUCUUCCAGCAUAAAACUCUGUCCUGAAUUUUCUAUGAUUUUUCUCUGUCACAGAAAAUACUUGUUUCCUUUGCAGUGUUUGAUCGUUCAUGAGUUAUUCCAACUAGUUCCAUGCAAUACUAGUUUAAGACCAUGGACGAAUUAAUGUCAAGUGGUAGCUUAUUAUAUUGAUGCCAACUCCAUUCUUGAAUCAUGCACGGCCAUGUCAAUUAUAUGUAGAAGGGUUCACACCAUGGGCCCACAAAGUAAACCAAUAUAUGGAAUUAAGCAUGCAAUUUAGGAAUACUCACUGUGUAAUCUCCAUGGUAGCCAACGAAAUAUUACAAGAGCCAUUUUCUAAUGCUAAGGAAUCAUUACGUUGAACAAGUUUCUCGGUGCUAGUAGCAUGUAAUCUAAUACGUAGUGGCAUUCAUGAGAAAUUGUGCCAAUCAAUGGAUAAAAUCUUAGUUAGCAUAUUACUCCCUCUGGCCCUUUUUACUCUGCGUAUUACAUUUGUCUCAAGUCAAACUUUGCAAAGUUUGACCAAAUUUAUACGAAAAAGUAUCGACAUCUACAAUACUAAAUAUAUAUACUAUAUACGAAACUAAAUUUCAUAAUGAGCCUAACAAUAUCGAUUUAGCAUUAUGAAUGUUGAUACUUCUUUCUAUAAGUUUGGUCAAAAUAGAGAUACUUUGACUUCAGACAAAACUUAUAUGUAGACUAAAAAUGACAUGAGGGAGUACUAAUUAAGACCUUAGGACACAUACCACCUUUAAGCAUUAAUAGCUACAACAAAUCUGCAUAUUAUAGAUCCUUCUUCUCCCACUAUGUCUCCAUUGAUUGGCUUUCGGACCACUCAGAAAUUAAUGUCAAGUGGUAGCUUCUUCUAUUAAUGUCAACUCCAUGCAUGAGUGAUGCACGAUCAUGUCAAAUUACAGAAGAUAUCACACCCUCUAGCUCAGAAGAGGAAGAAAACUAAUACCAUAGCCGGCAUGUAAAGUAAACUAAUAUAUGGAAUGACACAUGCAAUUUAGGAAUACUCAGUGAGCAAUCCUCGUGAAAACUACCAAAAUAUUGCUAGCUAGUUUUCUAAUGUGGUGGGAUCAUUACUUUGAACAACUCUCUCAAUGAUAGAUGCAUGUUGUCUAACAAGUAGUGACAUUCAUAAGGAAUUGCAUCCAUCCAAGGAUAACAUAUCAAUUGCCAUAUGACUAAUUAGGACCUACACAUAUAUACCACCUUGAAGGAACAAGUGUUACCACAAAUGCACGCAUCCAAUUCUUUAUGGUGGUGUAGGUUGCAUCUAAUUCCUUCACAACUUGUCUUCUUCUACAGUAAAACUAUGCCCUGAAUUUCGUGGUUUUUUUCUUAUUUACGAAUAAUACUUGUUUCCUUUGCAGUGUUUGGUCAUAAGAGCAUCUACAACUGCAACUCGCAACUGUGACCCCUACACAUCCGUGGACGCGUCCGCGGACAGUGACCAGUCACCCACUAUAUUUCCGCGUCCGCUGUCGUCCCCCUCAUAUCCAUGCUAACCACGCAACAUGAUCAACAUUUUACGUAGAAACAACUUGAACAUAGCAGUAUAAAACAUAUAUAUUGGGAAUGGCAAGUUUCAUACAAUCGGACACAAAAUGUCCACCAUCACCUAGAUAUGAUAGGUCUAAACAAUAGAUAAACUCCUACAUGUAGGCAUUGGCUGUCGGAGGGGAUUCGUCGUUGGCAUCGCUCAUCGUGUCGCUGUCAUAGGACGACGACGAGGAAAUGAUCCCGACCAAACGCGGGGCGACGCGGGCCUACUCCUUGGUGAGUCGGGCGGCUUUCGCACUGGCGGCUGCCCCCUCCUUCGCGAGGUUCCCGAAAUCCUCGAUGUCGAGCUGGAGAACCUUUAUUGUUUUUCGGCGGCGGGCGUCCAUCUCUGUCGAGAUCAGUGACCGGAGGAUAACAUCAUGGAGGAGCUCCUCCUCCGGGUCAAUCAGCGUGGACCUACAGAAAUCUCAGCCACUCUGGGAGGAACCAGCAGUCUCACUGACCUGCUUCCUCUGAUUUUUACGUCCUCCUCGCAAGCUCGGUAGUGCGGGAUCGAGCGCCCUUUUCAGACUGGGAGGAUCGGGGCCCAAAGUGGUAGGGGAGGGUCACAGAGGGCGAUAUAUCUUGACCGGCGCAAACCGCGACGGGCUGACGUGGUCCGCUGCAUUGCCUCGUCGGGCAACGGGGGAGAACACAGAGCUAGAGCUCCUUCCCUUGUGCAUCCAUGACCGGCGGAGCGCACUGCAAAGAGCGAGGUCUCCUCAUCAUCCGAAUCCGACAACGGCAAGGCAUCCCAGUCGAUGGGUUUCGCCUCAUUGCUGGAUCCGCCACUGAAAUCGCUGCCAGAACCAACCAUGGUAGCCCGAGAAGAGGAAGCGGUGGGGAUGGGAGCGAACAUAAGUGGUGUGGAAGGGGAGAGAAGAGGUCGGUACUGACCUAUGUUUGCGCCCUAGUGGGGAUGGGUUGGGCGAGGACGAACGGAUCUGAUGUGACGGUCGAGUCCGGGCGUGUUGAUCUUCCCUCGACGAUAGGGCUAACUAUGUGGUGUCCGGUUGGGUGGCAAUUUAUUGGCUGAGUAGUGACCGGGCUGUCUGCCCAUACGUUUGGGGGGAUAUGAGCUCUCUAUUGUACAUGCUUUAAAUCUUGGCAUGCGAAGCCUCGCCCGCCGGUGUCUAGGCUGGGCGUGUACCUCUCAGCUAGAAACCCCCAAAAAGUCCAAGAUUCCUUAUUUUUGGGAUUUUACAAGAAAAAAUAGGUAUGAUAUUGUAUCAAUUUAUCUCAAAAUAAUUAGGUUAUUAUUUUUAAAUAAAAAUAUAACCAUUUGCCUGCCCAAGCGGGGUGGGAUAAGACCCGGGCUCGGAAUUUUCAUGCCGGGCUCUCGCAGGUCCGUCCAUUUUAAUCAAUUUUUUUUCAGGGACUAAACUGUUUUAAGUAUUUGGUCAGCAAUCUCUAAACAAUGAUAAGAUAACAAGACUAGGCCUACUAUCAAUUUUCAUAGUCAACUUUGUCCCUAGUCACAUUACUCCAAUCCAGCUAUAUUUAUGCGUGCAAAUCACCCAGUUCACCUUGUUUCAAAUAAACCCAGUUAUGUUUCCAUUUUGCAAGAAAGCACCGCAUUUAUAUUAGAUGACUUCCAACAUCCUAGAAAACAGAUCGUCGAUGUGGUCCAGUGCAUCGCAGGUGGCUACAAUGAACCGGAAGAAAUGGCGAAGUUUAAGGUAGUUCUUAGCGGCAGGUUCUAGUUUCAAGGUGGUGUAGGAAUGGAUGUUGGUUUUAUGGACGGUAAUGGGGUCAUAGAGUUAAUAAGAAUGAUCGAGAGGGUAAGAAGAGAGAGCACCAGCUAUAGUAUUGAGGGCACCAUGGUGCUGAGAAACUGGGAGAGGUGUGGGUGGUUUGCAUCGGAAGGUUUCACACCCUCUGGUUCUGAAGAAGAAAAAUAAUACCAUCAGCCUGCAAAGUAAACCAACGUAUGGAAUUAAGAAGCAAUUUAACAAUACUUAGUGGGCAAUCUCCGUGACAAGCAUCAAAAUAUUGCUAUGCUAUUAAGGAAUUAUUUCUUUGAAUAAGCUCAGUACUAGUUGUAACAGUGGCAUGUUGUCUAAUAUGUGACGUUGGUAAGAAAUUGCGUCCAGCAAAGUGUAGCAUCUCAAUUAUCAUAUUACCAAGACCUUGUCGAUACUAUGGAGGAACUUGAGACCGAGACCAUGGUUAGUCAUCGUCUGAUCAAUAUCUGGGACGAACUUGAGCCGCUACCCAUACUUGGCGAUGGACAUGAUGCUCUCCUUGAGCAUGCGGUACUAGCCGCUAAGACGGAUGGUGUGCGCGGUGUUAUUGUUGUGGAAGUACCGGCAGAAGCGAUUCCGUGCCGACAAGGCAGUGCCAUCAUAGGACAUCACAAGUCCAUGAGACCACCGUCGAUCAUGGCGUACAUAGAUCCACAACAUGAUCCUGAUGUCGGCACGUUGCCACUCGGGGUCAUCAAUUUCAACUUCAGAAGUCUCAUUAAUUUGGUGGUGGCGAGGACGAACCAGAAGAAAUGUGCCAUUUAUGGUAGUUGUUGACGCGUGGGUCGAGUUUGAAGGUGAAGUAGGACUGGAUGUUAUAUUAUGCACGACAAUUGGCCUGAAGUUGGUAAAAGGGAUUGGGAGGUAAGAAGAGGGAGUAAAAGCAAUAGUGGCGAUGGGCGCCAUGGCAUCGAUGGAGAAACAGGGAGAGGUCUUUGGGGUUUGCGCCAUAAGGGAGGUGGUGCUGGAAUCUGUUUGGGUGUUGCUCACCGGCGUUACCAAGAUGAACUCUGUAAUUUGUAUUGUUUGCAUUAUAGAGGUAAUAUCAUAGAUUAGUACAUAUGUUAUGCAUUAUUGACGUAAUAUCAUAGAAUAGUAUGAUAUGCAUGUUAGAACCUUAUGAUAUUACUCAUUACAGGCAGCCUUAGCUACACAAACGUAUGGGUCACUUCGCUAUAAAUAAUCCUUCUGACGUCAAAGUGCACGCAUUAUUGCAGAGUUCACUUGCGUACAAUUUAGGACAAAAAUUAUUGGUGCACAAGGUAUAUACUAUAUCAAAGUCAACCACAGUUAAUUAAGUGAUAUGAAUAAUUACCAGCUAGUUUUUUUUUUCUUUUUUUGCGAGGAGGAGUACUAGCUAACUAGCUAGGGUCGUCCUUGUGUUGGCUCCCUAUAAAUAGCAUCCUACUCCCUCAUAUGGACAUGUACGAGUUAAGCAGCUAGCUAGCUCAUCUCCAUCAAAUCUUUUCUUGCUCUAUUCUCCACUAGAACCACCCAAUUCAUCAAUGGCUUCAUCUCUGAAGGUGGCCGCCAUCGUCGCUGUUUGCGUCAUGCUCGUCCUCAACAUGGGUCACCCGGCGGCAGCCACAGAAUGCGAAGAUUGUCUGGGCGCCUGUGUUGCAAUUUGCAUCGCCUACGCUGAAACGACGUGCAGUGGCAUCUGCACCGUCAUAACUCCUGCAUGCCAGGCAUGUAAGGAUGCGGCCAUAAUUGAAUGUGGUGCAACAUGCUAUGGCGGUUGUACCCUAUUCUGCUAAACCGGCCGGUUGUGCCCUGUUGCUCGAUGUAAGCUAGGUGCAUGCUUGUGUUCGUUGUUGCCAUUAUAAGCCAUGUAAAUAAGCGAACUAAUGCCGUUGAUGUGUGCAUGUGGCAAAAGUUCCUUUGUUUUAUUGUUCCCCCUCGUUUCAACCAUCAGUAAAUAUACUUGUGUGCAAGUUGUGUAUACUUUGUGCUUCUUCGUACAUAUCAUGUGUCUAACGCGUUGUCAUACUUAAACAAUAGGGAUAUAUAUAUCCUUAUCAGGAGAACGCAGUUCCAAAGUAUGUAGUUUCGCUUCCCUCAUGGUAGGGUUUCAUAUCUAUCUCGGCGCCUCAUGGCGGCUUAAAGAUUGCAUCUAUUUCCUUCACAACUUGUCUUCUUCCAGCAUAAAACUCUGUCCAGAAAUUUCUAUGAUUUUUCUUCUUCAUGGAAAAUACUUGUUUCCUUUGCAGUGUUUGAUCCUUCAUGAAUUAUUCCAACUAGUUCGAUGCAAUACUAGUUUAAGACCAUGGACGAAUUAAUGUCAAGUGGUAGCUUGUUAUAUUGAUGCCAACUCCAUUCAUGAAUCAUGCGCGGCCAUGUCAGUUAUAUGUAGAAGGCUUCACACCAUGGGCCCACAAAGUAAACCAAUAUAUGGAAUUAAGCAUGUAAUUUAGGAAUACUCACUGUAUAAUCUCCAUGGUAGCCAACGAAAUAUUGCAAGCGCCAUUUUCUAAUGCUAAGGAAUCAUUACUUUGAACAAGUUUCUCGGUGCUAGUUGCAUGUAAUCUAAUAUGUAGUGCAUUCAUGAGAAAUUGUGCCAAUCAAUGGAUAACAUCUUAGUUAGCUUAUUACUCCCUCUGGCCCUUUUUACUCUGCGUAUUAGAUUUGUCUCAAGUCAAACUUUGCAAAGUUUGACCAAAUUUAUACAAAAAAGUAUCAACAUNNNNNNNNNNNNNNNNNNNNNNNNNNNNNNNNNNNNNNNNNNNNNNNNNNNNNNNNNNNNNNNNNNNNNNNNNNNNNNNNNNNNNNNNNNNNNNNNNNNNNNNNNNNNNNNNNNNNNNNNNNNNNNNNNNNNNNNNNNNNNNNNNNNNNNNNNNNNNNNNNNNNNNNNNNNNNNNNNNNNNNNNNNNNNNNNNNNNNNNNNNNNNNNNNNNNNNNNNNNNNNNNNNNNNNNNNNNNNNNNNNNNNNNNAUGAAACUAAAUUUCAUGAUGAGCUUAACAAUAUCGGUUUGGCAUUAUGAAUGUUGAUACUUCUUUCUAUAAGUUUGGUCAAAAUAGAGAUACUUUGACUUCAGACAAAACUUAUAUGUAGACUAAAAAUGACCGGAGGGAGUACUAAUUAAGACCUUAGGAUAUAUACCACCUUUAAGCAUUAAUAGCUACCACAAAUCCACAUAUUAUAGAUCCUUCUUCUUCCACUAUGUCUCCAUUGAUUGGCUUUUGGCUUUCAGACCACUCAAAAAUUAAUGUCAAGUGGUAGCUUCUUCUUUUAAUGUCAACUCCAUGCAUGAGUGAUGCACGAUCAUGUCAAAUUACAGAAGAUAUCACACCCUCUGGCUCAGAAGAGGAAGAAAACUAAGACCAUAGCCGGCAUGUAAAGUAAACUAAUAUAUGGAAUGACACAUGCAAUUUAGGAAUACUUAGUGAGCAAUCCCCGUGAAAACUACCAAAAUAUUGCUAGCUAGUUUAUCUAAUGUGGUGGGAUCAUUACUUUGAACAACUCUCUCAAUGAUAGAUGCAUGUUGUCUAACAAGUAGUGACAUUCAUAAGGAACUGCAUCGAUCCAAGGAUAACAUCUCAAUUACCAUAUGACUAAUUAGGACCUACACAUAUAUACCACCUUGAAGGAACAAGUGUUACCGCAAAUCCAUGCAUCCAAUUCUUUAUGGUGGUGUAGGUUGCAUCUAAUUCCUUCACAACUUGUCUUCUUCUACAGUAAAACUAUGCCCAGAAUUUUCGUGGUUUUUUUCUUAUUUACGAAUAAUACUUGUUUCCUUUGCAGUGUUUGGUCAUAAGAGCAUCUACAACUGCAACUCGCAAAUGUGACCCCUACACGUCCGUGGACGCGUCCGCAGACAGUGACCAGUCACCCACUAUAUCUCCGCGUCCGCUGUCGUCCCCCUCAUAUCAACCACGCAACAUGAUCAACAUUUUGCGUAGAAACAACUUUAACAUAGCAGUAUAAAACAUAUAUAUUUGGAAUGGCAAGUUUCAUACAAUCGGACACAAAAUGUCCAUCAUCACCUAGAUAUGAUAAGCCUAAACAAUAGAAAAACUCCUACAUGUAGGCAUUGGACGUCGGAGGGGAUUCGUCGUUGUCGUCGCUCAUCGUGUCGCUGUCAUAGGACGACGACGAGGAGGUUAUCCUGACCAAUCGUCGGGCGACGCGGGCCUACUCCCUGGUGAGUCGGGCGGCUUUCGCGCUGGCGGUUGCCCCCUCCUUCGCGAGGUUCCGGAAAUCCUCGAUGUCGAGCUGGAGAACCUUUACUGUUUUUCGGCGGCGGGCAUCCAUCUCUGCCGAGAUCAGUGACCGGAGGAUGACAUCACAGAAACUCUGGGAGGAACCAGCAGUCUCGCGGACCUGCUGCCUCUGAUUUUUACGUCCUCCUCGCAAGCUCGGUAGUGCGGGAACGAGCACCCUGCUCAGACUGGGAGGAGCGGGGCCCAAAGUCGUAGGGGAGGGUCACGACGGGCUGACGUGACGGGCUGACGUGGUCCGCUGCAUUGCCUCGUCGGGCAACAGGGGAGAACACAGAGCUCGAGCUCCUUCCCUUGUCGAUGCAUGACUAGCGGAGCGCACUGCAAAGGGCGAGGUCUCCUCAUCAUCAAAAUCCGACAACCGCAAGGCAUCCCAGUCGAUGGGUUCCGCCUCAUUGCUGGAUCCGCCACUGAAAUCGCUGGUAGAACCAACCAUGGUAGCCCGAGAAGAGGAAGCGGUGGGGAUGGGAGCGAACAUGAGUGGUGCGGAAGGGGAGAGAAGAGGCCGGUACUGAGCUAUGUUUGCGCCCUAGUGGGGAUGGGUUGGGCGAGCACGAACGGAUCUGAUGUGGCAGCCGAGUCCGGGCGUGUAGAUCUGCCCUCGGCGAUAGGGCUAACUAUGUGGGUUCUGAUUGGGUGGCAAUUUAUUGGCUGAGUAGUGACCGGGAUUGCUGCCCAUACGUUUGGGGGGAUAUGAGCUCUUUGUUGUACAUGCUUUAAAUCUGGGCAUGCGAAUCCUCGCCCGCCGGUGUCUAGGCUGUGCUUGUGCCUCUUAGCUGGAAACCCCCAAAAAGUCCAAGAGACCUUAUUUUUGGGAUUUUAUAAGAAAGAAUAGGUAUGAUGUUGUAUCAAUUUAUCUCAAAAUAAUUCGGUUAUUAUUUUUAAAUAAAAAUAUAACCAUUUUGGUGCCCAAUGGGGUGGGAUAAGACCCGGGCUCGGAAUUUUCAUGCCGGGCUCUGGCAGGUUCGUCCAUUUUAAUCAAUUUAUUUCUUUGUCAGGGACUAAGUUGUUUUAAGUACUUGGUCAGCAAUCUCUAACCAAUGAUAAGAUAACAAGACUAGGCCUACUAUCAAUUUUCAUAGUCAACUUUGUCCCUAGUCACAUUACUCCAAUCCAGCUAUAUUUAUGCGUGCAAAUCACCCAGUUCACCUUGUUUCAAAUAAACCCAGUUAUGUUUCCAUUUUGCAAGAAAGCACCGCAUUUAGAUUAGAUGACUUCCAACAUCCUGGAAAACAGAUCGUCGAUGUGGUCCAGUGCAUCGCAGGUGGCUACAAUGAACCGGAAGAAAUGGCGAAGCUUAAGGUAGUUCUUAGCGGCAGGUUCUAGUUUCAAGGUGGUGUAGGAAUGGAUGUUGGUUUUAUGGACGAUAAUGGGGUCGUAGAGUUAAUAAAAAUGAUCGAGAGGGUAAGAAGAGAGAGCACCAGCUACAGUAUUGAGGGCACCAUGGUGCUGAGAAACUGGGAGAGGUGUGGGUGGUUUGCAUCGGAAGGUUUCACACCCUCUGGUUCUGAAGAAGAAAAAUAAUACCAUAGGCCUCACUACUAGAAAAAGGGCUAUAGAUGGGAUUAACACUAAUGGCGCACCAGACAAGCGGUGAGCCAUUAGCUUCUGAUACGUCAUUAGAGUUGAAACUACUAAUGGCGCACCUGGCCCAGGGUGCGCCAUUAGUAUCAAUUUUUUUUUUAACUAGUGCGCCUGUCCAAACAUACUAAUGGCGCAUCCAGACACAGUGCGCCAUUACUAGUUGUAAUUAGUAAUGGCGCACCUGGCCCAGGAUGCGCCAUUAGUAUCAAUUUUUUUUUAACUAGUGCGCCUGUCCAAACAUACUAAUGGCGCAUCCAGACACAGUGCGCCAUUACUAGUUGUAACUAGUAACGGCGCACCUGGCCCAGGGUGCGCCAUUAGUAUCAAUUUUUUUUAACUAGUGCGCCUGUCCAAACAUACUAAUGGCGCAUCCAGACACAGUGCGCCAUUACUAGUUGUAACUAGUAAUGGCGCACCUGACCCUGGGUGCGCCAUUAGUAUCAAAAUAAUUUUUUUAACUAGUGCGCCUGUCCAAACAUACUAAUGGCGCACCCCAUUAGUAACCUGGAUUACAAAUGGCGCAUUUAGAGUUGGUGCGCCAUUAGUAAGUGGGCAGCAACAAGAUAUUUUGGACAGCCUCUCCUACCCACACUCACUUUCUCCCCACUUCAUUCUCUCCACCUCCUCCUUGUCUCGGGUGCCUCCUCUUUUUCACCUCAUUUCCACCAUAGAUUCAUUCAAUUUAAGUGGUUAAAUUACCUUGUUUUGAUAGGUAAGUAAGGGGGGAAGCUAUAUUUAUGUUGUUCUCCCUACAACAAUGUGCACAUGCACUUUUUAUGGCCUAGCUAGAUCUAUGUAUGUUCGUGGUGUUGCAUAUGUUUGUGGUGUUGCAUAUGUGUUUGUGUUUGGAGGUGUACCGGUAUUUGAAAUGCGAUAGUUGCCAAUAUUUUGCCGGAAUGUUGAUUCAUUUCCGUUUCGGCGAGAAUUUUGGCAUUAAGCAUUCUUUUUGGUCCUAUUUUUAGGGAAAGUCAUGCCAAAUUUUUUCUUGGUUCUAAAAUAUCAUUUUUCUCUACCCCGCAGACGACCAUGGUCCGCAUGAUGACCGAAGGCAUCGUGAAUAGGUUUUUGAGGUCCGCGAAGGCCGAGAUGCUUCAAAAGAACGAGACGGAGAUAAGAUGUCCGUGUCGAAGAUGCAAGCUGAAGAGCCUUAUUGCGGACCCGGAAUCCUGGCAGGUGCGGGACCACCUGCUCUUGCGUGGUUUAAUGGAUGGCUAUCGGUGGCAAGGUGAUGAAGAUGACUACGAAGUCGUCCAUGGGGGCCGGGCAAGAAAUGAGGAAGGGCAGCAAGACAACCACCGCGGCUCGGGCGGGCGAGAAGACGAAGAAUCCCUAGGACAUGAUGAUGAGGAAGAUGCCGGAGCAGACGACGGGCAUGAUCAUGAAGAUGAUGAUGCCAGCGGAGCAGACGAUGCUGGACCAUCGAUGGGCUGGGUGCAGGACCCUCAUAUUCAAGAGCUGCUUCUCAAGCAGACGGAUAACGCAAGAGCUGCCGCCCGAGAGAAAGCCAAGAUGGAUCAACUUGAGUUAGACGCGGUUACUCCAUUGUAUGAAGGAUGCAUGCCCGAGGAUACCAGCCUGAAAGUAACGCUCAUGGCUCUGGAGAUGAAGGUAAAACACAAAAUGACCGAUGCAUGCUUCGACGAGAACAUGUCAUUCUGGCACGAACGUCUUCCCAAGGGGAACAAGUGCCCGACCAGUUUGGAGGAGGCGAAGAAAAUCGUGUGUCCUAUGGAUUUACCGCACGUGAAAUACCAUGUGUGCAUGAACAAUUGCAUCAUUUAUCGGGACGAGCAAGCGGAGUCUACCAUAUGUCCGGUGUGCGGCGUCACUCGAUACAAGAAGAGGAAGAAAGCUCCUCGAAAAGUGGUGUGGUACUUUCCGAUCACUCCUCGUCUGCAGCGGUAUUUCGCGGACCCUAAGGUAGCAAAGCUCCUUCGUUGGCACGCGGAUAGGGAGGAGAAGAAGCGAGAAGAUGACGCAAAUGAUCCGGAGAUAGAUAAAAAAGACAAGAUGCUGAGUCACCCUAAGGAUGCGAGCCAGUGGCAAGCGUUGAACUUCGAAGACCUAGAAUUUGGGAACGAUCCAAGGAACAUCGUGCUGGGCGCGAGCACCGAUGGAGUCAAUCCGUUUGGCAGCCAAAGAAGCACACAUAGCACCUGGCCUGUGUUUGUGUGGAUGUACAACCUUCCCCCCUGGUUGUGCAUGAAGAGGAAGUACAUUCACAUGAGUAUGCUAAUUGAAGGACCGAAACAACCAGGGAACGACAUCAAUCUGUAUCUGGGGCUGCUGAAAGAGGAGCUUGACACGCUGUGGAAAACGCCAGCCAAUACGUGGGACGCCGCAGAGAAAGAAUAUUUCCCUAUGAGAGCUGCGCUGCUCACGACGGUGCACGACUAUCUCGGUUACGGAUAUGUCGCGGGGCAGGUGGUCCACGGAUUUUCUGGAUGCGUCAGGUGCAUGGAUGACACAACGUAUCGCCAGCUAGAUAGAGAUCCCGGUUCUUCAAAAACCGUGUUCAUGGGACAUCGAAGGUGGCUUCGCGACGAUGACCCGUGGAGAAAACGCAAGGAUCUAUUCGAUGGUGAAACCGAACCCCGAGGACGCCCGCGUACGAGGAGCGGCGAGGAAAUAGACGAGUUGUUGAAAAAUUGGAAAGACUGCCCACUGCCGGGAAAGAAGCAAAAGGCGCCAGAGCCGGGAAAGAAGCGAAAGGCGCUAGAGCCGCUGCUGAAGGUAUGGAAAACGAGGUCUGUUUUCUGGGACUUGCCGUACUGGAAGAUCCACCGUGUGCCUCACAGCCUUGAUGUCAUGCAUAUCACGAAGAACGUGUGCGAGAGUCUGCUUGGUACCCUGCUCAACAUGCCAGAGAGGACCAAAGAUGGGCCGAAAGCAAGGGCAGCCUUGAAAUCAAUGGGCAUCAGGCAGGAGCUUCACGCUAUAUAUGAUGAUGAUGAUGAUGAUGAUGAUGAGGCGAAGCAGGACACGGAAAGUCGUCGCAAAGGCAAAAAGGCCAAGAAGACCGGAAAUGACUACCCUCCCGCGUGCUUCACUCUAAGUCAGGAGGAGAUCGAGCAGUUUUUCACCUGCCUCGUAGGAGUAAAACUUCCUUACGGUUACGCGGGGAAGAUAAGCAGAUACCUAGACCUAGCGAAGCUGAAGUUCAGCGGGAUGAAGUCUCACGACUGUCACGUGCUGAUGACGCAGAUACUUCCAGUUGCAAUCCGUGGGAUCAUGGACGCGCACGUCCGUGAAACGCUAUUUGGCCUAUGCAACUUUUUCGACGUCAUCUCUCGGAAGUCUGUUGGCGUGAGGCAACUCAGAAGGCUACAGGAAGAGAUCGUGGUGAUACUAUGCGAGCUUGAGAUGUACUUCCCGCCCGCAUUCUUCGACGUUAUGGUGCAUCUGCUGGUCCAUAUCGUGGACGAUAUCAUCCAACUCGGGCCGACGUUCCUGCACAGCAUGAUGCCGUUCGAAAGGAUGAAUGGUGUCAUCAAAGGAUACGUUCGCAACAUGUCACGUCCAGAGGGAAGCAUAGCCAGGGGCUUUCUGACCGAAGAGUGCAUCUCCUACUGCACGAAUUAUCUAGGCAUCGAGAACCCCCUUGGUCUGCCCGUCAACAGGCACCUCGGCAGGCUCACUGGAUGGGGUCACCGUGAGGGUCGCCGCGAAAUGCAUGUCGACUUCGAGGGUCGACUCGCCGACUUUGAAAGAGCAAACCUAGUCGCGCUACAACACAUAGACGUGGUCGAUCCUUGGGUGGUAGAGCACAAAACCUUUAUUAAGAAGACGUACAAUGACCGAGGCCAACAGAGGAUGGACGGAGAUAUACUCAAAGAGCACAACUCAUGUUUCACGCGUUGGUUCAAGCAGAAGCUUCUGUCGUACCCUUUACAUGAGGAUUCUUCCGUGGAAGAACAACUCAUAUUCGCCUUGUCACAGGGCGCCGAGCACAACCUGAUGACCUAUGAGGCGUACGAUAUCAACGGCUACACAUUCUACACCGAGGCCAAGGACAUGAAGAGCGAUGGUUAUCAGAACUCCGGGGUAACGAUGGAAUCCUACACCGGUAACGACAAGGACAGAUACUACGGAAGGAUCGAGGAGAUCUGGGAGCUGAGCUACGCUGGAGAGAAGGUCCCGAUGUUCCGUGUCAGAUGGGCCAAGAGCGUCCUAAAAGAAGACCGGUAUUUCACCACUAUGGUUAUACCCGAAGCCAAAUCCAAGACCGCAGGCGCAAACGUCACCGCGAAAAAUGAGCCAUGGGUACUGGCUUCCCAAGUGGACCAAUGCUUCUUCAUUACCGACCCGUCAAAGCCCAGUCGUGUUGUCGUGAGGAGAGGCAAAAGGAAGAUCAUCGGAAUGGAUAAAGUAGCCAAUGAGCAAGACUUCGACAAGUACGGCUACCCGAGAAUCGAACAUGACGACGAUGAUGAAGUAGCAGCAUACACCACAAGAAGAAGCAGGACCACCCUACCUAAAGGACGUCCGUUCCACAGAAGAACUCCAUUUGCGAAAAAGAAGGGCAAGAAGAUUGUGAACAGAUAGCUAGCUAAGAUCGAUUGUAUUUAAAUCGUAGCCUUCAUUUCUCGAUUGUAUUUCAUGGGCACUUUUUGAACUAUCAUGAAUAUUUUUAAAUUUCAUGGACACUCGAUCUCGAUCCCCCUCCGUCUCGAUCGCUAUCCCACCUCGCUAGAUCCGGUCUCCCUCGCCGCCGAGCACCCCCCGGUCCACCGGCGCCCCGCACCCCGCGCACCCUCCCCCGCUCCACCGGCAUUACUGUUUGAUGAUAUUUUUAAAAAAAAUAUUACUGUCUUAUAAAAAAAAUAUUACUGUUAUGAUUUAAACAAGUUUGAACAUAUUUAAACACAAAUAAAUAUGAAACAACAUUUUAAAUGCAUAAAAAAAAAUUGUGGAGCCUGGGAAUCAAACCCAGGACCUCCUGGUGUGAGAACUAGCUGCUGACCAGUCAAGCUAGUAGAGGGAACUUGGUGUGGAUCAGGUCAGGUGGAAGAUAACCUGUUGGCUCGAGCAGAAAUCAAAAAAAAAAUACUAAUGGCGCACCAGGGUGAGGUGCGCCAUUAGUAUGGAUGUACUUAUGGCGCACCGAGGGGUGGUGCGCCAUUAGUAUUGCGCCCUCGCCCGGCCCUCGAUCCCCUUCCCCUCUCCUAUCCCCGGCCCAAACCUAUCCCCUCUCUCUCCCUCGCCCUCGCCCUCGAUCCCCUUCCCCUCUCCUCUCCCGACGCCGCUGCCCUGCCGCCUCGACGCCGCCCCGUCGUCCUCAUCUCCUCUGCGACGCCCCGACGCCGCGACGCCGCCCUCUCCUCUCCCGACGCCGCCGCCCCGCCGCCCCGUCGUCCUCGUCUCCGCCGNNNNNNNNNNNNNNNNNNNNNNNNNNNNNNNNNNNNNNNNNNNNNNNNNNNNNNNNNNNNNNNNNNNNNNNNNNNNNNNNNNNNNNNNNNNNNNNNNNNNNNNNNNNNNNNNNNNNNNNNNNNNNNNNNNNNNNNNNNCCUCUCCCGACGCCGCUGCCCCGCCGCCUCGAUGCCGCCCCGUCGUCCUCGUCUCCGCCGCGACGCCCCGACGCCGCGACGCCGCCCUCUCCUCUCCGGACGCCGCCGCCCCGCCGCCCCGUCGUCCUCGUCUCCUCGGCGUCGCGCCCGUGGCCAGCCCCGUCAACAAGUUCGCGCUCCUCCCCGCCUUCCUCCAGGUACCCCGCCACCCGGCCUACUCUACAGCAUUCUAUACUCUGUGAAAAUGCUACAAACCCCAUUCUGUUUGUCAAGUACCAACUUAUAUCAUCACAGCCAUUCAUGAACAUGACACGAAAGAAUCAGUGAUCUUGACAUCUGAACUUGCCCUAUACGUCCCUUAAAUUGAAACCAGUAAAGAGUAACCAAAAGUACAAACUGAUAAGUAGAUAAAGAGUAGGGUAGAAAAGAAUGAAAUUAUCAAGUCAAAUAGCAAUUGAAACAAGCAAACUGACCCAGCACCAAAUAAGAUAGUUUCAAAUACUAUCCAAGGGACUUAGGAACAGCAGAAUCAGCAUAGCAAUUCAAGAAAAAGGAAGAACAGAAGACAAGAAUAAGUGCAGCUGCAGUACUAUUUCUCAAACAACAGAACUGGUUGACAUACUGCAAAACCAACAAAAUGUUAAGAAAUAGGUAAAAUAUAAACUUGCAAAACAGUCCUUUGUAUCCACCAGAACAUGAUUUUACCGAAAGAACUAAUAUCAUAACCGAACUAUCAACAUAUAUUUUAUCUAUACAUGGAUGCCAGUGAGCAAGAAUAAAAAUUCUCAAAAAGGAAAAGAUCAGUUCAAAUUUUGUUGAGGAAACGAUCAUUUGUACUCAGAAGUAGCUCUAUUUAGCAAGAGGCUCGGAGUUGGCCCAUUUAUAGAAGGUGGUAUGGUAUUUUCGCAACAAGAGGUUAUAAGAAGUAAAUGCAGGUGUAUGACAAUAUUGUGAUUUUCCACGUAUGGGCUUCUAUAAGCAUUAAUAUGAUCAUCAGCAGAAAGCAAAUUUGAGGCCAGUUAGCAGUUGCUGUGCUGGACAAUAGUAGACAAAAUAUUGACAACUGGCCAACUUGAAUGUACAUCACUGCCAACAGUAACCAUAACCCAUACCACAAAAACAAGUGAUGGUAUCUGAUCUCGGUACACCGCUAAAUGAGCCUUAUUCGUCAUCUCCAUCAACUGGACUUACCGCCAAUCCCAAAAAAAAGAAUAACAGGGAGAAGCCAAUUGUCAAAGAACCAAAUAUGAUAGAAACCACACAAGAAUCGGUGAAAGCAGAAAGAAUCACUACAUCGGGACCAAAUCAUUAUCUGGCGACACAAAAACAGGGACAUGCAUAAGAAAAUGGCUCAGAUAUACCCCCAUCUGGACACCAUAACUGAACUUCUGGUAGAAUGACCAUGAACAUAUUAUAUUUGUGGACGGAGGGAGUAAUAUUUAGCCGCUAAACUGGUUACUUGCUGUCACACAAGCCAUCCUAGUUUAGCCAGAAGGAGAAGGAGCCAAGUGAUCUGCAGCAGUACUAGUUGAGAUCAUAUCCAGCACAUAGUAUGGUGAGAUCAACACUUAAAAUUCCAUUGUGCUGCAAUAGUCUGAAUCAUGUUACAUAAGUGUUGGGUUCACAAAGCUCUGUUACUAUGUGUUCUAGUCAUGUACAGCAGUUUGACAUUCCUCAAAAUUUUAAGUGUUGAUAGAAUGACCGUGGGCGCCGUUUAUUUUGCGUGUCCAGUGGCUGUGGCUGCCUAAUGAUGACAGACUAAGUUUCUGAUUUAUUUUGUUAUAGAAGUGUAGAUUCAUUGGUAGCAAUUGUUUUCAGUGUCUCAUGUUGCUUGUAGUGUUUUGUCCAAAAUGUUGAAUGAUACUGCUUGGAGAUGCAUAUAUUGUUUCACCUCUUCACAUGCCAAUGUAUUUUUCAUGUUGUGAUGGAGGCCUUUUUUGCCUUGUCCACCCGAGAGGCCCUUGAGUUUGCCGGAAUGUCGAUUAACUUCCGUUCCGGCAAAUUCGGGUACUCCAUAUGUCCUAUUUUCAGCAAAGGUCAUGCUGAAAUUUUCCGUGAAUUUUAGCAUGACUUUGCUAAAAAUAGGACAUAUGGGGUACUUGUGACUAAUGCAUGGGCCGGGGUAUCUUAGUAGGUAAUUAAGUAGGAUCAAGUGCCCCGGCGUACUUGUGACUAAUGCAUGGCUUUUAGGGUGCCUUGGUGUCGAUAAAAACCGAAAUGAUGAAAGCUUAGGCUUUUAGGGUGCCUCGGCGUCGAAAAACCCUCAAUGAUAAAAGCUUAGCUUUUAGGAUGCCUCGGUGUCGACAAACCCUAAAUGAUGAGACCAUGAUCCUGUUCCUUGACAAUAACCAACUUUUUGACCAAACUUUGUUCCUAUUUAGAGAGAAACAUGGCCAACAACGACGAGGCCGGGGGUUCGAGCGUCAAGCCAUUCUGGAAGCUAUCCCAGGAGAUGGAGGAACAACCUCACUUGUAUGAGGACGCCGCCUUCCCCACCGAUCCUGAGACCACUGAUGGUACCGCCGAGGAUGACCCCACUGAUGGUGCCGCCGAGGAUGCCACCACUGAUGAUGGCGGCGCACGCACAGAUGGCAGCCAACCGAAGAGGCAACGGAAGGACCGGCGCCCGACCGUGCUCCGCACCCUCAAGGAGGAAGUUACUGAAGUGGACUCCGACGGGAAUCCAACGGUGCCCGAACGAAUAGUCAAGGGGUACUCGCUUCAGCUCGGGUGCAUUCUCCGGAGCACCGUCUCGAUCAACACCGAGAACCUGAGGCAUCCUGACCGAGGGAAUUUGCGCAACCUCCUCUUCACGAAGCUGCACGAACGAUACAAGUUCCCCGCUGAAUUUGAAAACACAAGCCUCAAAGGGAAUAAAGUGAACAAUGCUGCCCUCACGAAGAUGAGCAAGGCCCUGUCUACUUGGAAAAGCAAUGUGAAGAGAAUGAUCGAGAAAGGUGAGAGUUAUGAGAAGAUCAAGGAGAAAAAUCCUUCGAUCACCAAAGAUGACUACAACGACUUCAAGAUCAAUUGCUCGAGCACCGCAAACUCCGAAUCAAGUAAGUGGGGGAAAGAAAUGCGGGAGCUGAACUUAGGGGAACACACACUCGGUCCCGGCGGUUACAGAGUGGCGGAGCCUAUAUGGGACAAGGAGGAGGCGGACCGUGCCGAGCAAGGCCUACCGCCCCUCUUCGAUAAAUACGGUGACAAGCAGACCAGGAACUUUGUCAGGGCCCGGUACAAGAAGGACCCGAAAACAAAGGAGCUUACCACGGAUCCAAAGACCAGGGCGCUUGAGCUUGUUCUGGUAAGGAAUACACCCCCUCGUAAUUAGCUCCAUAUGGUUGCAUUCUAAUUAAUGAAGCCAAAUUUCUAAAUGGUUCACAUUCCUUCCGCAGGCGACUGAAAGCAGUAGCGUGGGGUCGACUAAGAGCAACCCUUGGGACACCACUCUAAAUAGGGCGUUGAAUGUAAUGAAGAACAAGGAUAAACUCAGUAAGCCGACGUCAGCUGGUCGUGUGGCCGGCAAAGGCUUGUCGACAAAAUGGUCGUCAUACUAUGACACUGCUGGGCAAAAGGAGAAAAAGAACAACUCGGAAAGCCAGGCGCGCGAGGUUCAAGAACUCAGGGCACAGGUGGCGCGGAUUCCGGAGAUUGUCCAAGAGCAAGUGCAACAACAACUCGGAGCGACGAUCACCGCCAUUGUGCCUACCUUGAUCCAGGGGAUUAGUGCGUGGAUUGCGGGCGGCCAACAGGGGCCGCCCCCGAUUCCUAGCUUCACGGCCAGCAACUCGCAGAACGCGAUGGCGGGGCCAUUGGUGUCUCCGGCGGAGGCGGCAUUGGUGUCUCCGACGCCGGCACGGGAGCUUAAUGCACCGGGGUGUACGCCGACCGGCACCUCUGCAGCAAGCGGCCCCUCCGUCAACUGCACGCCCGCUGUUGGCGGUGCCUCGACAUUAGUCGAGCUCGACGCCAUCAUCACGGUAACUAAUUAAGCCUCUCUCGGCCGAGGACUUCAUCUCCUUGCCUUUGACUGGGCAUCCCUAACGCCCUACAUGUUUUCGCAGGCGCCGCCGACGUUCCGUGCACUCUCCUGCACUUCGUGAACAACGAGUUGGUCGAUGUUGCCAAGGGCAAAAUCGUUCAACCGGGCAACCCCUUGUUCCAGGGUACCCAUACGCCACCCAACUUGUUUAGGGUUCAACUGGUUCGGGUGCUGCCAGGCUGCGACGAGGUGUUACCUCCGAUUCGACCCCUCGGGGCCGACGAUGAUGACGUGAUGAACCUCAGCGCCUGCCUGAGCUGGCCCCUGCUUUGGCUGAAGAGCCAGAUUCGUUUGGGGGCGGGGGACACCACCCCAAAGACAACACCGCCAGUCGUGCCGGCGCCAAGUCGGCCCCAUGGCAAGACCGCCGCAACGGUGCCGGACAUCCCUAUGCCACUGGAUCCAAACAUGCAUAUGGCACAGGAUCAGAACGACGACGACGACGAUACAUUUGCCACCGUCGAUCAGUACUUUGCCGAUCAUGGGUAUGGUGGCGACUUCAUGGGGCCUCCUUCUCAAGAACCCAACCCAACAAAAGACGUGUGCGAUCUGGCUGGUACCGCGGAGAAGCCAAGUUGCAAAAGGCGUCGUCUGCAGUUCAGCUCUCAGGAGACGCCUCCAGCUGCCGACUUCACCGAGCCUCAGAUAGGCGAGGUGCCAAAUAUGAUCAGCCCCAACACACUCAAGAAGGCGGUCUGUGAGCAGAACUCGGUCCCAUUACAGGAGAUCAAGAAGAAGGCAUGCAAAAGAAAGACUAACAAGGGUGCGGGCCAGCCGGCACCGAGUACGAUCCGUGCUCAGGACGGACCACCUUCAACUGCGGAUAUCUCGAGGAGGGUGCAUGUGGCGGGUAGGCCGAUGCUACCGAGAAAUAUGCUCGAUGCUGCAACCGGUGCUAUGCGGAGUCUGCAUGACAGUGUUCUUUCUUUGGAGAAGCGGCGUCUCCGAGAGAAGGAUGUGGCAUACCCGGUUUUCGCGGCCAAGGUGCCAGAGGGCAAGGGCUUUGUGGAUAACUCCAUCGGGGGUACGAUCGUCCUGCGGUUUGAUGACAUCCACGCUAUGUUGAACCUUCAUCCGCUGCACUACACCUUCGUUCGGCUAUUUUCGCUGAGUAUGGAGAUGCGGAUCAUUCGCGACAAGACCCCGGACAUCGUGAUAGUCGACCCCUUCUACAUGCGUGCCAAGAUCUUGGGCAGCGCUGGGGACCGGCAAGUCGCGAGUUCUUACCUCGAAGGCGUCAUUCUGGCAAACCAAGAUAAGGAUAACUUCCUCGUGCCUUACUUUCCCGAGUAAGUCCUUCCCUCAACCGCCCCGUAACAUAUGAAUUCUUAGAUUUCGAUCGUUUUUCUUUUAACAUUCCGUGUUUUCUGCAGUGACACACAUUGCACGCUCAUCCUCCUAAGCCCCAAAUAUUCCAUGGCCACGUAUUUCGACCCGGACCGUCAGUCGAACGUAGACUACACAAAUGUCAAGAAGGUUCUUGAUGAUGUUCUCCCCGGGUACGUCAAAUCUGGAGGCACCUUCACCAGGCCUAUUCGUAAGUACGGCAAGCACGUGUUCUCCCACAAUAUGACGUUCUGCUGCGUCAAGCAGCCGCCUGGCGGUCAGAAGGAUGCCUACUACGCCAUCCAUCACAUGCGGGCGAUCGUGCGGGGCCAUAAUCACCUUCUCCUACCAAAUAAUCUCAAAGAUUGGGCCGCAAGCUUGGGGGCAAUCCAGGACGCGGACAUCAGACAAGAAUUCUUUCGCAUCUAGUCGGAGUUUGCGGAAAUCAUCCAUCAAGAUGUCCUUCCUACCUCGGGGCAGUUCUACCUCAGAAAUCAACCGUCCAACAGUGACAUCGACACAAUCCUACAAAUGCAGGCUGACAACGCCCGUUGUUUCAUGACUCCCACGAUAGACGGCGGCUUCAUCCACGCUCCGGUCCCUUGAGUCGAGUCGAAAGCAGUGAUGCUGUGUCUAGUUCUGAAACAUCGAUUGGCUCAUGUUGUAAUUAAACUUUAAUGAACUUGUAGUAUGUCUCUUUGGUUUCGAGAGUCGUUCAACUUAGAUGUAAUCGAUGCUAUUAAUGUCUUGCUUUUCUCUUCCGAUCGUUCUGUUGCAUACUUAUAUAUUGCUUAUGUAUUGUCUGUGAAUUGGUACUAACGUUUCGUUUGGCUACUGCAUAGCGAUGCCGUGGUAUGUCGUGUACAAGGGUAAGGUUCCCGGAGUCUACGACGACUGGGAGGAGUGUCGGAGACAGGUUCACCGAUUCAGCGGUAACAGUUACAAAGGGUACGCCACUAGGGCCGAGGCCGAAUCUAGAUACGACCGCUAUCUAGCGGGAGAGGGGAGGGAGCGUUGGAGGAACCGGAUGAAGACGAGUUUCAUCGUGAUGAUGCUCAUCGUGAUGACCGCAGCUCUCUUCUAUGUGAUGGUAGUUUAGAUGAUCGAUAUCGACUUGUAAUGUGAAGACAAACUCGCGGUCUCGAGACUUGUAAUAUAAUGUCCUAUCUUUGUUCGGUCUUUUCAAUUCGGAGACUAAUAUGAUGAAUUGUAUUCGGAGACUAAAAUGAUGAAUUGUAUUCAGAGACUAAUCUUCUAUUGUAUUCGAUGAAUCUGUUGUUGAUGUGUGUUGUCUAUAUUUUGUCCAAUUAUACAUUUUGUAACCUGUGCAAAAACAGAAAAUAAAAAAAUAAAAAAAAACCUAAUAUUCAUACUAAUGGCGCAUCACAUCAUAGUGCGCCAUUAGUAUGCCAAAGGAUACUAAUGGCGCAUCACUAAACAGUGCGCCAUAAGUAUGCCGAAGUUACUAAUGGCGCAUCCUGUUGUUUUGCGCCAUUAGUAUGCCAAAGCACCUGGGUAUAGAUGGCCCCCUGGGAGGCAUACUAAUGGCGCACUGUUGUAUAUACUAAUGGCGCAUCUAGGGUGCGCCAUUAGUAUACCAGAUACUAAUGGCGCACCAGUGGUGCGCCAUUAGUAAAAUAUACUAAUGGCGUGCUACUAAUGGCGCACCACUAAUGCGCCAUUAAUGGCCAAAUUAGGUGCGCCAUUAGUAGGCCUUUUCCUAGUAGUGCCUGCAAAGUAAACCAACAUAUGGAAUUAAGAAGCAAUUUAACAAUACUUAGUGGGCAAUCUCCAUGACAACCAUCAAAAUAUUGCUAUGUUGUUAAGGAUUUAUUUCUUUGAAUAAGCUCAGUACUAGUUGUAAUAGUUGCAUGUUGUCUAAUAUGUGACGUUGGUAAGAAAUUGCGUCCAGCAAAGUAUAUCAUCUUAAUUAUCAUAUUACCAAGACCUGAAGAUAUAUACAACCUUGUAGCCUUAUAAAGAGCUAGAGCCCUUGCCUAUUUUUUCUUAGAAAUUGGACCAACGCUAUCGCGUACGGAUUAAUUUAGUAGUAAUUCUUCUGUAUUUUUUCAUUGAUAUAUAGGAAUAGGGCAGUGCAUAUGUGGAGUGCACACAAUCUUGUUUCACUUUUCUUUGCUGGAAGUAAGCUGUUUUAAGUACUUGGCCAGCAAUCUCGAAUCAAUGAUCAGAUCGUAAGACUGGGCCUACUAUAUAUUUUCAAAGUCAACUGCGCGGCUGGUCAGAUGUGUACCACAAUACAGUUAUAUAUAUCGUGCUCAGCACGAGUUCACCUUGUUUUAAAGCAACCCAGUGAUAAGUAUGAGCGUCUGUUCAAACAUAUUUGUCAGAGAACACUCGUUUAUACACUUUAGCUCUGAUUUUAUGCCCAUGAGUUAAUACAUUCAUGAGUGCUUUUCUCUUCAUGUAGCUGGCACGGAGUGUUACUGAAUAUAAGUAUUAUUUAUUACAUUUCUUAGGAUGCUGUCUAUGAAACUAGCGGUAUUGCCUACUCAUUUGCGCGGCAAGAUUUUCAUUUGUCAUUUUAAAUUUGGAAACUAUAUUUUGGCAUUUUAAAUAUUUCUUAACACUUUGUAAAUAUGUAUUGUUGCAAUUACCUAAUUGUGUAUGAGGAAUUCAUCCGCAAGGUGUGCCAAGAAAUAGCUGGUUCCACACAAAAGGCUAAUUUAACAGUUUUAUUAAAAGACAUUCAAUUAAAACAAAUUAUGUAAGAAGGCCUAAAUUCAUCCAUACAUACGCGCAUUACGUAUACUUGUGGAGUUAACAAUUUUAAGCAUGUAUAUGUACAUUAUAUAUAAAAUAGCUGGACAACUAAGUUUUGGAGAACUUAUUGUGGAAGUACAUAUUAUGGUCGUCCCACGGUUAUACGAAGUGUGUAGUCGUUCUGGUCAUUGAGUAAGGAUACCCACUCGGAGCAGGAUGUUUAUGGCUGAGCUCGGAUGAUACUGCCGGCCCAAGUUGAUGACAGAGCAACUCCUGAUUAAACAAGCUAAUAUAUGGAAGCACAUCACCUUGUCGAUGAUAUGGAGGAACUUGAGGCUGAGACCACGAUUAGUCAUCGCCUAAUCAAUAUCUGCAAGGAACUUGAGCCGCCACCCAUACUUGGCAACAGACAUGGUGCACUCCUUGAGCAUGUGGUACUUGCCGCUAAUGCGGAUGGUGUGUGCGUUGUUAUUGUUGAGCAAGUACCGGCGGAGGCGAUUCCGUGCCGACAAGGCAGUGCCAUCAUAGGACAUCACAAGUCCAGAUGACCAUCGUCGAACAUGGUGUAGAUCCACAACAUGAUCCUGAUGUCGGCAUGCUGCCACUCGGGGUCAUCAAUUUCAUGUUCAGAUGUCUCAUUCAUGUGGUCGAGUGCAUCGGAGGUGGCGAGGACGAACCAUAAGAAAUGUGUCAUUUAUGGUAGUUAUUGAUACGUGGGUCGAGUUUGAAGGUGAAGUAGGACUUGAUGUUGGUAUUAUGGACAACAAUGGGGCCUGAAGUUGGUAAAAGGGAUUGGGUGGUAAGAAGGAGUAGAAGCAAUAGUGGCGACGGGCGCCGUGGCAUCGACAGAGAAACAAGGAGAGAUCUUAAGGGUUUGCGCCAUAAGGGAGGUGGUGCUGGAAUUGGUCUGGGUGUUGCUCAGUGGCGUUACCAAGCUGAACUGUGUAAUAUGUAUUGUUUGCCUCAAGGUUUACAGGUGUCGAUGUACACAAUAUAUAUAGAAGGGGUACAGAGAGAGGCCUAACUAACUUCAACAUACGAGAGGCGCAUGCAGGUGCAUGUAUGACGACGAGUGAAGAGAGCUCAGAUCCUAAUCUCCAUGGGCGCUGGUACAACAUUGUUGAAUUACAACAGUACAUACAUUUGGUGCAUACAUGUUUAACAAUAUGGAUUCGAAUUCAUGUACGAGGCGUAACAAAUGGCAAAGAUUAAAAAUAGCAUUAGACUGCCCGUAAUAGGAGUAUCAUAUUAGCUAGUAUCAUGCACGACAACUAAGCAAUUUUGAUGAGGUGGCAUAGAAUUAAAGGAAGAAAGAAAGAGUUCAGUAUCAUAUCAUGAUAUCAUAUCAUAGUAAAUGUUAUGAUACUAUGUGUCAUGCAUAACAAUAAAUAAGAUCAUACCUAAGAUACUAAUACAUGAUAUUAUGCAUUAUAGAGGUAAUAUCAUAGAAUAGCAUCAUAUGCAUAAUACUACCUCCUUUUUGGUUUAUAGGACUCAAUUCAAAAAUCUUACCAACCAAGGUAGAUGCUGAGUGGUGGAAUAAUUUUUAUAGUUUGGAAAAGCACUCAAUUAAUGCGCUUGUUUUCCUCAAAAAAAUGUGUUUACCAAUGCAUUAAUUGCAAUGCAUGCAUGCAUAAAGUACAUGCAUUCAUCAAUUUUCUCAUAAUACUUGCAUGCAAUGAUUUAAUGCACCUUGAAAUCUGAACAUGUGAUGGGGAACAACCAAAUUGAGACUUAUAAAACGGGAAAACUAAAAUUUUGAGAUAAGCCCUAUAAACUGGAAAGGAGGAACUACAAACUUAUGAUACUACACAUUAUCUUUGCUAUAAAUAAUCCUUCUGAACUCAAAGUGCCCGCAUUAUUGCACAGGUCACUUGCAUACAAUUUACGACAAAAAAUAUUGGUGCACAAGGUAUAUACUACUAUAUAUCAAAGUCAACUACAGUUAAUUAAGUGAUACGAAUAAGACUAGCUAGUUUUUUUUUGGCGAGGUGGAGUACAAGGGUCAUCCUUGUGUUGCUCCCUAUAAAUAGAACCCUACCCCCUCAUAUGGACAUGUACCAGUUAAGCAGCAAGCUAGCUCAUCUCCAUCGCAUCUGUUGUUGCUCUAUUCUCCACUAGAACCACCCAAUUCAUCAAUGGCUUCAUCUCUGAAGGUGGCCGCCGUCGCCGCCGUUUGCAUCGUGCUUGUCCUGAACAUGGGCCGGCCAGUGGCAGCCACAGAAUGCGAAGAUUGUUUGGGUGCCUGUGUUGGCACCUGCAUCGCCUACACUGAAACCACAUGCAGCGGCAUCUGCACCAACAUAACUCCUGCAUGCCAGGCAUGUAAGCACGCGACCUUAAUUCAGUGCGGUCCAACAUGCUAGGGCGGUUGUACCCUCUUCUGUUAAACCACCGGCCGGCUGUGCCCUGUUGCUCGCCGUAAGCUCUAUAUCUGUGCACAUUUCUUUGAAGUAUAUAUCUAUGUCCGUUGGCACCUCGUUGUUGCUAACAUAAGUUGUGUAAAUAAGCGGGCGAAAGUAGUUGCUGUGUGCAUUUGGAAAAUGUUCCUUCGUUCUAUCUAUUCCCCUUCGUUUGCUCAACAUUAAAUAUAUACAUGUGUGGAAGUUGUGUAUGCUUUGUGCUUCCUUGUAUCAUGUGUCUAAUGAGGUUAUACUUAAUAAAGGAUAAAUCCUUAUCUCGAGAACGCGGCUACAAAUUACAUAGUUUUGUUCCUUCACCAGUAGGGGUUCUGACUUUCUCUCAGCCGUCCAUGGCCACGUAGAGUUCGCAACAAAUUCCUUCACAGCUUGUCUUCUUCUAGCGUAAAACUUCAUCCUGAUUUUUCGUAGAUUUUCCGAUUUGCUGAAAAUACUGGUUUCCUAUGCAAUGUUUGAUCAUUCACGAAUUAUACCGACUAGUUUCAUGCGAGACUAGUUUAAGACCGUUGACAAAUUAAUACUAUCAAGUUGUAGCUGCUUCUCCAUUCAUGAAUUGUGCACGACCAUAUCAAUCAUAUGUAGAAGGUUUUACACCCUAUCGCUCAUAAUAAGAAAAGAAAAAACUAGUACCAUAGGCCCACAAACUAAACCAAUAUACAUAAUUAAGCAUGCAAUUCAGGAAUACUUAGUGGGCAAUCCUCAUUACGACAUAGAAUAUUGUAAGCUCGUCUUCUAAUAUGGAGGAAUCAUUACUUUGAACAAGUUUCUCAAGCAAACACGUCCGGAUUUCAUAUAAACAUGACGGGUUUCAUAUGAACAUGGUGGAUUUAACUGCAUUUCAAACAUUUAGAAAAAAAAUACCCGCCGGUAAACCCAUCCUACGGCGUUGGCGCCCGGCGUCCAAGGACGUGUCGUCCUCCUUCUGCCAUCUCAAUAAGCACCGGCGAUAAGACUGAUGAAGUGAAGGUGCGGUUUCCGGCGAGGAAGAGUAGAACUUGGGAGACGGACCGGCCCACAUGGGACACAAGGCACCGCCGCCUCCCGUGGCCUACUCAUCCUCGGAGGAUUCCGCGCCUUGUCCGUCGCCCGUGGACAUGAGGUCCACGAGGGAAAUGGUGGCGCCGGCGCGUCAUCGUCCCGCUGGGCCGGCUAAUAGUUCAUUGGCGGCGCGUAGGACGCGCUGCUGCCCAUGUUCUCCUCCGUGAUCGCCUGCAGGUGCACCUCUGCGGCUGCCACUUCCUGGCGAGCAGUGGCUUGAGUGCGGACGACAUUGUAGAUAGCACGCUGCUCCUCGACGAAAUUUGGGUUCGCCGCCGCCAUGGUCGGCACGGCCUCCUCUCUCGUGCGCUCAGCGUAGAUCUGACACUCCACCAGCCGGUGAUGCUCCAGGAGGAGCAGGUUGUACCGCUGAUCCUCCUGUGCCUGCUGGAACGCCGACAUAGGCGCCAGCGCAAGCUGCACCUCGGCCAUGGUGGUGUUGUACUGUGCUUGCGCCUAGUUCAUGGUGAAGCCGACGUGCGCAGGAGGCGUGGGAGCCGCGGCGGAGUCAUCGGAGCCCGUCUCCAUCGUGGUGUCAUCCUCAUCAUCGGAGACCUCGAGCGAGCUGGCCGGCAAGCCGGCCUCGAACCGCAUGGCAGGGCGGCUAUGCCAGGCAGCGGCAAGAACGGCCACCACAUGCCUCAUCUCCGGCGACAGACUAUCCCACAGUGCUUUCCCGGCGAUCAUGGUGGAUGCAGUGCAAGGGAGGACGAUGUGGGGGGGCUUCUGUUGUGGUGUGGAGUUAGCCGGGUGUGGCCGUCUUUAUAUAGCAGAUUUCGGUGAGGCGAGGCGUUUCUGUGCGUCAAUGCGCUGUGCCGGAGUGGGUUUCUCGGCCGACGAGCCUGCUUAAUGGCAGUAGACGGACAGACAACUGCAUUGAACAGGCGUGGGAGAUAUCAAUCACGUCCCAUCCAGUCACACGUGUUCGGCAUUGAACAGGCACGGACACCGGAGACGCGUAACGGCGACGCCCUCAGCUGGUGCGCCGCUUCAAUGGCGGAGGCAGUGAGAGGUCGCGUCCACCGUAAGCCGUCUUCCAUGUUGAGCGGUGCGCUCUACAGCGGCAUGAAUGUGGGCAACUGGUGCCGGGCGGGAAUGCGCGCUGGAGGGGACUAUGGUUUUGGUGGGCCAGGCCGGUCAGAAAUAGGCAUGGGAUCGGUCUAGACUCUCGCAAACCUCCCCCACAUUUGUCUCCGAUUUGCAGGAAGAAUCGCAUCUGGACCAUCCCGCGGACCGAUACAGGUCAGCAUUUCAUGGCUUCCACGGUCCGGACAGCCCGGUCCGGAUAGUAGCGGGAGGUUUACAGGUCCGCCUUGGAGAUGCCCUAAUGAAUACUAAAAUCAGAAAAAAUAAUAAAAAAUUCAAAAAAUUCUGAUUUUUUUGUGCAAACUUUGAAAAAUAUUUUAUGUGCCUGCAAAAAAUUAUGUUAGAAUGACAUUUAUGGAAGUCAUGGUAAAAAACAAAUCAAUGCUCAUAAAUGCUAUAUAAUCCAAAGCAUUAUUGGAGUGUUGUUUUUUUUAUUUUGCCAUGACUUCCAUCUAUAUUUAUGCAUGCUCAUGACCCGUUCACCUUGUCUGAAAGAAACCCAGUUAUCUUUCUUUUCUUCGAGAAAGCUCCGUAUUUAUAUUAGAAGACUUCCAACAUCGCAGAAAACAUAUCGUUGAUGUGGUCCAGUGCAUCGCCGAUGGAAAGGACGAACUCAAAGAAAUUGCACCGUUUAAGAUAGUUGUUGACGGCUGGGUCUUGAAGGUGAUGUUGGUAUUAUGGACAGCAAUCGAGGCCUGGAGUUGGGAAAAGGGAUUGGGAGGGUAAUAAGAGAGAGCAGCAGCAACAGUGCUGAGAAACUGGGAGAGGUGUGGGUGGUUUCACACCCUCUGGCUGUGAAGAAGAAAAAGAAUAAUACCAUAGUUAUGCAAAGUAAAGCAACAAACGGAAUUAAGAGAUGAAAGCAUGGCUGCAAAAACAUUGAAGGAACUCCUCCCCCAACAAAAGAAAAGACUAGGUUUCCUCUAUCUCCCGCCGGCUCCGCCACCGGUCCGCCUCGUCUCCGGUGACCUUAGGGCCAUCACUAGUAGAAAAGGGGGCUUUUGUCCCGGUUGGUAAGGGCCUUUAGUCCCGGUUUUUGAACCGGGACUAAAGGGUCGUUACUAAUGCCUCCCCCUUUAGUCCCGGUUCUUACACGAACCGGGACUAAAGGCCGUCCACGUGGACACAGAAAUUUUAUGAUUUUUUUAAUUUUUUUUUGUGAAUUUUUUUUAUUUUUUUUAUUUUCAAAUUUCUGAAUUAUUUUAACCUCUAAUCUCUAAUCACCACCCCUCAUCACUGCUCAAUUUAUCCUCUAAUCUCUAAUCACCCCUCAUCAUUCCAAAUCAUCUAACUUCCCGGCCUCUCACUACUCCAGCCUGAGCACGCUUAACUUCCGGGUUCUAUUCUCCCUCAUUUCCAAGUCUGCAGCCUGAGCACGCUUAACUUCCGGGUUCUAUUCUCCCUCAUUUCCAUGUCUGCACUUGUUGUUUUCCUGAAAAUAGUAAGAUGUCAAUUCUAUUAACCCUCAGGAAUUUAGCUUGAGCAUGAAGUGACACAUUUCACUGUUUGAGUUUGAAACUAUUGUUUUAAAAAACAAUAAUAAUUAUUUAGUAACACUAAUAUUUCUGGAAUAAUUAGUUUGACCAUUGUUCGACCACUGUUUUACCACAGUUUGACCACAAUUUGACCAGAUUUGACCAAAAUUCAAAAAAACUGAAAUAAUUAUUUAGUAACACUAAUAUUCUAGAAUAAUUAGUUUGACCAUGUUUGACCACAGUUUGACCAUAGUUUGAAAUAUUUUGAAUUUUUUUGCCUCUCCAGAUCUUAAAAGCCCCGUAUCUUUUUUCUGUUAGGUUUUUGAGGAUUUUGAAAAUGUUCAACGGGGUUCCCCCUAAAUUCAGAUUUAACUUUUCGAGUAGAUGAUUUUUCAUAUAAAAAACGUUUUCAUCCGAGUUCGUAUGCAAAAGUUAUGCCCAUUUUAAGAAAUUCCAGAGAGAUUUUGCAAAUAAAGUCGAAAUUCAUAUUUGUUAAUUUUCCCAACAACUAGACCAAAUAUCACAUGGGAAACUUAUUUUUUUUUGACAUUUCCAUCAUUUUCUUUUGUUUUUUNNNNNNNNNNNNNNNNNNNNNNNNNNNNNNNNNNNNNNNNNNNNNNNNNNNNNNNNNNNNNNNNNNNNNNNNNNNNNNNNNNNNNNNNNNNNNNNNNNNNNNNNNNNNNNNNNNNNNNNNNNNNNNNNNNNNNNNNNNNNNNNNNNNNNNNNNNNNNNNNNNNNNNNNNNNNNNNNNNNNNNNNNNNNNNNNNNNNNNNNNNNNNNNNNNNNNNNNNNNNNNNNNNNNNNNNNNNNNNNNNNNNNNNNNNNNNNNNNNNNNNNNNNNNNNNNNNNNNNNNNNNNNNNNNNNNNNNNNNNNNNNNNNNNNNNNNNNNNNNNNNNNNNNNNNNNNNNNNNNNNNNGGUACUAAUGCCUCAAAGCCCAUUAGUACUGGUUGGUGGCACCAACCGGUACUAAUGGGCAUCGCACCCUUUAGUCUCGGUUCGUGGCACCAACCGGGACUAAAGGGCCCAGGUCAACCGGGACUAAUGCCUUAGCCGCACGAACCGGGACCAAUGCUCACAUUAGUCCCGGUUCAUGACUGAACCGGGACUAAUGUGAAUAUUGCCCUGUGACGAAAGCCCUGUUUUGUACUAGUGCAUGGCGGCAUGGUGGAUCCCGGCCCUUGCCGGCGGGAGGGCUCCGUCUUUAGAUGUUCCUUCAAAUUUUGUUAGGGUUUGUGUCCUGCUCAGGAAGACGAGGCAGCGGCAGCUUUCUGAAGAUCGAAUAAGGUUCUCCCCGCCUAGUUCAUGUUCCGGUGGUGCGUCUAUCAUCGUCGGUGGGUGUGUGGAGGUGUGUCUUUAGUGGAUCUUUCAUUGGUGGAUUUGCUCAUAUAUUGUCGUAGUUCGUCUAUGUUCGUGUGUCUUAAGGUUAGAUCUUUCUGAUCUAUGCUACUCUUUAACGACGGCGGUUGCUAUUCUGGUGCGCUUGCCCUAUGGGGCCUUAGCACGACGACUUCGGGAUUGUCUACUACAACAAGGUUUGCCCGGCUCCAGCGAGGGAGGGGCGAUGAUGGCGGCGUGCCUUCGGCUCAUUUCAGUGCUUAUAUUCGUCGCUAGGUGGUCUACGGAUCUGAAUGUAAUUUUGUUAUUUCUAGUGUUCGUUGUACUACCAUGUUUGUAGAUGAAUAAAUUGAAAGUUUUCGAGAAAAAACAAAUUGACUUAGGAAGCAAUUUUUUGCGAAAAGAAUUAAGAAGAAAUUUAACAGUAGUUAGUGAGCAAUCUCGGUGACAACCAUUGAAAUAUAUAUUGCUAGCUAGUUUUCUAAAGCUAAGGAAUUAUUGCUUUGAGUAAGCUCGGUACUAGUUGUACUAGUUGCAUGUUGUCUAAUAUGUGACGUUGCUAAGAAGUUGCGUCCAGCAAAGAAUAACAUCUUAAUUAGCAUAUUACUAAGACCUAAAUGAAUAUACCACCUUCAAGCAUUAAGAGCUAGUGUCUUGCCUAUUUUUUCCUACAAAUUGCACCAACGUUGUUGCGUAUGGAUUAAUUUAGUAGUAAUUAUGCUGUAUUUUUCAUUGAUAUAUAUGAAUGGAUCAGUGUAUAUGUGGAGUGCACACAAUCAUGUACGACUGAGCCGUACGAAAAACAAAUUGCUGGAUCUAAGCCGUUUUAAGUACUUGGUCAGCGAUAUCAAACCAAUGAUAGGAUCUCAAGACUGGGCAUAGUAUCUAUUUUCAAAGCCAAUUGCGCCGCUAGUCAGAUUUGACCUACAAUUCAGUUAUAUGCAUCGUGCUCAUCACUAGUUCACCUCGUUUUAAAGCAACCGAGUCAUCAGUAUGAGUGUUAGUUCAAACAUACCUGUCAAUUUUAUAUUUUGUAAUUAAUUUUUGUAUUAUAAAAUAUUUAUUUUUUCUUUGAAAAUAUAUAUUGUUGUAGUUACCUAGUUUUGUAUGAGGAAGUCAUCAGCAAGUUGUGCCAAGAAAUAGUCAGUUCUACUAAAAGCUGAAGUUUAAAUGUUUUGAAGAAAAAAUGAUUCGAUUCAAAAAUAUUACUUAAGAAUGCCUAAAUUGACCCCACGUGCAGCAAGGACACCUGUGGGGUAAUAUUUUUUAAGCAUUUAGACGUAGAUUAUAAAAUAAUUGGACAGCUAAAUUUUUGGGAGAACUUACUCUGGAAGUAUACAAUUUGAUCUUCCUACGGUUAAACGAAGUGUCCAUAGCCCUUUUUACCGGUGAGUAAGGGUACUCAGUCGGAUCAGAAUGCUUUAGAGCAUCAGACCCCUUAAAACGCAUGAAACUGUAAAAUAACAGCCGGUUUACAGUUUUAGACGGAAAAAGCGACCCGAAUAGAACAUGUAAAUGCCUCCGACCGGUAAUUUUUUUUAAGGGUAAUGGAAAACAUCCCCGCCAAACCGGUGAAAAUAAGGAUUUCGGAACCAACCCGAGGGUGCCCUGUAUAUGCCAAAGACUGAUGGUGGGAAUCCAACUACCACCGGAACCUUCAUGGCUCGCUCCCGGCCGCCGCCCAGUGCUCUGUAUUCCGCCAGCGCCGUACCUCCCUCUCCCGGCCUUCCCCCGCCCCGGUCAACGUGUCCCGCGUAGUCUAGGCGGGUUGCACUGCUGCUGUGGUGCGUCGUCUGCCGUGCGCCCCUGCUGGCCCCGGCCAGCCGGCCUCCCUCCGCAGCGCCGGCGAGCAGAGCAACUGACGAGGCGAUGAGGGGCUCCCUCCACUGAGCCCUCACCUCGUGUUUCUGCCGCCGCCGGCUGUGUGUGGUCUGCUGCUGCCUACGGCCGCCGUGGCGCCGCACCUCUGGCUGGUAAUUUUCUCGCUGGUGGUUUGGUCUUUGGUGAAUCAGUGUAUGCAUCGUCUGCCUGUCACAGUGGAUAGACGAUUUAAAUGUUGAACUGACUUUACAAUAGAAUGGAUUAUGUAUCUGAGUAUGUGCGAUGUGCUGAUGGAACUCGGAUUUAUUCAUUUUUAGAGAAACAGAAAUUGAUGUUUGCUUCAGCCUUCAGUCGGAAGCUUCCACCAUGGCCGUGGCCCAGACAGUCACAAGCCCAAGCUCUGCUCGGCUGCCUAUUUUGCAACCUCUACACAAGCAACCUCGACGGCGGACGGAGACGGGGGAGGACAGCUGGCGGAGGCAGAGGACGGCGGGAGGCGGGGGAGAAUGGUGGACGGCGGAGAGAACGACGAGAGGAGAAAGAUUCAUUUAGGGGAGGAAGAAGGAGCAGACCGAGCGGCUGGGAAUAUUCGUUUUCCGGGGCGAAAUCCAGUUUGCAGGGUCUAUUCCGCGCGGGACAAAAUCAGCCCGAAAACCACAUUUUCUGCAGCUUGUAAAUACAUUUUUAAGGGUCCAGUUUUAAGGGCUCUGCUGGAGAUGCUCUUAUGGUCAAACCCGGACUACCGACAGGAGUUGAUGACUGAGAAAUCUUCGAUUAAACAAGGUGAUACAUGAGUGCCUAAAAUCUUGUCGGUGUCAUGGAGGGAGCUAGAGGAAGAGAUUCGGAUCAGUCGUGGCCUCGUCAACUUCAGCAAGGGAGUCAGCGAGGAACUUAGACUAUCAUGCAUACUCAGCGACUGACAUGGGGCCCUGCAUGAGCAUGCGGUACUCCUGUUAAGAUGAAUGGCGUGGGUGGCAUUGUUGUUGAGGAAGUACUGGUGGAGGCGAGUCCAUGUUGACAAGACGGUGCCGUCGGAGGACAUUGCAAGAUCAAGAAGACUACCGCCGAUCGUGGUGUUGAUCCACCCAAGAUCCCGAUGUCGGUACGUCGCAACUCGGGAUCAUCAACGUCAAAUUCAAACAUCUUGUUAAUGUGGUCGAGUACAAUGCCACAACGCAGGUGGAGAGGACGAACAACAAGAAAUCUGACAUUUAUGAGGGGAAACAAAAAAAAUUCUGACAUUUAUGAUACUUGUUGGCGGUUGGGUCGAGUUUGAAAGGGAUGUAAGAGUGGAUGUUGGUAUAGUGCACGGCAAUGCGGACCUGAAGUUUGAAAAAUUAAUUGGGAGGGUAAGAAGAGAGAGUUGAAGCAGUGGUGAUGAUGGGCACCAUGGCGCCGACAGAGAAACUAUGAGAGGUCUGCAAGGUUUGCGCCGAAAGGGAGGUGGCGCUAGAAUUGGUCUGGGUGUUGCUCAAUGGCAAGCAGAUGGCUCUGAUUACAAAGCUGAAUUAUAUAAUGCUUGCAUCAAUGUUUACAAGUGUCGAUGUACAACACAUCAGAGAAUGAACAGACAGAGAGCCCUAACUAACUGCAACAUACGGAAAAAGGCACGCGCUGGUGCACGAGAGAUCUUAGAUCCUAACUUCUAAGGACUAUGGUACAACACGAGCUUUGCUACACCUAUGGGGGUUUACGUGGGGUUGUGGGUUGCAUAAAGAUUUGUCAAUUUCUAAUUGUUCGUUAGUGGGGGUGUAGGGCCCAUCCUAAAAUUCAGGGGUGUGUUUGAUUAGUUCAGAAUGAAGUUACGUAGGAUACAUAGGAUGCAUUACGUAGUUCUAGCGUGUUUGGUAGUACGGGUACAACGGUACAUACAGAUGAUGCAUUGUUUAACAAUAUUAAAUUGAAACCAUGUACUACGAGGGUUAGCAAAUGGCAAAGACUAACAAUACACAAACCGCGCAAACAUAUGGGUCACUUUGCUGUACAUAAUCCUUCUCAUGUCAAACUGCAAGCAUUCAAUCAUUGGUGCACAAGGUAUAUACUAUAUUGAAGUCAACAACACUUAAAUUAAAAAAUACGGAUCGCACUCAAAAAAUAUUUAAGUGAUACAGAUCAGUAAAUUAGCUAGUUCUCUCUUCUUUUUUUUUGCGAGGUGGAGAUAGAGUACUAGCUAGCUUGCUAGUACUGGGUAAUCCUCACGUUGGCUGCCUAUAAAUAGCAUCCUGCUCCAUCAUAUUGGAAUGCACCAAUUAAGCAGCUAGCUAGCUCAUCUCCAUCCAUCGCAUCUGUUCUUCCUCAAUCCUCCACUACAACCACCCACCCAAUUCAUCAAUGGCUUCAUCUCUGAAGACGGCCGCUGCCGUCGCCGUGGCCGUUUGCGUCGUGCUUGUGCUGAACAUGGGCCAGCCUGUGGCAGCCACAGAAUGCAAAGAUUGUCUCGCCGACUGUGUUGGCGUUUGCGUCGACUACUCUGACACUGCGUGCAGCGGCAUCUGCACUGCCAAACCUCCUGCAUGCCAGUCAUGCAAGUACACGUCCUUCCUUACAUGCGGUGGCACAUGCUACGGCGCCUGUGCCCAUUUCUGCUAAAGCCUACAGUGGCUGUAAGCUGCAUGUGUGUGUUGGUACCUCGUUGCUGCUAAGCCAUGUAAUUAAGUGUACAAAUGCUAUUGCUCUGUGCAUAUGGCAAAUGUUCCUUCGUUCUAUUGUUCCUCUUCGUUUUAUUAAUUGUUCCCCUUUGUUUCGACCAUCAGUAAAUAUAUAUGCAUGUGUGCAAGUCAUGUACUCCUAUAUAUGAUUUCUACUUCUUUCUAUCAUGUGUCUGACGUGCUCAUGCUGGGGUGGAUAACUGGAUAUCAGGUGAUACCACCUAUUACAUGCUCCCAUGCUAAAAAUAUUAAAAAGUCACAUUUAGAGUUUUCAAAAAAAUUGAAAACAAUUAUGGAUGUUCACAAGACAUACGUCUAUAACCCCUAAAUAUUCAGAUCAAAAUUCGAAAUAUACAUUGAGAAACAAAAAAAAAUCUGUAUGUGAAUAGUGUCAUUCCUGACACUGUUCAUGUUUCUUCUUCUUUUACACUAUUCAUUCUAGAUUUGUCAUUUUUGUUUCUCAAUAGGUAUUUUAAAUUUGGGUCUGUUUUUUUAGGGGACUUACACAUAUCUCUUGUGAACAUCCACAAAGUUUUUCAGAAUUUUUUUAAACAUCUAAAUGUGAUUUUUGAAAAGUGGUAUCAUGGUAGCAUAUAAAGGGUGGUAUCACCUGAUAUUUUCCAGCUCAUACGGUGCUUAUAAAAUAGGGAUAAAUCAUUAUCUCAAGAACACAGUUACAAAAUACGUAGUUCAGCUCCCUCAUGCUAGGGGUUUGCCUCCCUCUCAGCGGCUGAUCUGACGGCGUAGCUCGCAUCUAAUUUCUUCACAACUUAUCUUCUUCUGGGCUAAAACUUCAGGUAUUAUGCAAAAUGAAAAAAAAUAGCGUGCUAUGACAAAAUAGUGUGGUCCUUCAAAUAUGCUAUUAGCGUGCUAUUAGCAAGACACGUUGUACACUGAGAUUUUAGCGACGCAUUGCUCAGAACGCUAUAGCAUGAUAUUAGCAACGCUAUUUUUUUGCUCAUCAUGCAUCACCAUGUCAAUUACAUGUAGAAAGUUUCACACCCUUUGGCUCGGAAUAAGAAAAAUAAGUACCAUAGGCCUGCAAAGUAGACCAAUAUAUAUGGAACUAAUUGAGUAUGCAAUUUAGGGAUACUUUAUGGCACUCUCCGUGGCAGCCACCGAUAUAUUGCUAGCUCAUUUUCUAAUGAUCAAGAAUCAUUGAACGAGUUUCUCAAUGGGAGCUUCAUGUAAUUAGUAACAUUGAUGAGGAAUUGUGUCGAUCCAAGAAUAACAUCUUUAUUAGCAUAUUACUAAUUAAGACCUAAAGAUAUAUACCACCUUUAAGCAUUUAUAGCUAGCAUAAAUCCAUCCAUGAUAGAUCCUUCUUCCUUCCACUCUGCCAUCAUGUAUUGGAUUUGGCUUUGGCUUUGGGGCUGGUUCAUCUGAAAUGCUCACAGACAUGGAGCUCUGACCUAUUUUCCUACGAAAUUGGACUAAUGUUUUCGUACUGAUGAAUUUAGGAAUAGUUGUGCUGCAUUUUGUUCACUGAUAUAUAGGGAUAGGGCAGUUUAUAAGUGCAGUACUUCGCUGAUGCCAGCAAGUUAGUAACCAUCUCUUACACAAGUUAACAAUUUCUUCUAUAACAAGUAGCUUAAUAUCAUUCACAAAUUAAUGUCCAGUGGUAUAGUAGCUUCUUCUAUUAAUGUCAACUCCAUUCACCAAUCAUUCACGACCAUGACAAAUCACACAAGUUUCCACACCUUCAUAAAUUUGGCGCCACCUUUUAGCAAUUUUAGAGAUCCAAAUUUGAGCGAUUGUGAUAUGGAUGCUCUUAAUCUCAUAUUGUUUCAUUCAUUGACACACACAUUCCGUAAAUGAAACGACUAAAAUAACUUUUAUUAUUAGAAUUACCAAUGACAAAUUCAUGAAACUUAUUUUAGUUUUAGGGCGUUUCAAAAUAUAAAAAAUAAUGCGUCCGUAGCUGAGCAUUUUUAAAUGAUUUUGGAAAAUGAAAUUACACAAGAACACUGUGUGAGAGCAGAAAAGAAAAAAGAAAUGCAAAAGAGUUAGUACAUCGGGCCGCAUGACCAUCUCUCUGCGGAACAGCUGGGCUACCGUUGGAGAACGUUUCCCACAGCGCUUAGAGCAUCUCCAACCGGCGCGCGAAAUUAGCGCCACGCUGGAAAAAUACUCUUUUUUGCACGCCUGCAGCCACUCCGGGCGCUGCAGCGGAGGCUCAAAAAAUGCGCGGGCGGCAUAAGUGGUUUAGCGCGCGGAGCGAAACGGCAUCGCCCGCCGCUUAUUUCGUGCGCCCGCUCCUGCGUGCUGCAGAGUGCCUGCGCCGCGACUUCCACCUACGGCCAAAUCCAGGCGCUGGCGUCACCGCCCGUACCACCCCAUUUGCUCCGGCGACACGAUGACGCUUCCCCGGCCUAUCCCCGCGUCACCGCUACUUCCUCCGCCUCCCUCUAGUCGCCGCCGCCCCUCGCGCCCGCCAUUCCUCUGACAAACAGCGCCUGGCCUCCCACUACCGCUCGACACCCAUAAGGUGUUCGACAAAAAGCUUGCAAGGUAUGUAUUGCUUCAACUUCACAUUUUUUACAUGAAUUUGGUGCAUGUUGUUUGUACUUUUUAUAGACUAGUUUAAAUUCAAUAUUGUAGAUGAGUUUGUCGUAUGAUUCUUCUGAAGAAGAAUUUGAUAUUGCAGAGGAGGAGGACCUUGUAAUGAUCCUAGCUAUGCACAUCAAUAAAAAAGCCGAAGCACGGUGGUUCGGUUGUUGGUCGGCAAGAAAUUUGGAGGGAUAAGAUCGAUGCCGGCAACCGAUUGAUGAGGCACUAUUUUGUGGGGAAUCCCACAUACCCCGAGUCGUACUUCCGGCGCCGUUUUAGGAUGAGCACCGAGUUAUUCAGGCGCAUUGCAGAGAAACUGGCGAGCCAUGAUCGGUUUUUCAGCAAAGGAGGAAUGCUGCCGGAGAACUCGGGCAUAGCACCUUUCAAAAGGUGACAGCCGCUUUGCGUAUGUUGGCAUACGGUAUUCCGGCUGAUUUAGUUGAUCACCACUUGGCCAUGGGUGAGAGUCAAGCCAUCAUGUAUGUCAAGCGCUUCGCAGUCGAAAUUGUGCAAGUGUUUGGUCCGGAGUAUUUGAGAUCUUCCAAUGCUAGAGAUGCCGCAAAGGUUUUUGGAGAUGAACAAAGCUCGCGGGUUCCCAGGUAUGCUUGGCUCAAUAGAUUGCGUGCAUUGGAGCUGGAAGAACUCUCCUAAGGCAUGGAAUGGACAAUUCCACCGCCAGAAAAAGGGUUCCACUAUAAUCCUUGAAGCGGUGGCCGAUCAAGAGACUUGGAUUUGGCAUGCUUUUUUUGGAAUGUCUUGAUCUUUGAAUGACAUCAACGUUGUUAAUCGGUCACCACUCAUGAAUAAGAUUGCAAAUGGUGAACAGCCACCAGUGCAGUUUGUAGCAAAUGGCCAUACAUGCAACCAUGGCUACUAUCUUGCGGAUGGUAUCUACCCAAAGUGGCAAGCAUUUGUGAAGUCGUUGAAUAAACCGAAAGGCAAGUAAAAUCUAGAUUCCCACAAUGCUCAGGCGGCGGCUAGGAAAGUUGUGGAGAGAUUUUGCGAUUUUGCAAGCCCAAUUUGCUAUUGUGAGAGGACCGGCUAGAUUUUGGGAUCAAAAGAUCCUUUGGUACAUCAUGCAUGCUUGUGUGAUCAUGCAUAACAUGAUCAUCGAGAAUGAGUAUGGCCAAGAUUUAGGCUACUCUCAGUAUGAGCUCUUGAAACAUCCCGUGCGAGUGCGGCGGAGGGCUGCGAGCGUGGCACGAUUUGUUGCCUCCUAUCAUGCCAUUCGACGCGUCGAAAACAUGAUGAUCUUCAGAACGAUCUAAUCGAAGAGUGGUGGGCAUGGAAUGACCGGCAAAAUGAGUGAUUUGUAUGUUUGAUGUUGUAUUGUUGAACUAUUUGUUGUUUUGAAAUAUAAACUAUUUGUUUGAGUUGUAAUAAAAUUAAACUAUUUAUUGUUGAUUUAUUUUUUAUGUGUUCUAUCUUCUUGGUUUUGUUUGAAGUGUCAAGUGUUGUUUGUGCUGGGUGCGCGCGCCGUUUCUUUGCAGCGCCUGCUGAAACGGCUCCCGCGCGCUAUAUUUUGCGGCGGCCGCUGAAGCCAGCGCUCAGCCGUGCGCAAAAACUGGCUAUUUCGACGUUGUAAAGCUUUUUUUUUGCGCGUCGCGCGCCUUUGAAGAUGCUCUUACGGGCCCUAAUAUCUAUCUUUGGCCAGCGACCAGCAACAUCAGAUGGCAUUAGUUCUCUUCUCUCCCUUUCCAUAAAGGAAUGAUCGGGCCGAGGUUGCCCAAUUUUGCCACGGCCUCUAGCCAACCACCCCAAUUUUGCAACGUCAGUCCUGAGCGCCGGCGCACCGGCCGAAAGUUUCAGCGGGUCGGCCCACAGCCGCUCGAUUCCAGCCCGUGUAACCGUUCGAUUGGAUCCCCACGUCGUCUUCUUCCUUUCCGCCCUCGUCUUCGAUUCAGAUCGCGUGUCUUCUUCUCCCCCCCCCCCUCCGCCAGCCGCCCGCAACCCCGCGCUCAUCCCUAGGCCGCCCUGCUCGUCGGCCACCCGCGCCGCCCUGGUCGUCCUCUCCCCCUGUGCUCGUCGGCUACUAGAGAUGGCAGCUGUAACAAAAACACCAUGCAGCAAAUAACACCGCGCUCCGCCAUGGCUAUGGUUGCAGCUCCAUUGUAGGUGGUUGUAUCAAUUUUCGGUACCAGUCGUAGCAAACGCCGACAAUGGUUGCAGCAAAAAACAGUAGUCGUCACCGCCGCCGCUGAUGCCAAACAGUCAUCGUCGCCGUCGCCGCUGAUGCCCGUUCGUUGUAGCACUCCGUCGCAACAUCCUGGCUCGCUGGUUCCAACAAAAUCGAGCCUUGGUUCCAGCAAAAAUCGUCUCGCCGCCGAGCCAACGGACCUCGCCGUGCUGCCCGUUGCAGCUCGCCAUGCCGCCGGUUGUAGCAAAAUGAAAUGCUGAUUGUAGCAAAAAUCGCGACGCCAUGUGCGAUGUAGCAAAAUGCGACACCGGUGGUAGCAUAAUAUGAUGUCGAUUGUAGCAAAUUGCGAUGCCGGAUGAAGCAUGUAGCAAAAAAGACGAUGCAGGUUGUUGCUCGGUGCAGCGCCGCCCCAUGGUCACCUUGCUCGCCGUUCAUGGUCGUAAUUCCCCCGACACCGUUUGCAUCUCCCUCCAACAAAAACUGGAUGUAGCUCCUCCGCCCACUGGUUGCAGCUCUUGCGUACCGGGGUUGCAGCUCCUGGCUGUAGGAGAUAUGCCCUAGAGGCAAUAAUAAAUGAUAUUAUUUAUCUCCGAGUUCAUAAUUAUGUUUAUGUUCCAUGCUAUAACUGCUAUGGUUCUCGAGUCUGCAAUAACCACGAGGCUCGGAGGAAGACUCAUAUGCACAUGUGGAAUAAUAAACGGUAAAAUGUAUUCCUAGUCUGGCCUCUAAGACUAGCUCAAGUGUUGCAUGAUGGUUAUGUUUUCCUGAUCAUGGGCAUGUCUAUGUCAGCAACCUUGAGGGCACAAUGUUAAGAGAACAUUUGUGUUGAAUCGACCCGGAUUGAUGUUACGCUAUGAGAUUCAUUCGUCACAAGUUUAUUGGUACAUAACACAGAGAUGGUUAAAAUUUGCAUGAUUCCUUAGACCAUGAGAGUAUCGAGUUUCUUCAUGCUUGCUUCAUGAACUUUGGGGUUUGUUAAACGUCAUCCGUAAAUGGGUGGCUAUUACGGCGGCUUACGGGUUCAUGGAAAAGUGUGUCAAUUAACUUGAUAGCUCAAGAUUGGGAUUUGCUCCUCCGACGAUGGAGAGAUAUCUCUGGGCCCUCUCGGUGUUACGGUAUCCAUCAUCGUCUGGCCAGACACUUUGUGAUUUGAUCACGGGGAUGCCGGAACACGAUAACGAGAAAAGAGAACAAUACCGGUAACGAGGUAACUAGCAUAGUGGACAAGUUGUUGAUCCACCGGAAUGCCAACAUGUCUCACCUCGGGUAUUUGUAACAUAUCGCGAAGCAACAGGAAUAGCACACGACAACUGGAGGUUCACUCGAAUAUUUAUUCGUGUGGGUAUAGGGGUCAAUAUGGGUGUCCACGGCUCCGAUGUUGAUCAUUGAUCGGAAGGGGUUCCGGGUCAUGUCUAUACUUCACCGAACCUAUAGGGUCACACGCUUAAGGGUCAUCUAUCUGCUGAAUACUAGACAGGGAGUCUGAGAGAAAAUCACCGAAAAAGUUUUGGACACCGAAAAGUUUCGGACAGCGGAAUCGUACCGCAGAGAGAGGUCAUCGGAUAAGUUUCGAUGAUACCGAAAAGUUGUUUCGGGAUACACCAUUAAGUCAAAUUGGUUUCGGCACAUGCCUGAUAAUUCUUGGAGGAUGCCAGAAUCAUUCUGGAAGCUUUUUGGAAUUUUCUGAGAUAAAAACCGGAAAUGUUCCGGAGCUGCCGGAGCCACUUCAGAUGCGUUUCGCAGAUGAAAAUCACUAAAACCGGAAUUGUUUCGGAACGCGUUGAAAAUCAUUUUAGUGGGUACUGGAAAUGUUCUUAGCCCACAUAAAUAUUUUCAGUUCGAUCAGACGCUGAAAAAUGUCAUCGUGAAUAGUGAAAAUCAGCUUUAUGGUUACUUUAUGGAAAGCCACCUUUUGGGGCUUUGCUCCAAAAGAUCUUGGGGAUGACAUGGAUGGAUAGGAGCCAUUUUUGGGGCCCCUCAUGGGGGUGUGGCCGGCCACAUGGGGUAUCCCCCCUUGGGGACCCUCUAGUUCCUUGGUUUCACUCCUAGGUCCUUGUGGAAGGACUUCAUUCAUGUGCAUUUUGGGUUUUUUGUGAAACUACCCUACCCCCUUGGGAUUUCCUAUAAAUAGAGGUGGAGGGUCAGCCCUCCACACUCAUCCCUUGCUCUCAUACACAUGCCAUGCAUUAUCUGGCUUCUUCCCUCCCUCCCACGAAAAGAGUUUCGUAGAGCCGUAAGGCUGUCUGGGUUCCGGCAGGAACUAGUUCUGGACGGCGAAGCCCUGCCGGAUAGAUGACACCGUAUGUGUGCAACUCUGUAGAGAGAUCGUAGUUUCGGUCUUAGUUCGUGAGUGCCUCCCGAAGGGCUGUCCGUGUGACCGUCCGAGUUUCGAAGGUCCUCCCGAAGGGCUGUCCGAGUGACCGUUCGAGUUUCGAAGGUCCUCCCGAAGGGCUGUCCGCGACACCGUCCGGGGGGCUGUUCGACCGCCUCCUGGAGGGCUGUCUGAGGAGCAUAUGAGGGUAUACAUCCUCGCGGUUGGGAGGUUGUAAAUCCUAGCUGCGGGGAUCUGCACCGCCGAUCGUCAUCGACUCUACUUCCCGCUGCGCUAUGAGUCGGUAACGAAAAAGAUCAAACCAUGUAUGCAGUCUCCAUAGUGGUCCUGGGCUGGUGCGUAGGUCGGAAAUUUUUUGUUUUCUGCUGCGUUCUCUUACAGUGGCAUGAAGAGCCGUGCUAUGCGUAGAUGCAGGUUUCGAUCUAGAAUACAUGGAGAUGUAUGGGUAUUGCAUAAUAUAAUUAGGUAGUAGAUGAGAUCUAUUGCUGAAAAUUAUUUAUGCGGGUGACAGAUGAAAUCUGUUACCCGAGGUUCUUGUUGCUUCCCUAGAAUUUGCGUUUGCUCAAUCUCGAGACAGCAUGGUGGAAUUUGACAAAGUUCUGGCAAUCCGUGAUCCUGAUUGAUCAUGGAAGUGCUAUCAGUUCUUUGGGUUCUGCCGUAGUCAAAAGAAAGAUGAAAUUCGCAGAUGAAAGGGCAUUGCAGAUAUGAUCUGCACGGGGGUCAUGCGUAUGACGAAGUUUAGUAUGGGGCUCGAGAUUUAAUUAUCCCGUGUUUCAUACACCCCGAGAUGUUAAUGUAGCAACUUGAAUAAUCAUACUUGAUGAUAAAACGUUGGUAGCUGCGGUUUAAGUCAAAACCUUAGAAGCCACGUAAAAUAAAUUUUUGCAUAAACCUAUUAGAGGCGUCUAACUUGGUUUUGCAGGAUGUGCAUGUGAUGUGGUAUAGCAGUGCUCAUACUAAUUCGAUUAUGUAUGAGAUGACUAUAUGAUGUAAUUUGAUUAACAUGACCUGCGUGUCAUGAUUCGGCAUGAUGGCUGGAGCCAUAUGAUUGCACUUUAAUGACCUGCGUGUCAACCUUGUUGUAAUGCAUUAUUUUGUUAGCUAUAGAGAUAGCAAUAUUAUCUGGUGCAUCGACAAGGUGGUGGCAAUCUUCGCGAAGGUGAACACCGACGCGAAUGCCGAAGACGAAGAAAUAAAAUACUUCUCCGUCAGAAAGGGCUAUACCAUAUCAUGCUAUUAUGAAUUGCCUGAGAUGUUUAUCCCUUAUGAUGCACCCUUCUUGAUUGCGCGGUAGUCGCUUUUAUUAGGGUGAUCUCUCACUUAAAAUAUCAAGUAGUUAGUGUUCUCCCAAGUGUAGCACCGUCACGGCACCUAUCUUUUCGGGGUGCGCCAUGGAUGCAUGGGUACGAACGAUUAGAGAAGUGUGAGGCGGGUGAGGUCAGACCUCGCAGCAAGAUCACUUGGUUGUCUUGACGUUCAUGGCAGGAUCGUCCUGAGCUCGGAACACACGCAUCGAAAGAUGAGCAAGAGUCACAUAGAGAUGUGAUCGGCAAGUUGGCCUACCGAUUAAAAUUCCCGUUAUGAGAUGAUGAUUCUAUGGCGAUGAAUUGAAGUCUGGAUCUUGUAUCACUCAAAAUUAAUUGUGAGAGAUAUUGAUUUGAGUGGGAGCGCACUGUUGAAUUAACAUGUUUAAUUCUAAGUGCAAUUAAUUAUGAACACUGUCUAAGUGUUUCUUGCAAAAUAGUUGUAGAUUAAUGGCUCGCGUUUCCACCUUCCCUAUUAAAAUUGAAUAACUGUUAAAUAUCUGGUUAAAACUUUACGAUUGGUAACGUAAUAUGAGGAUUGUCCUCAAAAGUGCCGAGAAGGACUUUGUCCUAUCGCAUGCUUUCCGUAUCCUCCCGCUAAUGCUAUGGAUCAUGUGACUCGUCCUUCGAUCCAAAAGCUAGGAUUCUGUUACAGUCAAGUGGAAUAUGUUUGCUUCCAUGAAACCCAAACUUCGAAAGUUGGGAUAGUUAUAUGAUAUUCAUGGAACUGAAAAUUAUUUUCAGAUACAAACAAAGCAAUGUUUGUUUGCAAGUAUUAGUAAAAGUGUUUACUAUGCAUUUGACUGUUGGGAAAGGGAUCCAGAAGAACGCCUGUCAUAUAAUGAAAGGUGAAUAAAACAACAACUUAAAGAGAAAGGAAGUGUCCAAAGGGUGUUAGUAUGACUUACACGCCUAGGAAGUCCGGGGCUAAUGCCACUCUUAAGUUGGGUGCUUCUUCUGAGAGUAGGAGAAAUACUAAAAGUUAAACUGUUAGAAGUAUAAAGGCAAAAGGAAAGAAGACUGGAAUAUCCAGCUCAUGUAUGAAUGUCAUACAAGUUUUUGAUGUAUAGAAGGCUGGUCAAAGAUAUAGUUCUUGCGAAUUAUGGUUAAACAUGUUAAUCACUAAUUCUUGGGUAUUGUGAGUUCAUCACAAAAUUGCCCGCUCGAUUGCAUUCUGUUGCAACUCGAUGUAAGAACUACUAUGGCCUGAAAGACUAGCUAGAAAUGAAGUUAAGGUAUACACAGGGAACAUAGUAAAUGUUACUAUACCUUCCAUUAGUGUAUUGCCGUCUAUUUAUUUUCAUAAUUCAUUUAGAGUUUUACAAACUCUAUCCCAUUGCAUAAAGUAUCUUGCAAGAAGGUUGUUCAUAAGAGAACUUUUUAUGUUCGAUGUUAUGAAUAACACAAGGGCCAUACUUUCAUUAUGAAUGAGAUGUAUGUUAUGAAUAUUGAUAAUAAUACAAUACCUCUGGGUUUACUUUCAUAAUUCAUUUUAGAGUUUCAUACACUCUAGCCCAUUGCACAAUGUUUGUUGCAAAAGAGUUGUUCAUAAAAACAACAAUUGUUGUUAAGUAUUAUGAAUAACAUGAAGGGCCAUGCUUCCAUCCAAGAUGGCAUGUAUGUUAUGAAUAUUGAUGGUAAUAUGAUACAUCCAUAACACUGACGCUAAAUGUCGCAAGACUAAAAGAAUACCACACAAGUGUGGCACUACAUUUGGUCACAUUGGAGAAACCGCAUGGAAAAUUCCACUAUGAUGGAUUUUGAAGUCUUCUUGAUUUUGAAUCACCUGACACUUGCAACUUUCCUCCAAAAAGUGAAGUGACUAAAAUACCGUUCACAGGCCAUAAGGAACGAACAACAAACUUAUUAGUGAUCAUACAUUUGAUGUGUGUAGUCCGGUAAGUGUUGUUAGUGGUGGAUUUAUUUAUCUUCAGAAAUGACUCAAGUAGAUAUAUGGGUAUUUACUUGAUGAGACGUAAGUCUGGAUCUUUUCAAAUCAUUCGAAAGGUUCUCAAAAAUGAAGUAGAAGUUAUUGUAACAAGAAAAAUUAUGUUUCUGCAAUUUGAUUGCACAAAGGAAUAUUUGAGUUACAUGUUUAGCGAAUGUCUGAUGAGUUGUGAAAGGGGUUUCAUAACUUGCACCUCCCGGAACACCACUGCAAGUGGAAAGUCUGUGGAGAUGUAAUUAAACCAUUUAUGACAUGGUAAGGUGAAAGAUGACAUAAAUAAAUUUGCCAUUAUCCCUUUUAAAGUGAUGCUUUAGAGACUGCGGUUUUUACACUGAAAAGAGCUACAUCGGGUCUGUUGAAAUGAAGCCAUGGUAUGGUACGCCCAACCAUGUUAUAUCUUUUCUUAACAUUUGGAGUAUGGGGCUUGUGUAAAAGGUUACAAACCUAUUCCAAAUCAGACAAGUGCUACUUUGUAGGUUAUACCAAAAUGUUGGGUAUUCCUCCCUCACUAUACCGAGGCAAAUAGUUUUGCCGCGAAACGGUGUGCUUUUAAAGAGAAUGGUUCUUUCAAAAAGGUGAGUGGGAGAAUAGUGCAACUCGACGAGAUAAACAGUAUCUACGUCAUCAGAUCAAAGGAAAGAGACCUUGGAAGUAAUUCCAUAGUUUCCUACCGCGACUGAUACGGAAGUCUCUACAAUAAAAUGUAUGAACUUCGGUCGAACUUGCAGCUGAACCACGUAGGCAAGGCUCGUGCAAACCUCUCAGGUGCGCAAACGAGAUAUUGUUGUUAGACAACAUUAUACCUACGAUACACAAGGAAGCAUUGAUGGGCCCUGACUCCGGAAUUGGCUAAAUGCCAAUACAACCCGAGUUAGUUUCCAUAUAAGUGAUUCAAGAUUAAAACCUUGAUACACCUUUCGGAAGACUUAGAGUCUAAAGAAUAUUUAUGGAACUUAAAACUGAUACGGAUAAAAUGUUUUAUCCAUAAAGCUCGACUUGUUGGAAUAACAAGUUCAAGAGUUGACUACGAUGAGGUUGUUUUCAUCGUAGCGAUGCUUAAAGUCGGUUCGGGUUGAACUAGCAAUUAAUACAUAUUUCAAUCAUGAGAUAUGAAACAUGGAUGAUAAAAGGAUUUCCAUCUAAUGGAAAUGAAAGCUAGGACUUGUAUAUGAUACAGUCCAAAGUAAUUUGUCGAUCCAGAGGAUGCUAGUAGGUAUGCAAACUUCAGAGUUCCAGCAAUGGACAGAAGAGAGCAAAAUGGAGUUGGAAUCUUCGGGUUUUGAUGAAAUGGUCAAAGGGGUUUUGACUUCAUCAAUGGGUAACGAAGAUGCUUGUAAUUCAAGAAAGUAAGUGGGAGCGUAAUAAUAUUUCUAAAAACCUUAUGUGCUUGGCACAUUGGUAAUUGGAAAUAAAUUUCUUGACACAAAUUAGGACUUCAUUUGAAAAUAGUUUUUCGAUGAAGUGCUUAGGCUAAAUAGCCUCAAUAUUAGGCAUGAUGAUCUAUGGAGAUAGAUUUACCUAAUGGGGCUAAGCAAUGAAUACAUGUUGACAAGAUGCUAAAACCUUUUAGCAUUUAAAACGCCAAGGAGUGAUUCUUGCCAAAGUCACAUGGAAAGAGUUUUUGCAAGACUCGGUGUCCCAAAACACUGAUGAGUAAAAUACAUGAUGCAGAUUACACACACUUUUGUGUUUGGAUUAAUCAUGUAUUCCAUGGUAUGUAAAACAACCAGAUAUGUCCGAUACUCCCAUGGUGUUGCGAGUAUGGAUACUAAAGUGAUCAAAGUACUGAUCGUGGGACAACAGUGAAAGAUGUCAUUGAGUACUAGAGUAAGUACUGAUGAUAUGUUUUCUUGCAAGCGGAGAUCAUGAAGAGUUCGUUGUAAAAUGUUACAUCGAUAGUCUUCAUCUUUUCACCGUGCGAUUUUCGAUUUAAGUUAAGGGUUUUGUGUAACACACAUUGUGGUGGCACAGUUAGUUGGAAUUUGUUCAAACUAGUUACUGUGGCAAAUUCUAUAACAAGGGCUAAGUAUGUUGACGCUUUAGAAGCGACAAAGAAGAUGUUGAAUCAUAUAGUUCAUUCAUGAACUUAGUAUAGUUCCAAGAUGGCUUUUGACAAUGGGACACUACUGCAGGUAGUUGCUCCAAAACUCAGUCUGAGGAAUCCAGGUUCGACCUGUGAUUCACAUACAUACAAAGCCAAGUCCACAUAAAAUAUGAAUUUUGUGAAAACGUGAAAACACGAGGACAUGCAAUGAUACACACGGAACUGAAGUCGUCAGAUCCGUUGGACAUCAGGCUAUACCACAAGCGAAGCAUAUUUACACCGGUGUGCCACAGGUGUAAAGUGCAUUAGCAUUAACUAGAUUAUUGACUCUAGUGCAAGUGGGAGUCUGUAGGAGAUAUGCCCUAGAGGCAAUAAUAAAUGAUAUUAUUUAUCUCCGAGUUCAUAAUUAUGUUUAUGUUCCAUGCUAUAACUGCUAUGGUUCUCGAGUCUGCAAUAACCACGAGGCUCGGAGGAAGACUCAUAUGCACGUGUGGAAUAAUAAACGGUAAAAUGUAUUCCUAGUCUGGCCUCUAAGACUAGCUCAAGUGUUGCAUGAUGGUUAUGUUUUCCUGAUCAUGGGCAUGUCUAUGUCAGCAACCUUGAGGGCACAAUGUUAAGAGAACAUUUGUGUUGAAUCGACCCGGAUUGAUGUUAUGCUAUGAGAUUCAUUCGUCACAAGUUUAUUGGUACAUAACACAGAGAUGGUUAAAGUUUGCAUGAUUCCUUAGACCAUGAGAGUAUCGAGUUUCUUCAUGCUUGCUUCAUGAACUUUGGGGUUUGUUAAACGUCAUCCGUAAAUGGGUGGCUAUUACGGCGGCUUACGGGUUCAUGGAAAAGUGUGCCAAAUAACUUGAUAGCUCAAGAUUGGGAUUUGCUCCUCCGACGAUGGAGAGAUAUCUCUGGGCCCUCUCGAUGUUACGGUAUCCAUCAUCGUCUGGCCAGACACUUUGUGAUUUGAUCACGGGGAUGCCGGAACACGAUAACGAGAAAAGAGAACAAUACCGGUAACGAGGUAACUAGCAUAGUGGACAAGUUGUUGAUCCACCGGAAUGCCAACAUGUCUCACCUCGGGUAUUUGUAACAUAUCGCGAAGCAACAGGAAUAGCACACGACAACUGGAGGUUCACUCGAAUAUUUAUUCGUGUGGGUAUAGGGGUCAAUAUGGGUGUCCACGGCUCCGAUGUUGAUCAUUGAUCGGAAGGGGUUCCGGGUCAUGUCUAUACUUCACCGAACCUAUAGGGUCACACGCUUAAGGGUCAUCUAUCUGCUGAAUACUAGACAGGGAGUCUGAGAGAAAAUCACCGAAAAAGUUUCGGACACCGAAAAGUUUCGGACAGGGGAAUCGUACCGCAGAGAGAGGUCAUCGGAUAAGUUUCGAUGAUACCGAAAAGUUGUUUCGGGAUACACCAUUAAGUCAAAUUGGUUUCCGCACAUGCCUGAUAAUUCUUGGAGGAUGCCAGAAUCAUUCUGGAAGCUUUUUGGAAUUUUCUGAGAUAAAAACCGGAAAUGUUCCGGAGCUGCCGGAGCCACUUCAGAUGCGUUUCGCAGAUGAAAAUCACUAAAACCGGAAUUGUUUCGGAACGCGUUGAAAAUCAUUUUAGUGGGUACUGGAAAUGUUCUUAGCCCACAUAAAUAUUUUCAGUUCGAUCAGACGCUGAAAAAUGUCAUCGUGAAUAGUGAAAAUCAGCUUUAUGGUUACUUUAUGGAAAGCCACCUUUUGGGGCUUUGCUCCAAAAGAUCUUGGGGAUGACAUGGAUGGAUAGGAGCCAUUUUUGGGGCCCCUCAUGGGGGUGUGGCCGGCCACAUGGGGUAUCCCCCCUUGGGGACCCUCUAGUUCCUUGGUUUCACUCCUAGGUCCUUGUGGAAGGACUUCAUUCAUGUGCAUUUUUGGUUUUUUGUGAAACUACCCUACCCCCUUGGGAUUUCCUAUAAAUAGAGGUGGAGGGUCAGCCCUCCACACUCAUCCCUUGCUCUCAUACACAUGCCAUGCAUUAUCUGGCUUCUUCUCUCCCUCCCACGAAAAGAGUUUCGUAGAGCCGUAAGGCUGUCUGGGUUCCGGCAGGAACUAGUUCUGGACGGCGAAGCCCUGCCGGAUAGAUGACACCGUAUGUGUGCAACUCUGUAGAGAGAUCGUAGUUUCGGUCUUAGUUCGUGAGUGCCUCCCGAAGGGCUGUCCGUGUGACCGUCCGAGUUUCGAAGGUCCUCCCGAAGGGCUGUCCGAGUGACCGUUCGAGUUUCGAAGGUCCUCCCGAAGGGCUGUCCGCGACACCGUCCGGGGGGCUGUUCGACCGCCUCCUGGAGGGCUGUCUGAGGAGCAGAUGAGGGUAUACAUCCUCGCGGUUGGGAGGUUGUAAAUCCUAGCUGCGGGGAUCUGCACCGCCGAUCGUCAUCGACUCUACUUCCCGCUGCGCUAUGAGUCGGUAACGAAAAAGAUCAAACCAUGUAUGCAGUCUCCAUAGUGGUCCUGGGCUGGUGCGUAGGUCGGAAAUUUUUUGUUUUCUGCUGCGUUCCCCUACACUGGCAUGGCUGGUAGUAGCUCCAUCGGCGAGAGGGGGUUAGGGGAGUAUGAAGGGAGGCCGCCGCAUGGAGCUGUAGGAGGAAAAACGGGGGAAAUCCAUCGCAGAGGGAGGAAGAUGAAGAAAGCAAUGUAUACGAGAUGGGAAUUGUGUGGACGAGGGGUGCUGCGGCUUGCGGAUAAGGACUGUUGCGUGUGGGGACCCACGGACGCAUGCGUGUGUGCAGGGAGAGGUGCGAGUGCGCGAGACAGCCAGCACGGACCGGCCGAAAGUUCGGCCGGCAGACCGAUUAUAAACGUUUCCCGUUUUGCAAUCGGGCGUAGCCAAGCCAACGAAUGCUUCUCUUCUCUCCUACCAGAACCUGAUUUUUAGUAAUCAGGUGCUCCAAAGUGAAAAUGUGUGUCUAGUGUGCAUUAUAAAGUGCCUAGGAAGACAAUACAUGCAUGUCCAUCCUUGGGCAGCAUAGCAGCCAACCCUAUCCUACCACGUGGUGGCAAUUGUUUAUGGAGUAGGUUGAUCUCACGGCAACAUGGCCAUGUGAGUAUCAGUUAAGUAUUACUAAUACUUGUCGUUCAAACGGAUCUAUCUAGAAACGAAGAGAGACCCUUAUCUCGUGGGACUCAGCUCCCCUGACGAACUGCAGAAUGCAGUUGACUCAUUGACUGGUGGGCCCACACGUUAAUGGGCCGACUACUCCCUGCAGUACGUCAGAGGAGCCUCGUCCCAUCUCGUCGGACGCACACGGCAAGAAGACGGCCAUCCGGAUCUGCUGACCAGGAAAGACCGCCGAUGGCUACCAUCGCCCUCACGGCAGAAGAGUACGUUGCCGUGCAGUCCACCGACGUGGAAGAAAAAUUUAUCAGUUCUACUUGCAUAUAGUAUAUUGUCUAAUAAGUAGUGACCUUCAUAAGGAAUUGCGUGGAUCCAAGGUCAACAUCUUAAUUAGCAUACUACUAAGAUUCGAAGAUAUAUGCUAUGCAUAUUAGAUUCGCCUCGAGUCAAACUUUAUAAAUUUUGAUCAAGUUCAUCCAAAAAAUUGUGAACAUCCACAAUAUCAAAUCAACAUCAUCAUAAUCAUCCUUGAAUAUAUUUUCAUGUCAUAUAUGCCGGCCCAUAGUGACACGAAAGCUUCUACGUGGUAUGCCAUCAACCUUCAAUCCGGGUAGCGCAAAGUCAACCGCUCGAGCUGCUUCCAUCCAUGCACGCAUCAGGCUGACCUCCAACCGGGAGAGAUGCCCUUAAGGCGUAUACAAUGGUACUAUUUUAGAAAUGUCACGUAGGAUAAUUACUAUGGUGAUGGAAAGAGAAACAAAUAAAAAAAGUGUUCCAUUUCUUUUAAAUAAGAGAUGAUCUUUUAGUACAAUAUCUUUUACCAUUACUCCUUGUAUAUGAGAAUAUCUUUUUAUUACAGAUGAAAGUAAGAGAUAGCCCACUGUACCCAUGAUUUUUUAUCAUCUCUAAACUAUAUGGUAGGCUUAAAAGAUAAAAUUGUCUUCUCAACCAUUGUAUAUGCUUUUAGUAGGUUUUUGGCUGGGGUAACAAGUAUAGUUCUCCAAGAAAAAUCUCCUUCCUCCUUCCGCCUGCGCCGCCGCCGAUCCGCCCCACCUCCAAUGGCCCUUCGGUUGUGGAGGUGUGGAGGAUCUCGGCCCCCCUCGGCAGGACGGACCCCGUUCUCGCUUUUGUUAGGUUCAAUGUCUUGGUUGGAGCUGUGUGGCGGUGCGAUGUCCCUUUCUACGAAUAAUGUCUCCCAUGUCACAUCCCUGUCUCGAUGGUGCAAAUAGCAUUGUCGGAGGAUGUGUGAAGGUGUGUCUCUGUCAGAUCUCGUGAGAUUUGGUCGGUGCUGGUCUUCGGUGCAUCUAGUUGGAUCCAGUUUUUGUUCGUCUUCAUUCGUGUAGUUUCAGGUUUGAUCUUUCCGAUCUACAAGUCUCUUCAUCGGUGAUGGUUGCUGUUCUGGUGCGAUGUUCCUUUGGGGCCAUAGCAUCACAACUUCCCGACUGGCUACUACAACGAGGUUUGUCCGGCUCCAGUGCUUGUAGUCAUCGCUAGGUGGUCCACAGACCUGGUUGUAAUUCUUAUUACCUGUUGUGUUCUCUGUAUUGUCAUGAUUGAUAAAUAGAUUGAAAUUUCUUCUCGAGGAAUAAAGUAGGUUUUGCUAAUAGUGAUAAAUUAUGUGACAUGCACAUCAGAUGGAUUAGUAAUCUAAUUGUUGUACAGCAGAUGGGGGAGGAAACACGUCCGCCAGAGGAGAUCGGGUUUCCGCAGCCGGCAAACCAACCCUCGCCGGACGGUGUUGUGAUCGGGCCGCCGCGGAUCCCCGCAUCCUCUCCAAGUGCUCCUAUGGCGGCGCCGCCAGGAGGAAAGGAGGGCCCGGCGAGAUCGCGAGGCUCUGAUCACGGAGUCAUGGCGCAUGUAGAGAUCGGGCAGGAGAGGACAAGAUCGGGACAAUGGCGGGUUCAUUUCUCCGAUGGGACGGAUCCCGGCAAAUGGGUCGAAGGCCAUCUCCGAUUUACUCCAAAGUCGCGCUGGAUGGUUCUCCUAGAUUUGGAGAACGACAUGCUAGCCGGUGAUUACCUUCCGAACGACGACUUGAUCGAGGUAGGGCUCCAUUUCAUGACUGAUAUUUAUGAUGUGGUUGUUCCGUCCUUGUGUGCAGGUUGAUCUGGUUCUGGAGGCAGUGGAGCUAGAUGAUCUGACGGAGACGAUAGAACGUGGAAGACCGGGAGGGCGCUUUUGGGCUCUAGAACAGGCUGAGAAACAAGCCUCGCCGGAUCUGCUUGAGGUCUUGAAGGAUACGGGACCGAUGAAGCCGUCAGAGUUCAAAUCGGUACCCGAUCGGCAUCGGUCAAAGGUUCAACGACCCAAGCCGGCCGUGAAACCCUGGAUCGGCCUGAUCCCUAAGGUAUUUCAUGAACCCGUUACUUUGUCGGAUUUUAUUCAAGAAUCAUGGACUCUAGUUACUCGGAAGAACUAGGGAAAGAAAGGUCGGCCGCCGCUGCCGCCGUGGUCGCCAGCGACGAGAUCGGCGAGCGCAAUUCGAGCGGCCAGAAGGGCGCACUUGAAUUUGCUGCUGGGCCAAGGGAUCAAAAGGGAAGCGACGUUGAUCGUGGGAUCUCUAGGCUCGGGCGAGGCCCAGUUAGAAGCCCAAGCCACGUCCGACUCGCAUCUUACGUGCAUGCAAGUUUCACCGAUACCCGAGUCCUCGCUGAUCGCAGCUAGGGUUGUACACAUACCAGGCUUCCCGACUCUCGGCGCGGGGUGCGCGGCCAGGAUCCAUUGCGCCGGCAAGAUGGCUGGACGUGGACCACCGCCAGCCAAGCAUGGGCUGACGCCCGCCGCCGAAGCUGCCGGCGGCGGCCGAGGCGCUCUGCCUCCAGCUAGGCAAGGGCCGCCACUUGCGGCUACCAGUACCGCGGCGGGUCCGCAGGCAGGAACCGGCGGAGCCGGUCGUGGCGCUCCACCUCCCGUGAGGCAGGGGCCAAUGCCUGCCGCUUCAGGACCGUAGGCGCUGGUGCAGGCUGCUAGGAACGUGUGGCAGCCGGAGGAGCCGGCGAAGCCGCCGGCGGCCAAGGCGCCGGCCCUUGGAAGAGGUCGUGGUUCUCACCAUGGAUGGGAUGGUCACGGACAAGGUGGAUACGGUAGAGAUGGUCCGAGAAACCGGUACGGACAGUGGGGAGAUGAUGGUUAUGAUGCAUAUGGGGAGGGGAGCACCGUGGAUCAUCCUCCGGUGGCGGCCGAGGCUUCAACUGGUACAAUGGCGGCGGUCCAGGACGUGGAUUUCAGGGACCGCCCGGCAAUUUUGUUGAAGGUGUCACCGGCCCCAAUGAGCGUUUCCGGGGAGGUUAUCGGUGAGUCGGGAGAGGGGGUGGGAGGCGCCCACCUCCACCACGGCAACAUCCGCCGCCACCACCGCCGGCCCCGGGGGCAGUGUUGGACCAUACAGCUGGUGCGGCGGAGGCCACAACUACUGUGCCUGAGGUGGCGGUAGACACGGUCAGGGCCUUGGCGGCGGUGAAUAUUCUGGCGGCUUCUGGAGUCGCUAAGACUAGUGGUGGUGGGGUGGACAAAGGGUCGGACAAAGCACAGGGAGAAAAGCUUUCGAAGUGGGAAAUUACGAAGAAGAAAUUGCCUUGCUAUAGAUGUGGCGAACCAGGACACUUUGUGGCACACUGUACUAAUGAUCUACGUGACUAUUGCCUCAUAUCGCAGCAUGUACUAAUGAUCUACGUGACUAUUGCCUCAUAUCGCAGCAUGUGACCAGUGACUGCCCACUCUUGUCCGACCCUAAACCUGGCAUAAACAUUUUUUGGGUGUGCUGCAAGGAACAUAUGAUUUUUGAGACACUGGAGGUGGCUCCUUUGCCUCAGAUGGUUGAGAGUUCUUUCCCAGCAGUGGUUCGGGUUACUAAUGGACAGAUGACAGAGGCUCAGAUUGUGAGGCAGCUGUGUGAGCUCGUACCGGGUAAUUAUCAGUGGCAUCUUGAUAAGCGGGAGGACCAGGCUUACAAGGUGGAUUUUCCCACUAAAGAGCAUCAAUUGCAUAUUCUUAAGUGGGGUCUGUGCAGAGUUCUGAGUACCAACAUUAUCAAUGCAUUUGAUGAGUGGAAGCAGCAGGAACCAGAGGGUACACCUUUAGAGAAGGUUUGGGUACGGUUCUUUAGCGCACCACCUAAACUGAUUAAUCAUUUUCUGAUUUCCUGGAGCUUGGGAUCUUUGAUUGGCAAGACGAAAAAGGUUGACAUGCCCUUCACUCGUGCACAGGGGGCCGCGAGGCUGCUGGUCAUUGUUGUUAGUGUUGAGUUCGUGCCAGAUAUAGUUAGAUGGACACAUGCUGGAGUCACUUACAUUUUAGAGAUUGAGAUUGAGGACACUCCGACUUCCGAGGAUGGGGAUGAGAUUCAGGAUAUGGACACAACUGAGGGGGGCGGUGCACCCGGGAACAGGAUAAGGGGCCCAAGAACACACCACGGGAGUCGGCCAAGGGGCCAAAUGCGCAACCAGAUAAGGCGGAUAAGUCUGCCAAGGAGGCGCCACCGUCAACAACUCCGAUGAACACACUUCGGUUUGGUUCGUUUGGAGCGAGGUCGGCACCUAGUCGGUUAUGGAGCAACAGAGUUGAGGCGGACGACCCGGCGGAACUUGAGCUACCACCAGUGAUGGUCCCUGUCUGUGAGCCGACGGCGCUCCUUGACUCCGAACUGACGGUAAUGCAGAGAGAGAUGGAAGGCACCCCACAGCUGGCAGCACAGGGGACACGACACACUUCUGACAGUGGCCCAGACACGGUGGGUUCGAGGGACAUGAUGCUCUCAACGCCUGGUGGUCCGGUGGAUACUUGCGGGCUGACAGCAAUUGGGGGGUCAUGGGCAGGAGGCCCGUAGCGCCCUCCCACACGCGUCGGGCUCGAUCAGCUCGGGAGAGGCGCCUGGACAGGAGGUCCGAGGUGAUCGCUCUCUUCCGGUGAUACCCGGCGAGCUGGGGGAGAGGUGCAGGCCGCAGGCCCGUGGCUUACCUUCUGUGCAGGUCUCCACCGAGCAGCAUGGACAGGGACCGCGCCUUCGUGAUGGUGAGGGGGGAGCGGGACUAUCGAGCAGGUGGCUACACGGUCUCCUUCCCCCUUGGCUACUGUGGGCGAUACACGCUCCACCACGCCCUACCCUUCUUCACCGACGCUAGGGGAAGGGUGUGGGAGUCGGGUGCUAACACCUCGACAGAGGACAUCGGAGGAGCUUGUCGCUUUCGGUGGGAUCGCGGAUCCCGUGACGGCUGGCAGGCCUAUCAGCAGCCAGAUCCAGGGACAGCCGAACGCGGACGACCUGCAGCUAGCGCGCGCCAAGAGGGCGGCCAUGCUUUGCGAUGUUGGCGCUACUACAAGUAUGUCAUUUGAUAAGAGUUGUUCAAUUUUGCAUUACACAGAGAAUGAUAUAAUUGAUAAGGCAAAUGACUUAGGAAUCUCUUUGGGGUCAAAUGAAACUGAGGUGGUGAAAUCCGUAAACAAUCUUUUAGACUUAGAAGCGGAGAGGGCUUCAGAAGUUAUUCGCAAUCUUGCAUCUGUCAAACCCAUGAAUGACAAUGACAUGGAAAAUUUAGGAAUGGUUACUCUUGAAAAUAUUUGUAACAAUCUCUUGCCUAGUACGGAGGCCAAUGAUGAGGAGGGGUCGGAGACUACAGACAUCGUAGAGCCUCUAAUGAUGGAAGGCACAGUCUCUUACGCCGACGAUCCGACAUUCCCAAAGGGUGAUGGGGAGAAGCCCAAACGACCCUGGAAGUGGAAAAUUUAUCCUACUUCGGCAGUUCGUAGAAGUGCUAGAGUUAAGCUUAAGAAAAAAAUUCAUGAUGACAUAUGAAAAUAAUCUUUUGGAAUAGCAGAGGUCUAGCUGACUUGGCUAAACAAAGGUUCUUGACGGAGACAAUGGUAGUACAACACUUAGACUUUAUGGCACUUUUGGAAACAAGACAUGAUAACUUUACAUCACAGUUCCUUCAAACUCUCUCCAAAGGUAUUGAUUUUGACUAGCAUAUCUUACCUCCUAGAGGAAGAUCUGGUGGGAUUUUACUAGGGGUCUGGUGUGAAACGCUUGAGGUGCUUAAUGUGGUUCGGGGUGAUUUUGUAGUUAAGUUUCGGGUGAGAUAAAAGUUCGAUGGUUUCCGAUGGUCUCUUCUUGCUGUAUAUGGGGCAACACAACCGGAACUCAAACCAGAUUUUUUAGCCGAGUUGGUGCGGAUUUGUGGAGAUGAAACCCUGCCAAUCUUAGUUGGGGGGAGGGUGAUUUUAAUAUAAUUCGGGGGAGAGAUGAGAAGAAUAAUGACAAUUUUGAUGGACGUUGGUCUAUGAUGUUUAACAUGAUUAUCGAGAGUCUUAAUUUGAGAGAAAUUGAGCUCACCGGUAGACAAUUUACAUGGGCCAAUUCGUUACCCACUCCAACUUAUGAAAAGUUGGAUAGGGUACUCGCUAGUGUGGAAUGGGAACAAAAGUACCCUUUGGUGGCGGUCCAUGCAAUGCAGAGAGCGAUCUCAGACCACACACCACUUCUAGUAGAAUCGGGAGAGGCUACCCAUGUACUCCCUCCGUUCCAAAUUACUCGUCGUGGUUUGAGGUCAAAUCCAAAUUACUCAUCGUGGUUUUAGUUCAAAUUUGAACUAAAACCACGAUGAGUAAUUUGGAACGGAGGGAGUAGUGAAUAAAAAUGCUUUCUCCUUUGAACUAGGCUGGUUCGAGAAAGAAGGCUUUUUGGAGAUCAUUGCACGAGAAUGGGCUAAGCCUACUAGGGGCCAGCCGUGUGCGGUGCCCCACUCCACAGUUUGCUCCUCCGGUCAUAUUGUCGUAGUGCUUAGGCGAAGCCCUGCGCGGAUCAAAUCACCAACACCGUCACCACGUCAUCGUGCUGAACGUGUGCUGAACACGGAGGUGCCGUACGUUCGGUACAUGGAUUGGUUGGAUCGUGAAGAUGUUCGACUACAUCAACCGUGUUACUAAACGCUUCCGCUUUCGGUCUACGAGGGUACAUGGACCCACUCUCCCCGCUCGUUGCUAUGCUUCUCCUAGACAGAUCUUGCGUGAUCGUAGGAUUUUUUUUUUGAAAUACUACGUUCCCCAAUAGUACCUGCAUGCGUUGCUUAUUUUGCUUUCCAUCAAGUAAAAAUGUGGUAUUGCAUAAGAUCAUCAAAAGAACAAAAUAAAAUAAUGCACAAAUAAGACACAUCCAACAAUCCCCCUCCCCUUCCCCAUACACACAGACUAUUCUAGCUGGUCUAGGGCAUGACUAGCAACUUAUUUCAAAUUAACUAUCUUGUGGUGUAUGUGAAGUUCAAGAAAAAGUUGGCUUUUUUCUUGAAAAGUAAGUUAAUGUGCAAAGAAUCAAUGAACGUAUUUGCAAAAAAAGCUAGCAAACUGAAUUAAUGAUGAAACCAGUUGUGGUGGUCAUGUAGGCAAUGGUAGUAGCAAACCAAUAAAAAAACAAGAUCUCAAAGCUCCAACCAUUAAAGAGUAGUAUGUUUGUCCAUGCUUGAGUUCAACCCAAAUUUCACAAUAACACUAUUAUAUUUAAAUCUAGAUUAUUGCAAGCAUGGUAAUACACCAGGUUGAGGUUGUGACCAGGCAAGAAGGACUUGUGAACCUGCAAGCAUGGUAGUCAGAUCGAUGUCCACACGACGCCGGUAUGAACAUUGUCUAGAGAAAACUUUAUUUGUAUUUUAUUCCAGAAUUUAACUACUAGUUUGGGUGGGUCACACAUGACAUUGUGUGACACUUUAUUUUUCACCGCUUCCUCAACAUGUCCAUCGAGAAAACGACGGUGAUCUUUUCUUAUCAGUAGGCACCAACUCCGCUGCCAACACCGAAUGGCACACUAGUGAUGGAGCUGUACAACGGCACAUUAACACUGCACAUCGUUGGCAGGGUACUGAGGGCAAUGGAAGUCAUCACCUCGAGGCGAGCUAUCUGGUGUGGCUGCAAGUACCCUAUUGUACAUGUUGUUGUUGAGGCUGUUGACCCAGUUGUUGUUGAGGUUGUUGGAAAGAACAUUGUCCGAGCUGCUGCUGCGACUGCUGUUGGGGUUGGUAGACACCUUGAACCGACUGUUGGGGUUGUUGCUGCUGAGGUUGGACAAAACCCUAUUGUUGUUCUUGCAGGAUGAUGGACAAGAUGAUAGCACGGAUUGCCACAUAGCGGGAUUGUUCAGGGAUUCGCGGCAAUUGUUGGCAACAUUGUUGCCGCAUCACAUGGCAACUGCUCUGCUGCCACAUCUGCGACCUAGCAAGACGUUGUGGCAUUGCCACAGGGCUACAUUGCUGCUGGAGGAAUACCUUGCAUGGGUUUAGCUGCUGCAAAACGGAUGGAUGAACAAUAGGGAUUUGUUG